rnacentral:lncRNA from 1 species
AAUAAAGCCAUCCCUUCUGAAAAGGUUUAGCUCUCUGUGCAUUUCUGAGUUGUGAGGAAACACACUUGAAAGCUUUCUUUCUUAAAUACCCUCUCAGUACCUUGUCUGUGUUUGACACACUCCCAGAAAUGGAGUGAAUAAAGGAGAAACUUUCUUUCUGAAGUCACAGCAGAGCUAUAGGUGAUUUAAACCAAAUUACAGAAAAUUAAAACCACUGCAUGGGACAUUUCACUGAAAGCAGAUGUUAACAAAAUGGUAAGUGUCAGAUGCUUUUUGUGAUUUUAUUGUUGGCACAGUCUUUUGCUUUGUUUAUUUUUCUAAAGUUUAACCCCUUCUUUUUUUAAAUAAAGUGAACAAGGCAUGCCAUGAAUCAUGACUUAAACCAAAAUUGGAGUGAAUGAAAUUCUAAUUUUCUGUCUUUAGAAUAAAAGUGUCUAAUUCUGGCAAAAUCAUUUACACUAACCACUUAUAAUCUAAGUGUAAAUUUAAGAUUACAUAUAUAUUUAAAUUAAAAUAAAUACAUUUGAUUAGUGCAUCUGGCUGAAAUGAUUAAAAUGUAUUUAAACAUUGUACCUCUACUGAAACUCAGGUUUUGCUUUAAAUUAUUUUAUUAUUUAAAUAAAAACAUCCUAAAAUAUCACAUUUCAUGUAAUUCCGUAUUAACUAUGUAUUGAGGUCAAAAGAUAAGUAUAAAUUAAUCUGCUAUUACAAGAAUAGAUAGAAUCAUACAGACACCAGAGCAUAAAAAUAGUUUCAUGUCUAACUGUUACACUGGGAUGCAUCAUUUAGUUCAUGUGCCUGGUUUUUAAAUAUAUAUAUAUAUAUAUAUAUAUAUAUAUAAACAUAACUUACAUGUGCUUUGCAUCAGUUCAUUGGAUAGUAAGCUGUAUGGUAUAGAACCUUACUAUGGAAUAAAAGAGGUACUAUGAGGCACUUAUAAAAUGGGUCUCUUUAUUUCUGUUAUCAAGUUAUGUUGUCUUCUUUUCUGUAAAUUAUAUACUUGUAAUUUAAUAUGUAAACAUAUGUAUUUAAGUAAAGAAAAAAUUAAGAAAUUUUACUUGGGAAUAUAUUUUGAUUUCUGAGUUCUGGCCAAUAUUAUACUGAAAUAUAUUUGUACAUAAUAUACAUUCUAUUUUAUUUUAGCUUAUUUUGCUUAAAAUAGUGUUGUGGUGCUCAGGUUUGUAUAAAGAAAUGGAUUAACUAUUAUUAGUAAAUAUCUACUAUUAGAAACAUCUGGAAAUUAAUUGUCUUUUUAUGAAAUAUACAGAACUUGUUCAUAACAAAUUAUUUAAAUUAGAGAUUUUCAUAUCAUAUGCAAAACCAAUAAUUAUGCUUGACCUGGAACAGGACAUAUAUACAGAGAGCUUUGCAGUAUGCAAUCUAUAUAUAUACACACACACACACACAUAUAUAUAUAUAUAUAUACACAUAUACAUACAUAGAGAGAGAGAGAGAGAGAGAGAGAGUAUUGCAGUAUGCAAUCUACACUAUACAUAUAAUGUACGCGGUAAUUAUAUAUUAGGUAUAUACAUAUAUUAGGUAUACUACAGACAUUUAAUGCAUGCAGUAAUUAUAUAAAUUAUAUAUAUAUAUAUAUAUAUAUAUAUAUAUAUAUAAAAUUUAUAUAAUUACUGCAUGCAUUAAAUGUAUGAACAGUUAUACUUGAGAUGUAUUACACACUUACCAAAUGUUGAUUUGGCACAUGUAAUGUAUUACAUUAUCUUUUAAAUGUUAGUUUUGUAGAAAAUGUUUAUUUUAUUUAUAUACCUUGUAAAUGUAAACCAUGAAACUAUGUUUUAACUGUAAUAAAUCUUUAGCACAUCCUCCCUUUUUAAACCUAAAGGAUUUUAUGUCACCCAGCUUGACUAGUUUACAUAUUAACUGAGAUAGUGUGGCAUGAACUAAGCUUCAAAGGGAGAAUCUGACUUAAUUAGUCACUAGAAUAGUGUUUGGGGAGCUAUUUAAUUAAACAGUGUGAAAUGAAAGAAUGUGUAAAUUUAUGCUCUUUUUAUCUGCAGUGUCCAGCAAAUAACUAAUGAUUAAUUUCAUACGUAUAAGGUGUUUAAACUGUAAAUAUAAUAAUAAAAUAUUUCUGCCAGAUUUCAAUAGACCUUAAAUUCAUGGGUCACCUUAAAGCUAGUAAAGUUAAAUAUGCAAAACGAGACAUAUAUAUUUGAAACUAAGUUAAAAUACAUUAAACAGCUAUUGCUAUCUAUAUGUAACUUUGCACAACAUAAUGAUACUAAUUUAGCACUUUUAUUCUUUCUGAAUUAAAAGUGUAAUUAAAAUAAUCAAGAAUGACUGUAUAAAUCUGUCACUAAAGUAUGCAUAUAGUUAGAUUUGCCUAUAAAGACAUACAUUUCCUUUAAUUUCCUUAAACUUAUCAAUGAGAGCAUAUAAUUGUCAUCAUAUUAUGUAUACUAUUAUGCUAUUCUAGUUUUAUUAUUUAGUCCAUAAUACGAAUUAUGUGACAAAAAGAUGUUUUUCCUAGCUUUUUACUUGCCAAUGCCAAAAUUGUCAAAUAGGGUUUUGUUCAUGAAACAUUGAAUUGUAAUCAACUAAAUUGCAAACUUUAGGCAAUCAAUGAUUUGGAAAAAUUCUUCAUCUCAGCAAUCGUUGCAGUGUGAUCAUUUUAGUCUCAAUUUUGCAAUUCAUAAUCUGUUUUGAAUUUCAGUGAUUAAUGAACAUAUCCCAUAAUGUAAAUGGGUAUGCAUGUCCUUUAGAAUGAAUUGACUAUCAUAACACUGAUAUUAAGUACAACUUUCUUAAUGUUUGUUGUAUUCAGUCUUUUAAUGUUUGUGACUAUUAGAAAACAGAAUGUAUGAUCAACAAAAUAUACAAUUACCUAGUUAAUCCAUCAGUCAUCAUCGUGAAGUUUAUAAACUGUCUGUAGCAGCACUUAGACCAUUAUGUAUAUUAUUUAGCAUUUGUAUUUUCGAUUAUUUUUUAUAACUUAUAGAUGCACAGCAAUUCUAGCUAAGCUACCGUCUAUAAAAGAAAUUCAACAAUACUGACCGUGUCUCGGAAAGGUAGUUCAAUUUACAUAUGACCUCUGUAUAUGUCCUUUGGCUAUAUGUUGUGACACACAUAAUUAGUUUAUAAGAUUUCAGAGUAGUUAAUUCAGAACAAUGUAAUGCAACCUGGUAAUACUAAAGCGAUCCUAGAAAUUAUCUUUUUUCGCCUAUAAAUGUCUCUUACAUCUCCUUCCUUUUGUUUUCUCACUGAGAAUUUUUGUUCAGUACUGUAAGAGUGGUAACAGUUCAGAAUUCCAAAGGUUUUUAUUCUCUUUAAAACUUGACAACCUUAUUGAAAUCUUCAACAUCAUAUUUUCAGAGUCUUUCGAAAUAGAGGCAUGGUGACAGCUACACAAGUGCCUCAUCAACAACAUUGCCUGUUGUUUUCUGCUAAAGGCUAAAUGGCAAUGAGAACCAAGAAGGUUCAAAGUUAUUUAUUGUACUAUUAGGAAACGUAUUCACACUUUUAUGAUAUUGUUCAACAGCUCCUUUGUUCAAUUAAUAUGCAUAGACAUUGAAAAUGAAAAGUACAGCUCUACACUACUGUUCUGUUAAUUUAAAUUGACAUAAGACCUUCCCACUUAAAUAUCACAGUUAGUGUGCUGAGGACUAAAUAUAAGUGUAAAAACAGCAGUUAUACAAGAACAGAACACAAUAUUCUUGUACCAUUGUGCUUGUAAUAAUUUAUGCUGAAUUCAAUGUACAGUAAAACACAUCAGUUACUUGUAAUUUAGCAAAUUGAGCUAAAAUAUAUAUAGAGAGAGAGAGAUAAACAAGUGGUUAUGAGAAAUAAAUCGUAUAUAUUUUUUUUAUUUCUGGAUAAAUCUAGAUAUAGAUCUCUCUUGUUUGGGGGUACAGGGAAAUUAAAUAAAAUAAUCCAUUAGUAUGAUAUCUCCAUAUUAUUGUGUUCUGGUCUUAUUUGGGGGAAAGUUUGUAGGAAAUAUUUUGUGUUCUUUAUUAAUAUGCAGUGUUUGAAAAUAUUUGUCUUUCUUUAUCUUUUUGUUUGUUUACUACUUAUUUUGCAGGUAUCAAAAAGGAAUGUAGCAUUUGCUAUAUUUGUCUCUCAGGUUGUCUCUAUUCUAUGUUCUAUUUUUAAAAACAUAUAAAUUAAAACUUUUAAAAUGCAGUUAUCAAUCUAACUAGUUUUGUGUCCAAAUAAUAAGAUUCAUUUUCUCAAUACAUUACGCCAUUAUACAGAGUCAACAUAGCAAUGUAAACACUAUGCUGUUCACGUUAUGCAGUUAUUAUUAUUAUUAUUAUUAUUAUUAUUGGCAUAUAUGUUUAGCGCAGACGUAUUCCACUUCAGAAUAUUAUAAAGGGGAAAAUUUACCAAUAAAUGAGACAAUUGCAUUGUUAAAGGAACAAUAGGUUGAUGAGGACCAUGCUCAAAUAAGCUUACAGUUAUAAAUGUCGGGUAAACCUGAUCCUGUAGGUCUAAAGUAUUUAUAGUAUUCAUAAUAAUGUGCAGUGACAACAACGACUUGCUGGGUAUCUGUGAAUUUUACAAAUUGACUGAUCAAUUGACGCAUUGGUACAUUGAGAAUCCAAGAAUGCAUUUGUGUAAUAUUUUAAACAUAUAACCUGUGCAUUACUUUACUGUAUUUGAAUGGCACCUAGAAUGAUUUUUUUCUUCAGUUAAUUCACACAGUGAAUUUUGAAUAACCAAAUAAAAAGUAGCCUGAUUGAUACAAUAUAAAUGGAUAUUUAUGUAUAGAUAGAUGGAGAUAGUAGACAGACAGAGAGAAAGAGAGAGAUAGACAUUUUUUUUUUAAAUUUCUCCAAAAUAACUAAUUAUCCCUCUUUUAAAACAACUCUUUAUAGAGAUCUGUUUUUGUUUCUGUGUUGCAGCCCACAGGAAUAUUUCCUGCAGUGGAAAUAAUUGACUCUGGUCUCAGUCCAUUUCAUUUCAAUUAGACUCAGAUAAGAUAAGUAUCAUUGCGGCUUAGAGAGUUAAGCAUUUAAAUUCAGGUUGUGGUUUCUGCAAGAACAUGGAUAUUAGAAUAUCUGUUAAAAUUAGGCAGAAUGGUGCUUCCCUUAUAACCGUGAUUUUUCUAUAUCUUUCUAUCUUUUUAAACAUUCUAUUUAAACAUGCCAUCCAAAGCAAAACAAGAAAUAAAAUGUCAACUUAAGUGCCUUUUGAACACAUUAGAAGACUUGCACAUCAUAGGAACAGAAGAUAAAACGUUAUCAUGUUCCAACUUUACCUUGAGAAGACUAGACUAUUGUUAAUAUAUCAGUGUACUUUGACUAAGAAUAAUCCUUCAAAAGCCAUAAAGGGUAACAAUGUUUUGCAGAGUUGUUUGCAUUGCAAUAAAAUGUGUAAGAUAAGAGUUGCCAAAUUUGCAUUUUUAAUUUUGUGUAAAAUAAAUUAGCUUCAGGUUUGAGUUAACAAUGCAUUAUCAAAUACUAUAGAAAUAGUUAUUAAAUCAUUCUCAAUAAUUAUUAUACCAAUUUAUAUUGGACUGCUCUUAUUAUAUCAGCAUUUUCUUUGAGGCCAAUGCUUGAAAGAGCUAAAAUGCAUUUUUGGGGGUUAUUUUAACCCCUUAAGGACUAAACUUCUGGAAUAAAAGGGAAUCAUGACAUGUCACAUAUGUCAUGUGUCCUUAAGUGGUUAAAGGUCUGACUGCAACCAAAACCAAAACAAUCCAGGAACAUUUGGAGGCAAAACUCCAGACAUUAUUCACAACAUGUGUCAGUCUCCAAAUUUAGCAGGGCAUCUCUGAAUGGACAUGGGAUUCUAACACGCUGUUUUAUAAAUGGUGCAAUUUGAAACUGAAUGCCAUAAUAUGAAUGUUUGAGCCAAUCAAGGCGGAGCACAGACAGCUGGUAGUUCAAAUAAUAAACCAAUAUAAGUGAAUGACAGUGUGAGGGUCAAUAAUAGAGAUCCACCAAACCGCUGUAUUAUUAACCCCUUAAGGACACAUGACAUGUCUGACAUGUCAUGAUUCCCUUUUAUUCCCGAAGUUUGGUCCUUAAGGGGUUAAAGGGACACUAUAGUCACCUGAACAACUUUAGCUUAAUGAAGCAGUUUUAGUGUAUAGAUCAUCCCCCUGCAAUUUCAAUGCUCAAUUCACUGUCAUUUAGGAGUUUCUGUUUAUGCAGCCCAAGCCACACCUCCCCUGGCUAUGAUUGACAGAGCCUGCAUGAAAAAAACUGGUUUCACUUUCAAACAGAUGUAAUUUACCUUAAAUAAUUGUAUCUCAAUCUCUAAAUUUAACUUUAAUCACAUACAGAAGGCUCUUGCAGGGUUUAGCAAGCUAUUAACAUAGCAGGGGAUAAGAAAAUCUUAAUUAAACAGAACUUGCAAUAAAGAAAGUGCCUAAAUAGGGCUCUCUUUACAGGAAGUGUUUAUGGAAGGCUGUGCAAGUCACAUGCAGGGAGGUGUGACUAGGGUUCAUAAACAAAGGGAUUUAACUCCUAAAUUGCAGAGGAUUGAGCAGUGAGGCUGCAGGGGCAUGUUCUAUACACCAAAACUGCUUCAUUAAGCUAAAGUUGUUCAGGUGACUAUAGUGUCCUUUUAAGGUUUUCUUAUCCCCUGCUAUGUUAAUAGCUUGCAAGACCCCGCAAGAGCCUCCUGUAUGUGAUUAAAGUUCAAUUUAGAGAUUGAGAUACAAUUAUUUAAGGCAAAUUACAUCUGUUUGAAAGUGAAACCAGUUUUUAUUUCAUGCAGGCUCUGUCAAUCAUAGCCAGGGGAGGUGUGGCUAGGGCUGCAUAAACAGAAACAAAGUUAUUUAACUCCUAAAUGACAGUGAAUUGAGUAGUGAAAUUGCAGGGGAAUGAUCUAUACACUAAAACUGCUUUAUUUAGCUAAAGUAAUUUAGAUGACUAUAGUGUUCCUUUAAUCCUAGGUCUCUUGUCUUUCAUAUGCAUAAAUUGGGUGAAUUAUUUUGGGCAAGUUGCUUUCUAUUUAAACAAAUUGGAUUGAAAUGCAGAUAUUUUCUGUAUUUGAUAAAUUGCUAAAAAAAAUUGUUAUAGAUACUACAUUGUUCAAAUGUCGGCGGGGGAGGAGAGGUCACCAGCACUGAGGGAGCCCGGCGCCAGAAUAAGGUGUGUAACUGAAGGGGUUUUAACCCCUUCAGCGCCACAGAAGGGGGACCUUGAGGGUGGGGGCACCCUCAGGGCACUAUAGUGUCAGGAAAACCGCUAUGAUUGAUCCUUUAAUUAUGUCGAGUACAGAAAUAAUCAAAGUCUUCAAAACAUAAAUGUAUGAUCCAUAAAAGUACUUUCUUAAUACUGGUUGAAUAAUGCAAAUUAGUUACUAAUGUGUCUUUAAGACUUUUUGGGGAUUUUUGCAUUAAAAGUUUGAACCGUGGGUGAAAGUUUAUGAGUACAAUUACAGAGAUGAACUAGAAUGCAAAAUAAACUAGUUAAUUGUCACUGCAUCUGAUCGGCCCCUCAGUGUGACGGCACCAGAUCAGUGCGGUCACACUAUCGCAGUGCCCCGAUCAGCACCACGAUGUGACCGCAUCCAGGGCCGGCGAUUCCUAUAGGCCAGCUAGGCGGCCGCAGGGGCGGGGCUGAGAUGGAGUGAAGACGGCCAGGCGCAAGGAAACUACCAGGAGCACACGAAAAGCACUGUCAUAUAUGCAAUAAAGGUAAGAGGGUCAAUGGAACAUCAUAAUGUGUGUUUGUAAAGAAUUUGUGUUUGUGCAUGUCAGUCUGUAUGGGUCAGUGUGUGUCUGUAUGGGUCACUGUCUGUAGGAGUCGGAGCGGGUCAGUGUCUGUCUGCAGUAUGGGUCUGUGUAUGUCUGUAUGUGUGUGUGUGUCUGCUUGGGUCAGUGUCUGUCUGUAGUAUGGGUCUGUGUAUGUCUUUAUGUGUGUGUGUCUGCAUGGGUCAGUGUGUCUGUAUGAGGCAGUGUGUGUCUGUGUAGAUCAGUGUGUGUCUGUGUGGAUCAGUGUGUGUCUGCAUGGGUCAGAGAGUGUCUGCAUGGGUCAGUGUGUAUGUGUGUGUCAGUCUGCAUUCAUCAGUGUGUGUGUGUCAGUCUGCAUGGGUCUGUUUGUGCGUCAGUCUGCAUGGGUGAGUGUGUGCGCGUCAAUCUGUUUGUCAGUACAUGUGUGUCAGUCUGCGUGUGUCAGUACGUGUACGUCAGUCUACAUGAGUCAGUGCAUGUUUGCCAGUCUGCUUGGGUCAGUGUAUGUCAGUCUGCAUGAGUGUGUGGAGCAAAUGGGGCGGCAACAUUUUCAUGCCUAGGGCGGCAAAAAUCCUUGCACCGGCCCUAACCGCAUCUGAUCGGUGCGGUCACACUAAAUGAGAGAGAGGUUACUCACCUUACCUCCAGAGCCUCACCCUCCGUGCAGUUCUUAAUACAGUGGCCGGGUCCAGCAUUAGGAAGGAUGCUUGCCUCUGCAAGGCAGCGCUAUAUAAUAAUGCCACCAACAAUGACGUCACUAGUUAUGUGAACGUGCGUGCGGCGUCACGUUUUUGAUGUGCACGCACGUUCUGGGGUCAUGGGACCCAAAUCAGCAAUAAGAAUGGUUUACUGGGUUAUUUAAACCGAAACCUGCAGUUGUUCAGUGCCCUGUCGUGGUUUCCAUCAUGUUGGUUAUCCGAGAGCGAGUUCCUGAUUCUGUUUAUUGGUUUUUGAUCUUGGCUUGGCUUGACUUCGCAUAUUUCUGGUAUCCCUGACCCUUUAGUUUUGUUCUUACCGUAUUUGUUCCUUUCUGUAUUCCUGACCUCGGGCCAUGGCUGUUUAUUCAAUUACGUUAAAUCUAGCCAUUCUUAGUAAUAAAUUGUUACUGUUUGUCUUUGUAACGGCCACCCUGUGUGUCAGAGGGGUGUAUGCUGUUGGAGACAUCCUUUUCCCUGGGUAGAGGCUGUGCUGCAGUGUGUUCCAGAUGUCCCAUCAGCCGAACCAGUGGAGAGAGAGAAUAGCAGAGCUCUGACAAGAGCUAGUGAUUAGCUGGAUGCAGUUUCCCUACAAUAAUGAGACGAGGCUACGUAUUGAGGGUUAAGCAGAUAUGUUUUAAUGAGCACAAAGGCAUUUCUUUAAUACACAUUUUGCCCACAAGCUUACCACCCACGUGGACCUUGUGGAGCACAGGACACAAAGUUACCAAACCAAUAAGAACAAUAAUUAACACAGUAAAACUCCCACAUACAGUCAGCAAGCCCCUUGCUGAAUUACCAUCAUAGCAAAAAAGUAGCAAAAAGCUAAUUUUACAAAAUCAUAUCAUCCAUGCUUUUUAAAUAAUAAUUAGACUGUAUGUAGCUAGCAUAUUAUUGGUAUAUCGUUCUUAAUUUGAUGUGGUGCAAAAUAAUGCAAGUUUCCAAAUAAAAAAGUUAGAUUACUUGAAUCAGUGCAGAGAUUCAUCUUUAAAUUAGGGGCUACAUUUACAUUAUGUCUCCUCCUACAGGGUUCAGUUUUGCAAAUACUGAAUGUAACGGAGCUCCUAGUACUCCAACCGAUUACCUCUGUUGAUGGAUGCUCCUAGUGCUUCACGAGGACUCCAAGCACUCCACUUGACACCAUCAGCACUGCAGACCGAACUUCUCUUCCUGCAGAGAGCGACGCUGGAACAAGCUCUUAAAAGAGCUCAGUGAUUAUAGCUAGGGGAGUAUGUAGGGUAUAGCAAUCCCCCAGUGUAGAUGCAGUCGUAUGUUGAAGGUCAAACAGGAACAGACAGAGCUGUGGUUUUAUUGUUCUUAUACACACAUUUUGACACAAUAGUACCACCCACAGUGUUUUGUAGAACAGCCAAUCAAACAUGUAAUAUACAGUAAAACACUCAUUCAUUCAUUCCCACAAAAUCCUCCUCUCUGUCUGUGAUAUAAUUACUGAACACAAUGGGUUAAUGUAAUUAUCACAGGCAGGAAAAAUAUACUUUUUACAUAUUUACUAUAACUUUAAAACUAUACAUCCAAUCUUCACAAAAGUGAAUCAGCAUACUUUAAAUAUAAACAUAUCCAAAAUUCAGGCCAUUCCUUCCAGGGGUUAAAAAGUUAGCUGGAAGUCCUUUGUGACCAACUGCAAGCACAUUUUCAUGCCCAAAACAGUUCCAUGGAUUUAGGCUGUGUGGUCGGUCAAUAUCACACUGAAAAAUGACUAAGUCCCAUUCGAACGUGGGUUCGAAUAGCCGAAUGGGACUCAAUGGAGGAGAAGGUAAGGGUCAGCGGUGUUCGUUGAAAUGUGUAGCCGAUUUCAGUUCCAUGAAUUUGGUUGCACACACACCGCUGACCGCGUUUAAAUGAAUAAAGAUGGCCGCUGCCACAUGUUUGUUUGUACGAACGGUGGCCACCCUGCGGUCGGCAAUUUACCUACAGCAGAUUCCCAGCCUAUGCAAUACUUGGUUCGGUAUGCCCCAUUUACUGAACCAAGUGGAAAAAAUCCAUGCACACAGGAUUUUAACAGUCUGGGUACACUGGGGACAACGUCUUAAAGGGGCAUUGCCCCAAACAAGUCUCAAUAUGCCCACAGACGGUUUUUAAAGGGCCAUAAUCCAGAGACAGCAGGCCAGCAACCAGGCUUCUCCAGUGCCCAGUGGCGAGGUUAGUUUCGCCACACUGAACUGCAUUUUUUUAUUUCAGAAAUGUUACAUAUAUUUGUUCCAUUUUAAAAUAAACAUUUUGACUUUGCAUAAUAAGGGCAAAAGCAUGCAUAUUUGACUUAAAAUUGUAAUAUUUUUACAGUGGAUUAUUACAAUUAUUGUUACAGCUACAAGUGUAUUACCUACAAAAUAUAAAGCAAUAACUUAGAAAAUUAUAAAAACAUUUCCAUAUUGUUGGAAAAUUGGGGAAAACAUUUGGUAACGCAACAGAAGCACCAGUUUUAUACAUUCAAGGUAAGAAACCUAAAAGUGUAUUAAAAAGUCAUAGAACUGGUGCAUGAUUUACUAGUUAACAUUAGGAAAUAUGUUAAAAAAAAUUCAAGCAAGUCUGGUGUGAAUGAGACCUCAGGCAGUAACAAAAUAGAGCUCUCUCACCCAGAGGCAUAACUUGAAACCACGGGGCUCCGGUGCAAAAAUUGCCCUGGGGCGCACCCAUAUGUCUACCCACCGCUACCCCCCAUAUGUCUACCCCCUAUACGUCUACCCUCCCCCUCCUGUACGUUUCCCCCCCACACUUGCAGAGAAACAAAUACACAUGCAGACACACACAUAUAUACAGAGACACAUACACACAUAAAGGUUAACAUACAUACACACACAUACAUACAAACACACACACACACAAACAAACAUGCACACACUUACAAACACAGAGACACAUAUAUACAGACACAAACACAGACAAAUUCAUUCAGACACACAAACAUAGAAACACACACAUAUACAAAAUGUUUUAGUUACCCUCCUGUUUCCUACCUUUUAGAUGCAGAAGGGUGGGGUCCAGUGGUGGCUCAGCCUGAUGGUAGUCAGAGAUCCCACUCUUACACCCUCCUUUCCUUCCUCCCGUGUGGCUCCUGGUGUAAGCUGGGAUGAGUGACUGUGGCAGUCACUUUCAACCACCGCUGAUAGCAUCACAGGGGGCCCGGUCGGGCUGUUAAAGCGUCACAGCACUGACCGAGCACCCUGGAAAUUAAUUUCCAUCAGGUGGCCCUACUAGCAUGGGCCACCCAAUGGGCUCCUUAACGUGCGGCCCCAGCAGGUCUACCGCAUGGGUCAAGGGGUGGGGGAUUCAGGGAGACAGCACUAAAGGACAUUGGGGGGGACAGCAGUAAGGGAUACUGGGAAGAGAUUGGGGGAGACCACUAAGGGAAAGAUGGGGAAGGCGGGUGAGGAGAGACCAAUAAGGGAAAGAUGGGGAGGGCUUAGAGAGAAGCACUAAGGGAAAGAUGGGGUGAGGAGAGACCACUAAGGAAAAUAAAAUGGGGGAGACCACUAAGGGAAAGAUGGGGGGGAAGACCACAAAGGGAAAGAUGGAGGGGGAGACCAAAAAGGGAAAGAUGAGGGGGGGAGAGACCACAGAGGGAAAUAUGGGGGGGAGGAGAGACCACUAAGGGAAAGAUGGGGAGGAGGGAGACUCUAAGGGGCAGGGGGAGGGAGAGCACUAUACUAUGAGAAUGGGGCCAGGGUGCAGGUGAGAGCACUAAGGGGCAUGGGAAGCAUUAAGGGGUAGGGGGGAAGAGGAGAGCAAUAAGGGACAGUAGGGGAGAGGAGAUCACUAAGGGACAGGAGGGCAGUGGAGAGCACUAAGGGACGGGGGCAGGUGAGAUCACUAAGGGGCAGGGGAGAUCACUAAGGGAUGGGAGAGCACUUUGGGAUAGGAGGGAAGGGGACAACACUAAGGGACAGGAGGGGAGGGGAGACCUUUAAGUGCACAAUCCACACCUUGGUUUACAGAAAACCCACAGACAGGUGCAGUUAGCUUCACAGCUCUAGCUUCCACCCCUCCCAUACUAAACAGGGUAUCAUUUACAGCCAAGCCACUUGGUACCAUCACAUAUGCUCUGAUCCUAAUGACCGUAAUUCCCAUGUAAAUGUACUUUCCUAUUCCAUGAGACAGAAAGGCUACAAACCAAAACCUAUGCCACUUGUGGUCACUUACAACCCAGCUCUUGAGAAAAUACGGAAAAUCAUUAAAGACCUACAACCAAUGUUAACAGAAGAUGAGACUCUGAAAAACAUUUUCUCUGAAACACCCAUUUUGGCCUUCUAAAAACCACCAAACCUUCAAGAAAAAUUAAACAGGAAGCUACUCACUGAUGGGAAGAAUAAAGAAAACGGGACCAGUCAAUGCAAAAAACCUCACUGCAAACUGUGUCAGCGCAUAUGCACAGACAACACAGCCACACAAAACAAUAAAACUUACAGCAUUAAAGGUUCAUACUCCUGCACAUCCAGCAAUGUGGUAUACAUGAUUUAAUGAACCAAAUGCCACCUAGGAUGCUACACUGGGGAAACCACCUGUGACGAGACCAAUCUCGCCACAUUGCAUUGGAGAAGCCUAUUUGCCAGCCUCCUUCCACAUGACUAUGGCCCCUGGGAGAUGGUGAAAACGUAUGCACUUUUAUUGGGUGUGUAUGGCCCUUUAAGACAGUCAGUGGGCAUAUUGUGGCUUAUGGACUCUUUAAGGGACUGGUGCUGGCCCUUUAAACACCUUUUUGGGACAUCAGGAAGAUUGGGACACUGCCCCUUUAAGACGGUGUCCCCAGACUUGUUUGGGACACAGCCCUUUUAAGACGAUGUCCCCUGUGUCCCCAGACCUGGUUAAAACUCUUUGUGCCUGGCUAUUUCCCACUUGGUUCAGUAAAUGGGGCUUACUGAACCAAGUACCAAACAGGCAGACCACCCAGAAGUGGAAGUGUGCAGGCAAUUUACCUCCCAGAAGCUGCGGCUACCGCAGCUUAAUUGACAAUGCUGGGUGGCCUUUGUUCGUUUGCAGAACACGUGGCGGCGGCCAUCUUUGAUCAUUCGAACGAGGUCAGCGGUAUGUGUAGCCAAAUUCAUGUAACUAAAAUCGGCUACACAUUUCCGCGAACACCGCUGAGCCCUACCUUCUCCCAUACUGAUUUUACAGCCGCAGAGACUAAGUCCCAUUCGGCGAUGGGACUUAGUAGUUUUUUCAGCCUGAAAUAGACCGGCCGCACAGCCCAAAUCUAUGGAACUGUUUUGGGCAGGAAAAUGUGCUUGCGGUCGGUCAUAAAGGGACCUCCAGCUAACUUUUUAACCCUUGGAUGGAUUUGGCCGAUUUUUGGUUAUGUUUAUGUUUAAAGUGUGCUGAUUAAUAGUAUGUAAGUUUUAUUAAUAUUGGAAGUGUAGUUUUAAAGUUACAGUGUAUGGAUAAAAAUUGUAUUUUUACUGCCUGUGUUAAUUAUGUUAAACCAUUGUGUAACAUAAUUAUAUCUCAGGCAGAGGGGAGGAUUUUUUGUGUAAUUGCUGGGAGUGUUUCUGUAAUGUACGUUUAUGAUUGGUUGUUGUGUAAAACCCUGUGGGUGGUACUAAUGUGUAUAUAAGGACAAUAAACCCACAGCUCUGUCUGUUCAUUGCUUGACCCUCAACACGGAGCUUUGUCUCGUUCUUGGGGGGAUUAACUGUAUGCUGUUCCAGUUUGACUGCUAGGAGUGUAAACCUUUUCGUAUGGUUUUUCCUAUUCAGCUGUUUACAGCAUUCGUAUGGUUUCCUGUUCGACGGAUUGGUGUUCUGCAGUAGCUGUGCCUGUGUCUCUGGAAGGGAAGAUCUACUAAACGGCGGUUUAGCCCUUUUAUGCCUGGGGGUGCCAUUACACCACCCAACAAUUAAAUGUCAGAAUGAAUAUGCACAGACACUCCAUUAAACACCAAAAAGAAGAAUCGUACUGCACUCCUGUGGGACACCACUUUACCCAGCCUGGCCAUUCAACGAAGGACCUAAAAAUCUGAAAGGGGUUUUUAAAAAUACCCAAGAAAGAAAAACUUUUGAAGCCAAAACAAUCAAAAUGUUUAACAGAAAGAAUUAGAGGACUAAAUAUUGAUUUGGGUUUCCUGUCCCACUACCAACACGUUACAUGAACACUCCCCCAAGAUUAUCUUACUAUUCUGUUAAAUGUAUCAACAUUUUAAAAUGCAUUCCAAUAUGUUUAUUCUAUCAAUAUACAAAGUUCUUUGUGUAGACCUAUUGUGGCGAAAGCCACUUCGCCACUGGGGUUUGGAGGGGACUACUUGCCAACCGUUUACCCUGUGACUAUGGUCCAUUUAAAUUAUUAUGGUUAAAAAACCCUAUUUGUACUUAUUAUGACUUUGGACAAUAAUUAUUCCAACUUUCGAAGCGGAACUUUGAACUCACGUAGCCAUUUGAAGUGUCAUUCGACCACGUAGUGGCGGCCAUCUUGUUUGCAUGGACCAAAACCACAAAUAGACUUCAGGGGGACUUAGCUGCGAAUGCCCUGGAACUAUUUUUGGCAUGGAAACCUCAUGGUUCACGGUCGGUCCUCCAGCGGCACUUAGCCGCGAUUCUAUGGAACUGUUUUGGGCAUGGGACCAUGCCUGCACCUGGGCAAAACUAUGGCUUUCCAUUUCUGAACCCCUGAUCUGAUCUAGGUGAUUUUUGGAUAUGUUGCUCACCCAGAUCAGGGCUAUCAGGGGAUGUAGUGUUUAGGGGGUACUUAUGAGACUUUGUAAAAAUCUGUUUUUUUUGCCUGGAAUUAAUUGGGUUAAUACAGUAUCUGACUCAAUUAUCUCACAGGCAAAGGGGAGGGAUUGUAUGCUUGUUAUUGGAGUGUCGUACAUUCAAUAACUGUUUUUAUUGGUUUGUUAACUUGUGUCCCUGUGCCCAACAAGGUCCAUGUGGGUAUCACCCUUGUUGGGAAACUUGCAUGAAAGGCCAGUGUGGCUCCAUUAAAACUGAGUUCCUGCUUAAUCCUCAACAUGUAGCUUGGUCUCGUGAUUGGAGGGGAAUUGCUAUAUUCAAACUGGGGAUUGCUAUACUCCUUAUACUUCCCUGGGUUCUAAUCACUAGCUCUUGUAAGAGCUGUUCCUGCUACGCUCUCUGAAGUAGGAGAGGUCCUUCCCACACGGCCCUGGAUAUCCGAGGUUGAUCCAGGGUGGGAGGAAGACGGCAAGAUCCCAGCUAAGCUACGUUGGUUGUGGAGUCUGUGGUGCUUGUGGUGUCCGGUGCAGUGCUUAUGGUCCUCAGCAUCAGUUAGGAAGCAUUUGUUGGCAGAGGUGCCCGGUAGGGGUGCCAGGUGAUCCGUCACAUUGGUGGCAGAAGUGGGAUGGCUUCCUAGCCAUGGAAAACCAGAACUACCUCAGUGAUGAGGCAAGUACCGUUGUGUAGUAUGCAGCAGCAACACCCAGCUUCGGCAGCAGUUACAGGUUCAGCAGAGUUUGGAUUACACUCUUUCAGCAGAGAAAGAAUUGGAAUGGAGGGUGACGCUUCAAAUAGAACUCUGGGUGGAGGCCUUAGGAGAAAUCUCCCCAGAUUCCAACCAACACAGAUGGGACCAAUUCCACCUGAGGGUGCAGUUUCCGGGGGAGCAGCCCCAGGAGGAGUGGGUAAGAGAACUAGACGGUUAGUCGGAAUCGAGGUAUGGUUAGACAAAUCAUACCAGUUCUUACGGUGGCAUGCAGACGACCUCUACCCAGGACUACUCCCCUACCAGCUCCUCAUAGGAAAGGACUAUGUUGGGCCUGGGCUGUUGUGGGGGGCCUUUGAGGAUCCCCUGGGGUUUGAAAACCUGGACAGUACCCACUACGAGCGUAUCCGGAAAGACAGUUUGGGGAUUACAUUGGUGGCAGAAUUACAACUGGAUCAGUCCUACCUGGUUGGCCUGGAGAGCAAGCUCGAACACGACUUUGCUCGCUUGCUCCAAAGUGUAACACCACCUGUCUCUGACAUGAUGGGGCUUAUGGACUGCAUACCACCGGGAAUGUUGAGUUUCGUCCUUCCUCCCCAGUGGCAGAGUACAGUACAGAGAGCAGAAAGAGUUUACUUCUGGGAUUUGCCGAGUGCCGGGUCUAAGCUCUGCUUUCUGAUGACAUUUCAGUGACGCAUUUUGACCCGCCUCUUUUCCUUUGGGCUUCAUCAGACAAUUCCCAUCUCUCCCUCCUCUGGCUUUUAAGUCUCUUAACUCCGCCUCUGCUGUUCUCCUAUGUUGUUCAAUAAAUAGUGACUAUGGUGGAGUUGGAGAUUUUUUUCCUAGUCACUUUUUGAUUGAAUUUUGCAAUUUGUUUUUCAAUAGCUUACAAUUUAGCAUUUAAUGAAUAAAGCCCUGCAUGUCUCUAGUAUUUCAAAAACCAAUAUACUGACCUUUGAAAUUGUGAUUAUUUCACAGACAUUUUUCUGUAUUGUACUAUCAUUCAGCAAAUAUUCUUAAUUAAAUUGCCUUUUUUAGGUAUAAAAAAGUCUGAGAUAGAAAAAUUAGCUUAAUUUUAUUUCUUUUUUACGUUGGCCAUUUUGGCUUACAAUGUGUUUUUAUCUGGCUUAUCCCAGCUGUUCCUAGUUUAGUGAAUAAACCCUGUUAAUGAAUAGAAGUUUCCACUUCUGCAUGGGAACUCCAAGAUUACUUUUAGUGAAAUGCAAGAAAAGUUCUCUGGAGCUCUCUAAAACAUGGACUGGUUAUAAAGUCACACAAGGUUCAAGAAAGACUUAUGUACAUCAUUCAUUGGUCGUUGAUCAUUCAUAUGCCGGAGAUCCAAAAUAAGGCAAAAAAAACAAACAAACAGUUGCAACCAUUUACAACUAUGACACAUAAAGGGAAAUAAAUCCUUCUUGAUUCAAUAAUAGCAAUCAGAUUGUUCAAGUUUUAGAACUGUGACAAUAUUAUAGUAUGUUAUAGCAAGAAUAGAGCAAUAGCCUUUGUUUUGGUCUUUUCACGUAGAUUGGCUGUGGUUAAUAGUAUAGCCUUACUGUUAUAUCAUCUAGGAUUGGUUCACAGUCAUAUAAAGCAUUUGUCUCUUCUUAAAUGGUUAUAACAUGGUUUAAUGUACUCCUGUACAUAUUUGAUGUUGUAGGUUAUCUGAACAAUGGUCCAAACUAAAUAGCCUAGUUUAUCGAGCUUUCUAAUAAUUAACACACCUGAGAGUAUUUGGCUCAGCAGUCUCACAGCAAUAAUAUAAUUCCUUGUAUAAUGCAAUUUCCAGUAAGUACCUAGUGAGCAUUUGCAUGUUAACAAGACUCUGUUAGUUAUACUUUGUGCUAACUUUUGAUAAGGAUCUAUCCUAUAGUUUAGCAGAGCUCCCUAUGCUUUUUUGUCAUUGUUGCUAAUCCAUUUCUACAUAUCCAAACAUCUAAGUUUCCAGACCUGCACCUGAUAACACUUUACCACCAUGCCCCCCGAAUUAGUUACACCACAGGAUGGUUGUUGUCAAUUAAGUCAGUGUUCUGUAGAAGGAAAAAAACAUUUAUGCAAUCCAUUGGAUUCAUCAUUGCGAAGGACGUGUAAGGGAUGCAGGAUAUCCUUUUUGCAGCGAUGAGUUGAUGCUCCUUUCACAGCAAAGCCUAAAGGAUCCUAAGUCUUCCAUAAGCAAUUUUCUCUGCUCUAGCAUUCCAGUUAGUUUUGAUAAAAGCUGUGGAACAUUGUCUACUGGGAAUAAUUCUCAAACCAUGCAAGGGAUUAUGACAGAGUGAAGAGUAACAUGGAACAUCUGCUCAGUCUAUCGCAAAUUAAGUUUUAUUUCAUAACCAUUUUGCUAGCAUGUACUAUUUUAAAGCCUAUAAUUUUGGAAUAAGAAGUUCUUGAGCAUGUAACCACAUACAUAAGAUAUUUUCAAGAAAAGUAGCAGUCAGGUGAACAAGAAAUGAAUGUAAAAAAAAGUUUAGUUAAAUGAUCACUAUAGGGUCAGGAACACAAACAUAUAUUCCUGAGCCUAUAGUGUUAAAACCACCAUCUAGCCCCCCUGGACCCCUCAUGCCUCCAUAAAUAUAGCAAAAUGUUACUGUAUUCAAGCCAGAAGCUGUAACUCUGCAUGCUGUUUGCCUAAAAAAAAACAAGCAGUCUGCUGACAUCAUCAGAAUUGGUGGCCUGAUCCAAUCACAAUGCUUCCCCAAAGGAUUGGCUGAGACUGACAAGGAUUCAGAUCAGGGGCAGAGCUAGCAUGAUUCAAACACAGUCCUGGUCAAUCAGCAUGAAUCUCUAUGAGGAAAGUUCAGUGUCUGCAUGCAGAGGGAGGAGACACUGAAUGUUUGGGUGCAUUUUAGGCAGCCAUGACCCAGGAAGGAUCUCUAACAGCCAUCUGAGGAGUGGCCAGUGAAGUUAUCACUAGGCUGUAAUGUAAACACUGCAUUUUCUCUGAAAGAAUGGUGUUUACAGCAAAAAGCCUGACGGUAAUGAUUCUACACACCAGAACAAAUUCAAUAAGCUGUAGUUGUUCUAGUGACUAUAGUGUCCCUUUAAGUUCAAGGAUACCAGAAGAAGGGGAAGUCAAAAUACAAGACAAAGUCAAAUACCAAAAAGAACUAGAAAAAGAAUGCACUCUCUGACAACAAACUAGUGGAAACAAUGACAGGGCACUGACAAAAUUAUAUUUUUGGUUUAAAUAACCCUCUUGAGGUUGUAAUUGGCUGUACCUGGCCUCUGACACCAACACAUGCGUGCGCGUCUAUGAUGUGAUGUCGCACGCACUUGCCGCCAUAUUUGUUGUGGGCGCAGAUAAGUUUCCUAUUUAAACCAGAACGCAGAGGCCGGUGUCCCUAAGAACGAUCGAGAGGGGAUAGGGCAGUGUUCUGCUGCAACCUGGGUAAGUAUAAACCCUUUCCGUCGGCAUGGCUGCUUUGUUUAUUUGCAGCCACGCCGACUAAAGAGCCGGGAGACGUGACUGUAUAGUUUUUUUCUCAAGGGGAUCAGAUAAAAAAUAACUAAGAAGCUAAAAUCUUGAAGCAUGUAAAGGAAUAAAAAGAAAACAAUAAAGUGUGUAAUUAAUUCAACUAAGUGAAUUAAAUAAAUGUAAUAACCUGUUCGAACACAAAACUUAAUACCACAAGUUUUCACCCUGCGAAGCUUCAAUUAUAUAUGCUUUUCUUCACAAUUCAAUAAUGCCUUGUUGCUUUUGAAUUAGAUAAAACCAGAUUAUAAAGUCCAUUGAUAUAGUGUAAGGGUUUUAUUAUAAUUGCUAAUAGCAAAAUUUUUGACAGCAGAGUCGUGUGAAAAAAGAAAUCUCAAAAAUAAUUAAUGGCAAAUAUUUCGUCUUUGGAAUUUGAGGACUCUGCUUAAAGGAGCUUAAAGUGUACUUUAAAGAAAGAAGGGUAUAAUUAAACGGAAGUUAAAAAUACAAUGUAAGAAAUGGUAGAUUGCAAAGUGUACAAUUAAUGUAUGUAAUGAUAUACAAAAAUUAAAUAAGAAUGCAACAUAUAACAGUAGCAUUAGCAUUAAAGGAACACUAAAGGCACUAUAUGUCAGUGAAGUGAUCUGGGUGUGGUGGUCUUACCAUUUUAACCCUGCAAUUUAAAACAUUGCAGUUUUUUUUAGAGACUAUAGUGAUUACAUUGCAGGGUUAAAUCCACCUCUAGUGACUGUCUUCCUGACGGCUACUAGAGGUGCUUUCUCCUUCAGACUGAGUAAAACUUAGUCUGGGAAUCAAAUGCUGUCUGAUUUGAGGAAAGCUGGUUUUGCCGCACAAUAUUAGUUCCAAUUCAUUGCUUCUUUAUGGAAUGCAAUUGAUUGGAGGAGAUUGUGGAUUAUGUCAUCUUGGAUGUUGACACCACCGAUAAAGAAGCUGAAGGCUGCUGCUAAGCAGUCCUGGCACUGGACAGAAGGGAACCUAUAGUGCAAAGACAAUAGGUUCCCUUUAAAGAGGGGUUAUAUGUUUUAAAUCAAAAGAAGGAUGUGUUCUGCACGGUUAGACAGCCGUUAGGAAAGUAAUGUUAACAAGCUAAACCAUAAUCAGAAUAACAUUUUAUCAGGCAUUGUAGAGCUUUAUAUAUCUACAGCAUGCAAAAAAAAAAACUUUAUAAAACAAUUUUGUUCUAUGGCAUUCCAUUAUUUUGAGAAAUGCUGAACAUAUUGCUUUUUAAACCUUGGUUGCUGGAGGUAUGAAUUCACCUCCGGCAGCAUCAUGGGGUGUUAUCAGAAUGCCCAGAACAAAAGUUCCAGCCUGAGUAAUGUCAAUUCUGUGCAUAUUUAGAUGCACACACACUCAUUCAUGACUGAGAUCAGUCAGCAACUCUGCUAAGGCCGGGUGUUGUACACCCUUUUUCAGAGGAGACCAGAUGCCCAGCAGGACCAGGUAAGAGGGCAAACCAUCGUAAAAUAUUGGGAAUAACUCCAAGGCACUCCUACCAUACCUACAGUUGGCUGUAGCCUGUAGUAGUAUUUUUUUUUUUCCUCACACUAGUUUUGGCUUUUUUUCAUAUUGCACCUUACUCCCUUUCACUAUUGUGGAGUUUUACAGGUAUUAUUUAUUCAAGAUGCCUCUGAUUAGUGCCCUCAUAACUAGUGUCUGCCAGAUCAUCAUAUCUUCCAAGUCAGAUAUAGUGAGAAUGUCAUGUUUGGCAUUCAAUUGGUCAUCUCUUAUUAUCUUUAGGAGUACUUCCACAAAAGUGGUCUGAAGUUUCAUGUUUUCUAUUUUGGGGACGUAACAUUACAUUCAUAUAGUUAAUUUUUCUUUCUAUUAUCUAUAGAAGAAUGUGGUUUCCCUCCUUUUUUAAGGAACAUGAUAAGAAGACCUUUCAACAGAUUUUUUUUUGUAAUUUUUGUUCUUUAUUCUGUAAAUCAGGAAAAGCUCAUCUAAUUGUAUUUGCUAUCAUGGAUAAUAACAUGGAAAAUAAUAUGCUGUCCUCAAUAAUAUGUUUAUUUUAGAAAGGGCUUCUAGGGUUAUCGAUCAGAUUUACAUGGAGAUUUAAACACACAAUAUUAAGUUAUGUGCUCAAAUGACCACUACUCUUGGGUGACAGUAAUGGCUAUUGUAUCCAUCAGCCCAAAUAUAUAGUACAAAACCAAAAAAAUGUUCCCUGGGCACUAUCCCAAAUCAUUUUGCAUAAUUAAAUAUUAGGAAUUUUAAGGUAAUUAAAAUGUAAGGUUGAGGAGGCGCGGCCUGACUGUCAUGGAGGGAAGAUGUGCCUAGCUAGAGCUCCCUAAAAAUACUGACAAAAAUGGCUAAAAAGGAGGGGCGGGGCUGAUCGGUCACAGGAUUUAAGCUUGUAAAUCGUGAUUUUCAGUGCUUCUGCGCCUCAUGUUGUGUUGGAUAGGCAGUUACACUCAACCUCAUACCAGCGUUACUCGCCAACAGUUCCUACUGUUUUACCUAAUUCACUCCGCAGGCCCAGAUUAUCCGCCUGACCUGCCGUUUUAAGCGCAGUCUAACUGAUGAGACAUCAUUACCUAGCCUGUAUUACUCUUGUUUUAACAUUAUCAACUUAAAUUUGUUAUGUGUCUUACAAAUUUGCUUGAGGAUUGCCAUCGGGGUACCUCACACAUGUACUACAAAAAAAAAUGUAAGGUCAUCUGUCCGUCAAGCCACUACACUAACAAUUCACUUUCCUGCUUUCACUUAAAAGGCAUAAUAUUACAUGAGACAGAAAGGGGAAUUCUUAACAUUAAAGUGUAAAGUCAUCUACCCCAUCAAGGCAUUAAACCAAGCAUGUCAAACAUGUGGCCCACGGUGAAGGGCUGCUUUCAGCUGUAGCUGCGACCAGCAAGACAGGAAAAAUAUUUCCGGAUUCUUGCUCUCCUGGCCACAAGAGGGUAGAGUGGCGCUGUAUCUGCUGAGCAGACCAGAGCAGCCAUUCCCCAUUCCCUCCUGCUUGCAGUGCAAGAGGGGUGUCUGGCCUGCUUCAGCAGAGCUAGAGCUGGAACUGAAGAACGGACAGCAAACUGUAAGGUAGGAGAAGAGGGGCAGUGUAUUAAUUUGAGGGAAGAGGCACUGUUUUAAUUUGAGGGAGGUGUAUUAAUCUGAAGGAGGGGGCAUUGUAUUAAUUCGAGGAUGGGAGGGGGCACUCUUAAUUUGGAGGAGGGAGGGGGCACUCUUAAUUUGGAGGAGGAAGGGGGGCAGUGUAUUAAUUUAAGGGAGGGAGGGGGCCAGUGUGUUAAAUUAGGGGUAGGGCAGUGCAGAGUGGUAGUGGUGGUGGUGGUGGAGGGGGUCAGUGUGUUAAAUUGGGGAGGGCAAUGUAUUAAUUUAAGAGAGGGAAGGGGCAGUGUAUUAACAUCGGGGAGGGAAAGGGCCAUUGUAUUAAAUUGGGGAAGGGGGGGCAGUGUAUGUAUUUACAGAAGGGGCCAGUGUAUUAGAGUGGUGGGGGGGCAGUGUGUUAAAUUGGGGGGAGGGAGGGCAGUGUAUUAAAGUAGAGUGGUGGGAGUGGGGGCAAUCUAUUCAAUUAGAGUGUAUUAGAUUAAGGGACAAUGUAUUAGAUUGGGUGAAGGGAGCAGUGUAUGGUGGAGUGAAUGAGUGGAGGGAGGAGGGGCAGUGUGUUGGGUUUAGGGGCUAUGUAUUGGAUUUGAGGGCAGUGUAUUAGAGUGGGAGGAGGGGCAGUGUGUUAGAUUGGGUAUGCGAAUGCAUUUCUUAAAAAAAAUUUUGCUCUUGUUUAUUUUGAAGCCCUACGGCGCAAGGCCAUCCAGUGUCAUUUAGGCAACAUUUUUUAUACUGUACUUUUCUAAAUAAACCUAUGUUUCUAUGGAAACUGAAGUUUGUUUGUGUUUGCUGCCCACAUAAAUGUAAACCUUGUUUAUUUAGCUUGUCUUAGUCUUUGAGUUUGACAUGCUUGCACUACACCAACAAUUCACUUUGCUGCUUUCACUUAAAAGGCAUAAUAUUUCAUGAGACCGAAAGGGGCAUUCUUAAGAACCCAUACACACUUAUUAAGAUGUAAUUAGGGUCCCUGGAUUUGGAAAUGUAAAUCAAAGAUUAUAUGGGAAUGUAUAUUAAUAUGACAUUAGGUUAAAUCAUGUAUAUCUAAAAUGCUAAAAGUCAACUAUAAAUGGUGGUUACGUUCUCUUCCUAUUAUACAGCAUGUAUUUUACAUUUUAGCAUUUCAAAUAUCUAAGUACUGAAACUAUAACAUUUGGCAUAUUUAUUUUUGAUUGGGAAGUUAGAAACUGCAUUUUGUUUGUAGACCUUACAUUGCCCAGUUUCCAUAUUAAAAUAUUGUGUGCUCCAUUUUUAUCAUGUAGAGUAUGGUGACAUGAGAAAUUACCAUUCCUUACUAUAUAUGAUAAUGUAUAAAAUGAAAUUCUGCAAAUAAAUUAUUUUUCAGCAAGAAUUUGUGUAUUUUAAAUCACUGGUCCAACAUUUUUUGUGAUUUAGGUCUGGUGGUUUAUUAUGUUGAUAAUUUUAAUUCGGAAAAACAAUAUCCCUUUUUAAACUGCAUGACCUUUCAGUAUUUAGAUUUUUUUUUUUUUUUUAAAUCAUCUGCUUAAUUGUGUAAUGUACGAUUUGUAUGCACCAGUUGUGUAUUAUCACUGUAAAAAUGAGCUGUCAAGAGAAAUGUGAGCCAUCUUAUCUACACAGAGACACAAGAGGAAAUUAAUGUUUGAUUGACAAGUAGAUUAUCCAUUUUAGACUUAUAGUCUGUACAGUUCAUACAGAAUUCCAGUUUUAUUAUUGCUUAUAGUAGUAAUCUUCCGUGAUCUAAUUACAAUGAAUGUUAAAUAAGAUAAACAUUUUGAUUUGUUCUGAAUUAUUAUUGCAAGUGGCAGCUGUACAAGUCAUGGCUUUAACCUUUAAGGUAGAAUACAUUAAAAAUCAUUAUAAUUGUAAUAACAAUCUUUAAAGGUAUAUAUGCAAAGAGUAAAUAAGAAAAUAUCCUCUUUUGAAAAAUAUAUUUCAGCUUUACUUUUUUGUCAUUUUAUCAGGCCUGCAUUUUAUCAUAUUUAACAAAAAAGUAAACCCAGUUGUAUUUAUGUAAUCAAUCUAAAUGAACCUUAAUAAUAAAAAAAAUUAAAAAAAAUACCAUAUUCAAGACUAAUUUAGUUUUUAAUUACAUAUAUGACAGAAAAAAAAUGAAUUAAGUUUAGUUGAGAGUUUGCGCCAAUACAACAUUAUUUCAGUUCAACGUAACAUUGUGUAAAGGUUUGCAUAUAAAUUACAUCCAUUCACAUUGUUACAGUAGGUUUUAGGUCUUGUGUUUUGCUGCUCAAAAUAAAGAUAUAGGUUGCUCCACUCGUGUUCAAUGUGGAUCUUAAGUUUACAUUACCAAUUAAUCAUUAUAAAUUGUAUUUAACAAAGUACAGGUUAAUACAUUGUCUUCAGUGUGGAUUUUCUAGGUGUCUGGAGGUGAGAGGGUGGAGGGGACGGGCAUGGGGGUGAAAUGUUAACCUUAUAGCAUUCCUCCUGAUUUAGGUCAGUGUUGUGUUGGCUAUAUUGUGAGGUUCUUGAGGUAAUAGCACUGAGGUUGCCAGGUAGAUAUGUAGGUGAGAUAUUUAUCAGUAAUGGAAUUGUAAGUUUCCUCUAGGCCCCUAGUCGUUUGGACUCUUUGUAUCCAUUCACGAAUGGAGGGUGAGUUUGGGUGUUUCCAUAGUGCAGGGAUGAGUUGGUUCGCUGCGGAUAUUAGAUGAAUUAGUAGGUCUUUUUCAGUUUAGGUGUGUCUUGGGGAGGAGUCAGGAAGAUACAGAGUUCUGGAGUGAAUGGGAUGUGCGUGUUCAGAACAGAUUGUAUCAGGCCAUGUAUUCGUUUCCAGUAGCUGUUAAUUACUGGGCAGCUCCACCAGAUGUGUGCUGUGUUGCCUUCGGGUGCCUGACACCUCCAACAAUGGUGUGAGAGUGUCAGAAAGAGGGCUUUAGUUUUGUAGGUGUGUAAUGGUGUGACGAAGUGCCCUUCACCACUUGUGCCUGGAGAGGACUAAUUACCAGCCUCUUGCCGUAUGACUAUGGUCCCUGGUAGAUUUUGUCAGUUAGAAACACCAUUUGGACUUAUUGGUAUUUUAAAAGACUGUUCUGGCCCUUUAAAUGGUACUGGCACAGUUCUGCAACUUCCAAUAACUGUCAUAUAUUCAAACACUGACUGAACUUAACUGUCAUUUUGUUUUCCUCUGAGGAGGAGUUGUUUUGCUGCCUGUUGCUUUUGUGUGCUCAUAAAACCUGCUUGACCCUUUCUUGAAGCCUUGGUUCAUGCUUGGGGGAUGGGAUAAGUCUGCAGUGCUGAUGGUGUCGGUUGGAGUGCUUGGAGUCCUCGGCAAGCACUAGGAACAUCGAUUGGCGGAGGUACUCGGUCGGAGUGCCAGCGGGUCCAUCACAAAUGCCAUCUCACUAUCGUUUUGUAAUUACUCUCUUGAGUUAUUGUAAUUCGUGAGGAUCUGUGGAUUUGCUUAAAUACAAUACGCCAGGUUUCUGGUGGAAUGGAUGUAUUGAGUUAUUUUUCCCAUGAUGUAGUGAACGCUGGUGGGUGGUGUGGUUGAGUCUUUGCUAUGGUGAAGUACUUUGUUGAAAUAACUUUUUUCUUUAGGGUAUGUUCCUUGCAUAUUUGUUCAAAUUGUGUUCGAGUGUGGAAUGGUUUGUGGGCUAGCGGAUCAGUAUGUAUGAAGUGGGUGAGUUGUAUAUAUUGAAAUUUUUGUAUCGCAUUUUGCCCAUCUGUGAUGACAUCUGUUCUUCCGUGUAGUCUAUGAUACCCUCUAGUGGCAAGUAGUCUGAGUUGUGAUAAUUCCAACCCGUCUUCCCCAGAUUGGAAUAGUGGGUUGUGGAUACGUGGGUAUAGCGGGGAAGGUAAGGGGAUAUCAGAUGGUGUGGUCUUAGUUUCGCCCACAUGCGGAGUGUCGGUGAGAUAGUGGGGUGGGGAAUGUGCAUGAGGAGCUUAUGUCCUGUUUUGUGCCAAGGUAUUGUGCUCCAAAGAAUGUAUCUUUUAUUUUUACCCAUUGAGUGGUGGAGUGUGGGAGUGUCCAGUCAUAUAUUCUAGUUAGGAGGACUGCCCAUAUGUAUGUUGUGAAUGUUUUUCGAACCAUUGUGGUUCAAGACUUAGGUAACGUGAUUGGUAGUACUUGAAGUAUAUAUAGUUGUGACGAGACCAAUCUCGCCGCAUUGCAUUGGAGAAGCCUGGUUGCUCGCCUGCUGCCUCUGGACUAUGGCCCCGUUAAAAGACUUUGUUUCGCCUGCAGAAAAUCUGUAUUCGUGCUUUUCUGCCGGUUGUUCGGUAGAUUCAAUCUACCGAACAACCGCACGAAUGAAUAGACCACCUGGGAGCUGGAGUGUGCCGGCAAUUAACCUCCCUGAAGCUGCGGUUAACCGCAGCUUAAUUGACGAAUGCUGGGUGGCCGCCAUCCGUAUCCCGAACACGAGGUCGCGGCCAUUUUUAACAUAUGAAUGCACAGCGGUGUUCGUCUCUAUUUUCAUGGUACUAAAAUCGGACACAGUUUUGCGUGAACACCACUGAAGCCGCCGAACUUCCCUUCUUGUUUGGUGGAAGUGCACGAACGGCCCGGUGUUCGGUAGUUUUGUUUGAAUGUGUUAUACCCCAGAUAGGAAUCCCAUGGAGCCCAUUCGUAUGAAACUGACUAUAAAGACUUUGGCUCCAUGGCAAUUAAACUGUAUUCGUGUGGUCUGAGCGCCAUUCACUUAAUAAUGUGCGCUCAGACCUGAGCUAUCUGGGGAUAUGUUAAAUGUAUAGUUUUAAUGUAAUGUGUCUUACCUGGUGUAUUUUAACAGUAAUGCUUGUUUUAGUAUCCCCAUGUGCAUAAUGGAGAUUUGCCUUUGUCUUGGGAGAUAAUUGAAUUACUUCUCAAUUAUCUCCCAGGGCAGAGGGGAGGAAGCCAGGAUGCAUUGUGGGAAUAUACUGUGACUGUGUGUUCUAUUUGUCUGCUUGUCUGUCCCUUGUCACAGUCUCCCAUUUGGUCCCACCAGGUGGGAGGCCUAAACGGUUUUUACCCCUUUUGUGCAAAACGGUCCGUUACAAUAGUAUUCUCUGUAAAACAUUUAUUUUUAGGAUGUUCAGCCUGCAGAAUCAUCCAAAUUGUGGUUUGUUCCAAGUAUUGAGGUCUGUAUUUAUGCCUGUCAUCAGAUAUUGACCAUAUUUGAGGAGAAAGUCUGAACUAGAUAGGUAGUCCGGUGUUGUCUGUGCAGGAGACAGUCUUGCAGAGAGGGGAAUUUUGAAAGUCCAUAAUAGGUGGGAUGCAUCUUUGGUUAAGUGGAUUCCUAGAUUUUUUAUAUUGUGGGGGGCCCAGACAAACUGUUGUAUGGUGAUUUUUUCUUGUGGGUUAAUGUGCAGUGGUAAAAUCUUGCAUUUACCGAGAUUGGCCUUGAAAUUGGAUAUAGGAUGUAUGCGUCCAUCUCAGCCAUUGGGGGGUAUAGAUUUUAUAGGGUCUGAGAUCGUAAAGAGCAUUUGGAUUUACAAAUGCAGCUAUCUUAUGCUAUCUUAUGCUCUUCUGUACCUGCCAUGACGCCCCUGAUUUGAGCAUUGUCCCUGAUCCCCUGAAGGAAGGGCUCUAGGACCAGGACGAACAGGAGGGGGAUAGAGGACAACCUUGUCUAGUGCUGUUCGUUAUUGUUACUGGCUCUGACAGUUGCCCGUUAAUGCGGAUGUUUGCUGUGGGAGAAGAGUAUAUAGCAUUAAACCACUUUAGCCAGUGAGGGCCAAAUCCCAUAUAUUGCAGGGUAUGCGAUAGACUACCCUGUCAAAUGCUUUCUCGGCAUCAAUUGACAGGAGCAGACUAGCACACUGUGAUCUUGUGGCUUUGUGUAUGAGGUUUAGUAGUUUUGUGGUGUUGUGUUUAGCUUUCCCACCCGGAAUGAAACCUGAUUGAUCUGCGUGGAUUAGUCCUGGUAACAGUGGGCGGAGUCUAUUGGCUAGAAUGUUUGUGAACAGCUUUAGGUCUAUGUUUAUUAAUGAUAUUGGCCUGCAGCUCCCACAUUGGCUCAAAUCUUUUCCUGGUUUAGGGAGCAGUGUGAUUGUUGCGUUUAAGGCCUGUGGAGGGAGGGUGUCUGUUUUGAGUAGCGAUUUAAAUGAGUUUUGGAAGUGGGGCGCUAAUAUGGUGGCAUACGUCUUGUAAUAUUUGGCUGUCAGCCCAUCUGGGCCUGGGCUCUUCCCUGUUAGUAGGUGUUUGAUUGCCUGUAGGCAUUCUUCCCUUGAAAUGGGUCUAUCUAGGGAGUCUCGGAUGUUUUGUGGGAUAGUAGUGUGGAUCCUAUGGGAGAGAAAAUUUUUUAUGUCGGCUGCAUUUGGGGGUGUUUGUCUCAAGUUGUAAAGUGAGGAGUAAUAAUCCUUAAAUGAUUUAAGGAUGUCGGUCAAGAGUUUUCUUCGUUUUUUCGAAUGGCUGCUAUAAAUGUGUGUUCCCUUUGUUUUUUAAUGCGUGUGCCAAGAGGCGCCCACAUUUUCCCCCUUGUGCAUAGUACGUGCUUUUCGUUUUAGCUAGAGCGUGUUUAGUGCUGACGUUGAGUAUCAGUCCUUUUCUCCACCAGCGUCUUGUAUGUAGCUAGUUUUAGGUAUUUUUUGUGUGUUUCUUCUAACUUCCUAAUUUCCCUGGUUAGACUAAGUGUGCAGGAUUCCGUUUGCUUUUUGAGUCUAGAGGCUGCUUGGAUGAACGUACCUCUAAUAGUGCUCUUCUGCGCUUCCCAGAUUAUGGGGUAUGGAGAUUCUGGAUGUAUGUUAAGAUCAAAGUAUUGUUUCAGGGAGUCCUCAAUUUGGUUUUGUAUGUCAGGCUGGUUUAGUAGGGUGUAAUUUAGUUUCCAUUGUGUCCUGGAGGGGUGUAGGGAGAGGAUUGUGAUGGAUAGGGAGAUUGGUACUUGGUCUGACCAGGUGAUUGAGGCAUACUUGCAUGAGCUGACAAGGUUGAGGAAUCUGUGUGGUAUAAGAAACAUGUCAAUUCUCGAGUAUGAGCCUGAGGAGUAGGAGUAGUAGGAGUAGUCCGCUCAUUUGGAUGUAAAACUCGCCAGCAAUCAUAGAGCUGAUGCGAGUCUAAAAGUUUUUGGAUAAGUGCCCUCGUGAAGGUCUGGUAAGUCUGAGCUUGGGGUGUCUAGUGCUCCAUCUAGCGAGGUGUUGAAGUCACCCCCUAAUAUCAAUAGGCCUUCUGUGUAAGUUUCCAGUUUCUUGAUUAGGCCUGGAAUUGUUUUCUAUUGGGGAGGUAAAUAUUAGCGAAUGUGGUUGGUGUUGAGCCUACUUGGCCUUUCAGUAAUAUAUAUCUACCAUUGUCAUCUGAUAUAUGUUCUUUGUACGUGGAUGGUAGUUGUGGGGAAAGGAGGAUUGCUACCCCCCUGGAUUUCGAGUCUGUGUAGUUGCUGAAGUAUCCCUUUGUGUAGUGUGUGGAUCUGAGAGAUGGUGCUGAAUCUUACAAAAGUGUGUCUCUUGUAUGAAUACCACUUCUGCUUUGCUUUUGUGGUAGUCUGUGAGAGCCAUGUGGUGUUUUUCCGGGGUGUUUAGACCCCUGGCGUAGUGGGAUAGUACUGAAACUGUUGCCAUAGCUAAGGGUUCAGAGAGGACAGGGGUGAUGAGGGGAUUUCGAGGGUUGUAUUAUUACAACACCUUUGCCUGUACCCUGGGGUACUGUAUACGAUAUGAAAUUCUAGUGACAAUUAACCCUGUAAAUUUACAGGUUUUUUGAGCGAGAGUUAAAGAUUGAUAGUCAAUACUGCAACAUGUGAUUUAGGUCUUUCAGUACAAACUUAAACAGAACUAUAUACAAUAAGUCAGGUUAGUCAGUGGAACCGAAUGUUAGGUUAUUGUGAAAAGUCCGGUGUUGCACUUUGGCAACUGUGAAAAUAACUAACUGGGGUCUGCCCCUGAGAAGUCCCAUAGUCUACAGUGGACUGGCGUUGGAUGACCCAGAGAGAGUGUUUGCGUUGCUAUAGUAGAGAGUUUAUUGGAUGGCCUUUGAAGUUGGAGGGUGAACCCCUUGUUCAGCCUGGUACUUUCUGCCAUCCGCUGCCUCUGGAAUUGUUUGCUCUUUAAGUAAGUGAAGUGAGUUUUACUGAGCUCACGGAUUACAUGGGAAGGGACCGCGUGGAAGCUUGUGGUGGCUUCGUGGAGGUUUGUUCUUAGUAAAGUCAACUGGAGGUCUGGGGGAGGGUGAGAGAGUAUGUGUGUGGUUUGGAGAAGUUUGGUCUGAUCCCAGGCGUGGGGGGGGGGGAUUUGUAGUAGUGUGCAUUUUUUCCCCAACUGUGUUCAUAAUAUCCCUUUCCCUGAAUGUGAGAGCAGGCAGCGUCUUGUUUGUUUUGAGGUUUGCUACUCUCAUGUCCCUAUUCUUGGACUAUCUAGGUCAUUGCCCCUUGCUGUCGUGACCUGUCUGAGUCUGUUACCUUUUCCCUUAGUGUGAAGUGCUUUUGGAUCGUCCUUGGUCAGGUCGGUUCAAGGUUAUAGGUUACCCCUAACAAUACCAUCUUAUGUCACAUUUGUAUUUACAUUUGGGUAACUGCAUAUAUAAACACAUAGGAUCUGAAGCUUCUGGUCUGACUGGGUUUUUCAUACACGAGGAUAUCUGGGCUGAGUUCUGACUAGGCCAUGUUGCUCUUGAUUGACCAUAUUUGAGGAGAAAGUCUGAACUAGAUAAGUAGUCCGAUGUUGUCUGUGCAGGAGACAGUCUUGCAGAGAGGGGAAUUAUGGAAGUCCAUCUGUGAACGUUUGUGUGAGUCCAUUUAGUCUUCUAGGGUGUUGCUCUGUCCUCUUUCUUCUCGCUGUUGAUUUCCAGCUUGAGUUAUUCUUUGCCUCUACGUCGGGAAUCUCCAUCUUGUUCUUUGUUGCGCUGAAGUGGAAGUCAGUUCCGGAUCCGGUGCAUACCAGACUAUAAUGGGCGUUUCUGCUAAGUUCAGCACUUUGGUGAAUGGGAUAAUAUCUUGGUGAGUGGCAAUCAUGUACGUGGAUCCACUGGUAUUUACUAUAAGGGCAAUGGGGAAUCCCCAUCUGCAUCUCAGGUUGCGUGAUCGGAGUUGAUCUGUUAUUGGCCUAAGGGCCAUCCUUGCCUGUAGGGUGUGCCAAGAGAGAUCUUGAUAGAUCUGUAUUUCAUGUCCCUGAAAUAACAUGGGGGUAGAGGUCUCCCUAAGCUGCUUGAGGAUAUCUUCUUUUAGUGCAUAGUAGUGAAUGCGGCAUAUUAUAUCUCUGGGUGCCUCUCCUGUAGCUGUUUAACCCCUUAAGGACACAUGACGUGUGACAUGUCAUGAUUCCCUUUUAUUCCAGAAGUUUGGUCCUUAAGGGGUUAAUUGUCUCAGGGAGCGAUGUGCUCUAUCUAGGACCACUGGGGUAUCUGUUUUGUGAUUAAGUAUUAGGUUGAAUAAUGUGGUCAGAAUGUUAUAGAGAUUUUCCCUGUCUUAUUCAGGUAAUCCCCUUAUGCAAAGGUUAUUUCUUCUGCCCCUGUUAUUGAUGUCAUCUAGGGAAUGUUGCAUCAUGGAUAGGUGUCUCUCUUGGGCCUGUACUUUAGCAGAGAGAGAUUGCUUUUGGGUUUGGUGUGACCCACUUUCAUCUUCUAGGUCCUGCACCCUGCGGCCUACCUGUUUUAUCUCCGAGCUGAGGCCAUCCAUUUUGUAUUUAAAGGUGGUUUCUAAUUUUCCCAGCAUCUGUGCCAGGUCGGCUCUGGAUGGUAGGUUUCGCAAUAUUUCUUUAAUAUCCAUGUCCAUCGAGAUGUGUGAUGCUUCCGAUGCUGUGGGGCUCGGCAGGUCUGAGUAUGUGUUUACCGCCGUCGGUGCCAUAUUGUUUUUGCCGAGCUCCAUCACGUGGUGGGCAUAUUCUUUGAAAAAACGGGUUACAGUGCCCGUUUUUCCUGCUGGGGUCUUCCCUGCGUAUUGAGAGGUAGGUUGAGCCUUUUUGUGGUUCCCCAUGGCGAUGUUACACCUCUGGUUUGCGGUUUUCCUCUGUGUUACUCGGGAGCUAAGCUAGUGUGCUGCCAUAUAGCUCGGCUGUCGGCCACGCCCCCCCCCCAAAAAAUGAAUUUGUAUCUCUACUGUGCAAACAUUUGUGGCCUUAUUUAUGAACAUUUGCUAACAAGGACAAACCAUUCAGUUUCUGAAAUAUCAUAAGGUACCCACAAAUUCAGAGCAGGUGGUCUAAAGGCAAACUCAGGCAAUCAAAGAGUAAGUCCAAUCCAUUUAACCCAUAAGGAAUGAGGACUGGGUUUUCUUUUGAUCUCAGAAAGAGUUUGAAAUAUAAGGAAUUAAGAUAAAAUUAAUUUGAAGGCCAAAGGCACAAAUUAUUAGUGGGAGCAGUUAAGUAUCAUCCUCUUCUUUCCUUGUAUGCACUAUAAACCACCAAAUCAGGAGAAACUAUUAAAGUUUAAUCUGUCUUUAAACAUAUAUAUAUGUGGCAGGUUAGGAGGGGGUACAAGCACUUACUUUGAUGAGAGGGCAGUCAAUUGACAUUUUCAACUUGUGGCGAAAGCAACCUCGCCACUGGCUUUUGGAGGAGCCUGUUUGCCAGCCUCCUACCCUGUGACUAUGGCCCCUGUGAUAAAACCACUGUUUGUGCCUUUUGGACUUGUAACAGUAACACGUCGAACUCCCGAAGCGGUUUGAAGUGGUGCUACGAACUCCUGAAUGGUGAAGCGGUUUGAAGUGACACUUCGAACACGUGGCGGCGGCCAUCUUAAGCCCCGAGCACAAUGAGCGGUGUUUGGUAGUCGUACAUGGAACUCAAAGCGGACACUCGACAGCACGAGCAACGCUAAUUACUUACCUUCCACAGAUGUUCGACUAUUCAAACGGGAGUCGAACAGCGUUCAGUAAGAAUAAACUCCCGAACGAGAGACAAACUGAGACUACUCCCAAAGCUAUACGUUCUGUAUUUGAUAUUUUACUUGGAAUCCCCGAAGUAGACCUCAUUCUCAGCCUCAUUCUCUAGAACUGUUUUGGGCAUGGGACCAUGCGUGCUGUCAGUCAAAAUGUGACUUCCAUAGAAUUCCUGAAACCCUGAACUGAUCUGGGUGAUUUUUAGAUAUGUUGGUCACCCACAUCAGGUCUAUCAGGGGAUGUAACAUUUGUGGGGGGUUUCUUUGUUUUUGGGGUACUUUUGGGGUUUUAUAAAAUUUGUUUUUUUUCUGCUUGGAGAUAAUUGAGUUAAUACAGUAUCUGACUCAAUUAUCUCCCAGGCAGAGGGGAGGGAUUGUAUGCUAUGUGUGUGAGUGUCAUGAAUUGUAACACUGUUAUUAUUGGUCUGUGACUUUGUACCAUAGUUCCCCAUAAGGUUCAUGUGGGAGUGCCUCUUGAAUGGGGAUUGCCAUAAAAGGCCAAGUUAUUGACGUAGGCACCCAGUCAGUCAGUCACAAUACUCUCUCAUUCUGCCAGGAACACUCUAUUUACCAUCGCAUAUUCACCUGAUUAAAGUGAGUAUGGUGCCUGAAGUCCAUGGGCACUGAGUGCACCAUUACUGUUAAACUGUGUAGCCUGUAACCUGGUCCCCAAGCAUGAUAUGGUGGAGGAACUAUGCUCUGCUUCAUGCCAUACUUGAGCUAGUGGACUGUAAUAGGCUGUGAGCAUCAGCUGAGCACUCAUAUCCAAUUACUUCUAUAAUCUCUGAUAUGAAUUGGUAUGGUGAUUGUGGGAAUAGCUUUGCUGCCACCAUGACAUUAUUGGGGCCAUAGUUCAGGCUGCCAUGGACUGAGCAUCUCAGCUAAAUGGUGAGUAAACCAUUUAACAUUGAUGCAGGACCAGUUGUUGAACUGGAUAUGGUGACUACAGUGUCCAUUAACACUUGAAAUCCUAGUUUAAAAAAUAAAUAAAAAUUAUAGAACCAUAUAUAUUAAUAAGCCUAGGAAGACCUCAAUGUCAUGUACCAAUAUGUUAUUAAAGAAUCAGCAGGAUCAUCUUAAAAAGAACAUAAUUUAUGGACUUUUCAUCCCUCAUCCCCCCCCCAAAAAAAAAUCUAUUUUUUUUAUAUAAAUUCAAACUUCUAAAAAUAUUUUUAACUUCUAAAAAUGUUGUUCUUAAUGGCCUACUGUAACAGUUUACCAGAAGUUGGAGCCCAGUUGCAGGAUAUGGCACAAGGAGUAGGCAAAAAACCAAAAACACAGUACAAAUAAAGGGGCAAUCCAAAGGCAGGGUCAGACGAGAAGCAGAAGUCAGGGCUGACAGCGGAGUUUCGUAGUCAGUAAGGCAGGCAGAGGUCAGAGUCCAGGAAAUCAGUCAGCAGAAUAGCAAAGAUCCAGCAGGAAACACUAAACAAACAAAAUGACCAGAUACUAAGUUUCAGGCAGAGCUGGCAUUUACAGCCUGCUGAUUUGGAGCAGCUGACCCUAAUUGGUAAGGGGCUGCAGGUGGAUCAGUACUGCUUCAUCCAGGCAAGGAGUCAGCAAGCAGAAUAAUAAGACAGAUACAGAUACAUCCCGACUGGGAUGCUGGAACUGUGCGUUCAAACCCAGCAAGGCCUCUUCCCUGUCAUGGCCGAAUCCUGUUUUUUUUAACCCCCCUCCCGACUCCACUACAUCUAACUGACCUCCUAGUCAACCCCAAAUGUCCCUAAGCCCCCCAUAUUACCUAUUUUUUAUCUUUAUUUUCUGCCCCGAUCUAUAUUCAGGGCUCACCAACUUUGUGUGGGUAGAGGAAGUCCCUGUGGGAUAUGUCAUCUGCCCACACUAGACAGACUGUGAGAUUCCCGCACAUGCCCAGUGAAACACUUGGACAUGCGAACGGGAAUUUCAUCUAUUCAUUCAUUUGUCAGAAAGACAAAUGAAUGACUAGGAAUUUCAGACGAACAAACAAACACUGAGUAUCAGUGUUCGUUUGUUCGUUCAGUUUGUUACAAGGAGGGAGCUACCGGCACGCAGCUCCCUCCUUGUAAUAUGUAAAGAUAGAAGCGUCAGGGAGCAGUGCUCCUAGCCUCUUCCUAAAACACAUCUUCCCCCGCCCUGCAGAGCUCAGUCUGUGUGGAGCCCUCCAUGGGUGAAGAGGGAUUUUUUUUUUUUUUUUUUUUAAUUCUUUAUUUUUGAUUGUUUUAGAUGCAUAUUAAAUGGAAAUACAAAAGAUCUUGUGUGUAGCAAGUUAAUAUAACAAUAUCGUUCAACAACAUAGUACAUGGCAUUCUCUUUUCAGUAUGGAGGAUAGGAAUGUUUUAGAAUCAUAUAAACAGGAGACCCAUUGAUAUGGUACCACAGUCUGGGGUGAGUGUUAUUUUCCCUUACUUGGGUUGUGCCAUCUACAUGUGUCUGGGCUUCUUUAAUGGGCAGUCAGCUCGACCCUAACCAUAGGAUUUGUUGUGUUUUGGGUCCCAGACUCAGACCCUGUUUAGGUAGUGGUGUCUAGUCGAGUAUACUGAUUCGUGGAGUAGCAAGUAAAUGAGAGACUUUGCUUUUGCCAUGGGAUUUUUUUUUUGAGCUCGGGUUUUUUUCUUUUUCAUCUGGUUUUUUUUUUACGCUCGGGUUUUUUAUUUUAUUUUAAGUUCGACGGGUAUGAUGGUUUUUUAUUUGGCCUUUUUUGGGGCUAAAAAACGAAAAAAAGACAUCAAAUGGUAAGUUUAAUUUUUCUUUUCAGGUUAGUUAUUUUAUUGCCCCCUCACUAUUUUUUAGGGUGAGGUGGGUAGGUAGGGGAUAACUUUUUUUGGGGUGGGGGGGUGACUAGGGGCUUUGGGACCCCUAGUCAUCUAUGAUGGGGAGAUUUGUCUUAGGGCCCCCACCCACCGCUCAAGGGUGGGGGACGCGGGGGAGGACAGUAGGUCCCCCUUUGUAAUUUAUGGCCCCACCGACGGCCCAGGAGUGGGAGCCGGGGGAGGACUGUAGGUCCCCCCAUUAUCUUUAUGGCCCCCACCCACCGCUCAAGGUGGGUGCCCGGGGUGGAGGACAGUAGGUCCCCCCAUUGUAAUUUAUGGACCCCACCGACCGCGCAGUGGUGGGGGCCAGGGGGGAGGACAUUAGGUCCCCCCAUUGUAAUUUAUGGCCCCCACCCACCGCGCAGGGGUGGGGGCCGGGGGGAGGACAGUAGGUCCCCCCAUUGUAAUUUAUGGCCCCCACCCACCGCGCAGGGCUGGGAGCCGGGGGGAGGACAGUAGGUCCUUCCCCUCAUUAUCUUCAUGGCCCCCACCCGUCGCACAGGGGUGGGGCAAUAGGUUUUUUUUGUUUGUUUUUUUUGCAGUGAGCAGCACCAGGCUGCUUACUGUUUAAUAGACAUGCCCCUACUUGCGGUAUAGUGAGUAGGGGCAGAUCAUUUACUAUUACUAAGUAAUCUUUACUUAGUAUUAGUAAAUGUGGCUGAAAGACCAAUUUAAGUGACCAAUUUUGGUCUUUCAGCCUUUUGGAAGAUAAUUCCCUAAUACCGUGGGAAUUAGGGAGUUAUCUACUAAGCGGCUGCAAGAUGCAGCAGCGGCACAAAUUGAAUCGGAGUUUCAUUCAUUCGAAUGAAAUUCCGAUACGAACUAAGUGCCGAAUUGAGUUCUAAAAGAAACGAACAUACUGUUCUCAUUCAGUUAGAAUGCAAUUCGACAGUUUUGUCUAAAAUGACAGGAAGCAUCGCGGGAACACUGAGGAAAGGUAAGAAUUAUGGGGAAAUUGCUCUGACAAGCGGAAAUGAAGCACCCUUUGCUCCUCUGCUAGUCAAAGCUGGUUAAGCGGAGGAAACCUCCAUAAGGCAGAGUCCCUACUUUGUCUUAUGAUUUUAAAAAAACUAAAGAAGACAGGAAGAAAUGAAGAACAGAUCCUGAGAGAGGGGGGGAAGAGGAAGAGAUUGAGGAAAGGUAAGUUUGGCCUGACAGUGGCGCUUUAAAGGGGUGGCCACGCCUUGCUGUCUGCAGGGCUCGGAUUGCACCGUGACACCUACCUUUAUAGACCUAAAUCUAAAAGGACCCUUCUUAGCAGCCAAACUUACCUAAUAUUUUCAAAUAUUAAGUGUAUGUAUAUUCCCAUGGUCGCAUACAUGAUCACAUCACACUAGUGCAGCUUUGGGUUGUGUGCACUCUUAUAGGCUUUUGGUUUAACUUUGUAAAUUUUUGUAUGUUGCUUUGCUAGACCUUGUCUCUAUUUGUAUAUUUGUCAUAUGAUUGUCGUUUGUAAGUAUACCUUAAUUGGGCGUGCAUCUCUUAUAUAUUUGGGUAAUGCAAAUAGGUAAUUAAUUUUCCCUAGCCACUUUUCUAAAAAAAAAAAUCUAAACCAAGAAAUCUAGCUUGUAAAAUAUGCCUUCUUAUAAAGGAUUCUCUAAAUUAUGGGAGGAAAUUAUAUAUUUCCUCCCAUAACAAUUACAGUAGAAAAUGUAUAAUAUAUUUCCAUAAUAUAUAUAUAGCAUAUUGUAUGCUGCUAAUCUAUGCUCCUUGAUGUACUAAUAUAUACUCCAUUAAUUAAUGUGGCAUAUUAUUUAUUAUUGUACAAUCAAUCACACAAACAGACAUGUAACAUUAGCUGUCAGUAUCACAGUCACAUCCCUUUUAUUAACAAAAUAUUGAAGCAACAAUAAACACAGAACUUAUUAGUCAUGCAAUGCUGUCAGAGGUUAGAUACUGCAGAAGUUCUGAGAUAAAGAGAUGUACAUGAUCAAUUGUACACAUAACCAUGUGAGGUAAUUUUCAUUAGAGUACACACUUGGGCAUUUUGUGUUUGUAAAAAGUGGAUAUUGAAAAAAUCAACCAUGUUUAUCAAACUGAAGCUUGUUCUCUUUUUGGAGCUAAAAUAUAUUUAUAGAAAAACAGACACACAACAAUAUUAAAUACUUUAGUCACCAGAACCACUACAGCCUAAUGUAGUGGUUCUGGUGUUUACAGCCUGUCCCUGCAGUAAAGAAAUGGCAGUGUCUAUAUUGCUGCCUAGUUACACCUCUAGUGGCAGUCACUCAGACGGCCACCAGAGGUGCCUCCUGUUUAGAAUCCUACUUUCAGCAUCUCCACCUAUGUUAGGCAUCUCCACGUUCUUGGUGCAGUGAUGGAUUUUGCUGCACAUGCACAAUAGCCUCCCAAAGCUUUCCUGUAGGAAAGCAUUGGAUUGGCAGAGAUCAUCAAAAUUGAUGAUCUUAGCCACAGAGGCAGAGUCAAGUGGGCCAGUCGUGGUGAGACUGGCGUAACCUGGGAGAAAAGAUGAGUAAAAUCACAUUUAACCUUUGGAGAGUGAGGGGUGCCUGGGACUUUAUACUGCACUCCAGCACUAUAGUGCCAGGAAUACAUGUUUGUAUUCCUGACACUAUAGUGACUCUUUAAUCAAUACCAUCAUACACAUCAUAUGGAAAUCCUCUGUGAUUGGUUGUAUUUUAUAUGGUGUUUUUUUCUUCUUCAGAUAACAGUAACUACUGCUCUCAUUUUAGAGUCCAAGAAGCCCGGCACUGGAGUGGUCUUUUGAUUAGAUUCAAAAUUAGUGAUGUCCCGGACGGUUCGCCGGCGAAUAGUUCUUGGCGAACAUCGCUUGUUCGCGUUCGCCACAGAUGGCGAACAUAUGCGCUGUUCGGUCCGCCACUCAUUUGUCAUCAUUGAGUAAAUUUUGACCCUAUACCUCACAGUCAGCAGACACAUUCCCUCCCAGACCCUCCCACCUCCUGGACAGCAUCCAUUUUACAUUCAUUGUGAAGCUGCAUUCUUAGUGAGAGGAGGGACAGUGUAGCUGCUGCUGAUUUGAUAGGGAAAUUGAUAGCUAGGCUAGUGUAUUCAGUGUCCACUACAACCAUUUGAGAGCGAUUUAACCCCUUAAAGGAAAACGAGCACCCAGGGGCUUCCUGGCAUCAUAGCAUUUUCAUUUAGGUGAAGUUGUUAUGGUGACCAGAAUGGUCCUUUAAUUUGCUUAAAGGAACACUAUAGUGUCAGUAAUACAAACAUAUAUUCCUGACACCAUAGUUGUGAAAACGCUAUUCACCCUGGCUUUAUGUGAUAAUGGCUAUGCCCCUUCCCUUUCAUGACACUGUCAAAAAGGUACCAAGCAUGGAUGUCAUUACAAUUAUGCCUCCCCCUGGAAAAAUUCCUGCGGACGCCCAAGGUCUCACUAUCCCCCCACCACCCUCAACAUCACCAGCCCCCACCCCCUCCUUCUCACAUCACCCCUCCUCACAUUACCCCCUCCUCCUUGUCACAUUACUCCCUCCUCCUUGUCAUGUUACCCCCCCUCACUCUCACAUUACCAUCACCAUUGUUAGUGGGGCCUCAUGUUUGAGUUUCGCCUAAGGCCUUAUAAAGUCUAGAGCCACCUCUGGGUGUCACAAUAGCUUACAUUUAAAAAAAAAAAAACUUUUUUGACUGUAAAAUAAUAGCAGUCAGUUUCCUUCACAAGUGUGCGUUUCAGGGCCUGCCCAGUGCCACCACUCACUCACUGGUGUCCCAAUAGCUUGCAUUUAAAAAAAACCAACUAUUGGGACUGUAAUAUAAUAGCAGUCAGUUUCCUUCACGUGUGUGCGUUUCAGGGCCUGCCAGGGCACAGUGUCACACCAGCGCAACUCAUAUCUGGUGUAACAGUAGUGUACAUUUAAAAAAACAAAUAAUUUUUUUGACUGUAAUAGAUUGAAUAGCAGUUAAUUGUCUGCCAGCUUGUGUGUCAGGCUCACAGCGUAUACUGUGCCCACUUGCCCAGUGCCACCACUCAUAUCCAGUGUCACAAUAGCUUGCAUUUAACAAAAAAAAAACUUUUUGGACUGUAAUAUAAUAGCAGUCAGUUUCCUUCAUGCGUGUGCGUUUCAGGGCCUGCCAGGACACAGUGUCACACCAGUGCAACUCAUAUCUGGUGUAACAGUAGUGUACAUUUAAAAACAAAAACAAAGAGAGGCCUGGUUGCUCGCCUGCUCCCUUUAGACUAUGGUCCUGCAUUUUAAACUUUUAUUUUAACGGCAGAAAGGUUUAUUUGUGCCUUUCUGCGGACUGUUAAAGCCAUGCUACCCCAGAUAGCUAUGCCAUGGAGCCCAGCCGUAUACUGAAAGACUGUAUGAAAGACUUUGGCUCCAUGGCGAUUGAACUGUAUGUAUGUGAUCUGAGCGCCAUUCGGUAGUAAUGUGCACUCAGAUCUAAGCUAUCUGGGGAUAUGUAGAAUAUCUAUGUUUUAUGGAAUAAAUGUAACUGUAUGUAAUUUUAUGUCUUUUAUUGUCCUUUGUCUGCCAUGUGGUUAAUGGAGUUUUGCCUCUGUCCUUGGAGAUAAUUUGAUUACUUCACAAUUAUCUCCAGGACAGAGAGGAGGGAAUGUGAUGUAAUUGUGGGUGUGUUUUAAAGUUCCCCUGUAACGAGUGGUUGUACUGUGUCCCACCCUGUGGGAUGUCCCCUUGCAUGGGGACUUGCAUAAAAGCCAGUGUGUGGCCAUUACAGAGAGUUCCUGCUUAACCCUCAAAGUGAAGUGUCGUCUCAUUAUUGGGGGAGGAUUUAUUGUAUGCUAUUCCAGUUUGAUUGCCAGGAGUGUAAGCUGAUUGUAUGCUUUUCCUGUUCAGCUGUUUCCAGUAUUCGUGAGUUUCCUGUUCAGGAGUUGGAGAAUUCGUGUAGUUUGCAGUUCGGGAGAUUGGUGCUUGCAGUAGCUGUCUGUGCAUCUGAAAGGGGAAGAUCGCCUAAACGUUUUUUAUCCGCUUGUGGACAAAACGGUCCGUUACAUGCCCCAUUCCGAGCUCUGAAGUAAUAAAUAAUUUUGCGCUUUAGCCACAGCCUCUACCCUCACCUCUAGAGUGGCGGUCUGAUUACCAAUUGCCUGAAUCUCUAAUCUUAUUUCCCUAGCAUUUCUCUCAAUCUCUCCAGCUAAAAAAAAUUCUAUCCUCUUUCAUUUGUGCAAAUGUGCAUUGUAUGCCAUCUGGUCCUGGUAUCUGCACAAUAGGUAUAGCAAUGCUAUCUGUAUCAGUAGGUAAAAUUUUACCUGAUCCUCCCUCUCCUGAGUCUGGAUGAAUAUCGUGGCUGUCCCCAUUUUUCCUGCUUUCCAGUCUGUUUGUUGUGUCCAGGCCACUAUUCACAGUGUCAGCGCUAUUCACAGCGCCAGAAGCUGCUCGCUUUGUGGAUUUUGCAGAAUCUUCAUUUGCAUCCACAGGUCUCGCUGGCUUAAACAUGGUAUGAAGAGAGUGGAGAGUGCUGCUCCUGGGCUUCGGCUUGGAUCCCUUCCGCGAGGAUUUCAUCAGUGGUAAAUCCAAAAGGGGUAUAAUUCCCUUUUUCUUUUCUUUUUCUUUUCCCUUUUGAAGAGAGCUCAGGGGAUGCUGCCCCCCCCAAAAAAAACUUCCUCGACUGGAAGUAUCAAUUACAGCGCUACACUGUUACACUGUUAAGGUAAUGCAGCAAUAUGUAACGGUAUGUAGCAGUAUGUCGCAGUAUGUAGCAGUAUGUAGCGGUAUUACACUGCAGAGAAUAAGGAGGAGUAGGGAGAGAUUAGGGAGAGAUUGAAUGAUUGGGGUGGAUAGAGUAGAGGCUGACAGGCUGACCGGUUGACCGGCUGUCCGGCUGACCGGCUGGAUGUGUAACUGUACAGCUGCACCUCGACGAACAAUUAGCUGAGGAUUUCACCGGCACAUACAGGUUAGUUGAAAAGAGUUAGAGGAGCAAUAUAUAUAAUAUUAUAUUCUAUUUCAUCUUCGGUGUCUGUUUAUUCGGAGGCUUCAGUGAGAGAGCUCUCUGCCUGGACGUCUGUCUACAUCGACGGUCAGGCCACACCCCUCGACGGUCUGGAUGCCAGUCCUUAUUCUAACAUUGCCUAUAUAUGUUUUUAAUAAUUCUAUAAAUUAAAAAAUAUAUACUUAUUUUUUUAGAGUAAACAUCCUUGCAUUCCUGUUCAGUUGUCAAUCCAAAUAAAAGUACCUCUGUUACUUCCCAGUUGUGCCUCAAAGAGGAGGAAAACUUUAUUUUUUAAAUAAACUGUAAAAAAACAAACACACAAGCAUUCAGNNNNNNNNNNNNNNNNNNNNNNNNNNNNNNNNNNNNNNNNNNNNNNNNNNNNNNNNNNNNNNNNNNNNNNNNNNNNNNNNNNNNNNNNNNNNNNNNNNNNAAGAACUUUCCCACGCUGUGUAAAAUGACACAGAUCACUCUGAUUGGUGGAUUUAAAGCCAACCAAUCAGAGUGAUGUGCCAGGUAAAUGUAGAGACUUACCUGUCAGUCUCUUUAUUUACCUGUCAGAGCACUCUGAUUGGAUUGCUUAAACCCACCAAUCGGAGUGCUCUGAGCCUAAUUGCAGGGCGGAGCAAGGUUUUAUAAGCCUUCCCCCGCCCUGCAGCACUCAGCCUGUGCGGAGCCCUCCAUGGGUGAAAAUUGAAAAAAGAUAUUUUUUUUUGCGCUCGUUUUUUUUUUUUUUUUAAAGUGCGUUAUUAUGGAUUUUUAUUUGGCCUUUUUUGGGACUGAAAAAUGAAGAGUUUAGAAGAAAGAAGACAUCAAAUGGUAAGUCUAUUUUGUUUUUAAAGGUAUUUAGAUAAGGGUCCCCCCUCAUUAUUUUUAGGAUGCGGGGGGCAAGUAGGGGUUAUUUUUGGGGGGAGGGGGUGACUAGGGGUUUGGGGACCCCUAGUCACCUUGGAGUGUUAAAUUUUUAUUUAGGGCCUCCACCUGCCAUGCAGGGGUAGGGGCCCUGGGGGAGGACAGUAGGUCCCCCCCUCUAUUGUUAUUUAUGGCCCCCACCCACCGCUCAGGGGUAGGGGCUGGGGGGAGGACAUUAGGUUCCCCCAAUUUUUAUUUAUGGCCCCCACCCGCCAUGCAGGGGUGGGGGCCUGGGGGGAGGACAAUAGGUCCCCCCCAAGUUUUAUUUAUGGCCCCCACCCACUGCUCAGGGGUGGGGGCCGGGGGGAGGACAGUAAGUCCCCCCUUAUUGUUAUUUAGGGCCCCACCCGCUGCGCAGGAGUGGGGUCUGGGGGGAGGACAGUAGGUCCUCCAAUCCACAUUCUUAUUUAGGGCCCUCACCCGUCACACAGGGGUGGGAGCAAUAGUUUUUUGUUUUGUUUUUUACAGUGAGCAGCCACUGGCUGCUCAUUGUUUACUAUACACGCCCCUACUCGCGGUAUAGCGAGUAGGGGCUGAAUUUACUAAUACUAAGUAAUCUUUACUUAGUAGUAGUAAAUUUGGCUGAAAGACCAGUUUAGGUCUUUCAGCCUUUUGGUAGAUAGCUCCCUAAUACGUGGGAAUUAGGGAGUUAUCUACUAAGCGGCUGCUUAUUUUAUGUAUUUUAUGUUAUUUUAAGUGAUUUCUCUAUCCAUAAAGGUUAGCAUGGUGUUUAAAAAUAAAUCAAUUGAGAUUUACUAAUUAAUUACAGGGUUAUUCACUUAAGUCCAAAUUUAAGAAAGAUGGACAAAAAAUGCUUUGGAAUAAUUGCAUUUACAUUGAAUUGCAGUUAUUUCAACUGAAUCAGCACAUCUCAAUCGGUACCAUCUGGUGUUAAAAUCACUUAUUUUCAAUCCUAAAUAAAAUCUACAAUUUGCAUAUCUACAUAGUUACAUAGUUACAUAGCUGAAAAGAGACUCGCGUCCAUCAAAUUCAGCCUUUCUCACAUUAGUUUUUUGCUGUUGAUCCAAAAGAAGGCAAAAAAAUUCAGUUUGAAGCACUUCUAAUUUUGCAUCAAGCUAGGAAAAAAACUCCUUCUUGACCCAAGAAUGGCAGUCAGAUUUAUCCUUGGAUCAAGCAGUUAUUACCCUACAUUGAAAGAUUAUACCCUUGAAUAUUCUGUUUUUGCAAGUAUGCAUCUAGUAGCUGUUUGAACAUCUGUAUGGACUCUGAUAAAAUCACUUCUUCAGGCAGAUGAUUCCACAUCCUUAUUGUUCUUACAGUAAAAAAACCUUUCCUUUGCCUUAGAUGAAAUCUUCUUUCUUCCAGUCUAAACGCAUGACCUCGUGUCCUGUGUAAAGUCCGGUUUGUGAAUAGAUUUCCACACAAUGGUUUGUAUUGGCCCCGAAUAUAUUUGUAUAAUGUUAUAAUAUCCCCUCUCAGGCGACGUUUUUCUAAACUAAAUAGGUUUACAUUUGUUAACCUUUCUUCAUAGCUGAUAUGUUCUAUUCCUUUUAUUAAUUGUGUAGCCCGCCUCUGCACUUUUUCUAGUGCCAUAAUAUCCUUCUUUAGAACAGGUGCCCAAAAUUGCACAGCAUAUUCAAUAUGUGGUCUUACCAGUGAUUUGUAAAGAGGCAAAAUUAUAUUCUCGUCCCGAGAAUGAAUGCCCUUUUUCAUGCAUGACAAUACCUUACUGGCCUUGGCCACUGCUGAUUGACAUUGCACAUUGUUGCAUAGUUUUUUGUCUAUAACAAUUCCCAAGUCCUUUUCGUGUGGGGUUAUCCCUAAUUCGCUUCCAUUAAGGGUAUACGUUGCUUGUGUAUUCUUUACGCCAACGUGCAUAACUUUGCAAUUUUCAACAUUAAAUUUCAUCUGCCAUUUGAGUCCCCCAGUAUAUCUAAAUCCCUCUGCAGUAAAGUAAUAUCUUGCUCACAUUGUAUUAUUUUACAGAGUUUUGUGUCAUCUGCAAACACUGAAACAUGACUUUGAAUGCUUUCUUCAAGAUCAUUUAUAAACAUGUUAAAUAGAAGCGGUUCCAGAAAAGACCCCUGAGGGACACCACUUGCCACCUCUGUCCAGCUUGAAAAUUUACCAUUAAUAACAACUCUUUGUACUCUGUUUUUAAGCCAAUGUUCUACCCAAGAACAAGCAUUUUCAUCUAGACCGAUUUCCUCGAGUUUGAACACUAAUCUAUUGUGUGGAACUGUAUCAAAUGCCUUGGCAAAAUCCAAAUAGAUCACAUCCAAUGCAACACCCUGAUCUAUACUUUUACUUACUUCUUCGUAGAAUGCACUAGUUAGUUUGACAUGACCUGUGCUUCAUAAAACCAUGCUGAUUUUUGCCGAUAUCCAUGUUCUUCUCAAGGAAUUCUUGAAUAUUAUCCCUUAAUAACCCUUCAAAUAUUUUCCCAGCCACAGAAGUUAAGCUCACAGUUCUAUAAUUUCCAGGCAAGGAUUUUGAACCCUUUUUGAAUAUAGGAACCACAUCUGCCUUCCUCCAAUCCUCCGGAACACUUCCUGAAAGAAAAGAAUCUUGAAAGAUUAAAAACAGAUUCACUUAUUUCUACACUUAGUUCCUUAAGUACUCGUGGAUGGAUAACGUCAGGCCCUGGAGCUUUGUUUAUAUUAAUUUUCUUUAGUUGCUGCAGCACCUUGUCUUGAUUUAACCAAUUACAAUUAUUCUGCAAGUUUUUAGUAGCAAUCAUUUGCACAUCUAUUGCCAUGGGUUCUUCCUUAAUAUAUACGGAGGAGAAAUACUUAUUUAAAAUAACUGCCUUUUCCUGGUCUUCAUUAACUAACACCCCCGUUUCAGUUUUUAGUGUACCUACACUUUCAUUUUUUGUUUUUUUAGAAUUUAUGGACUUAAAAAAUGCUUUUAGGCAUGUGUAUAGGAAAAUUUUUCGUUUCGGUUAGGCUCGGCAUUCCGAACACUUCAGAACUUCGGCACUUCGACACUUCGGAAAUUCAGUAAUUUCGGAACUUCAGGACUUUGGCAAUUCGGCACUUUGGCACUUCGGAACUUCAGGCAACUUCGGCACUUCGACACUUUGGCACAUAGGGACUUCGGAAUUUCGGAACUUCUCUUGCAGUCGCUUGGUAGAUAACUCCCUAAUUCCCACGGUCUUUCAGCCAAAUUUACUAAUACUAAGUAAAAAUUACUUAGUAUUAGUAAAUUGUGCUCCUACUCGCUAUACCGUGAGUAGGGGCAUGUCUAUUAAACAAUGAGCAGCCAGAGGCUUUUAAAAAUGGGUCCCUCCUGAGCUCCCGCGACGCGUGAGGGGGGCUUUUAAACUAAAGGGGGGACCUAUUGUCCCCCCCGGCCCCCACCCCUGAGCGGCGGGUGGGGGCCUUAAAGUAAAACAAUGGGGGGACCUAUUGCCCCCCACCGGCCCCCACCCCUGAGAGGCGGGUAUGGGCCCUAAAGUAAAAUAAUGGGGGGGGACCUAAAUCCUCCCACCGCUCAGGGGUUGGGGCCCUAAAUUAGAAUGAGGGGGAGGACCGUAUGUUCUCCCCUUGGCCCCACCCCUGAGCAGUGGGUGGAGGCCCUAAAAUACUAAUAGGAGUGGACCUAAUGUCCUCCCCCUGGCCCCAACCCCUGAGCGGUGGGUGGGGGCCCUAAAUACUAAUUGGGGGGACCUAAUGUCCUCCCCCCUGCCCCCACCCCUGAGCGGUUGGUAGGGGCCCUAAAUACUAAUAGAGGUGGAUCUAAUGUCCUCCCACCUGGCCCCCACCCCUGAGCAGUGGGUGGGGUCCCUAAAUAAAAAAAAUAACCCCCUGUCCCCCAGGUGACAAGGGGUCCUUAAACCCCCAAAUAAUUGACCCCUACCUACCCUCCUCACCCUAAAAAUAAUGAGGGGGGACCAUUUAACUAAGUACCUGGAAAAAAAAUUAAAAAAGAUUUUCAGCCCCAAAAAAGGCCAAAUAAAAAGCCAUAAUAACUGAAACACUAAAAAAAAAAAUAAAAAAAAAUCCAUCUUCACCCGGCGAGGGUUCCCGCAGACUGAGCUCUGCAGGGCAGGGGAAGGCUUAUAAAGUCUUGCCCCACCCUUCAAUUAAGCUCAGAGCACUCUGAUUGGUGGGUUUAAGCCAUCCAAUCUGAGUGCUAUGACAGGUAAAUGAAGAGACUGACAGGUAAGUCUUUACAUUUACCUGUCACAGCACUCUGAUUGGUUGGUUUGAAAUCCACCAAUCAGAGUGCUUUGUGUCAUUUUACACAGAGUGGGGGGACAAUAGGAGGGGGAGGGGGACGUUUUUUUUUGUUGUUGUUUUUUUUACAGUGAGCAGCCACAGGCUUAAUUAUUAAUUAUUAAUUACAUAAUUUACUAAUACUAAUACUAAGUAAUCUUUACUUAGUAUUAGUAAAUUUGACUGAAAGACCAAUUUAGGUCUUUCAGCCUUUUAGUAGAUAGCUCCCUAAUACCGAGGGAAUUAGGAAGUUAUCUACUUAUUCAUUCCUGUCAUUACAUUACUGGCUAAGUAACUUACAUUUUAUACUUACUGUUGUAAGUGUUGCAAAUGCUUACAGCUGAAUCCUGGCUAUGUUUGUAUACUUUUUAUUUAAAAUUGUAUACAGUGUAACAUUCUUCUUCUUCCUCUGGAUAAGUAUAUUAGUACUUAGGCAAUACUGUGCUUCGGCACUUCGGCAACUUCGGAACUUCGGCACUUCAGCACUUCGACACUUCAGAAAUUCAGUAAUUUCGGAAAUUCGGGACCUCGGUAAUUCGGCACUUCGGACAUUCGGAAGUACCUGAAUGUCCGAAUUGCCCGAAAUUCAUCCGAAUUCAUAUUCGGCCCGAAACGAAUUGCACAUGUCUGUCAUUUUUUCAAAUUGAAGUUUAGCAAAUCUAAUCGCGGUUUUGCACGCAUUAUUGGCUUCCUUAUAUCUUUUAUAAAAUGCAUCUGAUUUGUCCAAUUUAAAUGCUUUAAAUGCCCUUUUCUUAUUUUUAAUCUCUUGUUUUACUUCUCUACUAAGCCACAUUGGUUUUAAUUUGUUUCUUUUAUAUUUAUUACCCAAUGGUACUGAGAAAUUUACCAUUCUUAUAUUUGUUGGAAGAUGUUCCAUUUACCCUCAGUGUUCUUUUCACUAAAGAGUUUAUGCCAGUCAAUAUAUUGUAAAGCUGCCCUAAACGUAUUGAAAUUGGCCUUUUUAAAAUUAUAUGUUUUAGUAUACCCCAUGUGCUUUUGUUUUUUUUAGUUUAUUUCAAAGGACACUAUAUUGUGAUCACUAUUUCCCAAGUGCUCACCUCCUUAAAUGUUGGUCAAAAGAUUAACGUUGUUUGUUAAAACCAGGUCCAGACAAGCAUCCAUUCUAGUUGGUGCUUGUACAAGUUGUGACAUGAAGGUGUCAUUUAACAAGUUUAAAAACCUAAUUCCUUUUGCUGAGCUACUAGUCCCUCUGUCCCAAUUUAUGUCCGGGUAAUUAAAAUCUCCAAUAAUUAAAGUGUUACCCAGAUCUGCAGCUUUCUCAAUUUGCUCAAACAGCUGUUGUUCCUCAUCAAUAUUAACAUUAGGUGGUUUAUAACAUAUCCCAACCAAUAGUUGUUUUCCCUUCUUUUCCUCCAAGCAGAUAUUUACCCAUGAAGCUUCCACAUUUUCCUCAUCACAUUCCACUUGCUUAAGAUUUGGCUUUAACUCAUGGUUGACAUACAAACAUAUCCAACCACCCUUCUUGUUUUUCUAAUCCUUCCUAAAUAACAUGUACCCAUUUAAGUUAACUGCCCAGUCAUGUGUCUCAUCCCACCAUGUUUCAGUUAUGCCUAUUAUACAAAUUGUUUAGUGUAUGCUACUACCUCUAGUUCCCCCAUUUUGUUAUUUAGGCUCCUUGCAUUAAAAAGCAUACAUUUAAUAUCAUGAGUCACUUGUACUUUUUGUGAAUUAUCAACAUUACAUACCUUCUCUGUUCUGAGCUUGCCCCUCCCCUGUUUCCCCCUGUCUAAGGGGGGUCCCUUAUACUGAGCUAAAGCCGAUCUCCUUUCUGUCCUUUCUCCAUUUUGUAGAUUGCUAUGAUCCACCCCUCCCCCCUACUACUAGUUUAAAAUCUCCACCAACCUUCUAGCUAUUUAGGUGCAAUCCAUCUAUAAAGGUUGUUCCCAAGCGCAAAGUCGGCUCAGUGCUCUUAUCAAACAAUUUACCAAAUUUCAGUAGGACUCACUCUGAACAAAUGUGGUAGAAGGUAAAUUUGCUAAAUAAAUGAAUCUACAUUUUAAAUUGUAUAGCCUGAAUGCUCCUGAAGUAAUCCUAUUAAUCAUAAAUAAUAUUUAUUUUAAAACAAAUAACUUAAACAUAAUUUAUUAUUUAAAUUGCCAUCCAUAUUUAACUUAAAUACAAAUGCUCUUAUGUUAACUGUAUAUAUUUAAGGUCAGAUGUAAUGCUUUUCAUUUAUUUUUUGCCAGAUCAGGAGCAUUAAAAUAUAUACAAAGUGCAGGGACUUAAUUUGGGGGAAAGGAUGACAAAUUAUUACAAUGUUACUGUAUGCCCAAACAGAACUGGUAUACAUUUGGUGCAAGUCUAUGAGGGUUAAAGGGACACUACGUAUCAAAACAACUUGUUGAUGUAGUAGGGUUUGUGCAUAUUCCCAUCCAUUGUUUUUGACAAUAUAAAACAUUGCAUACCUGAGUAUGUAAAACAUAAUAGGGUAAUAACAGCGUUAUUCUGCCAUGCAAGCAAACACUGCACACAGUGUCAUUCUUGUGAUCAAUGCAACACAUGGCAACAUUCCUGUGUCCAUAACACACAGUGACACUUCUGGGCCUAUAGUGAUGCUGAUCAUCUUCAUGGCUUCAAUUGUGACGCUUACCAAGUGAUAACUCUUACAAUGCCAUGAGCUUGGAUAAUUUUUUGACAUAGAAAGAUGUUGCGUCAAAAUAUUUGAUAAUGCAUGUUCUGGAUUCAUAGAUGUUAUGUGGACGAAUAGAAUUCAGCCUAUAGGUAAAUAUGUUUGCAGGUUUUCUGCAGGGCACAGUGAAAGGGUAUGAUCGCCAGCAGACCAUGUUUGCAGAUUUUAAAAUGCAAGACAGGGCAAACUCAGGACUGCUGGCACCUAUGUGGUACGCACUUCUGUCUUGUCUCAGCCUGGGUUUGCAUGAUAGGGUUAGUUUAGCCUUCACAGGGACAUGUUGAUACUAAAAAUUUUAAAAUCAGAUAAAAUAGCCCCAUAAUUUUAAAAUAGCAUUCCAUAGACUGGUAUUGGAUCUUUAUAGUGGUAGAGUAGUAAGGUCUAACAUUUUUGCAGCCAACGUGCUAGAGAUACAGUGCAAUAUAGGUGCACAAUAUAGGAAGGAAUAUUUGUUCAUCUUACAUUUCAUAUUACAGUAAUUUGUUUUCCCACUGUUCAUACAGACUCUAACAUCUGCUUCAAUGAACAAAAAUGUGUUAAAUGAAAGCAUGAAAUUUAAAGGAAAGAGAAUAAGAUUUUGGAUUCCUUCUUCUGAUAACUUUUUACAUGCAUGAGGCCUUAUUAAAAUAAACACAGACAGUUUUAUCAUGGGGAAGCAGAGGGAUUUUCUGUGCUUGUCAAGGAAAUAAAUUCCUUGAAAUGGCCAUGAACUGAAAAUGAUUUUAAAUUCCUAGGGGGUAGAGUUCCAGGGUUCAUAAUGAAAAUGUAGGACAUUUAGCUAGAUUAAUCUUUCUAGUAUGCUUUGAAAAUAAAUAAUUUUUAAUUUAAUAUUUUUUUAUUCUGAUCUGAGGUGGAUACAUGAGUUAAAAGAUUAUACUAAAAUAUGUAUACUUUUAUUUCUGUUUCUCAUUGUACACCAUACCAGAUGGAAUAUGUAUCUUCUUUCUGAAUUUUGAAAACAUUGUUGAAUGCGAAGUAUAAAACCAUGCAAAAUGAGUUACUAAUCCGUGAUUAGUGUAGUGUCCUCAAACAAACAAAAAAAUGCCAUGUAUUUUAAGCUGCUUAUAUAUACACACCUAUAAAUAGUUACUCUCAAGGAACACUCCAGGCCUCAUAACUGCUGUAGUACAUUGGAGUGGUUGUGGUGCUAGGCGUGCCCUGAUGCCCCCCACACACAGGAGUCAAACUGUGUUUUAAUGGUUUGACAUGUCACCUGGGGCUCGUUGCGUCCAGCUCACUGUCUAUUUUCAAAUCUAAACUUGUGGCUUUUAUUUUACAUAAAACUCACAGAUACUAGCAUAUGCUAUUAGAUUUAAUAGUUAAAGCCAUUCUUUCUUUACAAAUACUGAACAAGAUUAUGGAUGUUUUCAGGCAGGGCCGCCAUCAGAAAUUUUGGGACCCCUAACACAGCUCAAGGUCUGGGCCCCCAGGUGCCCACCUCCAAAUCCCGCCCACAGGAAUACACACACACACAGACAUAAAAGGACACAGACAGACACACAAAAAGAUACACAAAUACUGAAACAAACAUACACACAUACAGGCAUACUAACACACACAUACUGAAACAGACACACACACAUAUACAGACACAUACAGACACACACACAUAAGGAGAUACAGAUACACACACAUACAGACACAUACACACUGACGUACAUACAUACUCGCAUACUGACACACACACACAUACAUACUGACAAACAGACAUACAUAUAAACUGACAAUACAGACAUACAUACAUACACAUGCAUACUGAUAUACAUACAGACACACAUACAUACUGAUAUACACACACAUACAGAUAGAUAUAUACGUACACACAUACAUAUAGAUAUAUGCAUACAUACAGGCAUACACACACACACACACACACACACACACACAGACAUACAUAUAAACAUACAUACAUACUGACAGACAUACAUACACAAACAUACGUACUGACAUAUAUAUAUACAUACACAGAUAGAUAUAUAUACACACAUACAGACUGACAAACAGACAUGCAUACAUGCAGACAGACACAUACAUACAUUCUGAUAUACAUACAGACAUACACUUAAUUUUUCAGCCACCCUCCUAUUCCUUACAUUUAAGUUGCAGGAGGGUGGCUGGGGAUGAUGGGAGCAGAUGCCUCUGCUCUCCCCGGCUGUUUCUCCUCCCGCGCGGAGUAAGCUGGGAGGAAGGCACACACACUUUUAUACUGAGAAAACUGGGCCUGCCAGGGUACCCUAGAUAGGGCCAUAGAUAUGGAGGGGACAUGGGUGAGAGUAUUCCGAUGAAGAGCAGGGCCCCACACUGCUCACAAAGUUCAUGACAAGCACGAUCUGGGGGGAUCUGAUGCUGGGGGGGGGGAUAUGGUACUUCCUGUAAAAGUUGUACAGGAAGGUGAACUGAAUGACGACCAUUGGCGCACGACGGAUUGGGGAUGGGGGCUCCCUCCCUUGGCGAGGACCUUGGAGUCGUUGAGGGGGAGGGCUUGCACUCCCAGACUGCUCUGGCAGGGUGUAAGAACAGACUUUUUUGUUUAGAGUUAUAUAUUAUUUUGUAUAUGUACUGUUUUAAUGGUUUAUACAUUGCUGCUGUUUCCCCACGACACUGGGGGGCCUUGAAUAACAAACACACUAUAGUCCACACCCAUGAAGCAUUACCAUUGAACUUAGGCACAACCCCAUUCCCAUGGCUCUGAAGAUAAUAUCUAUAAAUGUAAAAGGCCUUAAUACCCCAAAAAAGCAUUGCCUGUUGCUGAGGGAACUAAGCUAAGAAAGCAGAUAUAACAUAUCAUAUUCAUACAAGAAACUGUAACAAAUUCAUCCGCCUAUGAUAAUGUGUUUAAUGGGCCGCUGUGGAUCUAUGCCACCUUAUAAACCCAUGACCGCCCACGUUGAGGAUGAUGUCGGCGUGCGCGUGAUGUCACGUGCACGCACGCUUUGGGGUCAAAGACCGAUUACAGCCAAUCAGAAUAAUAGGAGGGUUAUUUAAACAUAUUUUUACAUUCUCUCAUUGCCCUGUCGUGGUUUCUACCUGAUGGUUAUCCAAGAGUGCAUUCCUGAUCUUGAUUUUUUGGUAUUUGACUUUGGCUUUGGUUCUGACUUCCCUGACUUAUGGUAUCCUUGACUUUUGGCUUUUUCUCAUCGCUGUGUCUGAUUCUCUAUCCCUGACUUUGGCAAGUAUUCUGACUAUUCUUGGAUACGUUAAAUCCGGCCAUUCUAAGGUCCUUUAGACGUUAUCCUUAGUCCUAGGUGUGAUACAAUUCUGACAGAAACGCACCUCCCCAGGUUGGCACCGGUUAGAUUACAAAACAGGAUGUACGCUAGGACUUACGAAGCAUGUGCACUGAGAAAGAGAGCUGGGGUAGCCAUCCUAGUCCACCGACAGUGCCCGCUACAGGUAACCGGCACACAGGUUGACCUGGAGGGUAGAUAUGUAUCCCUGACAGGUACUUUAUACACCACUAAGAUUCACAUAACAAACGUUUACGCACCAAACGACCCAGACCCAUCAUACUGUGACACCCUUAUCACCUUGACCCAAAACGCGGGAGGGUGUGUGGUCAUGGUGGGGGGAGACUUCAAUGCAGUGCCGUGUCUGGCAGCUGACAGGAGUGCAAAAUGAGGGGUACCCAGAUCCCAGGUCAGGGGUGCACAAGAUAAAUGUAUGCACACGUUCCUCUCUCACACUGGCAACUCCAACACCCGUAAUUAUACAUUCUACUCUGCACCACAUGACACAUACUCAAGGAUCGACAAUUUACUGCUAAAUGGCCACAGGAUAACCAACGUCCUACAGUCAAACUUCAAUAGCAUAAUGUGGUCACACCAUGCAGACAUCUCAAUCACUCUCGGUGGGCUCAAAUACUCAACACCUUGGUGAUGGAAACUGAAAACCUCCCUCCUUGAUGACAAAGAAAUUUUCUGCAAGACUGACUUAAUCCUCAAGGAUUACUUCAUACUAAAUGACACACCAGAGGUGAGCCCAACAGCGGUAUGGGCAGCCCAUAAAGCAGUGGUGCAUGGGCACCUUAUUAAGGAGGCCACCUUCUUUUGGAUCAACAGCAACAACAUAUGUGAGGAGGGCUGAACUUGAUGGACACAAGUCUCUUUUCAAAUAUGUAACUAUGUAACUAUAUGUAACAUACCGAAAAAAUUUAAAACAGAACUCUUAACAAAACUACAAACAGCUCUACGUAGAGUUGAACAACAGCACAAAGCUAACAUCACAAACUCACAGAAAUAAAUGCACUUAGACAUUCCAUUAAAGAACUAGCACUAGAGGGAGUUUCUAGCUCCCUCACAUGGUCCAAAAGUUUCUUCUAGGAGAAGGCAAACAAAAUGAAAACUGUAUUAGCCAGAACUCUUAGGCCCAGAGGAAAGUACAAGCCAAUCACGAAAAUACGCACCCCGAGUGGCAGAAUAGCCACCACACCACAACAAAUCAACAAAGUGUUUACUGAAUUUUACACAGACCUAUAUGAUCACCCCCCCCAGCUAAAUAGCGACAACGUACCCUACGUCAUGGAAGUACAUGACUUCCUGAAAAAACUUGGUGUGACGGGGGAAGAUAUGGAGUGCCUUAAAGCUCCCAUAACACAAACCGAAGUAGACGUGGCUAUUACAGCAUUCAAGGGGAAUAAAGCCCUGGGACCUGACGGCUAUGAUGUCAGAUAUCACAAAACAUUCAGUAAAGUACUCCCUCAUCAUCUCACUAACUUAUGCAACCAUUUUCUGCAGGGGGGCUAUACUAACGAACAUAGUCCUAAUGCCGAAACCUGGUAGGAAUGACACAUACGCAUCUAAUUAUAGGCCCAUCUCUCUCAUUAACUCGGAUAUGAAGAUAUUCGCUAAAGGACUGGCGGCUAGACUAACAUCUUUCCUAACACGUCUGAUACACCCAGAUCAGGUGGGCUUUAUGCCAGGCAGACAUCUAUAUGAGAACACCCCGCCGAGAGGCAGUGUUGACUUGGCGUAUGGCGGUGACGGGGAGACCUUCUCUGGUGAUCUCUUUGGACCCCGAGCAAAGGCCGUAUCUGAUUGGUGUACUCCGGAUCUCCGGAUCUUCGGUUUUCCGGAACCAUUUAUUACAGUGACACGGGCCCCCUACACAAACAUUCAGACACAAACCAUAAUAACUGGGGCACAAUCAUCCCCAUUCCCGUUGGGGAAUGGCACGAGACAGGGCUGCCCGCUAUCCCCUUUACGCUUUGCGCUCACAUUGGAACUGCUGCUCCAUGCCAUCAGAACGCACCCACAAAUCCAGGGAGUAACGAUAGCAGACAAACAAUAUAAAGUAGCGGCAUACACCAAUGACGUCCUACUCACCCUUUCAGAUCCCAUAAGAUCGAUGGAACACCUAACACCACUGCUAGCUCGCUAUGGCAAUCUCUCAGAUUACAGAGUUAACCUACAAAAAUCUAUGGCCAUGCCAUUCCACCUCUUGGCCCUGGACACGGCACAACUGCAAAGCGCUUUUAAGCUACAAAUAUCUAACACAGCCCUCACAUACCUGGGUUCCCGCCUAACUGUGGACCACACUCAAAUGUAUGACCAGAGCUAUCUGCCACUGAUCUGAACCCUCACACAUGACAUGGAACACUGGAUGGACAAGCCUAUCUCAUGGAUAGGCAGAUUACACGCAAUAAAAAUGGACAAUUGCCUAAUGGAUAGGCUGACCUCAAUGGUCAGCAACUCCUCUAAGUCCUUCUAUAAGGUGUGGGAUCUGUGGCAACAAUAUGACACAGACUACACAGGUGGGAGGCCCGCCUAGUGUACAGGGACAGACAUACUAAGCAGCAUAGUUUUAAUUAUUGUUUAUGCUAAAUGUUAAAGAUGUUAAAUAAACACAGUGUGACUGAACGGAAAACCAUUGACGAUGGGAACCCUAUAUAUAAGGCCAUAGAUAUGUGAUAUGAUGCUGUGCCACAGAAACAGUUCUUGUAUGUCAACCGUUAUGUACCACAUUUUAAAUACUUACCUGAUUCCAGCACCAAGGUCCCUCGGCGCUGGAUUGGGCUCUUCCUCUACUGACAGGAGUCGAUGGUAGGUAGCCACUAGAGACCAUCUAAACCCUGCAAUUUUCUCUAAACCCUGCAAUUUUCUCUAAAACUGCAGUUUUACAAUGUAUGGUUAAGGGGACAGGGACAUUGUGCUCCCAGAACACUUUAAUGGGUCUGGGUGCCUAUUGUGCCCCUUUAAGGUCAUAAUAUCCAAAGUGAAAACAGAAUUUACUAGUAGAAAUUAUCCAGUUUGGUUAUUUUGGCCUAAAUGUUGGGAUUCAUUUUGAAUCCCUGUUAUUUUUACUUUUGAAAUUUCAAAUUUCAGAUCAAAAUCUUCAAAUCAGCUUUGAUUUCAAUCCAGCUAUUUUCAUCUGAAAUUUUAUAUUCACUUUAUAUCUCUGACAAUUCAUACUUGUUCAUUUUUAUUUAACCGACAUUCAGUUUUUAUUUUACUCUCACUAUGUUGAGUAUACAAUAAUAUAACAAUUUAGGUCAAAAUAGCCAAAUUGGAAAAAUUAUUCAAGUCAGUUCUGUUUUCAGUUUUUUUCUGUUUGUUUGCUUAAAUUUGAAAUUCACUGUAAAUUCACUUGCAUUACUGGCAAUUUUUCCAUUAGAGAAUAAGCCUGUUAUUGUACACACAGCAUAGGAAGCUGAGUACUGUUUGUAAAAUAAAAAGAAAACGUGUAAAACUAAAAACUUUUCUAGAAGUCAAUGGGAAUUUAACAUUUUAGGUGAAAAUAGCUGGGUAGACCCUCCAUGGACUGACAAGGAAGGAGGGACAUGACUGAUGCUAAACUGAGGGGUCAUGACCGGGGCUAAGCUAAAGGGAGGGGGAUAUAGUGAAACAAUGUUGCAAAUGGUCUACAGGUUAUAAGGACAGUGAAGGGAGGGGACUUACCAGUCAGCGUUGAGAAAGUGCAGGGAUCCUGACUUUCUUGUCUCUCUUGGCACUUGCUGACACUGGUUAUAAAAAAAAAAAACCUUUAGACUUUAGUGCAAAUAUUUUCCCUCCUAGCUGUGUUCCUGCUCUAUAUGGAUCUUUCCCAGGAGACGUUGGUGGCCCUGUUGCAGUCUUACCGGGCCGCACAUGGUGCAGGCUCACUUGAAUCAGUGCUGGAUGGUGUGGACGCCAUUUGUGGAUAGGAAGCUACCCCGGGUUCCAGUGAGACUCCGGUGAUUGCAGAUGGUGGACGGCGGGCCAGGCGUUCCAGGCCGCUGUCGCUCCUGUCCCCCAGCCCGGUGAGGAGAGGACAAGAUGGCCGCAGGUGCAGAGGAGCGGAGGUGGCUAAUGCACCUGCACCGAGCCCGGCGACAUCCCCACGAGCAACUCAGCAGCGAAGAAGGGCCACGGUCGGAGCCAGCAGCCAGGUCCAAGAUGGUGGUCGGGUGGUAAGAUCUCGCAGCCCCCCUUCUCUUCCGGCAUGGCCGGAAGUUACGUCACAACGUCAGGACGGAGCGACGCCGGGAGUGACAUUAUCGGACGGAGCCGUGAUGCACCUGGAAGUGGCCGAGAGGGACACACUUUACACCGGAAGUCCAUGGAUCCAAACCCAGAACCGAGCAGAAGCCUCCAGAUCGGGAGGUCGCAUGGGUGCCACAACCAGAGCGGUAGUCCCCAGGGGAGCCAGCAGUGCCAGCCAGGAUGCCGGUGGUCAGGAGACCGUGUCGGUUACUGCGCUCUUGGGAGCUGGGAGGCUCCAGGGUGAAUCGGAUGAGGAAGAUUCAGGAGAGGAGCAAUCUGGUACCGGAGAAACAGGACCACUGCUUCUGCCUCAGAUUGGUGAGUUGACCUGCGCUAGCGCAUGGGGUCCUGCAGGGGUCUGGGCAGGAUAGUGAAUUGCUGCGCCUUCUUAGGAUUUUAGUGGGUGGGCAGUCUAGUAGCGGUGGGACUGGGACUAUAGGUCAUUCUCCCGCUGGGAAGCAUUUCGCCCAUGUCUCCCUGGGUGUGAAUUGUCCCCUUUAGGGUUACACCUGCCGAUUUCAAAGUGGUUUCAAACCGCAAACCAAGUUGUCCAGGAACCGCAUCGUCACCUCAUGCCGAAAACAGUUCCAUAACAUUUGUGACCAAGUCCUACUGAGGUGACCAGGAACCCACAAAGUCCUCAUGCCAAAAUUAGUUUCAUAGCAGUGGCAACUAAAUAUUGCCGAGGACUAUUCGUUUGUUUUGUUAAUGCGAACGUCCGCCAGAGAGCUAGUGUUCAGUUCUAUUCGCAUGAAGGGAAAGUGCCGAACCAGGAGCACCCAGGGAACUAAUGGUGGCUGGGCUGGGUAACUCCUAAAUGGUGUUUUUAACCUGGACCAUAGUCAUGGGCAGGAGACCAGCUUCCACACUGCUCCAGGUAAACACUACCAUCAGCUAUGUUGCACGGACUGUGCCCGUUAUGUUAACAGACACUCAUAGCUUUAUUCACAAACAACAGGGUCAUCUGGUUACAUAUAUCUGAAUUCAGACCAAAUUAGCAAUUCUCAUAUUUAUUAAAGUUUAUUUUGGUUGGAAUUCGACCAACCAGACUGAAUCUGCAACGAUUAGUCAGAAGCUUUCAGUGUCUGGGUUCAAAUGAGUGCUUUUGCAAUUUGAACCCUAUACAAACAAUAGGAGUCGUAUUAUUAAUAAAGUGGAGAGUUAAAAUAAAUUUGGUGGUGAAUUCAUUUAGCAGAGUUCAUGGGCAAACAUUUUUUGUUCACCUGCUUUUUGCAAGUGACCAAUAAAUGUAAGUAAAAUUAGUUCCAUGCAAAAAACAAUCCUUAUCAGUGCCAAAGUUAACCAUGUGGUGGCUGGUAAGCAUUUGCUAGGAAGCUGCCAUAUUGAAAGCAAAAAAAAAGAUGGUAGGUGGUGGCACUAAUUAAGUAUUCAUAAGAGGUGGUCAUGCCAUUUGUCCACUCCCCCAAAAUUGUGCUUAAGUUUCCUAAAAGGCAUUUCAAAGCUCCUAGCUUUUAGCCCCUCACCCUUCCAAUAAAAUACCCUGCAUAUCCCCUCUCAUCCAAAUAAUAGUGAGGACGGCCAAUGAAAUUGAUAGCUGUAACAAAAAAAAAAUACUUAACAUCAGAUGUCUUUCUUCUAAAAAUUUUCUCUGACCCAUAAAAAGCCAAAUUAGAAUCCAUUAAAAAAAAAAAAAAUGCAAUGCUAAGGUGCAGACUGAGGUUUUAACUCAGGAACAGCCUAUAUAAAAUCUCUCCCACACUUUAAAAUCUCAGAGUGCUCUGAUUGGCUGGCUUUUAAAUGGGAAUAUUCCUGUUUCCCAGGUGUGUAAUAGUUUCUGUUAGCAUUACGCCUGGCCACUCCAAAGGAUUUUCUGCAUUGCUAAGGGAUAACCUAAAUACUCUGUGUUGGGGUCUGCUAUUACUGUGACAUAAGAUGACACUAUUAGAGAAUUAUGUUUUUGUGUAAUUGCAAUUUGGAAAAGCUACCAUGUUUGAACAAUCUACCUGAAUGAAGGUAGCAAAUAUCGGGGCUUUCUCACUCUGUUAUAUUCAUUUACCAACUUAAGAGACUGAAUCGAGAUGCAAAUUUUGUCCUAUCCCCAAAAUAGACCAUUACAAUGAAGCUUAUGCUAGUAUAAGGAAUAUGACUUAACCUUCCUUUGAUCUUUACAAAGCUGGAUUAAGGUGUCUUGGAUAUAACAAGUGGAGCCUUACAAUAUAACUCAAACCUCCCAAGUUACAAGGGCAGUCCCUAGUUUCUUUCUGUCCUUUUUUUAUUUUUUUCCCUCUUCGAACAGCUCCAUAUUGUUAGUGUAUCUGAGUGUAUAACAGAGUUUCAAAAUAAUAAUACUGAGAGUAAUGUGUCUUUUUACUAGAAUAAAAGUGUAUAAAAGCAAGUCUUUGUAAGUAAAAUACAUUAUUCUGGUUAUAAAUUACAUUUUAAUUAUGUAAAUUUUUUUUAGUAAGGCACCCGUAAUUUCUCAUAACAGCCCAUCCAUGUCCACACUCCCACUCAAAAUCCUAAUAUUAAAGUGUUGCUCUUUGUCAAUAUGAAAUGUUGGGAGAUAUGCAUAACUCCAAUAAAAUGUAUGACAUAAUCCUUGCAUGUUGUCUCCAUAACAUAGCUGUAGACACACAACUCAUUGAGGGCAUUUGAACGAUGCAAUUUAGACACAUUCCAGUUGAUAAGUGCUGAGAUGUGGGUGUUCUCAGGGUUGAACAAAUACAUGCACAUAUCAAAAGGCAUUAUUUUAGCUCUAUGAUGUCCAAUGCAACAACAUCAUGUAUGUUAAAAUGAGGUGUGUCAGAAAAAAAAUCAAUCCUCCUGUGUUUAGCCAUAAUAUGCUUGCAUAAAUGUCAGGGUGGCGGUCCGGUGACCGGGACCCAGACACUGUCUGAGCGGCGGUCGGACGACCGGGACCCAGUAUGCCUGAUGAAAAAAGUAGGAGUCACAGUGUGGAAGUGGAUUAGCAGGGUCUGGUGCAGGGUAAACGCACUCCCCCUGGUGUUGAGCACCAGCGUUUGUGCGGCCACAUACCAGGACCCUGAUGCAGCUUCAGCAGAUCCCAGGAACUAGGAGCUUGGAAAUAAGCAGACCUCCCAGGAGCUGAAUAGGGAGGUUCUGCAGCAGGAAUGUAUCCAGUACAGAAACAAAGCAAGGCUAAGAUAGGCACCAAACAUAAAAUCAAGACAAAACUAGUAGAACCCAGAACCAGAGAAGGAAAGGAAGCAAUAGGCAAAACAAGAGGAGAUAUAACUAAGUACUAUAUAUGUAAAACAUUGGAAAUUUAGACAUACAUACAUAGGAAUCAUGGAAAAGGAAUGGGUGUGGCAACAUAAAACAAACAUUUAAAGGAAUCCAAGAGACUUGGAAUUCCAGGAACGGAAUACAGGAAUGAACCCAGAAAACCCAGCAUAAAGAAAACCAGACAUGGAAUAGAAAAGCAGAAAAACCAAGAAAAACUAAACAAGAAUUGUAAAAAGAGUACUGGAUACCAGAAGCCAUUGCCAGAAUGAUCCGCAGCUAGAAACAGGAUGUGACAAUAAACCAUGUGAAAUGAAAACAAACUUACAUACUAACCACACUGAGUCGACAUCCCUGUAUAAAUAUAUUUUUUUAAUGAGUCUGCUUUUUUUUGUUGCAAGUUAGAUAGAUGCUAUCUAGUUUCACAAAUAAAAACCUAAAUUUACUAUGUGCUAAACCUUAAAUAUAUAAGAGCUAGCAAAUGAUUAUUAAACUGUCCUUUGAAAGAAAAUUGGUUGACAAAACUAAUUUGAAAUAUAUUUUGACUACUUCAAAUUUUCCAAUAUUCAGCUUAUUUGCUAAAAGGUAAGCAUGCAAGUAAACAAACUACCUCUUGAACCAACUUAAAGUGACCAUAAUAGCUCUAGUCCUUCUAUUAAUACAUUACAAAAAACUAACCCCUUCAGGACGGAGUCAAUAGUGCACGUUCUGAUCAAAACAAAACGUAAACAAAAACUGGAAUUUGCGCUAUAUGUCUGUUCAACCGUAAUUCACUGCUGUCACAUUAAGUGUACCCAGACUUAUUAUAUAUAAUUUUGUUCAGGAGAAACAGGGCUUUAAUUUAUCAUUAACUAUUCAUAUAUGGAACAUAAUUUAUUAUGAAUAAAAUUUAAAACAAUGUGAGAAAAUAAGAAUUUUUUUUUAAUUUGUAUUUCCGUCUGACAUUUUAGCUGCAAAAAAAUGCACACAUUUUUAAUCAGCGAUGUAUAACGAGUACAACAGUAUCCUCCAUUAACAGGUUUUAUGGUGUUUUGGAAAGUUACAGGGUCAAAUAUAGAAUGUUCCAUUUUCAAAUUGAAAUUUGCCAGAUUGGUAAUGUUACCUUUGAGACGGUGUGGUAGCCCAGGAAUGAGAAUUACCCCCAUAAUGGCAUACCAUUUUAAAAAAUAGACAACCCAAGGUAUUGAAAGUGGGGUAUGUGUAUUCCUUUUUAGUAGCCUCUUAGUCACAAACACUGGCCAAAGUUAGCAUUCAUAUUUGUUUUUGUGUGAAAAAAGCAAAAAACUAAUAUUUGGCCAGUGUUUGUGACUAAGUGGCUACUAAGAAAGACUGGACAUACACCACAUACCUUGGGUUGUCUACUUUUUCAAAUAGUAUGCCAUCAUGGGGGUAAUUCUCAUUCCUGGGCUCCCAUACACUCUCAAAGGCAACAUAACCAAUCUGGCAAAUGUCAAUGUCAAAAAAAAAAAAAAUGCAAGCCUUAUAUAUGACUCUGUAACUUUCCAAAACACCAUAAAACCUGUACAUGGGGGGUACUGUUAUUCUCGGGAGACUUCACUAAACACAAAUAUUAGUGUUUUAAAACAGUAAAACAUAUUACAACAAUAAUAUAGUCCAUAAACGUGCCGUUCGUUUGUAAAAAAAAUGCAAAAAACGUCACUUUUACUUAAAAUAUCAUCGUUGUAAUACAAUUUACCAGUUUGAAACACUAAUAUUUGAGUUCAGCAAAGUCUCCCAAGUAAAACAGUACCCCCUAUGUACAGGUUUUAUGGUGUCUUGGAGAGCUACAGGGUCAAAUAUAGUGCUUGCUUGCCGGGGGAGGGCUGCCUGGGCUGUCAGGCAGUCCUCCCGAAGCAGAGCGCCGGGAAGGUAAGUAUCCCGGGCGCUCUGGGGGCUUAAGCCGUUACGGCGUUCUAUGCCACCGCAACGGCUUUAAAGUCCAUUUAAUGCGGGACGGCAUAGAAUGCCGUAACGUCGUUAAGGGGUUAAUAGUGCACAUAAACAGUCCCUGAUAAUAGGUGGGACUCUAGAUAGAUAGAUGGUAAUAGCUGGAGAUAGAUAGAUAGAUAGAUAGAUAGGGUUUCCAUAUAUCCUGAAUUAAAUUGCUGUAUCUAGAUAGAUAAAAUAGAAAAGACAAAAAAAAGUAUAACACAAUUUAAACUGUUUAGAUUGUAUUUUAAAAAAAUAUUUUGUAGAACUAUAGACUUUUUUUUUACAGAUUAUAUAGUACACAUUAUGAUGUAAUAUUUCAGAAGAAAGACACGUUUGUCACUAAACUUUACAUGAUAACAAAAAAGAAGGUCAUAUAACCUGCCUAUGGAUAUUUAAUAUAGCAAAGCUAAUGGAUUUCUUGUAUCUCAUAAAAUACCAAAUUAAUUGCAUUGUGUUAAAAUCCUGGUAGUUUUAUAUUUCUUAAAAGGUUAUUCCUCUACUGCAGCAUUUCCCAAUUGGCGUUCCAAUUGGAACAAAAUUAGGGUUCUGCGGAAAUUCGCCACAUCCAAGAUGGCCGCUACCUACUGUUCCCGGCCGUGCAUUCAGCCCACCUUGCUGUCAGCCCACCCUGCCAUCAGAGCCCCUCCUGUCACCCACCCUGCCGUCAGAGAGCCCCACCCGCUGUCAGAGAGCCCGCCCAGCCGUUAGCUAGCCUGCCCUGCCAUCAGCCCGCCCACCUUGGGGGUACUGUUAUACUCGGGAGACUUUGCUGAACACAAAUAUUAGUGUUUCAAAACAGUAGAACGUAUCACAACAAUAAUAUCACAAUAAUAUCAUCAAUGAAAGUGCCGUUUGUGUGUGAAAAAUGCAAAGAAACUUCACUUUUACUGACAAUAUCAUCGCUGUGAUAUGUUUUACUGUUUUGAAAAACUCAUAUUUGUGUUCCGUGAAGUCUCCCAAGUAUAACAAUAGGUUUUAUGGUGUUUUGGAAUGUUACAGUAUCAAUAUUGGGCUUGCCCAUUUCAGUUUGAGAUUGGAUUUCUGGGUCUAUGUUGCCAUCAUGGCAUAACAUUUGCAAAUGUAGACAGCCCAGGGUAUUCAAAAUAGGGUAUGUGCAGUCUUUUGUAGUAACCACUUAGUCACGAACGCUGGUCACAGUUAGCGUUUUUAGUUGUUUUUUGAAUUUUUUAAAACAAAAACUGCACUUUUACUGGCGAUAUCAUUGUCGUGAUAGGUUUUAUUGUUUGAAAAACUCAUAUUUGUGUUCAGCGAAGUCUCCAAAGUAUAACAAUCCCCCCCAUGUACAGGAUUUAUGGUGUUUUGGAAAAUUACGGGGUUAAUUAUAGGGCUUGCCAAUUAAAUCCUCUGGAAUACGUGUGUGUGUGUGUGUGUAUAUAUAUAUAUAUAUAUAUAUAUAUAUUUAUGGUCGUAUGGUCGUGGCAUCAAAAGCCAUAAUGAGCAUAUUAGAAGUAGAUAUAUAAGGUCCCUAUAUGAGACCAAUAGUAAUAUGAAAGAGUUAUGUAAUAAAAAGAAGGCCCACCCUAGAUAAAGAUAUGAGAAAAGGGAGUGGUGGGAGGGGCAAAUCGCCAGACUGAACGAUAAUAGGGAGUGGUCUGGCAUCCUUAAGAAGGGCAAUCAAGCCCCUCCCAUAACUACAGGCCCAGCCUUCCAUUUAUGGUCCUGGCAUCAAAAGCCAUAAUGAGCAUAUUAGAAGUAGGUAUGUAAGGUUCCUAUAUGAGACCAAUAGUAAUAUGAAAAAGUCGGUUGUGGUGUGCCGGAACCGACGAUGCGGAGUGCCUGUAAUAAAAAGAGGGCAAAAGAGUAUAUCAUACAUAAUUAUACAAAUCAAGCAUUUUACAAUACAUUACAUAUACAUGUUACAGAAUUCUUGGUGUAUUUAAGAACAGGUUGAUAUAUAUAUAUGGAGUAAGCGGAGACCUCCAUUGUCUCAAAGUCCCAUUAAAAUGUACUGAAUAUUCCUGGAGGUAUGGUUGUCAGCACUGUAAAGUUUGGGUUCGUAGCGAACAUUACUAUUUUUUGACCCCGAGCCUGGACAUUUCAGUGGCAGUUCAGGUUCGAGUUCGGUGUUCGGCGAUUUAAUGGCUCGAUUUGAAAAGCUGCAGGGCAGCCAAUCAACAAUCAUUUUACUCAUGUGCCCUUAGAAGCCAUCACAGCCAUGCCUACUAAUGGCAUGGCUGUGAUUGGCCAGUGCAGCAUGUGACCCAGCCUCUAUAUAAGCUAGUAGGGGUAUGUCUAUUAAAAAGUGAGCAGCUGGUUGAAAAAAUUUUUUUUAACCCGGGGCCCCCAUCCCGAGCCCCCACUCGUGACGUGCGAGUGGGGGCUUUUAAUCUAAAGAAUGUUGGGGAUAAAAUCAGCCCGGGCCCUUUGUGGAUGAUGGAUAUUUGCCAACUCAUACAGAGCUCUGGAAAUUGGAAAUGAAUAGCAGAGACAUGUUCGAUAACCAAUUCAAAUUGUAUUCAUACGUCAGUUAUAUUUAUACCCCAUUUUCAUAGCAGGAUGGGAGGGGGAAAAAUGAGCAUAUGGGCGUGACAAUGACAUUGUUUUUCACAAGUUAUAAACAGCUGUUUUUAGUUAUAAUUGGAUAAAACCCAGAUGAUUACAAAUACCAAAAUCUUGGACAAUUAACAAGGUCAUUCCAGAAUCCUUAUCAUGUCAUGUCAUGUCAUGUAGAUAUCCAAAAUCAUGUUCCAAUAACAUUUCCCGUAAAUAGAUCAGUUUUAUUUCCGAGAAUUGGAGAUACAAUUCCAAAUCUAUUCUUGGUUCAAAUUAACCCUUAUAUGAACAGCUAGGCUAUUGAGCAAAAUGGAUGUUCGCAUCUACAAUUCCCCUCUUAGAUCAUAUCAUGAUCUACCUUACGGAAUAUCCAUGGGAGGCCUGCGGCAGAGAAACGAAAGGAGGUAUAUUCAGACGUGCUAAUCACGUCUGCGGGACUUUCAUUAUUUCUUCACCUCGAUUUCCCCCAUUUGCUCUGUGCCGUAGGUUUUCCCUUUAAGAGGAGAUCGAGCUGUCGAUUUUCAGCUUCUGUAAUCAUCUGUUGUACACAUCUUUUAAGUGUACAAGUUUAAAAAAAUUAGGGCCCUAAAUUAGAAUAGGACCUAUUGUCCUCCCCGCUGGCCCCCACCCCUGAGCGGUGGGUGGGGGCACUAAAUAAAAAUUGGGGGGCCUAUUGUCCUCCCCCUGGUCCCCACCCCUGAGCGGUGGGUGGGGGCCCUAAAUAAAUGUCCUCCCCCCAAAAAAAAAUUAGCCCCUACCUACCCCCCUCACCCUAAAAAUAAUGAGGAGGGGACCUUUAACUAAGUACCUGUAAAAAUAAAAUAAAACUUACCAUUUGAUGUUUUCUUUCUUCUAAAAUCUUCUUUUUUCAGCCCCAAAAAAGGCCAAAUAAAAAUCCUUAAUAACCGAUGGACUUAAAAAAAAAAAAAAAAACGAGCACAAAAAAAUAACCCAUCUUCACCCAUGGAGAGCUCCGCGCAGACUGAGCUCUGUAGGGCGGGGGAAGGCUUAUAAAGCCUUGCCCGCCCUGCAAUUAGGCUCAGAGCACUCUGAUUGGUGGGUUUAAGUCAUCGAAUCAGAGUGCUCUGACAGGUAAAUGAAGAGACUGACAGGCUUGAAAUCCACCAAUCAGAGUGCUCUGUGUCAUUUAAUUUGACUCAUAACACUCUGGGUGAUUAAGUAAUUAAGUGAUUAUUUUUUUAUUUUAUUUUUAAGUACGUCGGUUAUUAUGGAUUUUUAUUUGGCCUUUUUUGGGGCGUCGAGGGGGAGGACAUUAGGUCCCCCCCUUAUUUUACUUUAGGGCCCCACAUGCUAUUCAGGGGUGGGUGCUCAGGAGGGGGGAACCUUUUUUUUUUUUAACAGUGAGCAGCCAUAGGCUGUUUAAUAGACAUGCCCCUACUCGCGGUAUAGCAGAUAAUAAGGACAAAAAAGAAUGGGGUGGGGAAACCACUCACAACAAGUGGGUGGAAUGCGCCAGCCCAUUCAAAAAAUACCUCCCAAUAUAAAGGGUCACAUGAAUAGGGUAAAUAACCUUUAUUUAAACAUACGCCUAUCCGGUACUAUAAGUUCUAUUACUCACAUAUGUAUUUAAUAUGUUUAAAUAAAGUUUAUUUACCCUAUUCAUGUGACCCUUUAUAUUAGGAGGUAUUUUUUGAAUGGGCUGGGCAUUCCACCCACUUGUUGUGAGUGGUUUCCCCACCCCAUUCUUUGUUGUCUUUAUUAUCAUUUUUUCGGGGUUAAGCCCCUUUUACCUCCUGUAACCUCUCUUUUGGAGGAAUGGUGGUAGUUUUUCUGCCCCAUUAUCCCUCCUUCUUUUCUUCUUUUUUUGUUACUGAUAACGAAACUACUGUGUGUACCUCAUAUAGUUCAUCACGGUAGCGGAGAUACAAUAUCCCACAGAUUAUCUCCGCUUAAGAUCCCAGUGAGGUGCAGGAACAAGUAAUUAUAGAUCCACAAGGCAAGGUUUCCAGAAGGUAAAAUAAUCCAACAGUAUCCCAACAGCAAUCCCAAUAACUGGACGACACACAGCAUCAGGAGCAGAACUGAAAACCUUUAUUCCACAGUGGCCUUAUAAAGCAUGCUCCCAUGCAAGGGAGGGACUUUCAUCAAUUAUUACAGUACCCAAUCCGACAAUAGUAACCUCCCACACAUCUCCUCCCCUCAGCCUGACUCAUAAUCCCCUUAUACUGUACACAAAUUCCCCCAGUUUCUGGAUGUACCCCUAAACCUAGGGGUACCCCUUUAAAUGGCACAUCCCCAGGUAGCCCUAAUCUGGGUGGGCAACAUAUCCAAAAAUCACCCAGAUCGGACCAGGGGUUUGGUAAAUUUAUGGAAGUACUAAAAUGACCGACCGCGCUAGAGAGAACAGCCGAAUUGGGUUCCACGCGAUGGGGCCCUGCGGUCGGUCCCAGUAUAAGGGAAUAAAUUACAUGAAAGGCUAAGGCUACAGAGAUCAGGUAGGGUUCGCUUGAAUCCCCUCGUUCGGUUGUUUCUGUCUACCGAACGAGGGGCUGUUCGGUAGUUUGGAACCGAACUGACCGGGCUUGUGGAGGUCUCAGCGGUGUUCGCCUAGUCGAGUGUCCGAUUUGGGUUCCAGACACUCGACGGCAAAACACUGCUGUUCGGGAGUUUUAAAAUGGCCCGAGAACAAAGGACCUACUGCAUAGCUUGUUAAUUACCCGUUCGCAACAUUGUUGCAACGGAUAAUUGAAGGCACACUUCACACAGGGGAGGUCUGAUUGUUCGGUAGUUUAAUUCCCUUAGUUUAUUCGAAUGAUUCUACUGAACAAUCAGACAAAUACACUUUAUUUAAACACAUACAAAACCAGCAGUUUACACGAAUGCAGUUAUACACAUGUAAUUUUCAGGACAGCCCAGUGCCAUCCGCUACAAUCACAUGAUAUUCUAAUAAAGUAUUAUUGUAACAGAAGGAACUUACCAAUACCUAAUAGUACCAGCCACAUAACUUUAGAUUUAAUUUACCAGCUGCACAGAUUUACGUCCAAGUUAAAUAAAUCUGCUCAAUAUAAUUAUACAAAGGGUGGUUUCCAAUACUAGACACAGUUCUAAUACUAAGCAGUUGCCUCCCUUCUAAAAUCCUGUUUUGUGGUACCUCAAUAUAUAUGUAUAUAUAUGUAUGUAUGUGAUUUGAAAAUGUGGUAUACAUAGCAGUUUCUGGUACAUUAUGUGCCAUUCAAAAGUUCUGCUGUGAUGCGAGGUAUAGUCGAAGAUCUAAUAGAAGUAAGACUAGCCAUGUCCCUUGUGUGAUGUUGUAUCAGACCUAGAAGGAGUGCUGGGCAGGGAGAGUACUCUCCACCCACGUCGUCAAGAUAUGUUAAACAGCAAUAUACUGGCUUACUUGCUAUGCCAAGUGGCAAAACCAUUACACAAGGUUGAUGAUGGGGAAGGCCCUGCUAGAUGCCAAGCGGCUUGAGAGGCUCUAUCUAUGCGUUGGCGCGAGGGGAUUUUGUGACCAGCGAAUGUUGUGGCGGGGUGUCGGCCUCUCUGUGACUGUGACUUUUAAAGCAUAGGAUAGAAUGGGAAUGACAAUGGGAGUGACAGGUGAGGCCCUCUCAAUGCCACUAUGCGAACUAUGAUUUGGGACAAUGGGCGCAAGACCUCAGAGUAUGAGGAUGGGUGUUGGCCUCACGGGACCCCUAACAUAAGGCAUAGAGGCCUGAGAAAGUAUAAGCUAUCAGGCUCCUGGUGCCCUGUCAGCCAGUGAUGAAACUAACUAAUGGAGGCAUGGGAAGGUAUGGAAUAAGUAUGUGUAAUUUGACUCAUCUGAGAAUGAGUAGUCAGAAACCCGGUAUGACAUAGAAGGUGGAUUGGCGCAGUCCCACAGGGGUAACGAGAUAUUGUAGGAAUUGUGGUAUGUUAUGUAAAAGAAGAUAUCCUGGUCUGCUUAACAGGAUACGCAGCAAAGUAACGUACAACCAUAAGUAGGAGGUUGUGCAGUAAAUCGUACCUAAUGAAUGUAGUAUAAGUUGUAUGAUUAGUAAUGUUGCCCUUAAAUGUUGAGUACUCUGUAACCUGUAAUAACCAUGUUAUCAGUAAUGCCCUUGAAUAUCUUCUAACCCAUGACCAGCGGCGUCCAUACCGCGGUCGCAGGGGUCGCAGCUGCCACUGGGCCCGUCACUCCAGGAGGCCCGGCCAUCCUGUGGACCCCCACGAGCGGGUACCAGCUGCCAUGUUUUGCGGUCCUUGCCUGUCCAGCAAACCGCCGGGGCCGCAUGUUAAGGGGUCCAUCGGGUGGCCCAUGUGUGACGAGAGUAAUCUCGCCACAUUGCAUUGGAGAAGCCUGGUUGCUCGUCUGUUGCCUUUGGAUUAUGGCCCCAUGUUAAAAGGCUUGAUUUUCCCCUGAAAAGACAUGAAAGCCGGGUCAUAUGGUGCUUGCCCUGUUUGGUGAUACCCCAGAUAGCUAUGCCAUGGAGCCCAUUCGUAUAAUGAAAGUCUAUGGGAAAGACUUUGGCUCCAUGGCAAUUGAACUGUAUGUGUGUGCUCUGAGCGCCAUUCAGUAAUAAUGUGUGCUCAGAUCUGAGCUAUCUGGGGAUAUGUUGAAUGUACCUGUGUUGUGCAAUGGCUGCACAGUUAUAUGUUUUUGUGUUUUAUUGUCUUUUGCUGCCAUGUGUUCAAUGGAGUUUUUGUCACGAUUCGGGGAACCCAACACGCUGGCACACACACACACACACACACACAAAAGGUGCCGUACCGGACCUUAGAGUGGCCGGGCUAAGCACACACAGAAUAGUCAGGAGACAAGCCGAGUAAGGGGAACCAGAAGACAGAAUAACGUGAAACAAGCCGAGGUCAAAGGGUAGGAGAAAGUCACAGAGUCAGAUAAACAAGCCAGAGAGUACGUAACCAGAAGUACAAGGUAAGUAGCAAUACUAGAAAGCAAAGACCACAACAGGGCAGGGAGGAACAGGAAAGGUAAGUAUUUAAACCAUAAGGUUAAUUCUGAUUGGAUAAUUUCCAAUUAGAAUUAACAAUCACACGUGGGAGAUAUCUAGACCUCCCACUGUGAUUGAGGCACUGUGCCUUUAACGCCGGGUCAGGUGACGAGGCUGGAAGGUUGCCGCUCGCCGGACCCACGAGGAGGAGGGGACCGCGGACGGCUGGAGGGUGAGUACCGUGAGCAGAGUGCAGCCUCCCCUCGCAGCCGCCCACGGGAUCCCGACAUUCCCCCCCCUCGAAGACCGCCUGGAGGGCGGGAAGCGGAAGGCUUCAAAGGAAACCGGGCAUGAAAGGAGCGGACCAAAGAGGGAGCGUGCACAUCAGAGCUCGAAACCCAGGACCGCUCCUCAGGGCCGUACCCUUUCCAAUCCACCAAAUAUUGCAGCCGGCCCCUAGAAACAUGAGAGUCGAGAAGAGCAGCCACCUCGUACACAUCAUCAGAGACAGCGCGAGGGGAAACGGGCCGCCCAAAGGGAAGAGAGAACCGGUUACACAGCAAGGGCUUCAAAAGCGAGACGUGAAACAUGUUUGGGACACGCAUGGAAGGAGGCAGAUCAAGGGACCUGGGGGCAAAUUUCAUCGAGGGAACCUUGAGACGAACCAUACCCUAUCACCCGGAACAUAAGAAGGGGCCGCAACCCUACGGCGAUCAGCAAACUUUUUCUGAGCACCUGCUGAACGAGACAGCGCAACAUGGACCUGAUCCCACGUCUUCCGCACAGAGGCGAGGUGCUGGUCCAAGGCGGGCAUUCCCUUGUCGGAGAACGCACCGGGAAGGACAGAAGGACGAAACCCAUAAGCAACCUCAAAAGGACUUAAGCCAGUAGAUGAAUGAGACACCGUAUUCCUGGCAAAUUCAGCCCACGGAAGAAGGCGAGACCAGUCAUCCUGGUGCGCAUUAGUGAAGCAGCGCAAAUACAAUUCCACAGACUGAUUAGCACGUUCGGCCGCACCAUUAGAUUGCGGGUGAUAGGAGGAAGAGAACGACAAGGAGACCCCCAUCUCAGCACAGAAGCCCCUCCAAAACCGAGAGACAAAUUGAGGGCCCCUGUCAGAUACAAUAUCCUGAGGUACCCCAUGCAAUCGGAACUCUUCUUUGGCAAACACCUGAGCUAACUAAACCGCAGAAGGCAGUUUCUUAAGCGGAAUAAAGUGCGUCAUUUUAGAGAACCUAUCCGUCACAGUCAGUAUCACCGUCUGACCAUCAGAAAGAGGCAGGUCUACAAUGAAAUCCAUGGAUAAGUGGGUCCAUGGUUUCUUGGGUAUAGAUAGAGGCAUCAGAAAACCCUUUGGUCUCACAUUAAGGGACUUACACUGCGUGCAGACCCGACAAGCCUGAACAAAAUCUACUACGUCUCGCUUGACUGAAGGCCACCAGAACUGUUGAAGGAGGCCCUUGUAGGUUUUGGUAACCCCCGGAUGACCAGCAGUUUUGGCUGUGUGAAAUAAAGUUAACAACUUUUUUCUGUCAUUUGUUUCAACUUAUAGUUUACCAACCGGCGUCUCAGGGGGUGCCUGGGUUUGGUAUGUCUUAAUGCUAUCAAAGAAAGGUGAAGAAACAACCAAACGGGUAGCAGCUAUUAUCUGAGACACAGGUACAAUAGGUUCAGGAGUCAGGUUAACAAAUUCUACCGGUUCAUGCUGCCGAGAGAUAGCGUCAGCUUUGGCAUUACGGCAACCAGGUCUAUAGGUAAUAACAUAUUGGAAGCGUGAGAGAAAUAGAGACCAUCUAGCCUGCCGGGCAGAUAACCUUCUAGCAUCAGCUAUAUAGGAUAGGUUCUUAUGAUCUGUUAUAACCAUAAUUUUGUGUCUAGAACCCUCUAAUAAGUACCUCCAUUCCUUAAAAGCUAACACAAUAGCUAAUAGUUCCCUGUUCCCAACAUCGUAAUUCUUCUCUGAAUCAGACAACCUUUUAGAAAAAUAACAACAGGGAUGGAGGGGUUUGUCAUACGACAACCUCUGUGACAGUACGGCUCCCACACCUGACUCUGAAGCGUCUACUUCCAUAACAAAGGGAAGAGAAGGAUCAGGGUGGUGCAGCACUGGAGCAGAGGCAAAUGCCUUCUUGAGGGUUUGGAAGGCCUUAAGGGCUUCAGGAGUCCAAACCCUAGGGUGUAGACCUUUUUUUGUCAGCUUUGUUAUAGGAGAGAUGAGUGGUGAAAAGUUUUUUAUAAAUUUCCUAUAAUAGUUGGCAAAUCCUAUAAAACGCUGGAUAGCCUUCAGUCCUUGGGGGAGUGGCCAGGACAGUAUAGCUUCCAAUUUAGCAGGAUCCAUACUGAAACCCUGUUCAGUAAUGAUAUAUCCUAGGAACUGCACAGAGGUCUGAUCGAAUAAACAUUUUUCUAACUUACAGUAGAGUCCGUUCUGCAAUAGCCUUUUGAGCACCAUCCUAACAUGGUUAUGGUGUGACUUCAAAUCAGGAGAAUACACAAGUAUGUCGUCAAGGUACACCACAGCACAGACAUGCAAUAGAUCCCUAAGGACAUCAUUUAUGAGGUCCUGAAACACGGCAGGAGCAUUACACAGUCCAAAAGGCAUGACCAGAUAUUCGUAAUGCCCACUGCGUGUGUUGAACGCUGUCUUCCACUCGUCAUUCGGUUAUAAGCCCCCCUGAGGUCUAAUUUGGUGAAGAAUUUAGAACCUUUAACACGAUCAAACAACUCAGUGAUGAGGGGGAUAGGGUAGGCGUUUUUAACCGUUAUAUUGUUCAGACCCCUGUAGUCUAUACAUGGCCUCACAUCUCCCUCCUUCUUAGCCACAAAAAAGAAACCAGCACCAGCAGGAGAGGAGGACCUUCUAAUAAAACCUUUUCUUAGGGAUUCCUGUAUGUACUCCUCCAUGAUCUGGUUCUCUUUUUCAGAAAGAGGGUAGACCUUUCCCCUAGGAGGCAUAGUACCCGGUAAGAGGUUUAUGGCACAAUCAUACUCACGAUGUGGAGGUAGCUUAUCUGCCUCCCUCUUUUCAAAAACCAAGGCAAGGUCUGCAUAAACAGAAGGGACAGAAACCGAGAGUGGUUUAGCCGUGGGCACGUUAAGUAAACAAACAGGACGUACAUGAGCCAUACAGUCUCGCUGACAAGAUUCCCCCCAGGAGAGUAUAUCUAAACAACCCCAAUCAAGAACAGGGUUGUGUUUAACUAACCAGGGAAAACCCAGAACGAUGGAGGCUGUAGGGGAGUCAAUUAUUUGGAAGGUUAACUUCUCCUUGUGCAAAACACCCACAGACAUAAGUAUUUCCUGGGUUUCAUGGGUCACCAGAGGUUUCUCCAGUGGUCUACCAUCUAUGGCCUCAACGGCCAAGGGUGUCUCCUUUCGAUCAAAUUCAGGGCUGCGGUUUUGGCAAAGGUCUCAUCCAUAAGGUUGUCUGCCGCACCCGAAUCGAUCAGGGCUUUGGUUGUUAUAGUGGUUUUAUUGACCAAAAGAGAAACCGUAAUAAACGGUCUGGAGAUGGACAUAUGAGGGGACAAAGUCAUAACACCCGAGGCCGACCCCUCUCUAGGCCUUAGGUGCUGCAGUUUCCCUGUACUUUAGGGCAGGCUUUACAGUGAUGCCCCCUCUUCCCACAAUAAAGGCAUAACCCCUCCCUUCUACGGUACGCUCUUUCGGCCUCAGUUAACCCCGUAGCACCCAACUGCAUGGGUUCAGGGGAUGGUUGCCUAGGAGCGGGUAACGCUAGCAGUGAAGUACUGGGUAGAGCAGGUAACACCCGUGUAUCCAACCGUCUUUGGCUACGCCUCUCUCUAAUACGGUUAUCGAUAAGAAUCACAUAGUCUAUAACAUCAUCUAGAAGAGCAGGCAAUUCCCUGGAUGCUAUUUCAUCCAGUAUAUAAGCGGCCAGACCCUCCUGAAAGGCUGUUACGAGGGCGUCAUUAUUCAAAUCCACUUCAGCUGCUAGAGUACGGAAUUCGAUAGUGUAAUCUGCUACAGAUCUGUUACCCUGUCGGACCCUAAGCAGAGCCUUGCCAGCAGAAGCAACCCUAGCGGGUUGAUCAAACGUGCGUCUGAAAGCUGUCAGAAAAUCUGCAAAGGACAUAGGAGACGUAUUUUCCCAAAUGGGGUUGGCCCAUGCUAAAGCUCUCCCGGACAAGUGGUUUAUCAAAAAGGCAAUUUUAGAUCUGUCAGUGGGAUAGGAACGUGGAUUCAUCACCAAAUGGAUGUCGAUUUGGUUGAGGAAACCACAACACAAUGCUGGGUCACCACUGUAGCGCUGUGGCGGCGUCAUGUGAACUACAUGAGCGGGAACAGGUACUGGAGUGGGAAUGGGUUCGGGCAGCCUCCUGAACGGCAGGUUGCAAGUGUGCAGUACGAGCCAGUAUGGUUUGCAAAGCUUGAGCAAACUGAUCCAUACGGUGGUCUAAGCCUCUUGAUUAACUAGGAGCUGUGGUAUGUCAGCAGGUUCCAUUAUGGCCCUGUUGUAAUGUCACGAUUCGGGGAACCCAACACGCUGGCACACACACACACACACAAAAGGUGCCGUACCGGACCUUAGAGUGGCCGGAAUAAGCACACACAGAAUAGUCAGGAGACAAGCCGAGUAAGGGGAACCAGAAGACAGAAUAACGUGAAACGAGCCGAGGUCAAAGGGUAGGAGAAAGUCACAGAGUCAGAUAAACAAGCCAGAGAGUAUGUAACCAGAAGUACAAGGUAAGUAGCAAUACUAGAAAGCAAAGACCACACCAGGGCAGGGAGGAACAGGAAAGGUAAGUAUUUAAACCAUAAGGUUAAUUCUGAUUGGAUAAUUUCCAAUUAGAAUUAACACUCACACGUGGGAGAUAUCUAGACCUCCCACUGUGAUUGAGGCACUGUGCCUUUAACGCCAGGUCAGGUGACUGACCCCGGCGUGUACAAACUUGGGCGGUCUCCCAGCGUGCAGCGUCAUGUAUGCUGCCGCUGGGGGACGUGGAGGAAACGGCGGGCGGCAUCCGAGACUGGAAGGAUGCUGCUUGCCGGACCCACGAGGAGGAGGGGACCGCGGACGGCUGGAGGGUGAGUACCGCGAGCGGAGUGCAGCCCUCCUCGCAGCCGCCCGCGGGAUCCCGACAGUUUUGCCUCUGUCUUUGGAGAUAAUUGGAUUACUUCCCAAUUAUCUCUAGGAUAGAAGACUCUGUGGAACUGGUUUUGGGCAGAAAAACCAUGCUUCCUUUGGUCACAAAGGACUACGAUCUAUCUUUUGAACCACUGGACCAAUUUGGAUGAUUUUGACAUAUGUUUGUAUUUGGAGUAUGCUGAUUCUGAAAAUGUAAGUGAUGCUUACUUUGUGAAUGUGAUGCAUACUUUUCAAGUUAUGAAUAAUGUGGAAAAAUUGCAUUUCCCAUUGUGUAAGGUAAUUGUAUCACAGGCAGAGGGGAGGAUUUUGUGUGGGAGUGUCUGAGUGUAUUGUAUGUGUUUAUUGGUUGUGUUCCAAACCCUGUGGGUGAUACUAAUGUGAAUAUGAGAACAAUAAACCCACAGCUCUGGCUGUUCACUGCUUGACCCUCAAAACAGAGCCUUGUCUCGUUCUUGGGGGGAUUUAGUGUAUGCUGUUCCAGUUUAACUGCUAGGAGUGUAAACCUAUUCAUAUGGUUUUUCCUAUUCGGCUGUUUACAGCAUUCGUAUGGUUUCCUGUUCAGCGGAUUGGCCUAAACGGUUUUAACCCCUUGUGUGCUGAAACGGUCCGUUACACCAUGCUGUCAGGGUCACCCGAUGGACAUGGAUUGUCAGGGGGCUCGGUGAGCACUGGGCACUUUAACAGCGCGACCGGGCCCCCUAUGAUGACAUCACUGCUGGGAGGAAGUGACUCCCCGGUCACUCCUCCCAGCUAUCAGAGCCCGCGCAGGAGGAAGCAGGACGGAGAAGGGCAGACUGAGCCCCCACUGGACCCCAGGGAAAGUCACAAAAGGUAGGAAACAGGAAACAUUUUGUGUAUGUGUGUGUGUCUGUGUAUGUGUGUGUGUCUCUGUAUGUAUAUGUGUGUCUCUCUGUUUUGUGUGUGCCUCUCUGUUUUGUGUGUGUCUGUCUCUGUAUGUGUUUAUGUCUGUGUCUCUGUAUGUAUCUGUGGGUCUCUGUAUGUGUUUGUGUCUGUGUCUCUGUAUGUAUGUGUGUGUGUCUCUGUAUGUAUGUGUGUCUGUGUCUCUGUAUGUGUGUGUGUCUGUGUCUCUGUAUGUCUCUGUACAUGUGUGUGUGUGUCUCUGUACGUGUGUGUGUCUCUGUAUGUGUUUGUGUCUAUGUCUCUGUAUGUGUGUGUGUGUGUCUCUGUAUGUAUGUGUGUCUCUUUAUGUAUGUGUGUGUAUGUGUGUGUGUAUGUAUGUGUGUGCCUGUGUAUGUGUGUGUCUGUAUGUGUGUGUGUAUGUACGUGGCUGUCGGGGGGGUGUCUGUGUGUGUGUAUGUGUUUGUGUCUAUGUAUGUGUAGGGGGGGCCCACAGAUCAGAGAGAGGGAAGGAAGGGGAGAGAGGAGAGGGAGUGUACGCCACUGCCCAUGACCCAUAUGGAAGAAGAAACGGAUACAAGUGAAAGCAGAAGUCCUAAUAAUGAACCUAAAUAUAUAAUGAAUUAUGUGAGAAGUAUGUGUGUGGUCCUGCCUGGGACCUCCUCGAGAGCAGAACAACAGACUUAAGAUAAAACAGUAGUGCUAUACACUUGAGUAGAAUUGAGGCAAGCAGUGAAGGAAGCCACCAUAACAGGUAAAUUAGGAUAAAGAUCCAAAACUUAGUUAAAUAAUUAUACACCAAGGCUUUAAUUAAUGUAGCUUUCUAUACAGAACUAGUGAUAACAUCUAAUCCCCAGUUAAGUGUCAAAGACCCAUGUUACAAACUAUUGGUUACUGUUAUUGGAUCGUUACAACUCAGAAGCGAAUGUUACUUAUUGCUACAUUUCACCCAGAAUUGGAUUACAAUAUGGGGAUUUGAUACCUAGCCCCCGAACUGAUAUGAACGGCAGACCACCAGGAUCUUGGUGUGUGCCGCCACUUAACCCCGGUCACCUUGGGAACAGCCGAACGGCCGACCACCCGACGAGCGGAGUGUGUCUCCACUUAACCGCCCGGAGAGUUGCAGUCUGUGGUUAUCCGCAACCUAAUUGACAACAGCCGGGAGUCCACGUUCGUGCCCCAUCACCCGAUACUCUAACUACCGAACGGGUACCGAACAAAGGGCCACCUACAGCCUGGCGUGUGGCUCCAAUUAGAAUGUUGUUUUUUGCGGAAUCCCGGCGGUCUUCAUUCGUCUCCCGAACACCGGAGACUUCCAACGACGGAGCGGGGAUUCGCACAGACUGUUAGCCGGUUCCUGUUCCACAAGUUUGAGGGUGAAGUCCCGCGGCCUAUUAGCCUACCUCAAAACAUGGCCGCCAACACACGCUCAGAACCCAAAGACACGAACAGACUUUUGUUCGAGGAAAUACCGCAUACCAUUCGCGGGUUCUGAGCACUCUUCGGUUAAUUGUUUCGCCUCAACCGGGGCUAUGUAAUGAAUGGUGGAAGACACAAAUUAUGUAUAAAACUGUUUGAGUUAUGUAUUUUUAUUCUGUUUUCUAUGUGGCAAAAACACGUGGGGUUUUGGGCGCUUGGAGAUAAUUGUAUUGUAAUAACCGUUUCAUUUAUCAUUAUCUCCAAGCUGGGCGGUGACGAUUGUCCCUGUAUCCCAUCAGGUCCAGAGGGGGCUGUUCCUGGACCUGAGAUUUUGCAUAAAUACUGAUACCUGUGUGCCAUUAAACCAAGUUCUUGUUUGACCUUCAAAUCGCAGUUUCGACUCGUUUUGUGGGGAAAAGAGUAUCUUAGCUGUACUAUAGCUAGUGGGAUUGUUCUACAUUUACAGGAUUCGUAUGGAAUAACUCCCGACGGAACUCUCCCCUUUCUCUGACCUUGGGAUCCAGAUCAUCCAAGCAAUCCAGCUUCCAGCUAGCCUGCAGGUAACCGUAACAUUUGGUGGCAGCGGCGGGAUCGGUCUGGACUUCCUAGGAGAGAUACCGAACGGAUGGAGAGCACCUAUGACAAAUUAAAACGCACUACCUUAAAGGAUUUACUCGAAAGCCGAGGUUGGGAACGUGAGUAACCGGCCGAGGAGGGAGCUGAUCGCAGAGCUGACCGAACUGGUUCAGAGUUUCACCAUGGCAGAAGCCCCAACAACGACGGGCGAUGAAAAAAUCCAGGAUUGUUCGGGAGAGGCUCUCACUAUAUGUGCCGAACCCCUCCAUGGAACUAGUACAGCAGCUGAUGGCAGAGGCAGAUGAGUACAUACAGAAAACUAGAGCCCACAAGCUCAGUCUGGUGACCGCACACCGCAACGCCGAUGGAGCCCUAACCAUAAGUCCUGCAGAGAACACUGGGAGGCCAAAGAAACCCUAUGCGGCUUUUAGACCCUUUCUGGAGAACGAGACAGGGAUUGAUGAAUAUUUGGCAGACUUUGAACGACAAUGUGCCCUUCAUCAGAUUCCUGACAAAGAAUGUCCCACGAUAUUGUCUGGAGAACUAUCUGGGUGAGCACUAGAGGCAUUCCGGACCUUGAGUGCCGAGGAAGUGACUCGGUACACUGUAGUUAAAGACACACUCCUACGACGGUACGUGGUAACACCGGACACGUAUUGACGACAAUUUCGAAACACUAAAAAGAAACCUAAUGACUCUCACAUGGAAUGGGCGCACAGAAUGCGGAGAGCAGCGAACCACUGGAUGAACGGGAGUAAGGCCGUGACCACUGAGGAAAUAUUAAAAUUAUUUCUGCUGGAGCAUUUUUAUAAUGGCAUUGAGCAACAGGGAAAGGAAUGGCUGCGAGACAGACGAGCCGCUACCUUAGAAGAAGCGGCCAAGAUGGCCGAUGAGCAUUAUGAGUCCCGGUUGCACGAAUCCACAAAUUACCGAACAACGGCACGGAACGAACAGUUACCAACUGCUGUCACGCACCGAAUUCAGAGCUCCAGUACCCGCAGGGGCCGUACGGUACUCAGGACCACCCAGUAACAACCACACGGACCGGCCCCGACCAACGUGCUUUCGAUGCAAACAUGACAAGCUGUCCUUUAAACUCCCAUCAGACCUCUAGGAAUUACAACUCCUAUGCCGGGCCAUCUCGCCCUGCCCGGGCCCUCUGCAUUAACCAAGAGAGCCCUAUGGAGGAAUACCUGGGACCACUACAUGAAGCCGACCCCGUAUAUGCCACUUCGGAUAAUCCCCAGCAUCAUCGGCAAAAAGUAUGGCUCGAGGGUCACUCUACCGAGGGACUAAGGGACACCGGCGCUACGAUUACACUAGUCCAGAGCCAUUUGGUUCCGGAACACAAGAGAUCAGGACAGACCGUGGUAGUUAGAGUGGCGGGGGGGGGGAUGUAUACAAAAUUCCUACCGCCAAAGUACAUCUUGAUUGGGGAGCGGGAAAAGGGACAAUUUGCCCGCUGAAGUGCUACUGGGUUACGAUUUGGGUCCUAUGACUUCUGCCUAUGCUCCAGUCUAUAACAACGAGGCGAAUCCUGUGACUACUCGGGCACAAGCACAAAUGCAGCGGGAACCCUCACCAGUGCGGGAGACACAGGUAAGACUCACCCCGACCGGGACUGAUCCCUUAGGUCCCAUACCCUGGGACACUCCCACCACAUCUGAGACUGAGUCUAAGUCCGACCCGACCUUGCAAAAAUACCGAGAGAGGGCCGAGACGGGAGGGGGUGGACUAGAUAAUGAAACAUUUUUAUGGGAGAAGGGAAAACUGUAUCGGCUGACUGAGAAAUGGGGACAACACAGACGACAGCUGGUAGUACCACACAAAUACCGACAAGAAAUAUUAAAAAUAGGACAUGACAUACCCUUAGCCGGCCACUUGGCCGUGACCCGUACCCUACACCGCAUUACUCCCACCUUUUUCUGGCCAGGGGUAUACGCUGAUGUUAGGACCUAUUGCAACACAUGCGCUGUGUGUCAGCGAGUAGGGAGGAGAGGCGACCAUCCUAAGGCACACCUGGUGAAUAUGCCCAUUGUAGAGGAGCCAUUUAGCAGGGUGGCCAUAGACUUGGUGGGGCCACUGGCUACACCUAGUCCCUCCGGUAAGCGCUACAUUCUUACCGUAGUGGACUACGCUACCAGGUACCCAGAAGCCGUGGCCCUAUCUAACAUUCAAGCCGAUACGGUAGCCAAUGCCCUAGUACAGGUGUUCUCAUGAGUAGGAUUUCCCAAAGAAAUCCUGUCCGAUCGAGGUACACAAUUUACAGCUGAGGUAACGCAGCAACUCUGGCAGGCCUGUAAGAUUAAGUCGCUUCUAAGCUCCCCCUACCACCCUCAGACGAACGGACUUUGCGAAAGGUUCAAACAAAUGCUCAAAAUGUUCACCCAAGAUUAUAGAGACUGGGAAUGCUUCCUACCCCACCUCCUGUUUGCUUAUCGGGAGGUACCCCAGGAAACGACAGGAUUCUCUCCAUUCGAGCUGCUCUAUGGUCGCAAGGUAUGGGGACCCCUAAACCUGAUCCAAGAGCACUGGGAGGGAGAGACUGAGACAGGUGGAGUCCCAAUCGUGCCCUAUGUAUUGGAACUCCAGGACCGAAUGGAGCAAUUAGCCAAAUCUGUACAAGCUAACCUCCAGUCGGCCCAGAGGAGACAAAAAGUAUGGUACGAUUGGGGAGCACGGAAAAGGACUUUUGUCCUGGGACAAAAAGUGCUGGUACUCAAACCGGUUAAGACCGAUAAACUCCAAGCCUCCUGGCAGGAACCGUACCAGGUGGUAGAGAAAAAGGGAGACACCACCUAUGUUAUCGCUAGUUGCCACCAUAGCAACCUUAGGAAAACGUUUCACGUGAACAUGCUCAAGGAGUACUUUGAGCGACCGGAAAACGUGACAGCCAUCUGCUGCCCACUCCAGGAAGAUCCCGACAGCCUACCAAUCCCUGACCUGCUAGAACGAGGGUCCCACUCAGAUAUAAUAACCCAGGUCAAGGUAGGGGAUCGACUUAGUAUCACUGAGAGGGAGCAGCUUAACCAACUGCUUCGAGCCAAAAGUCCCACUUUCUCCCAGAAACUUCAGCUAAGGGUUAUUGAGCCGUCCGAUAGUCCAUGGGCUUCACCAGUAGUCCUAGUACCCAAGAAAGAUGGGACUACCCGAUUUUGUGUGGAUUAUCGGAAGCUCAAUGAUAAGACUGUGACAGAUGCAUAUCCUAUGCCCAGGUUAGACGAACUACUCGAUCGCAUCGCCAGGGGAAACUAUCUGACUACCAUUGACCUCUGCAAAGGCUAUUGUCAAAUCCACGAUUAGGAAACUACAUGUAAGAUUACUGGAACAUUUUAAUGGUAUUAAAAAUAAGAACACAAAACAUAGUGUUCCUAGACAUUGUAAUGUUUGCAGGGAAUUUGAUUUUAAAGAUUUUUUGUGUAUUGGAAUUGAUAAGGUUAUACCACAUUGGAGAGGGGGGGACACUGAAAAGAUGUUAGCGAAAAGGGAAACAGAGUGGAUAUAUAAAAUGAAAUCCUCUGUUCCCUUAGGUCUUAAUACAGAUUUAGAUAUUUUGUCUUUUAUGGAUUGAUUCAUUUAUUCUUAGGUCUGGUAUUUAUGUAUUUUCACAUUUUUAUAUAUAUGUUUUUAUAAUAAUGUUUUUAUUUAUCUAUUUGUUUUUUUAAUAUAGGUUGUUUCCGGAUUUGAUUAUGGUCUCUAUGAAUUAUAUGUAUAUACAUAUAUAUAUAUAUAUAUAUUUUUUUUAGAUUUUUUUAUAUAUAUAUUUUUAGAUAUGCAUCUAUUGUUAUGCUGAUUGGGUUGAUUUUCUUUGAUUGUAUUGCCAUUUAAGUUUUUACCAUGGAUGUUUCUUGUUUAUUCGGUGGUUAUCAAUUAGUUUAUUUAUCAAUUUAUUUAUCUAUUCUCAUCCGUAUUUAUCUUUAUUUUUAUUAAUAACCAUUAUGUCUAUUGGCUGGACUAUUUCUGAUUAUAUUGCCAUUUGUAUUGCCGUUUAAGAUCCAAUUAUGGGUCUCCCUUUUGCAUCUUUUGUAUCAUUUAUGCCCGUUUUUUAUUGUACUUUGGAUAUGUCUAUAAGGGACUGAUUUUGAUGUAUUUCCUAUUCUGUAUAAAUGUGCUUCUAGUUUUUUGUAUUCUUCCAUAUUUUUAAUAUUUUCUCUUAAAUUUUUUUUAUUAUGGCUUUUUAAUAGAUCCUUGGUGGAUCCUAUAUAUAUUUAUAUUUAUAUGUAUAUUGGAUGUACUUUAUUUGCCCCUUCUAUUAUUAAAUUUUUGGAUAAAAAUUUUUUUGGAUAUAUAUUUUCUUUCAUACAUCCUGAUAUAUGUAUAUAUAUUUUUCUUUUCCAUAUUUUCUAAUCAAUUUUUAUUAAUUUUUUUUUUUUUUAUAUAUAUAUUUUUCUUCUUCAUAUUAACAUUCAUUAUUCCCCAUGAAGCCACAUUUAUAUUUCAUUUGUGGGUUAGUUAUAAUUGUUAGUAUUUAAGCUAGCCGCCAGGCUUUUUUAUGUAAACACAGUUUACAAAUAUAAAACGAUUGCCCUUGAUGUAGGACACUCGGUUGUUUUCUGUGUAUAGGAACAAUAAAGUUUAUUUGCGUUCCAGGGUGACCGCGCAUGCGCGGAACGUAUACGCGUGCGUCAUUACGUAUGACGUUGCGCGUGACGUACGCAUGCGCGAUCACCAGGGGACCGGCGGACCGGCGGAUUUAAAAGGGGGAAAGAAGAGGAAGAAGACAAGAAGCUCCUGACGAAGUCUGAGAGACGAAACGCGUUGAGCCACAGUGGGACCCUCCAGUUUUGGUAUCAGCAGUUUCUGCUUUACAAAAUUGUUGCUUAUGAGAUUGUUUGUGGACAUUACUGGUGAAUAUCAUUUUUAGAGUGAUGAGAGUUGCACUUUCUCACUUUAUUGCACAGUCUGCACUUUAACAUUUGCACUUUUUGUCAUUUUGAGCUGCUUUACCUAUGGGUCCAUUUGCCUAUUAAGGCUUUUUAUAUAUAUUUUGUUUUAUUAUUUGCACAUUGUUGGUGCAUUCAUUAUUUUAGUUUUUUCAAUAAACUGCAUUAUACAUAUCCUUUUUUAUCUUUAUUUGUUCAUCUGGUGAUUUUGGCGCCCUGUAUUGUCUUAGUUUUAUAUUGUCAAAUCCCCCUGGCCCAGGAAGCUAUCCCCCAGUCGGCAUUCGUCACCCCGUUUAGCUUAUACCACUUUAAGGUUAUGCCAUUCGGGAUGAAGAAUGCCCCAGCUACAUUUCAGCACUUGGUGGAUAGACACCGGGAUGGCUUCCAGAGUUUUGCGUGUGCAUAUCUGGACGACAUAGCGAUCCACAGUGACUCCUGGGAGGACCACUUGGCUCACGUAGGUAUGGUUCUGGACCAGAUUCGGGCUGCAGGCCUGAUGCUGAAGCCCGAAAAAUGACAUUUUGGGAUGGCCGAGGUCCAGUACCUAGGGCACAGAGUAGGGUGUGGGAAACAACGACCAGAACUGGCCAAGAUAGAAGCCGUAGCCAAUUGGCCUACCCCCACCACUAAGACUCAGGUCCUAGCCUUCUUGGGUAUGGUCUCGGGAGAUAAUGGCAGACUGCUAAGAUGGAGCUUAUCUUUACAACCCUUUAACUUCACGAUUGCCUACAGACCUGGAAAACAGAAUGGCAACGCCGACGGGUUCUCCAGGCAGACAGAUCUCCGUCCAGCGUAACCACCAUCUGGACAGCCUUAGUCUACCCCAAAAAGGGGUCAGACGGUGUCUGCCAGAGUGUUCCACAAAGAGGGAGCACUGUUACAAACUAUUGGUUACUGUUAUUGGAUCGUUACAACUCAGAAGCGAAUGUUACUUAUUGCUACAUUUCACCCAGAAUUGGAUUACAAUAUGGGUAUUUGAUACCUAGCUCCCGAACUACGGACCUGCUGGCUAUUCGUGAUACGAAUGGCAGACCACCAGGAUCUUGGCGUGUGCCGCCACUUAACCCCGUUCACCUCGGGAACAGCCGAACGGCCGACCACCCGACGAGCGGAGUGUGUCUCCACUUAACCGCCCGGAGAGUUGCGGUCUGUGGUUAACCGCAACCUAAUUGAUGACAGCCGGGAGUCCACGUUUGUGCCCCAUCACCCGAUACUCUAACUACCGAACAGGUACCGAACAAAGGGCCACCUACAGCUUGGCAUGUGGCUCCAAUUAGAAUGUUGGUUUCUGCGGUUAACCUGAGGUUAAGUACCCCCCUCCCGAACACCGGAGACUUCCAGCGAAGGAGCGGGGAUUCGCACAGACUGGUUCCUGUUCCACAAGUUUGAGGGUGAAGUCCCGCGGCCUAUUAGCCUACCUCAAAACAUGGCCCCCAACACAUGCUCAGAACCCAAAUACACGAACAGACUUUCGUUCGAGGAAAUACCGCAUACCAUUCGUGGGUUCUGAGCGCUCUUCGGUUAAUUGUUUCGCCUCAACCGGGGCUAUGUAAUGAAUGGUGGAAGACACGAAUUAUGUAUAAAACUGUUUGAGUUAUGUAUUUGUAUUCUGUUUUCUAUGUGGCAAAAACACGUGGGGUUUUGGGCGCUUGGAGAAAAUUGUAUUGUAAUAACCGUUGGAUUCAUUAUCUCCAAGCUGGGCGGUGACGAUUUCAAAUGGUGCAUUGCAUUUCUAUUGGUCCCCCACUUGUAUUGUCCCUGUAUCCCAUCAGGUCCAGAGGGGGCUGUCCCUGGACCUGAGAUUUUGCAUAAAUACUGAUACCUGUGUGCCAUUAAACCCAGUUCUUGUUUGACCUACAAAUCGCAGCCUUGACUCGUUUUGUGGGGAAAAGAGUAUCCUAGCUGUACUAUAGGUAGUGGGAUUGUUCUACAUUUACAGGAUUCGUAUGGAAUAACUCCCGACGGAACUGUCCCCUUUCUCUGCCUUUGGGAUCCUGAUCAUCCAAGCUGUCCAGCUUCCAGCUAGCCUGGAGGUAACCGUAACAACCCAGUCUCCCUUGAAUAUAGAAACCGAUACAAGAAAACAUAGUUAUACAUUAGAAAUGGAAAAGUGGUAACAUAGGUGCAGGUUAUACAGUGUUGAUGUUGGACAUAGGUUAAGAAAUCAAGCCUUAGUAACAUGAUUAUAGGAAUGCACCGGGUAAGCAUUUACAUGCUUAGUUGAGUGAAAACCAAAUAGUGUUUAUUUAAGCGAACCAGUGUAUCAUCAGCAUCUACUGAUAUAGCAUGAAAAACGAUGAACACGCAAUGCGUUUGCUUUACCUAAACAAAACAUAAGACUAACUUAAAAUAUUGACAUGUGCAAUAUGGAUACUGACCAAUAGAGGCCGAUAUUUAACACUUAGUAUUAACUGAACAAAGAAUUUAUAAACAUUCCGUAAGAUUACGUGUAGAAAAUAAACAUUAAGGACUAGACAAAAAUGGUGCCUAGAGAGAUACCAGCUAUACCUCACUGAUGAUGCCUAACAAGGCUGAAACGAUCGUCUGGGGUUGCUGUAUCUCUCGUGCAGAGAGAACUUGCUGGCAUUUCGGAUCUGGACUGCCCGUAUGGGUGGGACCAGUCUGAUAUGCUUCAGAUAUGUUCUCUCUGUAAUGGCACAAGUUGAGCUAAAACCAGCUUGAGUUCUGAGCGGGGACCCACCGAAGGGCAGGCUAUUUUAGCUGCUGUCCGUCCUCAGAAUACUCUUGCGACCCCUUUUUUGCUCUCCAUUAGUUUAAAGGGUAAUCCAGACAUGGACCCCUUGCUCACGGUGCCUAGAGAGAUACCAGCUAUGCCUCACUGACGAUGCCUAACAAGGCUGAAACGAUCUUCUGGGGUUGCUGUAUCUCUCGUGCAAAGAGAACUUGCUGGCAUUUCGGAUCUGGACUGCCCGUAUGGGUGGGACCAGUCUGAUAUGCUUCAGAUAUGUUCUCUCUGUAAUGGCACAAGUUGAGCUAAAACCAGCUUGAGUUCUGAGCGGGGACCCACUGAAGGGCAGGCUAUUUUAGUUGCUGUCCGUCCUCAGAAUACUCUUGCGACCCCUUUUUUGCUCUCCAUUAGUUUAAAGGGUAAUCCAGACAUGGACCCCUUGCUCACGGUGCCUAGAGAGAUACCAGCUAUGCCUCACUGACGAUGCCUAACAAGGCUGAAACGAUCGUCUGGGGUUGCUGUAUCUCUCGUGCAGAGAGAACUUGCUGGCAUUUCGGAUCUGGACUGCCCGUAUGGGUGGGACCAGUCUGAUAUGCUUCAGAUAUGUUCUCUCUGUAAUGGCACAAGUUGAGCUAAAACCAGCUUGAGUUCUGAGCGGGGACCCACUGAAGGCAGGCUAUUUUAGUUGCUGUCCGUCCUCAGAAUACUCUUGCGACCCCUUUUUUGCUCUCCAUUAGUUUAAAGGGUAAUCCAGACGUGGACCCCUUGCUCACGGUGCCUAGAGAGAUACCAGCUAUGCCUCACUGACGAUGCCUAACAAGGCUGAAAUGAUCGUCUGGGGUUGCUGUAUCUCUCGUGCAGAGAGAACUUGCUGGCAUUUCGGAUCUGGACUGCCCGUAUGGGUGGGACCAGUCUGAUAUGCUUCAGAUAUGUUCUCUCUGUAAUGGCACAAGUUGAGCUAAAAUCAGCUUGAGUUCUGAGCGGGGACCCACCGAAGGGCAGGCUAUUUUAGCUGCUCUCCGUCCUCAGAAUACUCUUGCGACCCCUUUUUUGCUCUCCAUUAGUUUAAAGGGUAAUCCAGACGUGGACUCCUUGCUCACGGUGCCUAGAGAGAUACCAGCUAUGCCUCACUGACGAUGCCUAACAAGGCUGAAACGAUCAUCUGGGGUUGCUGUAUCUCUCGUGCAGAGAGAACUUGCUGGCAUUUCGGAUCUGGGCUGCCCGUAUGGGUGGGACCAGUCUGAUAUGCUUCAGAUAUGUUCUCUCUGUAAUGGCACAAGUUGAGCUAAAACCAGAUUGAGUUCUGAGCGGGGACCCACCGAAGGGCAGGCUAUUUUAGCUGCUGUCCGUCCUCAGAAUACUCUUGCGACCCCUUUUUUGCUCUACAUUAGUUUAAAGGGUAAUCCAGAUGUGGACCCCUUGCUCACGGUGCCUAGAGAGAUACCAGCAAUGCCUCACUGACGAUGCCUAACAAGGCUGAAACGAUCGUCUGGGGUUGCUGUAUCUCUCGUGCAGAGAGAACUUGCUGGCAUUUCGGAUCUGGACUGCCUGUAUGGGUGGGACCAGUCUGAUAUGCUUCAGAUAUGUUCUCUCUGUAAUGGCACAAGUUGAGCUAAAAUCAGCUUGAGUUCUGAGCGGGGACCCACCGAAGGGCAGGCUAUUUUAGCUGCUGUCCAUCCUCAGAAUACCCUUGCAACCCCUUUUUUGCUCUCCUUAAGGACUAGACAAACUAAUGAGGGCCAUAUGUGGGCCAGAAUAACUGUAACCACUUAACCAAAUGCACAGUGAAUUGUGACUAGUAGCAGUGAUGGACUCCAAUGCAGAGCUUUGUGGAUCUGAAACAAAUAUAAUACAUGUUUUACCGCAUCUGAUCGCUAUGAUAUGAAUAUAAUAUAUACACUUAUAAACCCACCUAAUUGCUUCUGGAGAGCAAAACUUAAGAGUUGUGCCCGGAAGAUCCAUGGCCUUAAUGUAAGUUAAGUUUGAAGGUAGAUAACCUCCCUAUGGUUUGAACAAUAAGAAUUGGCAAUUAACCUGAAUAACACAAUUGAGUCCUCUACAAAGAGAAACAUGCAUAACGUCAGAAUAUACUGAUAAGGAGUGAAAAAAGAAUUAAAAAGCAAGCGCUUGUUUAACCUGAAUUAAUCACUUUAAAAUAUCAAACUUCAAAUAUAGCCAGUGCAAUAUCAAAAUUGACCACUAGAGGACGUCAUUAAACAUGCAGCAAUUACCCUACUUCAAUUAAACUCCUAUGCAAUAUCAAAACUGACCAAUAGAGGCCGACAUUUAAAACAUACAGUAUUUAACUGAAACUGUGAAUUAAAACGAUUCGUAUAAAAUCGUGUGAAAACUACUGCUAAAAUAGAGCAUUCGGUUAUAAAUAUACGAACAGCCCUUGUGGUGGGCUAACUUUUGUAUAUAACCGAACGUUCCUAGAUUAACAAAAACUGCACAAAAUAAUAUAUAUAUAUAUAUAUAUGUUUAAGGCUGCAGGCCUGUAUUUGUGGGAGGAGUUAGCAUUCCUAUAAACGCUUUGUGCACAUUACUGUUACACGAUUUUGGUUAGUGAAUGGGAAGAUCACUGUAUAAUAAAUUUGUACUGCUAAAAAACAAUGCAGCUGGCUAACUGUUCUUGGGGCAGGGGGGCGGGGACACACACCUCUCAUAGAUAUUCCAAGUUUAAGACUAGGAUUACUAAUUAUAAUCUGCAAGUUACUUAUAGUGGUUAUGCAAGAUACAGAUUAUCAUUUUAUCUGUUACGUUACUCUUAGUAAUUAGGCAUUCUACUACUGUUAUGGUUAUUAUGCAUGUAGAUAUCCUUUACUUUCUUGACAUGCUACACCUCAAUUUCAGAUUUCCUGAAGGUCAUUCUACCCUAUAGUCCGGGUUAUUGGUUCAUUAUUGUAGUUCACAUCUCUCUCUACUAAUUGCCUCUACAUGGCCACGCUUCAUCCAUAAACGGGGUACCACGGAACGGGGGCUUGAUUCCUGCCUUGCCUCGUAAGGCCACGGCGUCACUCGACUAAGUCCAUCAUAUGUUAUCCAAACUAUACAAACUCACUACAUGUCAAUAAACGACUUGAUUCUUUUUCACUGCUGGUAUCAGGACUAAUCACAGGCACCUCUUGGUCAUACCAAGUCUUUCCAUCAGAUACUACCACGCUUAAAUAGCACUACCUGAUCAUGGAAUUUCCUUUUUUGGAGAAUGCAGUAGCUAUCUCUAUAAUUUCAAGCAUACUCGGGUCCUAGGUUACAAUACUAUCAGCACUAUUAUUCAGAAACUCCACAAUACUAUACUUAGGUUUAUUUUUAUUAUUUUUUUUAUCCUUCUUUUACUUAUGUUGUAGGUCUCAUAGGGAACCUUUUGGUCACUAGAAAUCACAAUUUGUGGUUGGCUAGGUACAUUGCCUAGUUACUCACAUCACCCCUUCAUCAAGCCCCCUUCCAGGGUCAGAGAACUGGCUGUUCAGGGUUAGGUGCUGGCCUUAGUUAUACAUUAUAGCUGGCCCUGUGAGGCCAACUCCCCAAUCUCAACACAAAGAUUUUCACCCCUCGGCCCAAAUCAUAGUCAGAGCCUCGCAUUCACACACCUAUCGGGUUUAUAGUUAGGGCCUCACCGGUCACGGCCACACGUUUUUGGAUCUUUACUGUCACCGAGCCGCUCACCUGCCACUUGACAACUAUCAGGGCAUCACCUGUCAUGGGGUAGAUAGUUUUUAGCUUCGGCACUAGUUAGCAAGCCAGUUCUAUGUAGCUCAAUGGGGUGAUAUUAAUCAUACCUUUGUUGUUGUGUUGUUCUUUUCUUGCAGUAUGUCCCAGGAAGCAAACAUAGGCGAAGUGCACGUGUGCUCCAUAGCUCAUUCUAAGUCCAUGUGCCCAUCUAAAUUGAACCCUAAACAAUGACUAACUGAGAUGAACAUAGGGAAUUUGGCAUUCUACUUGAAUACUCUUCCGUCCCCUCACUUGGUGGAAUACUUCAUUCACAGGUUUUCACAAGGUUUCCACACUGGGCUAAACUCCUAUCUGCGGUACACAAACCACAAACAGUUGAUGAUCUUAUUGGGUAAGAAGUUCAAAAAGGGUUUCAUGAUAGGCCCCUUUCCCUCCCCCCCUCUUUUCCUCCUCGUGCACAAAUCCGAUUGGGAUAGCCACUAUUAAAUACUCAAAUAAAAAAAAAAUAAUCAUUGAUCUGUUGGCUCCUCAUUCAUCUACAAACCCAAGCCUAGACUCCCUCAUACUGUCCACCGAAUUCUCUCUACACUGUACCACUGUGGAUAAUGGUAUACAGGCAAUCGUGAAAGCUGGUAAAGCUGCGUGGCUCGGCAAGAGCGAUAUCACCAAUGCUUUCAAGUUGCUACCUAUCCAUCCCUCAUUAUGGCAUGUUCAUGGGGUUAAGAACAGAGAGAAAUAUUACUUAACUUCCAGGCUCACUUUUGGGGCAAAAAGUAGCCCCAAAAUUUUGACACAUUUACCGAGACUCUUUGCAGGCUUCUCCUCAACAUCACUAGGUGCCCCAGGGUGAUACACUAUCUGGACAACUUUUUAAUGGUGGAAAGUAGCAGUAGCACUACAGCACUAUUUGCAACUCUAGGAGUUCCACUUUCACAAGACAAAACCACUGAACCCACAACCAGACUUAAUUUUCUAUGAAUCAUGCUGGAUUCCAAUACCAUGCAGUCAAGUCUCCCCGAGGAUAAACUCCUAUGCAUUCGCAAAGACGUGAACAGGUUCCUGCAACUAGGAACUUGCACCCGGAAGGACCUACAAUCUUUGUUAGGUUCAUUAAACUUCACCAUGUGCAUUAUCACCCAGGGAGAUAAUUUAUUUCUAGACUGCCACGCCUAUUACCAGGUCUGCCCAACGGCAAUACUGAUUGUUUAGAUCCUCCAGCUAGGGCAGAUCUGGGCAUGUGGCAAGAGUUCCUUGAACACUGGAAUGGGAUUUCAAUGUUCAUUCCCCUGGCAUCUGACCAAUCCCCAGUCAUUUGGACAGGUGCAGCCGCUAACACUGGGUUCGCAGCAAUCUAUAAAAAUCACAGGUUGAGAGAUUGCUGGCCGAAAGAGACACUCAAACUACCUUCCUUUCACGAGACGUCUGCUUUAUUCGAAAUUUACCCGAUAGUAGUGGCGGCAUUCACAUGGGGCAAAUCCUGGUCAAGCAUGGCAGUCAAAUGUUAUACAGACAACAUGGCAGCCUGUGACAUAAUUAAUUAGGGUCGGUCAUCUUCAUAGACCAUUAUGAGGUUAGUUCGCAGGCUAACCUGGUUGGCUGUCACAUAUCAGUUCUUCCUCUUCUGCGAACACAUACCAGGCUACUCCAACUCUGCCGCUGAUGCCUUAUCUUAUUGUAAAUUUCAGGAAUUCUUCGUUCUUCACCAAGCAGCCAACAAAUACCCCACCCAAACCCCGGAGUUCAACAAUUUAAUCCUGGACUAGCGCGGCUAUUGGCGCAAGGCAAGUAAAUUGGCACAAGCAGUGUUGUCCACAAACACAAAGAAAACCUACAAUAGAGCUAUGGUAAUUUUUCUGAUUUUUACCAUAGAAUCCAACAUAUACGAUCAUUCGAUCCAAACCAUGGUAGCAUUUGCCGCAUUUUGCCACCUUCCUCUCAAACGUUCUUAUAACACUAUCAAACUCUAUCUAUCAGGUGUACAACACCACAUUUUGACCACUAUGCCAAAUCAAACUCCUUUUAUUUCUGUUUACCCUGUGAAGAACAUACUAAAAGGCAUAAAUAAAUUAGAUCAUCACACUACACAAAAACGUCUACCUAUAGAUGGAGAGAAAUUCCGGGCUUUAUCAGACAUACUGGACACACUAUCAUUUGAUCCCCAUACAAACCUGGUCAUAAAAACCUCUAUGUACAUAGUAUUCUAUGGAUUCCUGAGACCUAGAGAAUUCACAACCCAGUCAGACAGUCAUUUAUGUCUCAUCAUGAUAGAUACAUUACAGAAUGUGGCCUACUAUAAUUCUAUCAAUUUUACAGAUGGAUUCAGGGAAUUUUUUUAAAUAGAGCCAAUACCAAACAGUUAGGCAAUUCGCUAGAAGUGCCCUUCUACCCUACUGAGAAUCAUUGGUGCCCUGUCAAAGUUUUAGACAUUUAUCUAGUACUGGUUAGGGUCAAUUCUAGCCACUCUCCACUUUUUACACUGCUAGACAGUCCCCUCACUACUCCCAAGUUCAUAUUCUACAUCAGAACUCUGUGCAUCAGAUUAGGUUGGGACCCUACCUCUUAUUCUGGGCAUUCAUUCAGAAUAGAGGCCGCAUCAGCCGCAUCUAGUGUCAGUACACCAGUACACAUCAUCAAAAAGUUGGGACAUUGGAAAUCCGCAGUAUACAAUAGAUAUAUACCACAACCAGAAAAAGAGUUAAGGAAUGCAUUUAAAAAUCUUGUAUUAUAAUCAUGUUUGCAAUAAAAUGUGUUUUCUGCAUUUCUUUUGCCCUCUAUUAUAACCAAAAAACAAACACAAGUCCUGCGCAUCCAGGAUGCGCAGGACUCGUGUUUGUUUUUUGGUUGUAUAUACACUGUUGGGACUUCAGUGUGGAGUAUCUGCAGCACAGGUCUAACUUGUUCUUAAUUUUAUUUUGAAUUUUGUAGGCAUGUUUUGCCUCUACCUCACCCUAUAUAUAGUGAUCCCUCUUUAUUACAGACGUACCCCUACGUCGGUUUCGGCACACCACACCGACUUACUCCAAUCACAAGGUAUUUCACGGUCUCUAUGUUCACCGACCACAAGUUUAAGGCUGCAGGCCUGUAAUUGUGGGAGGAGUUAGCACUCAUAUAAAAUGCUACUCCCCCAUCUUACCUUUGCCGUAGCGUUCUGUUCACCCCACCCACCUCACCCUCUUCAUACCUAAACAAUUCCUCCAGGGGGCCCUCUUUAUUACAGGCUUACCCCUACGUCAGUUUGGGCACCGACCACACACAUAUAUAUAUAUAUAUAUAUAUACAUCUUUGUUAAUCUGUUCUAUACACACCAAAAAAAAACAUUGAUUUUGCUACAAAAAUCUGAGCUGUUAUCAAAACAGUGCAGUCAGGUAGUGAGAUCUCUAUUAAAGUGUUUUUUUUACUCCAAGCAUCCUUUGCAGUGAGUUACUGAGAUCAAAGUGUUCAAAUCUUUUUGCUCCAAAUCUGACUCAGAAAUCCUGCUUAAAGGGAAACUAUAGUCACCAGAACAACUUCAGACAUUUUCAUGUAAAAUUUGCCCAUAGGGACACCUCCAAGUGGUCACUCCUUAGAUGGCCACUGGAGGGUCUUCCUGGCUCAGUGCUGCGCUCUGCAUGGAGAUGCUGACUUUUCCUCAUAGAGCUGCAUUGAUUCAAUGCAUCUCUAUGAGGAGGUCCUGAUUGGCCAAAACUGCAUUUGGCCCUGCCCCGUGCCGAUUUUAGCCAUAGGGAAACCAUUGGAUUGGCUACAAAUCAGCCAUUUUGAUGAUGUCAUAAAGAGGGCAAAGCCAGCGGCGGCAGACUCGCACGGCACUGGAAAUAAGAUGUGUUUUAAACUUUUUUCAAAUCUUUUUGCUCCAAGUCUAACUCAAAAAUCCUGCUUAAGUUCAGUUCUUUCUUUUCAAAUAAUUUUUAUUGAAAGAUUUUGCAGAUUUCACAAGUAAUAAAAAAACGAUAUAUUAGGGGAGGGGAAAGGAAGGGAAAACUUGGAAGUGGGAAAAAGGGGGUAUCCAUCCAUUAUAACGGUAAGUAUGUUAAUGUACAAGGCACUUAAGUUGAAAAACAUUCCAUAACAAGUUAUUAAAGGUUAUAUAUUAAUGGUAAAUUUUCAGGCUAGACAAAAGUGGUAAGUGGUGUGCCUCAGGGUUCUCUUUUGGGACCACUUCAAUUUAACAUAUUUAUAAAUGAUCUUGAAAUAAGCAUUGAAAGCCAUGUAUCAGUGUUUGCAGAUGACACAAAACUUUGUAAAGUAAUAAAAUGUGAGCAGGAUAUUGCUUUGCUGCAGAGAGAUUUGGAUAGAUUGGGGGACUCGGCACUAAAAUGGCAGAUGAAAUUUAACAUAGAGAAAUGCAAAGUUAUGCACUUCAGGGUUAAGAAUGCAACUUACACACUAAAUGGUAGUGAAUUAGGGAUAACCACACAUGAGAAGGAUUUGGGAAUUGUUAUAGACAACAAAUUAGGCAGCAAUAUGCAAUGUCAAUCUGCAGUUGCUAAGGCCAUUAAGGUUUUGUCAUGUAUAAAUAGGGGCAUAAAUUCUCGGGAUGAAAAUAUAAUUCUGCCUCUUUAUAAAUCGCUGGUAAGACCACACCUUGAAUAUGCUGUGCAAUUUUGGGUGCCUGUUCUAAAGAAGGAUAUCAUCAGGAGAGGGUCCAGAGACGAGCUACAAAAUUGAUAAAAAGGAAUGGAGCAUUUUAGUUAUGAAGAAAGGUUAAAAAAAUUAAAUCUGUUUAGUUUGAAAAACGGCGCUUGAGAAGGGAUAUGAUAACUUUAUACAAAUAUAUUCGGGGCCAGUACAAACCUUUAUCUGGAAAUCUAUUCAUAAACAGGGCUAUACAUAGGACAUGAGUUCACACAUUUAGGCUGGAAGAAAGGAGAUUUCAGCUAAGGCAAAGAAAAGGUUUUAUUACAGUAAGAACAAUAAGGAUAUGGAAUUCUCUGCCUGAAGAGGUGGUUUUGUCAGAGUCCAUACAGAUGUUUAAACUGAAAUUGGAUAAAUACUUAAAAGAAACAUAACAUACAAGGAUAUAAUUUCUAAUUAGUGGGGUAAUAGCUGCUUGAUCCAAGGAGACAUUUGACUGCUAUUUUGGGGUCAAGAAGGAAUUUUUUCCUUGUUUGUGUCAAAAUUGGAAGCGCUUCAGACCAGGUUUUUUGCCUUCUUUUGAUCAACAGCAACAGCAACAACAUUUGUGAGGAAGGUUGAACUUGAUGGACGCAAGUCUCUUUUCAGCUAUGUAACUAUGUAAUAUGUUUUUUUUAUCAGUUUCCCAUUGAUCCCAGUGAUAUUUCAGUUGUGCAAAUAUAUGUGCGUUAUUUCUAUGUGAUAAUUCGUAUGAUUUGUUUUCUAGUGUUAGUGUUAGUACUUCUUUAACUGAGGGUGUGUUUUUAGAUUUCCAAUAUCUAGGUAGGCUUGUGGUUGCAGCUAUCAGAAUGUGGCAUAAUACUAUCAAUUUUACUGAUGGAUUCAGGGAAUUUUUUAAAUAGAGCCAGUUCAGAUGUGAAGCUACCUAUGUUACUGUUCACCUUAAUAAUUAAGUCAUGUAUCAUUUUCCAAUAUCUAGUCAGUCUUGGGCAAAACCACCAUAUGUGGUCUAUGUUGCCCAGUCCUCCGCAGUCUCUCCAACACCUAUCGCUGUACUUAUUAUUCAUAUUAUGCAAUUUAGACAGGGCCAGAUACCAUCGAUACAGAAUUUUAAAGUGGUUUUCGUGAUGGUUGGAGCAGAAAGAUAGGCCCUUCAGAGCUGAAAAAAAACUGACCCAAUCCUCCAACUUAUAUUGGGAACCCAGCUCCGUCUCCCGGGAUAACAUAUGCUUCAGUUUAAUUGAUGGUUUAUCGUUAUGUAAUAUAUAUCAGAUAGAUAAUGCCCUUCCUAGUUGGGUCAUGCAAAAACAGCUUUUCUAGUUGUGAUAUUUCUAGUGCUUUAUAAUUUUUGUCGGUUUCCGGUAUGUUGUAUAUUUCUUUUAAUUUCUCAAUCACCAACUCACAUUCAUCCUUACAUUCGUUUGCCAGUCUAUGCUUAAAUUGUAAUCUUUCAUACGACAGAAUACAGUUUCCAUGGAAAAAAUCGUCUAUAUGAUACAGUCGGUGUUCUUUAAGUAAUGAUGAGUUUAAGGUCGGGACGUAGUAUUUUAAAGAUUCAAUUGGCAUGGCUCUAUAUAGUUUUGUCAAGUGACAGUUAUUUUUAAAUACUAUAUCCCAGGCUUUAAUGUGGUCUUAGUGGUCAUAAACAUUUUAGUUACUACAGGUCUCCUUACAGGGCUUAGCCAGGGUAAUUCCCCAAGUUAAAAGGGGAGAAUGCUAGAUUCCUCCAUCUCCAUCCAUCUCUGCCUAUUUUUUUUGACUAUUAAAGCUUACAACAGCUGCAGCAUUAGUUGCAAAGUAGUACUUUCUGAAAUUAGGGACACCAAUGCCCCCAUGAAGUUUUUGGUGCUGCAGGGAUGUAAGCUUAAUUCUGCUGGGUUUGUUGUUCCAAAUAAAUUUUAGCAUUAUUGAAUGUACUUUGUUAAAGAAGGACAUUGGAACAGAUAAGGGGAUAGUUCUAAAAUAGUACAAGAUUUUUGAAAGGAUUGACAUUUUUAUGGAGGCAAUUCUUCCUAACCACGAUAACUCCACACCACCCCAUCUCUCCAUCUACUUGUGUCGGUCCGGCCAUGCUCUCUUCAAGUUAUGAAUAUGCAUAUUGGGUAAAUGUUUGCAUAAGUUAAUUCCUAAAUAUUCCAGGUAAUCCCUCCUCCAGUCGAAUGGAUAUGAUAUUCUUAAAGGACCUCUAUAGUGCCAGGAAAACAUACUCGUUUUCCUGGCACUAUAGUGCCCUGAGGGUGCCCCCACCCUCAGGGCCCCCCUUCCUCCGGGCUCUGGAAAGGGGUUAAAACUUACCUCUUUCCAGUGCUGGGCGGGGAGCUCUCCGCCUCCGAUCCUCCUCUUCCCCUCCCCGUCGGCUGAAUGCGCAUGUGCGGCAAGAGCUGCGCGCGCAUUCAGCCGGUCACAUAGGAAAGCAUUCAUAAUGCUUUCCUAUGGACGCUGGCGUGCUCUCACUGUGAAAAUCACGGUGAGAAGCACGCAAGCGCCUCUAGUGGCUGUCAAUGAGACAGCCACUAGAGGAUUAGGGGGAAGGCUUAACCCAUUCAUAAACAUAGCAGUUUCUCUGAAACUGCUAUGUUUAUGAAAAAAUGGGUUAACCCUAGAUGGACCUGGCACACAGACCACUUCAUUAAGCUGAAGUGGUCUGGGUGCCUAGAGUGGUCCUUUAAUGCAUCCAUAUCAGAUUUAUGCAAGUUGAAAGGUAGGGCCUGGGUCUUGGAUACAUUUAAUUUAUAAUAAGACACUUCUCCAAACUGGAGUAGAACAGUACUGAAAGAUUUCAGAGAGUCUUUUGGGUUUUUGAGUGCUAGAAUGACGUCAUCUGCAAAUAACCCUAUUUUAUGAGUGGAUCCCUUGAUAUUAAUACCUGCGAUUUCUGUGGUCGUCCUAAUCAGUUCGGCCAGGGUUUCCAUCACCAGGACAAAGUGAAUUGGAGAUAAGGGGCAGCCUUGACGCAUCCCAUUAGUUCGAGAAAACGUUCUGGAUUGGAAACCCGAGGCCGAUACAUGAGCUGUGGGUGCACUGUAUAGUGCCUUUAUUGCAGUAAUAAAAGAUUGUGGAAUAUCACAUUUGCUCAGUGUCUUCCAUAGAUAUCCCCAAUGUAUCCUGUGGAACGCUUUCUCUGCAUCCAAUGAAAGGAGCAGAGAAGGAGUUCUUGUUGAAUUGAUAUGCUGAAUUAAGUUAAUGAACCGUCUCGUUCCAUCAGGUGCUUGUCUACCUUUCACGAAUCCCACCUGGUCAUUAUUGAUCAAUAAAGGUAUUAGAUUAGUUAAUCGGUUCACUAGUAUCUUAGAAUACAUUUUUGUGUCGUUAUUAAUAAGUGAUAUGGGCCUAAAAUUACAGCAUCUGUCGGGAGUUUUACCAGUUUUUAGCAAGGUGACAAUUUGUGCGGACAAAGACUCUCCUGGCAUCUUCCCGCUGGACUUAUAGGAGUUAAAUAAUUUGGACAUAUGAGGAAUUAAAGCUUUUGCAAAGGUCUUGUAGUAUAAAAUGGUAAAUCCAUCAAGACCAGGGGCCAUUCCAGAUGGCAUGAGCUUAAACGCCUUGGCUAUAUCACGAUAUAUCAGAUAUAUCACGCUCUAAUUUUUCCAAAUUAUCAGAAGACAGCCGAGGCAAAGAAACCCUGUCUAAAAAACUAUUAAUAGUCGCCUCAGACGAGUGGGUGAGAUUUACAUCAGAUUCCAAAUGAUAAAGUAAUAGUUAAUGAUAAUAGUUGGCGAAUUGGUCACUAAUCUUAUCCAGGUGAAAUAUUUUUUGUCCCUGGUCAUCUAUUAAGUACGCAAUUUCAGAAUGGGCAUUCACCUGCCGGAGUUUGGACGCCAGGAGAGUUGAGGCCUUGUUACCCUUUAAAUAAAACACUUUCUUGAGGCGUCACACCAUGACAGUAGUUCGAUCCAAAUUUAUUUUGUGAAUUUUUGAUUUAAUCUCCCCUAUCAUUCCUGACAGGGAGGGAGAUGGGCCGAAUUUAUUUGCCUGAUUUAGGUUGUACAGUUCUUUUUCAAAAAUGUCUUAAGUUGCAGUUAUUUUUCCUCUUCAAGUGAGACACCCUAGAAAUGAAAUGGCCUCUCAACACAGCCUUGGGCACAUGCCAUGUCACCUCGCCAGAAACCUCAUGUGAAACAUUUUCCAAAAAAUAGUCAUUCAGUAUCCCUUCAGCUAGCGAUCUAUGUUCAGGAUCAUCUAAUAAGUAAUCACUCAGUUUCCAGUGCCUAUUGGGGGAGAAAGAAACAAUUUCAUCUAUAUGCAAAGUUAUGGGAGCAUGGUCAGACCAAUUGAUAUCUAAAAUAUCAGAUCUUGAGAUGUGUGGUAUGAGAGCGCCCUGUAUCAGAAACCUGUCCAGUCUGGAAUACAUGUUCUUGGAUACUGAGUAAAAAGUAAAGUCUCUUUCAUUCUCAUGCAUUAACCUCCCAUGAUCAUACAGUCCACAUUCUUUUUUGAGCAUUUCACAGCUAAUCUAUCACUACCUCUCCUAUGGAGUUUAUUCAAAUUAUCCCUUGCAUUAUCUAAGUCGCCAUCCAUAACGAAGUUCAUAUCUCCACACAUCACCAAAGUCCCUUUCAUGUUCUCAUUCACCAAAUCCAUAAUUUUCCUAAAGAAAGUAAGCUGACCCGUGGUAGGAAAGUACACACUGACAAUUGUAUACCUAACGUUGUUAAUCUUACCAAUCCAUACUAUGUACCUCCCGUCAUCAUCCGUCAUUAUCUUUUCUGUAGAAUUGGCCACAUUCCUGCUAAAAAAAAUGGAAGUACCUCUAGACUUAGUUUUGUAAGUGCAAUGAAAUUGGGAAGGUAAUAACUGUGUCAUAAAUGUGUACUCUUUUCCUUCCUUAAGAUGAGUCUCUUGAAUACAGACAAUAUCUGAUUUGUUGGAUUUGACUUCUUUGAACAAUAGUCACCUCUUGUGUGCGGUGUUCAGGCCCCUCACAUUAAAUGGCAUGAGUUUAAUGACCAUGACUCAAAUCAGACUACACAGCCAUUAAAAAGAGAUUGUACAGAAAUGUGGGAGCCCGAAGGCCCGCGUCCCAAGAGGAGAGUUAUGAAAUUCAACAAUCGUAAUAACAAAUACAUUUGUUUAGACAAGAAAGAGCGUGCUAAAACAUUUAAAGCAUAACCUGUUAGCUUCUUGAAUUGCUUACAGUGCAUUAUUAAAUGGAUGGGAUAAAAAGGAAAAAUUAAAAAUGGAGAAUGAUAAACUUGGAUAAAUUCCCCUAUAUGGGGAGAGAAAAAAAACUAUGUUUAGAAAAAGGGCAAUGAGGGAGAAUAAAAAAUAGUUCUGCAUCUCAGGGUAUUAGGCCCCGGUUGGGAGGAGAGAAAACUGCCUGCGGCAAGGGGAAAUAAUCAAAGCUUUAAAGAAAAAUUAAAAAUGAACAGUGGUAUGAAGAGAAGAGCAAUAAAGAAUGGAGUCCUUCUAAUUCCGUGAACACAUCUCUAAUGAAGUCCAAUAUAUGCUCAGUAUGUCCCAGGCCUAUAUCAGAAAUCAGUAAUAUACAUUUAAAAACUUUGCUGUCCUAUAGACAUUUAACCAAGUGUUGAUGCACAAUAAAGAGCAUAAAGAAUGUGGACCCAAAAAAUUAGAGAGCGGGGAAAAAAAAAGGGAAAGAGAAAAAACAAUUUGUAAGUAAUAAGAUGGAUGUGAUAAAACAACGUGGAGAAAGUAAUAAAUCAAAACCAGCAAUAUGUAUGUUGGAGCUUUUGUGCCUUCAAAAAAUUAAAAGAAAGUAGCUUCAAGUGUCAUCCGCCCUACUUUUCUUGUGGGUGUGUCUUGGAGUAGAUGGUGAGGAUACGUGAGGUUGGUUUUGACGUCUGUUCAUGGCAUUAAGAAGAUCCAUCCCUUCCUCAGGAGAAGUGAUUGUGAAAUUUCUGCCAUCCAUAUGAAAGAGUAGUUUUACAGGGAAUCCCCAUCUGUAACGAAUCUCUCUUUGUCUCAGCUCUGUCGUGAAGGGUUGAAAUUCUCUGCGGCGUCACAUAGUGUAGGCUGAGAAAUCUUGGAAAAUGUUGAUAUAUUUAUAAUCCGCAGAGAGACCUGAUUUGCAAAUAGUGCUCAGGAUUUCCUAUUUUAUAUGAAAAAAGUGUAAUCUCACUAUGGUGUCUUUUGGAGCUGUUGCAGGUGCAUUGCCAGAUUUAGGGGGUCUGUAGAUAUGAUCCACUAUUAGAUCUAUAUUACUCUCAGAGCGGCGGAAUCACGGCUUCAAGUGCCGCAACGUUGGAGGGCGGCUCAGUGCACUCUGGGCGCUCGGCACGCUCAGAGUGCCGCGGACAAUCUCCUGCGAGCGGCUUAACAGAAGCUGAUAGCCGCUUGCGUGCUAUAAUUAAAGCAGCCCGGUCGCUGGUAUACAAAAGCGGGCCAGGAUACAGAGGAGGGUAUAGGGGGCUAUAAGCUUUGGGUAAAAUCUUUUUAACUAUUUUUUGGAAAUAAUGUAUCAAGUCCAAGGUGUCCACAUUAUCAGGUAUCCCCCUGAUCCUCAAAUUGUUACGCCUGCUCCUGUCUUCAGAAUCUGCCAUUUUUUCCGCUUGCAAGUUAACCUGUUUCUGAAGUUCCUUCACAGUGUUAACCAGAUCUAAAUGUGAUUGUUCUUGCACCUGCAUUCUGUAUUCAACAUCAGAAAAAACCUGAGUGGACUUUCUUUCUUUCCAGGCACUGUCAAAUCAGGAUUGAUAGAUGCCUACUUUCCAACAUGUCUAGUGAUCAAAAAGAAAUACUUUCAUUAUAGAGCAUGUAGCUAAAGGUUUGUACAUUCUAAGAUAGUGCACUUUAGCUCUGACAAUCAACUUUUUUUAGAGAUCUGAGGCUUCAAUCAAGAAUCCUUUGGCUGGGAAUUACUGAUACGUUGGGAGCAUCAGCUGACACUCUCAUCACAUAACUGACACACCCCAUUCUUAACACUGAAUAAAAAAGGUACGUAUCUUUUCCACUCAGUUUUAUCAAUGUGGUACUAGUGAUAUGCUGGUAGUAUCAGUAGCACUAAGUCUGAAGUUUCCUUGGCCUUGGACUUCUGAAGGAACUUGAUGGACAGAUCAAAUUAGCACUGUCUUUGAAAAUUUGGGGUAAACUGUUCAUUAAUGAUUUAAUCCCUUAAAAAAAAAGAAAUACUUUGCCUUGUUACCAUAACAACUUAAUUGAAAUUAAGUUGUUAUGGUGCCCUAAGUGGUCAUUUAGUUGAUAGGUUUUCAAACGUUUUUGCCUCAUACUCAUGUUUUUUCACUGCUCAAAUCUCUUUAGUUUUACUUAAAAAAAGAAAAGGCCAAUGAACGACCAAAUUAGAUGCAACAUUAACAUUCCAGGUUCUUAUUGCAAAUACUCUCAUAGCAAGGGCAUGGAAAUCCUCACAGACACCAAGCACAAAUGUGCUAGUCACACAGAUCACAACAAACUGGGACUAUGAGUGUAUGACCAAUGACUGCAUCAGAUAUAAUCCACUCACAAUGGCAGCGAAAUUGAAAUGAGACAAAUAUAUAAUGAGUGUCAAAGAUUCACUAUAGCAAAAAAAUAAUAAUAAUGAAAUAUAUAUAUAUAUAUAUAUAUAUAUAUAUAUAUAUAUAUAUUUGUGUUCGGGGCUACAUGGAAUAGGAUAUGACAGUUAGUUAGCAACCUGAGAUAGGAAAAAGUCAGAUGAGGUGUGCCGAAACCGACAUAUGCUGUAGGCCGGUAAAUAAAGUGGGCAAAAAGAAAUACAUAUCAUGCUCAAAAUUAGUGAUGUCCCGAACGGUUCGCUGGCGAAUAGUUCCUGGCGAACAUAUGCGCUGUUCGGUCCGCCCCCUAUUCGUCAUCAUUGAGUAAACUUUGACCCUGUACCUCACAGUCAGCAGACACAUUCCAGCCAAAUCAGCAGCAGUCCCUCCCUCCCAGACCCUCCCACCUCCUGGACAGCAUCCAUUUUAACCCCUUAAGGACCAAACUUCUGGAAUAAAAGGGAAUCAUGACAUGUCACACAUGUCAUGUGUCCUUAAGGGGUUAAAUUCAUUGUGAAGCUGCAUUCUUAGUGAGAGGAGGGACAGUGUAGCUGCUGCUGAUUUGAUAGGGAAAUUGAUAGCUAGGCUAGUGUAUUCAGUGACCACUACAGUCCUGAAGGACUCAUCUGAUCUCUGCUGUAAGGACAGCAUCCCAUAAAGCCCUUUUUAGGGUUAGAACAUCAGUCUUCUUUUUUUUUUCUGUGUAAUGUAAUUGCAAUUACCUGCCUGCCAGUGUCAGGCUCACAGCAUAUACUGUGCACACUUGCCCAGUGCCACCACUCACUCACUGGUGUCACAAUAGCUUGCAUUUAAAAAAAAAAAAAAACCAGUUUUGACUGUAAUAUAAUAGCAGUCAGUUUCCUUCACAAGUGUGCGUUUCAGGGCCUGCCCAGUGCCACCACUCACUCACUGGUGUCCCAAUAGCUUGCAUUUAAAAAACUUUUUGGACUGUAAUAUAAUAGGACUGUAAUUGAAACAAGGCCUGCCCAGUGCCACCACUCACUCACUGGCAGGGGCGGGCUGGGCCAGGGGGCAGGGAGGCAAUUGCCCCCCCGGCCGCCCUAAAUUCCUGUAAGGCCGGCCGCUACGGGCCGGCCCUUUAAAUACUGCAGCCGCCCGAGCGCUCUGUUAAGAGCCUCAGGCGGCUGCAGCUUCUCCCCUGUAGCGUGGCCGAGCUGCACUCCGGUCCGCGGUGGCCGGCCGGCCGGAGUGAUAGGAAGGUGCACACUGAGUGUGCACCUUCCUGUCAGUCCGACCGGGUACAGGAAACAGAAACUCCUGUUUCCUGUACCCGGUCGGACUGACAGGAAGNNNNNNNNNNNNNNNNNNNNNNNNNNNNNNNNNNNNNNNNNNNNNNNNNNNNNNNNNNNNNNNNNNNNNNNNNNNNNNNNNNNNNNNNNNNNNNNNNNNNAAUAGAGGGGAGGGGGGAAUAAAAAGAGAAGAGGGGGGGGAAUAAAAAGAGGGGAGGGGGGAUAAGAAGAGGGGAGGGGGGAUAAGAAGAGGGGGGAGAAUAGAGGGGAGGGGGGAAUAAAAAGAGAAGGGGGGGAAUAAAAAGAGGGGAGGGGGAUAAGAAGAGGGGAGGGGGGAAUAAGAAGAGGGGAGGGAGGGGAAUAAGAAGAGGGGAGGAGGGGAAUAAAAAGAGGGGAUAGGGGGAAUAAGAAGAGGGGAGGGAGGGGAAUAAGAAGAGGGGAGAUAAGAAAAAGAGGGGGUAAGAAGAAGAAGGGGUGAGUAAGAAAAAGAUGGGGGAGUAAGAAGAAGAAGAGGAGGGAGUAAGAAAAAGAGGGGGGAGUAAGAAGAGGGAGAGGUGGAAUAAGAAAAGGGGGAGGGCGGAGUAAGAAGGAGGGGAGGGCGGAGUAAGAAGGAGGGGAGAUAAGAAAGAGGGGGGUAAGAAGAAGAAGAAGGGGUGAGUAAGAAAAAGAGUGGGGAGUAAGAAGAAGAAGAAGAGAGGGGUAAGAAGAAGUAAGAAGAAGGAGUAAGAAGAAGGAGGAGUAAGAAGAAGAAGGGGGGGGAGGAAGAAGAAGGGGGGUAAGAAGAAGAAGAGGGAGGAAGAAGGGGGGUAAGAAGAAGUAGGAGGGUUAAGAAGAAGAAGGGGGGAGUAAGAAGAAGAAGGGGGGUAAGAAGAACAGGUGGGGGAGUAAGAAGAACAGGUGGGGGAGUAAGACGACCAAGGGGGGAAGUAUGAAGAACACAGGGAGGAGGGGGGUAAGACGAACACAGGGGGUGUGAGGAGAACACAUAGAGGGAGGAGUGAGAAGAACACAGGGAGGGUGGAGGGGGGAUGAGAAGAGCACAGGGAGGGUGGGUGAGUGUGAGAAGAGACCGCUAGGGGAGGGUGGGGAGAGGAGAGACCACUAAAGGUGCAGGGGAGAGCUCUACGGGACAGAAGGGGCAGCUCUAUAGGACAGGGGCCAAGACAGGGAGCUCUUUCACACCACGCGCGCACACACACACACACACACACACAAUGCAUCCCUAUACAUACACAGAAACACAACAUGCUUCCCUUACACACAGAGAAACACACAAUGCAUCCAUUACACACACACACACAAUGCAACCCUUACACACAAAGACAAUGCAUCCUUUGCACACAUACACAGAAACAGACAAUGCAAACCCGUACACACACAUGCAAACACACACACUUCUUUUCUUACAUACACACAGAAACACAAUGCAUCUCUUACACUCAAUGCACACACAUACAGACACACACCUUGCAUCCCUUAUGCAUACAAACACAGAUUCACACAAUGCAUCCCUUACACACAACCAGAAACACAUAAUACAUCCCUUAUACACAAAUACACACUGCUUCCACUACACACAAACACACUGCAUCACCUGCACAAACUGGUAACCCUAUACACUACAUACCAUAAGCACACAUAUUAGAUCCUCUACAAUAACACAUAACACAUCCCCUACACACUCCACUCCCUGUGAGCGAACUCAUGGGUGGGUGGAACUUAUGAGUGGGCCUUAUGGGCAUACUCACCAUCAGGCCCUGGGGCCCAGACCUUGAGCUGUGUAAGGGGCCCCAAAAAAUGGAGCUGCUUCCAAUUCUCCCAGAACAUUGAAUUUUGUGACCACAGUUGCAAACAGCCUCCAGAGAUCCUGUUCUACACCAGACCAGUGGAGCCAAACUGCAGCCCAUCAUCAUCCUCAUCUGCUUGUAAGUAGGCAAUCUAGUAUAUUAUUAGUGACACUAAUCUAUAAUGUACCUCACAUUAAAGGGACACUAUAGCUUAAUGAAGUGGUUCUGGUGUCUAUAGCUGGUCCCUGCAGGCUUUUUAAUGUAAACACACACUGUGUGCAGCACUGGCGUUAGUUCAUAUGGGUGGGGCAUUGUGAUGUCACAUGGGGGGGCAGCAAAUUUUUAUUUUGUCUAGGGCGGCAAAAAUCCUUGCACCGGCACUGAUCCUGGGCAGGUGCACCAGUCUACUGGUGACCCACAGGAGGGGAGUGCACUGAUUGCACUGCACUCUCCUCCUGUCCAGCCCCAUCUUUACCGCAGUGCAAGUGCCCUCUGCCCCUAAUUUACAGUGGCUCACACUCACAACAAGCAGUGCCUGGAGCCGUGAAGGAGCGGGUAUGGCAAAGAGCUACUGAUUAGCAUAACAUCAAUAUCCGUUAUAAAACCAGGAAAAGGUGGGCAUGGAUGGUGAACUGAUUUGGUGGUGCAAUGGGCCACUUGACUGGUUUUGCCCUCCAGGCCUAAGGCUGCCAGCCCUCCCCUGCUCACUGGUGUCCCAAUAGCUUGCAUUUAACCCCUUAAGGACCAAACCUCUGGAAUAAAAGGGAAUCAUGACAUGUCACACAUGUCAUGUGUCCUUAAGUGGUUAAAAAAACCAAAUAUUUUUGGACUGUAAUAUAAUAGCAGUCAGUUUCCUUCACGAGUGUGCGUUUCAGGGCCUGCCCAGUACCACCACUCACUCACUGGUGUCCCAAUAGCUUGCAUUUAAAAAAAACAAAAAACUUUUUGGACUGUAAUAUAAUAGCAGUCAGUUUCCUUCACAAUUGUGCGUUUCAGGGCUUGCCCAGUGCCACCGCUCACUCACUGGUGUCCCAAUAGCUUGCAUUUAAAAAAAAACAAAACUUUUUGGACUGUAAUAUAAUAGCAGUAAGUUUCCUUCACGAGUGUGCAUUUCAGGGCCUGCCCAGUGCCACCACUCACUCACUGGUGUCCCAAUAGCUUGCAUUUAAAAAAAAAAAAACUUUUUGGACUGUGAUAUAAUAGCAGAUAUAAUAGCAGUCAGUUUCCUUUAACGAGUGUGCGUUUCAGGGCUUGCCCAGUGCCACCACUCACUCACUGGUGUCACAAUAGCUUGCAUUUAAAAAAAAACAAAAAACUUUUUGGACUGUAAUAUAAUAGCAGACAGUUUCCUUCACACGUGUGCGUUUCAGGGCCUGCCAGGGCACAGUGUCACACGAGUGCAACUCAUAUCUGGUGUAACAGUAGUGUACAUUUAAAAAAAAAAAUACAACUUCGACUGUAAUAGAUUAAAUAGCAGUUAGUUGUCUGCAAGCGUGUGUGUCAGGCCUACAGCGUCUACUCUGUCAACUUCUGCCACUGCACAGUGCCACUCAUAUCUGUUGUCACAGUAGCUUGCACGCAUAGUACCACUAAUCGGAAAAAAAAAUGACAGGCAGAGGCAGGCCACCCCGCAGGGGCCGUCGUGGUCGUGGUGCUGUGAUUCCCUUUGGCCCUAGAAUAAUGCCCAGUGUUCAGAGGCCACGUACCCUGAACUCAAAAAGUUCUGAGGGCAUAGUUGACUGGCUAACACAGGACACCCAAUCUUCUACAGCUUCCGCUCGGAACCUUGACGCACCAUCCUCCUCCAGCUUAGCUUCGGGCACCUCUCAAGUUACCACUCGCCCGCCUGCUGCCACCACCAACACUAGCACCACAGCAGCUUCACUUGGUAUGUCAGAGGACUUAUUUACACAUCAGUUGGAAGAAAUGAGUGAUGCGCAACCAUUAUUGCCAGAGGAUGUAGAUAACAGGGAUAUGUCUCAGUCAGGCAGCAUUACACACAUGGACGUAUGGUGUGAUGAUGAUGAUGUUGUAGCCGCUGCUGCUUCCUUUGCUGAGUUGAUAGAUACAAGUGAAGCGGUUGAUGAUGAUGAUGCGUCCGUGGAUGUCACUUGGGUGCCCGCUAGAAGAGAAGAAGAACAGAAAGUUCAGAUGGGGAGACAGAGAGGAGGAGGAGGAGACGAGUUGGAAGCAGGGGGAGGUCGUCGCAAGGAGCUAGUGGCACAGUCAAACAGCAUGCAUCGGCACCUGGGGUCAGCCAGACAGCACGCCAAUCAACGCAUGCUGUUGCCACCACCAGAAUGCCGUCAUUGCAGAGCUCAGCAGUGUGGCAUUUUUUUUGUGUGUCUGCCUCUGACAACAGCGAUGCCAUUUGCAACCUGUGCCAAAAGAAAUGAGUCGUGGGAAGUCCAACACCCACCUAGGUACAAUUGCUUUGCGAAGGCACAUGAUCGCACAUCACAAACGCCUAUGGGAUCAACACAUGAGUACAAGCAGCACACAAACUCAAAGCCGCCAUCCUCCUCCUGGUCCAGCAUCUUCAGCCACGUUAACCACUGCUGUCCUCCUUGCCCCCUCUCAACCAUCCGCCCCUCCGUCUCUCGCCUUGAGCAGUUCCUGCUCAUCUGCCCACAGUCAGGUGUCUGUCAAGGACAUGUUUGAGCGUAAGAAGCCAAUGUCACAAAGUCACCCCCUUGCCCGGUCUGACAGCUGGCUUGACUGAACUCUUAGCCCGCCAGCUUUUACCAUACAAGCUGGUGGAGUCUGAGGCGUUCAAAAAAUUUGUAGCUAUUGGGACACCGCAGUGGAAGGUACCCGGCCAAAAUUUCUUUGCACAAAAGGCAAUCCCCAACCUGUACUCGAUUGUGCAAAAGGAAGUAAUGGCAUGUCUGGCACACAGUGUUGGGGCAAGGUCCAUCUGACCACUGAUACCUGGUCUGCAAAGCAUGGUCAGGGCAGGUAUAUCACCUACACUGCGCAUUGGGUAAACCUGCUGACGGCUGCCAAGCAUGGAAUGCAUGGCUCUGCAGAGGAGUUGGUGACACCGCCACGACUUGCAGGCAGGCCUGCUGCCACCUCCUCUACUCCUCCUACUCCAUCCUCUUCGAUAACCUCCUCAGCUGAGUCCUCUUCUGCUGCUGCGUCUUGCUCCACAUCAACGGCACCCCCCCUAGCUCCCCAGGCACUAUUCCACAUCCCGGAUACGGCAGUGCCACACCGUCUUGGGGUUGACUUGCCUGAAAGCAGAGAGUCACACCAGACCAGCAUUCCUGUCCACCCUGAACGCACAGGUGGAUCAGUGGCUGACUCCGCACCAACUGGAGAUCGGCAAAGUGGUUUGUGACAACGGAAGAAAUUUGUUGGCGGCAUUGCAUUUGGGCAAGUUGACACAUGCAUGGCACAUGUGUGUAAUCUGAUUGUACAACGCUUUGUGCAUAAGUACCCAGGCUUACAGGACAUCCUGAAGCAGGCCAGGAAGGUGUGUGGCCAUUUCAGGCAUUCCUACACGGCCAUGGCGCACCUUUCAGAUAUCCAGCGGCGAAAAAACAUGUCAGUGAGGCGCUUGAUUUGCGACAUCCUGACACGUUGGAAUUCAACACUCCUAAUGUUCGACCGCCUGCUCCAACACGAAAAAGCCUUUAACGAGUAUUUGUAUGACUGGGGUGCUAGGACAGGCUCUGCGGAGCUGGGAAUUUUUUUGUCACAUUACUGGACGCUCAUGCGCAAUGCCUGUAGGCUCAUGCGUCCUUUUGAGUAGGUGACAAACCUAGUCAGUUGCACCAAAGGCACCAUCAGCGACAUCAUACCAUUUGUUUUCUUCCUGGAGAGUGCCCUGCGAAGAGUGCUGGAUCAGGCCGUAGAUGAGCGUGAAGAGGAAGAGAAAGAGUUGUGGUCACCAUCACCACCAGAAACAGCCUUAUCAGCAUCGCUUGCUGGACCUGCGGCAACGCUGGAAGAGGAUUGUGAGGAAGAGUAGUCAGAGGAGGAAUGUAGCUUUGAGGAGGAGGAGGAAGACCUACCACAACAGGCAUCCCAGGGUGCUCGUUGUCACCUAUCUGGUACCCGUGGUGUUGUACGUGGCUGGGGGGAAGAACAUACCUUCAGUGAGAUCACUGAGGACAAGGAACGGGACAUGGCUAGCUUGGUAUCCAACCUUGUGCAAAUGGGGAGUUUGCGGUUGUGCAAAUGGACUGUUUGCGGUUGUUUGCCGUGCGUUAAACGGGGAGUUUGGUCUGUCAAUGUGAAGCGGGCGUAACCCUUACACUACCUGAUCGAUACAACAUCAUACCUGAUGUUUUAAAGCACGUUAUUCCAAACAAUUUAGGAAUGUUAGGUGAUUUAUGCCCUUUAUGGAUUAAAACCAGACUCUGCAUCAACUAUGUAAUUUUCCAUGGGAGUUUUGCCAUGGAUCCCCCUCCGGCAUGCCACAGUCCAGGUGUUAGUCCCCUUGAAACAACUUUUCCAUCACUAUUGUGGCCAGAAAGAGUCCCUGUGGGUUUUAAAAUUCUCCUGUCUAUUGAAGCCUAUGGUGGUUCGCCCGGUUCGCCGGUUCGCGAACAUUUGCGGAAGUUCGCGUUCGCCAUUCGCGAACCGAAAAUUUUAUGUUCGCGACAUCACUACUCAAAAUACCUCUCUUGAGUAAGGAACAUAAUACCAUAAAGUACAUUAAGAUGACAUUCCACGCGUGAUAACCGUAUGUAUAACCUGCCUUGGAGGUAGUGAGGAUAAUCCUGUGAUGUGACAGUAGCAGAAGAGAUGCGAUAUACAUUAAGGUUAGAAGGUAGGAAGCGAACCUUCUAAUCUGCACCUUAUUGUAUUCCUGGGAUAUCCUGUAAUGUGGACGGGUUGACCCAGUUGACUUGUUUUGAUGGCGGGUAGUCAGUAUGUAAUGAUCUUGAUGUUUGAUUAGGUAGGAGCUUCGAAAGCAAGAUGGUGCAUGGUGUUGGCCAUUGACGGUGAAUUCCAGUGGCCUCUGGAAGCUGUAAAAGGGCAGAUAAUAGGGGUUCCAUAGUAAGUGAAGGAUUUGAAAGUGGCUGAAUCUAGCAAUCAGACAGGUUGGAUACCCUUAAGUAUAGGCUGAUUGGAUGGGAUGUAAAGGAAAAUGCUUUGUUGGAAAGUAGAGAAUCAUGUGAUGUUGGAUGACCAUCAGGCGCAACUUGAUGGUAUAGUGAGAUAACCUAAAUUUAAGGUGGCAAAAUAAGAUAGCGAACAUAACCAGAGACAUAAUAACCAACAUCAUGUACUGCAGGACUACUUACCUGUGACGUGAAUAGUAAUGGAAAAGACUUGGUGACAGCAAUUGCUGGGAGAUCACUAAGGGCACAACUUGAGAUACCUUAGAAUCUGGAGGAUAUUGAAAUAUCAGAAUCUGCCUGCUACGUGAGCCCUAUGAGGGAUAAGGAAAUAGUGGUAAAUUUGUAAGUGAAGAGUAACACGAGUGACUUAGACUAAACCAGGUGUCCUGAAUAUGAAAAUACCAGACUGUGACGUGAAACUUAAACUGACUAGUAUCAAUGCAUAUUUACAACUUCUAAUUAUGCAGAACCUGUGUAAAGUAAGUGGAUCUUCCCUGAAAAUAAGGGAUAGCCCGGAGAUAGAUGACCGUAGAUAAGUGCUUAAUAUAGCGAGUGCCAAGUUGACUAACCAUCUUAUAUAGUGGACUUAAUAGAGUAGAAAGUGGUUGAGAAGCAAAAAAGUAUCAAUACUGUGGAAAACCUCAUUAGCGUAGGUCCUUAGUAUCAGUAUCGACAAGGUUAUACAAUUAAAAGUAUCUACAAGGACCAUAACGGUGGACAAGUCAAGCAAUAUUACUGAAAUACUGACUAUGAUAGUAGUUUGCCCUGAAAGAACCCAUGUACCGUUAGUAACAACUGAUUAAAUCAGCCAUGACAGGCCAUGGUGCCUUCUAGGAUUAUGGGUUAGGGCCGGCUCAUCUUAACAAUGAUAUGUUUCGUAUAAUAAUGAUGUCACAAUGUGUCUGAUAGGUGUGGUGUCACAACUUAGUGUAAAACAUUCGGAACCGAAAGUCGGAUAGCGUGACAGAAAGUCAAUAUCCCUUUGGAUAUCUGAACGUACAGGUACAAGUGUACAAUAUUGAAUUACGUUAUGAUCAUAUCCUUAUGGAGGACCUUGUGAGGGUCAGUGUGCUGUUGAUAGCAUGGUUCGACAACGUAUUUCUAGUCUUUCCAGUCACUGAUUUAUUUAUACCUUAGAGAACACGAGGGCUGAGAACGUUGCCAUGAGGUUGUUGUUGUUCGAGCAACUUGUGCCUUUCGGCCAUUACUGGGAAAGGGGCAUUGCGCCUGCAUAGUUCCACCUGAAUAUGAGGCAUGGUCCAUGACCUGAUGGAACCCGAUAGGUGUCACCUUUCCAUGUAGGCGUAGUGCACCAGACUGGAGUACUAGAGGUUGACAAGUCAUAACCUUUUUUUAUGGUUCUAAAACAUACAGAAACAUAUUAAUACAUAGCUUGAAUCAGGAUUGUCUCACUGGCUGGCUAGCUAGUGUUCAAUUGGCGAAGCAAUUUACUAGGUAGGUGACAGGUGAGGCCCUACUAGUAGCCAAGCGGCUUGAGAGGCUCUAUCUAUGUUUUGGCGCAAGGGGAUUUGUGGCCACCGAACGUCGUGGUGGGGUGUUUUUAUUCUUGUUGUAGUCUAAGGGUUUUUUGAGGGAUUCCCUUAUAGGGUUGCUGCCUUUUCUUAUUUCUAAGCGCUUACUCUCUCUCUUGAUUUGUAUUCUCGCGUUGCCUCCUUUCACUAUUUCGAACGACCUGUCAUGUAGACAAGUGCACCACCGAAAUGACCAAAUUUUGUCCAAACAGAAUGUUGAGACUUCUCCAUUUGUUUUCAGACAAAAUUCUACUUUAUUUUCAGUUCAGAAUCUGAAAUUUCAGAAGCCGGAUGCCGCCAGGGGGUUAGCUGAGACUGGCACAAGGGCAACUUUGGGGUUAAACCUUUCGAAAACAUUUUAACCAAUAUAAGUGAGAAUGCAUUAGGUUUCCUCCUGUACCUUUAACCCCUUAAGGACACAUGACAUGUGUGACAUGUCAUGAUUCCCUUUUUCUCCAGAAGUUUGGUCCUUAAAUGGGUUAAAUCCCCUACUGCUACACAUGGAUUGGUCUGUAUGGUGGGCCAUUUAAAAGACUACAGUCUCUGAUCUAUAAGUAAUUUAAUUUGUAAUUUAUUUUGAACCUGUAAGUUGAUAUGUAUCACUACAUCAGUUUUCCGUUAUUAACUAAAAAGAAUAUUCGAGAUCACAUAUUUUAAUAUUUGACUUUUCCAGUGCAAAAUAGAUGGGGAGAUCAUGGAUAGACAACCUGGGGCCCACUAUCUUUUCAUUAAUCAGGAAUUUAAAGUGCUAUAUUGCCAAACCAUAACGAUAAAAAGAUGCUGGAUUUGGAUUUUUCUUUUCUUAUCUUGUUUAUUUUUGAAUUUAUUUUAAUCAUUUAAUCCUUUGUUGACUCAUAAAAGUUUUAGUUGGAAAUUGCUCAGUACUUCAAACGCAAGUUGCCUAUAUCAGGGAUGAAAUCCUAUUUGUAAAUAGUUUUGCCUUCAAAAUACCCCACUUCUUUUCAUUAUUUUCCAUUAGAAAUUUUGAUCAUAGUGAAUUACUCCCUUUGUGCCACUUUAAAUUCCAAACAUAUGUAGGGUGUGGCGGAACUGCGGCCGUUCAUACGUCUCCCCUCCCUUUAUUAUGUGUGUUGCCCUAUGUGUUAGCAUAUUGUGCCUGCUCCCUGUUCAGGAGUGUUUCCACAAAGGGAAUCCAUUAACCUCCCAAAUGGGGACCACCCCAAUGGCCAUUUGGAACGCUUGUUAGAAUGUCCAUUAGAAUGUUCGCACCCUGACAUAGUGCCAAAACUGUAAGGGAAUCCUUGGUGCAUGUCCUCCCCUGCGCAGCUGCCGUUUCAUAUAGACACCAUCCAGGGGGAGCAUUCGGGAAUUGCUUCCCCGGGGCCCUAUUGGAAUGUUCACACCAAUCAAUUAGAACGUUAACACUCACAACAUAAGUGUGAAACUGCAAGUGAAGUCUGACGGAUGCCUCCUUCAUGUACUGCACCCUGUAAACUUUUCUGUGUAAGUCUACAUUGUUCUGCCUAUGCAUUUGGUAAACAAACUAAACGAACACUUAAAACCUAUCCAGUUUGUAUACCGAACAAACUGUCAAACCAACCGACCACUCAGGAACAUCAUGUACCGCUAUUUAACUCCCUUGACCUUCCUAACACCUUCGCUAACUGCAAUCCCUGAACAUUCUAAGUGGUCAGCUGGGUGGCCGCCAUUCGUAUGGAUGAACACGAAGUGGCGGCCAUCUUGUUUUGACAAACACUUCCAGCGGGGUUUGGUCAUCGACUGCAUGGAACUAUUAUUGGACACUCGAUGACCCGAAAAAACGCUGAGACUUCCAUCCCCACUUAUGUUCGUUCCCAUUCAUCUGACGAAAGCGGCGUUCCAAAUUCCAAAACCAUCGGACGAAAGCUGCGUUCCAAACCAAACUCCCAAACGAGGGAUACACAAGUAGCCUGCUCACGAACGGUUCCUUUCGGUAUUUUGUUAUGUUUAGAGUUCCUGAAAGAGACCAACCGCACAACCUGAAUCUCUGGAACUAAUUUGGGCAGGAGCCUCGUGUGUGGUCGGUCAGAAACAAGACUUCCAUAAAACUUUUAAACCCCUGAACCGAUCUGGGUGAUUUUUACAUAUGUUGUUCCCCCAGAUCGGGGCUAUCAUGAGAUUGAACUUGUGUGGGGGUUAUGUGAGUUUUUGAGGUUCUUUCAGGUUACCUGCAAAUUGUGUUCUUUUUCACCUAGAGAUAAUUGAGUUAGCCCAGUAUCUGGCUCAAUUAUCUCUCAGGCAGAAGGGAGGGAUUGUAUGAUUGUAUUAGGAGUGUCAUAAAUGUGGACAUUAUUGUCAUUGGUCUAUGUCUUUAUCUUGUAAGUUCCCCACAAGGUGCAUGUGGGAAUACCCCUUGCAUGAGGAAUUGCAUAAAAGGCCAGCGUGGCACCAUUAAAAUCAUUCCUUGCUCACCCUCAUCAUAGAGUCUCAUCUCAUGAUUGUAGGGACCAGAUAUACAUGCUAUAAUCACUCAGCUCUUGUAAGAGCUAUACUAUCCUGGAAAAUCAGAAAGCAUCACUCUGAACAGGGGGAAAAGAACAGCUCAGGUGGUGAAACCCCUCAUCUUCUUGGGGUAGUUGCCACAGGAAGUAAUUAAUGAAUGCUUCACUAGGUGGCCGCCAUUCGUGUAGAUGAACGGCAACCAGGGAGAGCAUUUGUAUCCCGAAAAACAGUUGCUUCUCUUGCUAGGUUUCACACAGGGGCCUCGCUAACGGAGGUGGUUCGAGUCUGAGGUUGGUGUGGGCAUCCUUUUGGGGCACAGGCUAAUUUGGCAGGCUUUCUGUGCUUGGGAGACAAAGAUGCCUUUUCCCAAACUUUGACUCCCAGCUACAGAGGCUCCUGGAAUGAAGAACCCCUGACAUCUGGAGUGGGAGACCCUGGAUUAGGGUGGCGGGAAUAGGGGACAAAGGGAGCGAAGUCCCUUUCCUGCACUAAGACCCCUGGGAGGGGGAGGACCCUGGGAUGGGAUUUUGGGGUGAUUUUUUCUGAUGACUUGUAAUAGAGCAGCAGGAAAUGCUAGCAGACUGCUUGGUUGUAUAGGAAUAUGUGUUAGCAGUAGAAAGAGGGGAGUGCUCAUGCCAUUGUACAGAACUGGUGAGACCUCACUUGGAGUAUUGUACGCAGUACUGGAGACCAUAUCUUCAGAAGGAUAUUGAUACUUUAGAGUUCAGAGAAGGGCUACUAAACUGUUUCAUGGAUUGCAGGAUAAAAAUUAACAGGAAAGGUUAAAGGAUCUUAACAUGUAUAUCUUGGAGGAAAGACGAGACAGUUGGAUAUGAUAGAAACAUUUAAAUACAGAAAGGGAAUCAACACAGUAAAGGAGGAGGCUAUAUUUAAAAGAAGAAAAACUACCACAACAAGAGGACAUAGUCUUAAAUUAGAGGGGCGAAGGUUUAAAAAUAAUAUCAGGAAGUAUUACUUUACUGAGAGGGUAGUGGAUGCAUGGAAUAGCCUUCCAGCUGAAGUGGUAGAGGUUAAAACAGUAAAGGAGUUUAAGCAUGCGUGGGAUAGGCAUAAGGCUAUCCUAACUAUAAGAUAAAGCCAGGGACUAAUGAAAGUAUUUAGAAAAUUGGGCAGAUUAGAUGGACUGAAUGGUUCUUGUCUGCUGUCACAUUCUAUGUUUCUAUGUUUCUAUGCUUGUGUUUUGGAGACCCCUUGCAUGGGGCUUUGCAUAAAAGCCGAGUGUGGCAUAAUACAAUUGUGUUGUACCUCCAGAACUAGGUGUUGUCCAGUUACUGGGGGAAAUGGGUUUCUAAGUUUGUCCGGAAUGACUGACUGAGGGAAUUAGCGGAGAUAACCGGUCGGGUUACCCGUGGUCCGCUAGAACUGGUGGCAAGUGGUGGGAUCAUAUUUCCCAGCCGAACCGGCCCAUGAUUACUCCAAUUUGAAGAGGUAGAUGUUGCAGGAGUUGCUGGAGGCAAGUGGGCACUCAGCCGGCAACCGGAACAAGGCAGACUUGAUUGCUUCCCUCAUGGAGGAGGAUCUACUAAGCAGCGCAGCUGAUGUACAGCAACUCAGGGGUGAGAAAGAUGCCUUAGACAUGGCGAUGGAUCAUCGUUUGGCUUACUACGGGGAGAAGCCCUCCUCUGAGAUCAUGACCAAGAUCUUCGCAGAGGCACAAGCAUAUGUCCUGGCACAGAGGGCUUGGGCGAGCCCUGCAGGCUGAGGCCGUGUCCCCUGGGGGUCAGCCCGCUCCAGAACCUAAGCCAAAAAUACCCUUCCAGGCUUUCAAGAUGUUUGUGGAGGCAUUGAUGACUUCUUGCAGGACUUUGAGCACCUCUGCCUGCUGCAUACAAUUUCCCUGGCCAACUGGGUUCCCAUUCUAGCAGGGAACCUCACGGGGAAAGCUGCCGAUGCAUACUGUGCCGUGACCGAGGAUGACCUGAUAAACUAUACCGCAGUGAAGCAGGUCCUGCUCACCAUGUGGGCCAUCACCCCAGAGGCCUAUCACAGAAAAUUCCGGGAGUUGGAAAAGGGACUCCCAUGCUUAGUGGGCUUGUUGUUUGAGCAAGGCAGCCCAAAGCUGGAUGCAGUCCCAGCAUGCUUAGACCACAGAGGAGGUUCUACAGCUGUUCCUGUUGGAACAUUUCUACAAUGGGCUAGCCGCAGAGAUACAAGACUGAGUAAGAAACCACCAGCCCACGACCAUGACUGAAGCCUCCCAAAAAGCCGACAAGUAUACAGAUACCAGGCGACGUCACACGCCUGCGCCCCAGUUUACCUCACCUGCAGCCACCCUACCAAGGGGUUCCCCAGCCCAUACCAGCCCCGAGGACAUCAAGCCGGGUAACCAUUCAGUGUCACCUUCGGCAGGGUAGCUGUCAAUAUCAUAGGCCCCCUGGCUAAGCCUAGCCCCUCUGGGAAGAAAUACAUUCAGGCCAUUGUGGACUACUCAACUUGAUAUCCCGAGGCAGUUGCCUUGAGCAAUAUUCUGGCAGAAACUGUAGGCGAAGCCCUGAUGCGAGUGUUCUCUUGGAUGGAUUUUCCCCGGGAGAUUGUCUCGGAUCAGGGCACCCAGUUUACUGCCGAGGUAACCCACCAGCUGUGAUCUACUUGACCCUCAACAGGUAGUCUCGUCUCGUGAUUGGAGGGAACUGCUAUAUCACACUGGGGAUUGCUAUGCUCUGCAUACUCCCCUGAACUCUAAUGACUUAGCUCUUUUUAGAGCUUGUUCCUGAUACACUCUCCUGGAGGAGAGGUCUUCACCACACGGUCCUGGAGGACAGAAGCUGAUCCAGGGUGGAAGGAAGACGGCGAGACUCCAGUUAAGCUACGGCGGUUGUGGAAAUGGGGCUCGACGACGCAUACCAGGCGCUACAUUGGUAUGCAGUUCAGCGUGUUCCCAGUAUGGCUAAGUCCGACAGACCAGAGGGUGAGGAUUACAAUGGCCCUGGUCUAUUAUGGGACGCCUUUGCCGGACCAAGGUUCGGGGACGCUGCAGAGUCACGGCUAUGGGACAUACAUGAAUCCAGAGCAGACAUGCAAGAUCUCCCUAUGGAUGAAGACCUAGAGCCAGACCUGAUUAAUCUUGCCAUCAGGAAAUGGGAUCUGGAGCAGGAGUACCAGGACCUCAAAGAUUGGUCUCGGGAAGACCCCCAGUCGGCAGGUGGAGAUGAGACCGAGUUCUGUCUACCGGCCCUACAGGGAUGCUGGGCAGCCAACCCAGAUCUCCAACCACGGUGGGAGUUCCAGGGAGAGGAGACAAUUGGUCUCCCUCCCCAGCAGCAGUGUGUUCUGCAGGGAGAGGUGGCAGCCGGCCUCUCUCUCCAACAGUAGUGUUCCCUACAGGGAGUGGAGGUAAUCGGCCUCGCUCCCCGGUGGCAGAGUGAGUCCCAGGGAGAGGAGACAACUGGUCUCUCUCCAGCAGCAGCAGUGUGUUCGGCAGGGAGUGGAGGCCAGCACCCUCUCUCCGCAGCGGCAGCUUAUCCUACCAAGAGGAGACAUCAAUCUCCCAGAUGGCGCAGAUGGGACCAUGGUCUCUGUGUCUGACCCACUGGGAUGCUGGACAGCCUGUCCAGAUCCCCAGCUACCAUCGCCAGUACCAGGAGAAGAGGGUAAGUGAUGUCUCCCGUCCCCAACAGUCUACCCCAGCAGAAGCGCUGGCAUCGGGGCAGAGUGCAGUUGGCCUCUGCCCCACAACGUGUUGCACAGUGACAUCAGAGGAAUACCCAAGUGCAGUAACUGUUUGUUGUGGGUGGGUUGCUUUUGUAUCUGUUUGUUGUGGGUGGGCUACUCUGGCACUUGUUUAUUGUGGGUGGGUGGGUGGAUCGACUAACUUCGGCACUGACCGACAGAAGGUCAGGUGCCUAGUUAGUCUUCCCAAAAAGGGGAGAUGUGUGUCGAAGUGCCCUUCGCCACUUGGUCCUGGAGAGGCCUGCUUGCCAGCCUCCUGCCCUGCGACUAUGGCCCUGGGAGAUUGUACCAUUUUAAACCAACAUUUAGGCAUACUGUAUUUUAUUAUGCUGCUGCUGGCCCUUUAAGAACCAUCUGCAGACAUACUGUGGAGUUACUGGGUGGCCACCAUUUCAUGUAUCAGAGGCACAUGGUGAGAACAAUGGAUGAAGCACAUGGUGAGAACAAUGGAUGGUGGCCAUUUUAACUCACAGACACUAUUUGGACUUUUCUACACGGUGCCAUCUCGCUGGUAUUUGGUGCACAAAGACAUCGUUCAGUAGUUUUAAACUACAGAACAGGGGACACAUUUAACAGUAAUUAUUUUUCCUAUAGCCUGUAUAUGUUCUGCGGAAUCUGCAUUAAACCGUAUCUUCCAAACUACUGAAUGGAUCUGGGUGAAUUUUGGAUAUGUGGUUCACCCAGAUCCCCAAGUUCAGAGGAUAUAUUUGUAACGGACCGUUUUGCACACAAGGGGUAAAAACUGUUUAGGCGAUCGUCCCCCUUUCCAGAGAUGCAGGCACAGCUAUUGUAGAACACCAAACACACGAACCGCCAAUAAGUGAAUGCUUCAAACUCCCGAACGGCAUCCAAUAUAGCACUCCAAAUACACGAACAGGAACCAUACGAAUCGCUGCUAGCAGACGAAUAGGAAAGCGGCUUACACUCCUAGCAAUCAGUCUCUAUCAGCAUACAGUAAAUUCCCCCAAAGACGAGACAAGGCUCCGUGUUGAGGGUCAAGCAGUGGUCUGUUUAAUGAGGGCUACCUACCCAGUAUUUAUGCAGGUCUCCCACCUGGUGGACACUCCCCUAGGGGACCAAAUGGGAGACUGUGACAAAAGACAGACAAGUUGACAAAUAGGACACACAGUCACAUUAUAUUCCCACAAUGCAUCCUGGCUUCCUCCCUUCUGCCUUGGUGAUAAUUGAGAAGUAAUUCAAUUAUCUCCCAAGACAAAGGCAAAUCGCCAUUAUGCACGUGGGGAUACUAACACACGAAUUACUAUUAAAAUACACCAUGUAAGACACAUUACAAUAAAUUUAUACAUUUAACAUGUCCCCAGAUAGCUCAGGUCUGAGCGCACAUUAUUAAGCGAAUGGCGCUCAGACCACACGAAUACAGUUUAAUCGCCAUGGAGCUAAAGUCUUUACACAGUCAGUUUCAUGCGAAUGGGCUCCAUGGGAUUCCUAUCUGGGGUAUAACAUAGACAAGUAAAACUACCGAACACCGGCCGUUCGUGUACUUUCACCGAACAAGAAGGGAGGUUGGCUGCUUCAGCGGUGUUCGCGCAAAACUGUCCGAUUUUAGUUCCAUGAAUUAAGCGUCGAACACCGCUGUGCAUUCGCAUGUUUAAAAUGGCCGCAACCUUGUGUUCGGGAUACGAAUGGCGGCCACCCAGCAUUCGUCAAUUAAGCUGCGGUUAACCGCAGCUUCAGGGAGGUUAAUUGUCGGCACACUCCAGCUCCCAGGUGGUCUAUUCAUUCGUGCGGUUGUUCGGUAGAUUGAAUCUACCGAACAACCGGCAGAAAAGCACAAAUAAAGCUUUUCUGCAGGCGAAACAAAGUCUUUUAACAUGGGGCCAUAGUCCAAAGGCAGCAGGCGAGCAACCAGGCUUCUCCAAUGCAAUGUGGCGAGAUUGGUCUCGUCACAAUAUUUUUAUGGGGUUAUUGCAUGUUUUUGGGUCCCUGUGAUAUGUUUUAUGAUACUGUAUUUUUCUGCCUGUGAUAAUUAAGUUUAGUCUAUUGUGUUGAGUAAUUAUAUCACAGGCAGAGGUGAGGAUUUUGUGGGAGUGAAUGGGUGUGGUUUUACUGUAUGCUACGUGCUUUAUUGGUUAUUUUACAAAACCCUGUAUCUGUAAAACCUGCAUGAAAGAAGGUCUUUUGGUGCCAAGUAAAACAGAUCCUAUUUGACCCUCAAUACAUAGUCUUGUCUCAUUAUUGGAGGGAGCUGCUAUAAUCACACUGGGGAUUGCUAUGCUCUGCAUACUCCCCUGAGCUUGAAUCACUUAGCUCUUUUAAGAGCUUGUUCCUGAUACGCUCUCCUGGAGGAGAGGUCUUCCCCACACAGUCCUGGAUGCUAGAGGUUCAUACAGGGUGGAAAGAAGAGGUCUUUCCCACACGGUCCUGGAGGAAAGAAGCUGAUCCAGGGUGGAAGAAAGAUGGCGAGACUCCAGUCAAGCUACAGCGGUUGCGGAGUCUGCGUGGUUGUGGUGUCCGGUGUGGUGCUUGUGGUCCUUGUCGCAAGCUAGGAAGCGUCCAUUAACGGAAGGUUCCAUUACAUCAGACAAAAGGUUUUGGUUCUGAAACCGGUCCGGCAUGACAGGCUACAGGCUGCCAUGCGGGGCCCAUACCGGGUAGUGAACAAGAAAUGUGACACUACCUACGUGAUCGGUCCUUGCUCGGGUACGGGGAUCAGGCACAUUUUACGUGGCAACUGCUAGCUAAAAAGGGAGAGACCUUCUCAAAUCUACCAGGGUGUACCACCCACAGAGUAGAAACCCCUGACCAUCAACCUCUGAGGCAGACUCCGUACCAAAUAUCUGAGGCGGUUCAGAAGAGUAUGAAACAGGAGAUUCAAGAGAUGCUCCGACUGGGGAUGAUCUGACCAUCCCAGAGUUCUUGGGUCUUCUGAGAAGUUCUGCACCCAAAACAAGAUGGAACCACCCAGUUCUGUGUGAACUACAGGAGACUCAAUGACAAGACAGUCUUGGAUGCUUACCCCAUGGACCUCCAGGACUAUGCCUGCGUAUAUCUGGACGACACUUGUAGCAGUAUUGGACAGAAUAAGGGAGGUUGAGUUGACCUUGAAACCCAGCAAAUGCAGCAUAGGGAUUGACAAGGUGCAGUACCUGAGACACAGGGUAGGGUGUGGGAAGCAGAAACCAGAGCCAGCCAAGGUUGAGGCAGUAGCUAACUGGCCCCGUCCCUGCACUAAGACCCAGGUGCUGGCCUUCCUAGGGACCACUGGCUAUUACAGGAAAUUUGUCCCCAAUUACAGCGCCAUCACCAAACCACUCACUGACCUGACCUGAAAGAACAGGUAAACUGGGCCCCACAGUGUGAGCAGGUGUUCCAAGCCCUUAAGAAUGCCCUGAUACAUGCCACUGUCCUGGCUGCUCCUAAUCCACACAAACAUUUUCUCAUCCACACAGAUGCAUCUAUGUAUGGAUUAGAAAUGGUGCUGAGCCAGGUCAGGGACGAUGGAGGAGAACACCCAGUAGCUUACCUCAGCAAGAAACUACUACCCAUGGAGGUGAGCUGCGCUGCCAUUGAGAAGGAGUGUCUGUCAGUGGUGUGGGCUCUCAAGAAGCUGCAACCCUACAUCUAUACAGGGAGUGCAGAAUUAUUAGGCAAAUGAGUAUUUUGACCACAUCAUCCUCUUUAUGCAUGUUGUCUUACUCCAAGCUGUAUAGGCUCGAAAGCCUACUACCAAUUAAGCAUAUUAGGUGAUGUGCAUCUCUGUAAUGAGAAGGGGUGUGGUCUAAUGACAUCAACACCCUAUAUCAGGUGUGCAUAAUUAUUAGGCAACUUCCUUUCCUUUGGCAAAAUGGGUCAAAAGAAGGACUUGACAGGCUCAGAAAAGUAAAAAAUAGUGAGAUAUCUUGCAGAGGGAUGCAGCACUCUUAAAAUUGCAAAGCUUCUGAAGCGUGAUCAUCGAACAAUCAAGCGUUUCAUUCAAAAUAGUCAACAGGGUCGCAAGAAGCGUGUGGAAAAACCAAGGCGCAAAAUAACUGCCCAUGAACUGAGAAAAGUCAAGCGUGCAGCUGCCACGAUGCCACUUGCCACCAGUUUGGCCAUAUUUCAGAGCUGCAACAUCACUGGAGUGCCCAAAAGCACAAGGUGUGCAAUACUCAGAGACAUGGCCAAGGUAAGAAAGGCUGAAAGACGACCACCACUGAACAAGACACACAAGCUGAAACGUCAAGACUGGGCCAAGAAAUAUCUCAAGACUGAUUUUUCUAAGGUUUUAUGGACUGAUGAAAUGAGAGUGAGCCUUGAUGGGCCAGAUGGAUGGGCCCGUGGCUGGAUUGGUAAAGGGCAGAGAGCUCCAGUCCGACUCAGACGCCAGCAAGGUGGAGGUGGAGUACUGGUUUGGGCUGGUAUCAUCAAAGAUGAGCUUGUGGGGCCUUUUCGGGUUGAGGAUGGAGUCAAGCUCAACUCCCAGUCCUACUGCCAGUUCCUGGAAGACACCUUCUUCAAGCAGUGGUACAGGAAGAAGUCUGCAUCCUUCAAGAAAAACAUGAUUUUCAUGCAGGACAAUGCUCCAUCACACGCGUCCAAGUACUCCACAGCGUGGCUGGCAAGAAAGGGUAUAAAAGAAGAAAAUCUAAUGACAUGGCCUCCUUGUUCACCUGAUCUGAACCCCAUUGAGAACCUGUGGUCCAUCAUCAAAUGUGAGAUUUACAAGAAGGGAAAACAGUACACCUCUCUGAACAGUGUCUGGGAGGCUGUGGUUGCUGCUGCACGCAAUGUUGAUGGUGAACAGAUCAAAACACUGUCAGAAUCCAUGGAUGGCAGGCUUUUGAGUGUCCUUGCAAAGAAAGGUGGCUAUAUUGGUCACUGAUUUGUUUUUGUUUUGUUUUUGAAUGUCAGAAAUGUAUAUUUGUGAAUGUUGAGAUGUUAUAUUGGUUUCACUGGUAAUAAUAAAUAAUUGAAAUGGGUAUAUAUUUGUUUUUUGUUAAGUUGCCUAAUAAUUAUGCACAGUAAUAGUCACCUGCACACACAGAUAUCCCCCUAACAUAGCUAAAACUAAAAACAAACUAAAAACUACUUCCAAAAAUAUUCAGCUUUGAUAUUAAUGAGUUUUUUGGGUUCAUUGAGAACAUGGUUGUUGUUCAAUAAUAAAAUUAAUCCUCAAAAAUACAACUUGCCUAAUAAUUCUGCACUCCCUGUAGACAGCAAUUCACCUUGCUCACAGAUCACAAACCAUUGGUGUGGCUUAACCGGGUCACGGGAGACAAUGCCAGGAUGUUGCGAUGGAGCCUGGCACUUCAGCCCUAUGACUUCACCAUCCACUACAGACCCGGAAAGCAAAAUGGGAAUGCCAACUGGUUGUCAAGAGAGACAGAACUGGAGAAGUGAUCUGUGAACCCUCCCCCCUGCAACAUCCUACAGCCAAUCCGUUGGACUGUGUAUGCCAGCUUUUCCCCUCUCCUUCUUAUGUGUGUUGCCCCAUGUGUUAGAGUAGAGAUAGGCAAUCGUUUAGCAGCACUGUGCUGAAAUACGAUUGUGAUGUCCUGUAGAGUGUUGGUCCUAUUUUUUUUUAAAUUGAGGUGUGUAUGUUGCCAUAUUCUGCUUGUGGUAUUUAUAUGGCAGUUGCUUUGUAUCGUUGUAUUUGUGCGUAUAUCAGCUAUUAUAUUGUAUAUGUUCAUGAGUAGUUUGUGGUAUCAUGUACCUAUGAAUGUGAACUGUGUAUGGGGGCUGCUUGUGUAAUUGUGUUCUACUGUCUCUGCCUCUAUAUUAGACAGUGCUACUGCCUCUGGAUAACGGGUGGCAUAGUCCACCACGGUGAGAAUAUACUUCUUACUGGAUGGGCUAGCCCUGGCCAGUGGACCCACAAUGUCAACAGCAAUGCGGGAAAAGGGUUCCCCAAUGAUAGGCAUAGAUAUAAGCCUAGCCUUUGGGUGAUCCCCCCGCUUACCUACCCGUUGACAUGUGUCACAGGUACUACAAUAUACCCGCACAUCUCGGUUGAAAUUGGGCCAAAAGAAAUUCUGAGUAAUCCUAUGAGCUGUGCAGUGAGACCCUAGAUGUCCAGCUAAUGGCACAUCAUGCCCAAUCCGCAGAAUCUCCUGCUGGUAUUUCGCAGGCACCACCAGCUGCCGAUUCUGCGGAGGGGUAUUAUGUUUCUGGGAUGGUUUAGGGAUACCGUACAGCCUAUCCCCCACCCUCUCGUAACACUCCCCAUCUACUCCCUCCUCCCCAGCAUCUGCCCUAGCCCUAUACUUCUCCAGAGUCGGGUCCUCCCGGGUUUCCCUCCCGUACAUCUCUGGGGCAUCCCAGUCUAAAGGGGCCUGAUCUAAGAGAGUCUUACUUGGGUCUCCACAGCAGGUGGGCCGGUCUCGACAGCACGGGUCUGGGCACGGUUCGUGACAGCGUUAACCUCGGCGGGGCCCAUGGGAGCAUAGGCAGAAACAAGGGGGGCCAAGUCAUUUCCAAGGAGGAUGUCAGCUGGUAAGUCCCUCAUGAUCCCCACAUUCACAUGUCUAGCGCCCACUCCCCAAUCCAAAUGUACCCGGGCAACGGGUAGGCGAAACACAGCGCCUCCGGCUACUCUCACUGCCACAGUGUCUCCAGUGUGUUGGUUCUCAGGUACCAAGUGCUUUUGGAGCAAUGUCAUGGUUGCACCGGUAUCCCGCAGACCACUGACCUCCUUCCCAUUUACUUUGACCAGUUGCCGGUGUUGUUGACGGUUAUCGCGGUGGGCAGCUUGGACAGGGUCGGCCUCGUGUAGAACGCCCCAACAUUCCUCCUCCUCUAUGCAGUGGGCAGCAGGCGGAGGGGGUCGUUGGUUUUUCGCUGGUCGGUCUCCUCCAAGACUGGGCCUGGUUAGCGUUAUUCAGUGGUCACUCUGGUCGUUUGUGCCCUAGCUGCUUGCACCCGAAACAUCGGAUGGGUUGUGAGUAGUCCCGUGAGUUGAACCGGGGUGGCUGUGUGUAGUUAUUAGCUGGGGGGGUUGCUGCUGGCCGGUGCAUUGGUGGUUGGUAGAUGGUAACUGGAGGGGGUGCCGCGGGUCGGUACUCCACUCUGGCAGGAGUCUUACCCGUGGUACUGUCCAGUUUAUGGGCAUCCGUGUACUCGUCUGCCAGACGAGCUGCUUCAUGUAGAGUGGAGGGUUUACGGUCCCUUACACACUCUCUGACGCCUGGGGAUAAUUUCUCAAAACAGUGCUCCAGCAGGAACCUCUUCCCCGGAUACGGCUUGGCACCCUGCCAUCCAGUGGGCAGCUGUGCGGUGCACUUUACAUGCCCAUUUAACAUAAAAAACAGCUAGUUUGGCAGUGUCUCGGAACCGUCUCCUGUAUGCUUCUGGUGUAACUGCAUACCUGGAGAGCAAAGCUUUCUUCACAGCUGCAUAAUCCCCGAUCUCCUCAUCAGGAAUGGCCCGAAAAGCGUCACUGGCCAGGCCGGAUAGCUUUCCGGACAAUAUAGUAACCCAGUCUUCUGGGGGUACCUUGUGUAGCGCACAUUGCCGCUCAAAAUCAGCAAGGUACCCACCAAUCUCUCUUUCUGUCUCAAGGAAGUGUUUAAAUGUGGUAAAUUGCACUUUCUUUUUCUCCACCGUGUUUGCUGGAACUGGGGCUGCUGCAGCACCGCUUUGGCGGAACAGGUUAGCCUCCACAGCGGCUAUGACCUCUGGAGACGUGUUGGGACCAUAAUGGGCCAGUCUGAUUUUUACCACCCGGUCAAAGCUUGCCUCUUCGGGGGUUCUGUCAGCUGCGCUGGACCCAUUGGUUCCUUCAGCCCCUGGUACUCCAUCCAUUUCGUUCAAAAUGGCGAUAAUCUCUCUUUUCCUGAUAUUACUAGCUUGUCUGCCUCUCUGUUCCAGUAAGUCUUUAACCUUUCAUACAGUAUUUCCAUUAAUCCUAUAUGUAGUUUUCUCUCUGGGCGAUGAGGGUCAUCCCGUCGCUUGCCACCAAUUGUAACGGCACCCUUAGCAUCAAAUAGUAAAACCGCCGUUUAGUUAAUCCUCCCCUCUCACCAUAACGCAAGCUGCAUUCAUACCAACUCCAAUCAUAUGAAUCGCAAGCAGGGGAAUACUCCAAUCUCUCGAACAGGACCCGUACGGGCACUUCACUUCCCAAUCAGUAAACUCACGAAUCGCCGCUAAUAGCCGAAACCAUAUAUCUCCCAAGCGGCUAAUAAUUCCAUCCGGCAGUCGCUAUUCGUGUAGUAAAUUCCCCUCCAAUAACGAGACCAAGCUCCGCAUUGAGGGUAAAACAUGAACUGGGUUUACUGUGGGCUACCCGCCUGUAUUUAUGCAGGUCUCCCACUUGGUGGACACUCCCCUAGGGGACCAAAUGGGAGACUGUAAUGGCAGAUCGUUGUAAAUACAGCAUUUCAGGACACACAGGCACAUAAUAUUUCCAGCAUGCAAUUCAAUUAUCUCCCAGGACAGUAAUUCAAUUAUCUCCCAGGACAGAGGCAAAUCGCCAUUUUAGAUGCGACCCAAAAAACACAUAAAAAUAUAUAGUUUUACAACAACCGAACAUUUCCCAUUCGUGUCACGUAUCCCCAGAUAGCCUGGAUCUGAGUGUAUAUUAUUGGCGAAUAGCGCUCAGAUCCCAUACGCACAGUUCAAUCGCCAUGGAGUCAAAGUCUUGUACAGUCUUUCGGUAUGCGAUUGACUCCAUGGGAAGGCUAUCUGGGUUAAGUCCAUUCGUGCGUUUCAAACUCCCGAACGGCAGGUGUUCGUAUGCCUCGGUCGAUGGAGAAGGGAGGUCGGUGGUUUUAGCGGUGUUUCGCAGAAAAAGGGUCCGUUUUCAGUUCCAUAGAAUACGUGCCGAACACCGCUGGUCUUUCACCUGAUUUAAAAUGGCCGCCGCCUCGUGGUCGACAUACGAACGACAACCACCCUGUAUUCGGUUAUAAUUGAGAGGUGUCUGCGGUUAACCACAACGUUCUAAUUGGGAUCAAGAGGUUAACCAGCAGCACACUUCUCUUCUGGGUGGCCAUCCGUUCAGUAAGUUCAUUCGGUAGAAAAGUCAAAUAAACGAACAGGGGCAUACGGACAGGUAAUUCCACGAAAGGAGGCAAAACAGACGAACCAGCAAUCUUAGUCUAUACAGAUGGAUCUGUCACAGUAUUAUCAGAUAUCUGAGGUUUCACUGGGACUCCUGAUAGGCCAGAGCCUGUUCUAGCAGCCUUGAGUGCCGUGCAAAGACACCACGGGUGCCUUGCAUGGCACACGUGCCAUAGGUUGCCUACCUGAGUAUUAUGCCCGCUUGUUAGAACAUCCAUUAGAACGUUUGCACCAAAUAGUGCCAAAGCCGCAAGGGAAGCCUUAGCGUGUGUCCUCCGCUGGGCAGCCCCCCUUUCGUAUAGGCAAACAUCAUCCAGGGGGAGCAUUCAUUAAUUGCUCCCCUUCUUGUUCGGUUUACGAAUGAGGACCUCCCUGGGGCCCCAUUGGAAUGUUCACACCAAUCAAUUAGAACGUUAACACUCACAACAUAAGUGUGAAACCGCAGGGGAAAUAAUUAAUGAAUGCUUCCCUGGGUGGCCGCCAUUCGUAUAUAUGAACGGCAACCAGGGGAAGCAUUCGGAUCCCAAAAACAGAUGCUUCCCUAGCCUGGUUUCACACAGUGACCCCGCAAACAGAGGCUGUUCGAGACAGGUACCAUUGUGGGGGUCCCUGAGGUUGGUGUCUUGCUGGCUUUUUGUGCCUGGGAGACAAAGAGGCAUAAGCCUUUUCCCGCGCUUUGACUCCCAAGUACGGAGGCUCCUGGGAUGAAGACCCCCCUGACAUCUGGAGCGGGAAACCAUGAAUUUGGGUGGUGGGAACAAGGGACAAAGGGGGAUAAGACUCCUGGGAUGGGGAGGACCCUGGGAUAGGACACUGUUGGUGUGUGUUGGAGACCCCUUGCUUAGGGCUUUGCAUAAAAGCUGGGUGUGACAAUAAAAUUGUGUUGUACCUCCAGAACUAUUUGCUGUCCAGUUACUGUGGGGAAAUUGGUCUCUGUAUCUGGUGAGUGGGUCCAGAACGACUGACGGAAGGGUAUUAGAUAACCGGUUGGGUUACCCAUGGUCCACUGCAUAGGGGUUCCCUUAGAAACAGUCUACUGUUACAAUUGGAUUAUUGCAUGGAUUUUGAUUGAGGAGUACAGACACAAAAUGCUGUUUCAACUUUUGGGUUCGUAUUGGUUUUAUGGUACUGAAAAGCAAAAUCCUCAAAACAGUGUACUAGUAAAAGAGUGAUUAUUGAAAAAAAAUAAUUAUAUAUAUAAAUAUAUAUAUAACUUUCUAUUAUCUGUGUAAGUUUGCUGCAUGUUUGCCAAAUUUGUUAAUUUAAAUUCCCUAUCAGUGUUUCAGAAUUAUACGCAAAAUGUUUCAGUACACAAAGUUUUAUUAAAAUAUCAUACUCAUCUGUUACAAACAUCACUCUUCUGUAUCCUGUAUCCUGUAUCCUGUGUCCCAUAUGCUAAUGCAGGAUUCCUAGUUAGUUCUGGGGUGUUCACUAUGGUAUAAUGAACAAUGAAAAGUAAUCUCUUUAGGGAUUUCAAAGCUGUUUGAAGGAAUAAAUAAUCAUUGUCUUUGAACUAAAACAACUUUGAACUUGAUGGCCACUAAAGCAAAGAGCGGAUCAAAGAAAAACUAGCUAGCACAGUAAGGAUCUAAUGUGAAAAGGACAAUUCAUAACAAACAAAGCAAUUAGCAACACAAGUAGGUUCCAUAAAUAACCAAGAAAUUGUCAGCUUGUCAUUUUUAUUUACACUGCAACUAAUUUGAUUAGCAAAACUAUACAAUACGUGAAAAUAUUCACUGCAAAAAGCACACACAGUAUGAUUAAAAUGUACUUAAUGCACUUUUUCUUAUUACUGCUAUAUUUUAGUAAACAGUAAUCUAAAAUGCUGGAGUUUUGUUUCAUAAAUAAAAAUAACUGCCAAGUAAACUGUUUAUGUAAAAAUCUUUAUUCCAAAAUAACACUAAUUUUUAUUAUUAAUACUUUUUGUAGAAAUACUGUUGUAUCUAUCGAAGUUCCUGAAAAUAUUGAUAGAACAUUUAAAAGUUUUAUCUUUCCUGAAUACAUGUGACUUCAACAUGCCAUUACAUCAUAAUGAACACCAUACAUAUUAAUGCUAAGUCAAGGUAUUUUAUAGAAAUUUUAAAAAUGCCAAGAAAUUAUAAUUGCUUUUCAGCAUAUAACAAACAAAUAAAAUAUUAUUCUAAAGAAUUAGAAAACUGAAUUUCCAAAACAAAAAAAAUCUAAACUUUGAGACGACUCAUUAGAUUUAAUCUUUGUAAGAGAUUUGUGAGGAAUGUAAAGGAAAUAAAUGUAGACAAGGUAUUCACUUACUGAUGAACUGCACAGCAGAAGUACUAAUAAUGCUUAUAUAUGACCUUUUUAAUACCAGAAAUAUAAGCAAUUUAUUGUUGACUAAUUUUAUAAUCUUAUUGUGAUAGUUUAUAUUUCUUUACACUGCAAGCUCCUUUCCCUAUUCCAAAAAUAUAUCACAUUGUGCCAGUCAUACUCAGCAGAGAAAGCAGACAAUUAAUGUUUACCCUAAUUCACACAUAAUUUAUUGUUAUGCCACUACAAAGUUUCCAAUCAAAACAAUUACUUCCCUUAAACCAAUGUCAAAUGCUUCACCAGUAGUAUCAGGUUGAUUACAGCAAUCUCAUUAAUCCACCUACUAGUAGUCCCUAACCUGACUUCUAUCAUUAUACUCUACAAGUGAUGUGUCAAUUUUAAUCUUUAACACAAGAUAUGUGGGCAACAAUAUUGGGGGAGAUUUGUCAAAGUGUUCUGUCCUAAAAAGUAGUCUAAAUUUUCUAAAAGUGGGACUAUCAGCUGGGAUACCAGUGGAGUCAGAAUGCAAACUCCAUUGGCAAUUCGUCCUGUUUUACACUUUUGAAUCUCUAUCAUUGUCUUCAUCCAAGAUCAAUGUCUUCACUCUGCUUUCAUGGUCCUAAAAGAUACAUAGAUAAUACAUUAACAACUUGUGUCCUAAAAUUCACACAAUCUGUAUUCUCCAAGGCUUUUAACGGCUUUGUCCUGGAUUUAUGCAUUCAACCCAAGAAACAUUCCUUUCUCUUCUCAGACGAAGAUAUAUUCUCUUUUGACUCUCCCAGGCAAUCCUCAUUUGUCUUUAAGGAAUUUGACUGUUUAUUAAGCAUCUCACUUCCUCUAUACAACCCACAAAUAAUCUUUGGAGAUUUGAACAAGCGCUUGGUUAGUCACUGUACACUAUUCUACUUACUCUCAUUCAUAAAUUCCUUUGACCUAUUUCUGACUGGCCAUAUCCUCUCUCAGGGCUGCCAAGUUUUCCUUCAAUGUUAAAUGUUGAUUCUGCUGACCACUUUGUUCCUUUUUUAUCUUUUAGUCCAAUGCCAAUCUAUGUCUUCUCCUUUAGUCUCUCCUUAUCAUGCAGAUAACCCUCCACUAUCUGUUUUAUAUAUAAUAUGCACCUCUCUGUAUGCAUCCAUUCCUUAGCUAAAUUACAUCAACAUUGGGUUAACAAACAACUAAUGACACUUUCCCUCACACUGUGCUAGGCUAAGUAUUAUGCUUGCCCUGGUCAUCUGGCACACUCGACAAAUGAUUGUGAGCUGAGGCUCCUUGGGAAAAUUAGGAGAUCACAGCAACUGGCUCACAUGUAGCACUAAUUGUCAGGGUACCACCUAAAGGGGACACUUCCCACACGCCUUCUUAUCAUCUCAGCAGUUCAAACUUGACUUGGCUCUGGUUUGACUAUUCUGUGUUCUCCUUCCCUUUGACUUUGCUUGCUUGUUCGCUUAUCUGUUUUCUGGCUCUCUUGACCUCGGCUUGUCCCUGACUAUUCUCUGUUAGUGAUGUCGCGAACCCGAAAUUUUCGGUUCGCAAACGGCGAACGCGAACUUCCGCAAAUGUUUGCGAACCGGCGAACCGCCCGAAACGCCAUUGACUUCAAUGGGCAGGCGAAUUUUAAAACACACAGGGACUCUUUCUGGCCACAAUAGUGAUGGAAAAGUUGUUUCAAGGGGACUAACACCUGGACUGUGGCAUGCGGGAGGGGGAUCCAUGGCAAAACUCCCAUGGAAAAUUACACAGUUGAUACAGAGUCUGGUUUUAAUCCAUAAAAGGCAGAAAUCACCUAACAUUCCUAAAUCACAAUCAAUAUGGAUUGACACCUGACAUAUGACAUAUUGACACCUUGACAUAUGGAUUGACACCUGUCCUCAGAGCCCCUGAUGCACACGGACACAGAGCAGAAUAGAGACUGGUCCCCCUACAUGGGGUCACUUGGCAGAUAUGGAUUGACACCUGUCCUCAGAGACCAUGAUACACACUGACACAGAGCAGAAUAGGGACUGUUCCUCCUACAUAGGGUCACUUGGCAGAUAUGGAUUGACACCUGUCCUAAGGAUCCCUGAUACACACUGACACAGAGCAGAAUAGGGACUGUUCCUCCUACAUAGGGUCACUUGGCGGAUAUGGAUUGACACCUGUCCUCAGAGCCCCUGAUACACACUGACACAGAGCAGAAUAGGGACUGUUACCCCUACAUAGGGUCACUUGGCAGAUAUGGAUUGACACCUUGUUACAAACUGCUAUUUGUAACCGUCCCUUUAAAUGGCAAAUUGCUCUGCUUCCCUGGGUUGUGGAGAAGCCUAUUUGCCAGCCUCCUCCCGCAUGACUAUGGCCCCUGGGAGAUUGUGAAAAUGUAUGCACUUUUAUUUGGUGUGUAUGGCCCUUUAAGACUGUCGGUGGGCAAAUUGGGGCUUAUGGACUCUUUAUGUGACUGGUGCUGGCCCUUUAAACACCUUUUUUUGGGACAUCAGGAAGAUUGGGACACUGCCCCUUUAAGGCCGUGUCCCCAGACUUGUUGGGGACACGGCCCCUUUAAGACGGUGUCCCCUGUGUCCCUAGACCUGGUGCAAACCCUUUGUGCCUGCCUGGCUAAUUCCCACUUGGUUCAGUAAAUGGGGCUUACUAAACCAAGUACCACACAGGCAGACCACCCAGAAGUGGAAGUGUGCAGGCAAUUUACCUCCCAGAAGCUGCGGUUAACCGCAGCUUAAUUGACAAUGCUGGGAGGUCUUUGUUCGUUUGCCGAACACGUGGCGGCGGCCAUCUUUGAUCAUUCGGCGAGGUCAGCGGUAUGUGUAGCCAAAUUCAUGGAACUAAAAUCGGCUACACAUUUCCGCGAACACCACUGAGCUCUACCUUCUCCCCUACUGGUUUUACAGCUGCAGAGACUAAGUCCCAUUCGGCGAUGGGACUUAGUCUUUUUUUCAGCCGUUUUUUUCAGCCUUAUUUCAGCUGCAGAGACUAAGUCCCAUUUGGCGAUGGGACUUAGUCUUUUUUUCAGCCUUAUUUCAGCUGCAGAGACUAAGUCCCAUUCGGCGAUGGGACUUAGUCGUUUUUUCAGCCUGAAAUAGACCGACCUCACAGCCAAAAUCUAUGGAACUGUUUUGGGCAGGAAAAUGUGCUUGCGGUCGGUCAUAAAGGGACCUCCAGCUAACUUUUUAACCCCUGGAUGUAUUUGGCUGAUUUUUGGUUAUGUUUAUGUUUUAAGUGUGCUGAUUCCAAAUAUGUAAUUAUGAAGAUGGGAUGUGUAGUUUUAAAGUUACAGGGUAUGGCUAAAAACUGUAUUUUUUACUGCCUGUGUUUAAUUAUGUUAAUCUCUUCCCAAACGUCAUUUCGUUCAAAGUGGAGAGAAUGUUAAAAAAAUAUAUUUUUGUUCGGAGUGUGAGAAAUGCUUUUCAGCCGCUUCUAAUCUUAAGCAUCAUUUGAGGAGCCAUACAGGAGAGAAACCUUAUUUGUGGUGUGUUUGGUAUUGUUCUGAUCAGUUUUAAUACCUUCCGCGUCUCCUAUCAGUGGACGUGUAUAUGGCAGCCAUUUUAGGAACCGUACACCUGGGACCCGAGCAAGGUCACCUUGUUCAACAGGCUUGCAGCGUAUCCUCCAGGAAGAAGAGCCUGAACCCUUACCGGCUGCACGUGUCUUACCUGUACAUGGAAAGCUGCUCUGGUUCCUUGAUGAGCCAGCUGCCCUUGAGUUAACAUGUCCCGUGGAGAAGCACUCUGUCCUGUAAAGCCUCACCAAAAAAAAGGAGUGGUGUGUUUAGUAUUGUUCUGAUCAGUUUAAUNNNNNNNNNNNNNNNNNNNNNNNNNNNNNNNNNNNNNNNNNNNNNNNNNNNNNNNNNNNNNNNNNNNNNNNNNNNNNNNNNNNNNNNNNNNNNNNNNNNNUUUUCCCCUCAGUUUGUCUGAAUGAAAAUUGUUUUUUUUUUUUUUUUGCUCACCUGACCAUGUUGAUAUGGUCUUGUCCCUGUGGAAGUCAGCCACCCUCCACAGGAAGCCCAGGCACAUGUAGCCCAAUCUCUGUGGAGUUGGGAACCCCUGGGAGCCGUGGUGGUUAGUUUCCCAGGCUGUUGGAACUUGCUGGCAUCAGGAUUGCGCAUGCACAAUGCGCACGAUCGGAAUCAGAGCGAUUUUGCCCUUUUCCAAAAUGGCGGUGUCGCGGUUUCGCGAUUAAUGAGCGCAUGUGUGCUCCCUUAAAGGUACAGAGCAGGAAAUUUGAAAUGGCGGCAUUACAGUGUCAAAAACGCUUGUUUCUUUUCCCUUUACAGUUACAGUGCUCUAUUAGACUGUUUCUUAAGCUCUGCAGGUAAGAAAUUUACUUUUAUCAUUUACAAUGAUCUAGAAGUUUAGGCUGGGAAUGCAUUACAUUUUUUAAUGUUCUUAGCCCUACAGUCAGUUCGGAUCCAUCAUCUCCUUCUGCAAAAUCAACGAGAUCUGCAAUAGGUCAUUUGUGAGCAACUCUUUUUUAUUUUUCACAUUACUAAACAGAGUGCAUGGAGGAUACAGUCUUAUGACUUCUGUGUCUUACAGCCCUCAAGACCGGUCCUGCCCCAGAUCUCCAUCUAGGAGAAGGGAAAAACCGGCAGCCUGCCCUGGAUGUGGUGCAAGGCCUAUGGAUAACUGCAGGCUCUGCAGAAGAUGCUUAGCCAUGGUUGCAGGAGAGUUUGAAUGCCAGAUGUCACCACAAGAUCAAGAGGUGAGACCUUCGGCAUGGACUCGGAUCAGUCUGAAGAGGACUUCAGACAGACUUCUGCCUCCCUGGAUUUGGAGCCAAUCUCAUUCAGUGAAGAGGAGUAUAUGGAACAGCCUUGCUCCUUGGACUACAAAGCUAUGGAGCAUUUGAUUAUGGCAGUCAGGAGAACAUUAGAUUUGCCUGAAGAGGCUAAGGAAUGUUCAGCUUCUGACAGAUAUUUUGGUGAUUUGCACAAGAGAAGACCUUCUUUUGCGGUUCACAGCUCUAUUAAAGACCUGAUGCGGAACGAGUGGCAGAAUCCAGGUGAAAGGAUUACUAUUCAAGGAAGGCUUUCUAAGUUGUAUCCGAUUAAGGAGGAGGAUUCCAGGAUGUGGACAGCUGUCCCAAAAAUAGAUGCUCCUAUCAUUAAGGUAGCAAAAAGAUCCACGCUUCCAAUAGAUAGCAAUGCUUUCCUAAAGGAGUGUCAGGAUUACAGAAUGAUCCAGCACGUGGAAUUGUGUAACACAGAGGACUGAUAGGUAACGUAUACCGGACCUUAGAAUGGCCGGACUAAUGUACCAAAGAAUAGUCAGGAAUAGUCAAGGUCUAGGGAUACAGAAAGAGACACAAUGAUAAGGAAAAGCCAGGAGUCAGGGAUGCCAGAAAACAGGGAAGUCAAAAACAAUGCCAAAGUCAAAUAACCAGAAUAACCAAAUUCAAUAACGCGCUCUCGAACAACCACAAGGGAAACCACGACAGGGCACUGAGCAGGAUGAGAACUGGGCCUAAAUACCCCUCCUUUAGGUCUGAUAGGCUUUAACCAGCCUUUGACCCCAAAGGCAGUUACCAGGUUCCCAUUUUCAUAAUUGCUGCUCAGCAUUAAUCCUUCAGUGGAUUUGGUUGCUGCUCGGCACAACUUUUCAUGUGUGGACAGUAAAUGCCAUUAACCACAUUUUUAUAAGCGGAUGAAUACGUGACAUUACCCCCCACCUGAAGAACGCCCACCGGGUGGGCAGGACCAAGCUUGAGAGGAAAUUUGGCAUGAAAAUAGUGAAUCUUGCGGCCAGCAUGUAUAUCAGAUGCCAGAACGCAAGAACAAUCGGCUGGUCCAUAACCUUUCCAAUCCACCAAGUACUGUAAAGUGCCCCAAGAAAACCUGGAAUAAAUUAUGAAGGAGACCUAUUACUCUUCCUGUCCAGAAACAACUAAGGGAGGAGGAGGGACACUUGAAACAGUAUAUUUAUUGCAAACAAGAGGUUUGAGCAAGGACACAUGAACGGUAUUAGGAAUUUUCAAGGAGGCUGGAAGGGCCAGAGAGUACGCAACAGGAUUGAUCCAACGAAGGACACGAAAAGGUUAGCCCUCUCAGCUGUACCAUUAGUCUGGGGGUGGUAAGAGGAUGAAAAAGACAAUUCAAUCCCCAAUUGCUUAUUAAAAGCCCUCCAAAACCGGGAUACAAACUGAGAACCUCUAUCAGAUACAAUAUUGUGAGGAAUGCCAUGCAGAUGGACAAUCUCACGUAUAACGAUCAGUCUUGAGAUGAUGGUAAUUUCUUGAGAGGAAUAAAAUGAGCCAUUUUAGAAAAACGGUCCACAACCAUGAGAAUGGUGGUAUAACCAUUAGAACUAGGAAGUUCAACAAUGAAGUCCAUGGACAAGUGGGGCCAUGGGACCUCAGGAAUAGGAAGAGGUUGUAACAAGCCACAAGGGAGUUUAUGAGGCAUUUUGAAAACCGCACAAACAGAACAAGCCUGCACAUAUUCCUUAACAUCCUUCCUGAGGGAAUCCCACCAGAAUGACCUCAUGAUAGCAGAAGUGGAUUUAUUAAUACCUGGGUGACCAGCAGACACAUUGUCGUGAAAGACCUUCAUGAUAUUAACCCUUUCCCCCAAUGGCACGAACAGUUUGUCCUGAGGUUUACCGCAGGGUGCCUGAGACUGAGCCUCCAUGAUGGAGCCAAGCAGUGGAGAGGACAAUGAAAGGACAGUGGACGCAAUGAUACAUUCUGGGGGAAUGAUACGGGACGUUUCUUGCUCUAGUAUAGCCUCAGUAUCAAACUGCCUGGGCAAGGCGUUGGCCUUGACAUUUUUAGAACCAGGUCUGUCGGUGAUAAGAAAAUUAAAGUGAGAAAGAAAUACAGACCAUCUAGCUUGUCUAGAAGAUAAUUGCUUAGCAUCUCCUAUGUAAGCCAGAUUUUUGUGAUCAUUAAUGAUCAAAAGUGGGUCCUUGGAAUCCUCUAGAAGAUGUCACCACUCCUUGAGAGCUAGAAUAAUGGCCAACAAUUCUCUAUUGCCAAUAUCAUAAUUGCGCUCAGCAGGAGACAAUUUUCUAGAAAAGUAACCACAAGGAUGUAACAGAGUUUCCUGGCUCUCCCUCUGGGAGAGAACUGCCCCUAUCCCUAUUUAUAAAGGGAUUUUCUUCAGUAAUAGCCCCCAUCACCAAUAUGACACGCAAGGGGGCUAGUAGUACGAUAUGGUCUAAGGAGGCAAUUGAAGCCUUUGAAGCAUCAACCUCCAGUAUGAAAGGCUUACUGAUGUCAGGAUGUAUCAAUAUGUCAGCGGAGGCAAACCGCUGUUUGAGAGUUUCAAAGGCUUCAAUUGCCUCCUUAGACCAUAUCGUACUACUAGCCCCCUUGCGUGUCAUAUUGGUGAUGGGGGCUAUUACUGAAGAAAAUCCCUUUAUAAAUCUUCUGUAAUAAUUGGCGAAACCAAUGAACCUUUGAAUGGCUUUCAUCCCAGUGGGUAAAGGCCACUGUAGAACAGACUCUAGUUUUUUAGCAUCCAUCUGAAACCCUGAGGCAGAAAUAUUAUAUCCUAAAAACUGUACUUCAGACUGGUCAAAGAUACAUUUUUCCAAUUCACAAUAAAGUUGUUCUUUUAAUAAGGUUUGCUGAACUUGUUUAACGUGAUCGUGGUGAGACUAGGGGUCAGGAGAAUAAAUAAGGAUAUCAUCCAGAUAGACCAAGACAAACAAAUAAAUGUAAUCCCUAAAUACAUCGUUAAUGAAAUCUUGGAAAACCGCUGGAGCAUUGCACAACCCGAAUGGCAUCACUAGAUAUUCAUAGUGUCCACUUCUGGUAUUAAAUGCAGUCUUCCACUCGUGGUUUUCCUAGAUUCUCACUAAAUUGUAAGCACUUCUAAGGUCAAGCUUAGUAAACACUAUAGCGCCAUGGAGUCUGUCAAAUAAUUCAGCAAUAAGAGGAAUGGGGUAGGCGUUCUUAAUGGUGAUUUUGUUUAAUGCCCUGUAAUCGAUACAUGGGCGCAACUCACCAUCCUUUUUAGAUACAAAAAAGAAUCCUGCACCAGCAGGCGAGGAUGAUUUCCGUAUAUGGCCUUUAUUCAAUGAAUCUUUAAUAUAUUCCUCCAUUACACUACUCUCCUGAGGAGAUAGAGCAUAGGCUUCUCCCUUAGGUGGCAUAGCACCUGGUAGUAAGUUAAUGGAAUGGAAGUCAUAUGGUCUGUGAGAAGGUAGAGUAUUGGACUGAGUCUUGUUGAAUACUUCUUUAAUGUCUUGGUAUUGUAUAGGGAUCUUGGGAUUUUGAGGUGUACUAGUGGGUAAUUCAAUAGUGCCCACUCUUGUGGUUACAUGCAAUAUGCACCUUUCAUUACAAUCCUUACCCCAUUCUAAUAUUUCCCCAUUAGCCAAGUCAAUAUGAGGGUUAUGCUUGCUGAGCCACGGGAAUCCUAAUAUAAUAGGACAAGAAGGAGAUGCAAUCACCUGAAAUGUAAUCUCUUCCUUAUGUAAUGCACCAAUGGAAAUAUUAAUGGGUAAGGUUUCAUGCUUUAUCAAUGGUUGUGAGAGUGGUCUCCCAUCAAUAGCUUCAACAGCUGGGGAUGAUAGUCUCUCUUUGGUAGGUAUAGUAUUACCUUUGACAAAUUGAACGUUGAUGAAGUUUCUAGCAGCACCUGAAUCCAUCAGGGCUUUGCAUGAAAAGUUAUUUUUGGCAAAGGCGAUAGAAAUGUCAAGGAGAAACCUAUUUUUAUUCUUUUCAGAGGAUGUUUCCAUUACACCUGAGACCUGUCCCUUAAGGUGCUUAGGUGCGGUAGUUUUCCGGACGUCUGGGACAAUUGUUUCUCAUAUGUCCCUUCCUACCGCAGUAUAGACAUAGGCCUUCUUUUCUCCUAUAUUGUCUUUCUGCUUCCGACAGUCUAGUGACCCCCAACUGCAUGGGUUCGGGUUCAGACUGUACAGGAAUUUCAGGGACAAUAGGUCUGGAGAAACGGGGUGCUAAAUGCAUGCUCAUGCGUCUGGUCUUGUUUCUAGUUGUUUCUCUGGUUCUUAAUCUAUUAUCAAUCUGCAUGACAAAAAUGAUAAAUUCAUUAAGCUUUUUAGGUAAGUCUUUGGCGGCAAUCUCAUCUAGCAUAGUUUCAGAUAAUCCCUUUUUAAAUGCAGAGAUUAACCCACUAUUAGUCCAGUCUACCUCGGAAGCUAGGGUACGAAAUCCUAUGGCAUAUUCCGAGAUAGACCGGUUCCCUUGUCUGAUGUACAUCAGGGCAGUAGAGGCGUCAUGCUCUCUGCGUAAAGGUUCAAAUGUAAGUUUGAAAUCCGUAAGGAACUCCUGGUAAUUGUGUGCCACACUCCUAUUACUCUCCCAUAAUGGAUUGGCCCAAGCUAAAGCUUUACCUUUUAAUUAAUUUAUUAGGUAACCAAUUUUAGCUCUGUCUGUGGGAAAAGAUCUCUAAGAGGCCUCAAAAUGCUACUCUAUUUGGUUAAUAAAUCUCCUGCAUUCUUGAAUAUUACCAUCAAAAUGCAGGGGAGGAGAUAGGGAGAUAGUAGGUGCUGUGUGUACUAUAGCUGGAGGUAUACAAGGUGGAGGUGAGGCCGCAGGUUGCAGAUGCGCUGUUAGGGUAAGAAGCGUACUGAAGGUCUGGGCAAAUUGAUCCAUGCGGUGAUCAUUAUCCUUCAGUUUCCUUUCACAAGCAGCUAUGUGCUUACACAAUUCUACAGGAUCUAUGGCCAUGCCAUAAUGUCAGGAUUACAGAAUGAUCCAGCACCUAGAAUUGUGUAACACAGAGGACUGAGGUAACGUAUACCGGACCUUAGAAUGGCCGGACUAACGUACCAAAGAAUAGUCAGGAAUAGCCGAGGUCAAGGGAUACAGAAAGAGACACAAUGAUAAGGAAAAGCCAGGAGUCAGGGAUGCCAGAAAACAGGGAAGUCAACAACAAUGCCAAAGUCAAAUAACCAGAAUAUCAAUAACGCGCUCUCGGACAACCACAAGGGAAACCACAACAGGGCACUGAGCAGGAUGAGAACUGGGCCUAAAUACCCCUCCUCUAGAUCUGAUAGGCUGUAACCGGCCUUUGACCCCAAAGGCAGUUACCAGGUUUAUUUGCAUAAUUGCUGCUCAGCAUUAACCCUUUUGUGGAUUUGGUUGCUGCUCGGCACAACUUUUCAUGUGUGGACAGUAAAUGCCAUUAACCACAUUUUUAUAAGCGGAUGAAUACGUGACAAGGAGCCAAUGGAUAAAAAGAUUGAUGCUGAUAUAUCUAAAGUCUUCAUGACAGCAGGAUUAGGAUGUCAUCUGGCUGUAUCCAUUUCAGCUUUAUCCAGAGCCUUGUGUUCCUGGAUCCUUGAUUUGGAGGAAGACCUAGAUAGAGUUGUAAGCAAACGUCAGAUGGCAGAAUCCUUGAGGGAUAUUAAACUCACCAGUGACUGGCUUUUGGAAUCCUCUACAGACCUUAUUAGAAUUCUCUCUAAGGUUAUGGCUCAUUCUGUCACUGCCAGACGGGCACUUUGGCUAAGAUCCUGGGGAGCAGACCUUUCCUCUAAAAAUAAUGUGUGCACCCUUCCUUUUAUGUGAGAGGUACUCUUUGGAAAACCACUGGAUGAAGCUAUUAAAAAAGCGGCCGAAGUUAAACAGGUCAUGCUGCCACAAGAUAGACGUCCCAAAAGGCGGUUGCUCAGGAUGCCCUAUCCAUCAGAUGGGAGUUCGAUCUAGAACAUAUUUCCUCCAAUUCCCCUCAUCCACUGUGUUAUGAGAAAGAUCUCCAAGGAACAUUGCAAGGUGAUAACUGUUCUUCCCUUCUGGCCACGUCGCCCUUAGAUUCCCCUGUUAAAGCGGUUAUCAAGGCACCUGACUUGCGAGCUUACGGUCUCGGAAGAUCUGCUGACUCAGGGUCCGGUGUUUCAUCCGGAGCCUCACAAGUUCAGGCUCCAUGCAUGGCUGUUGAGAGGCAAUCCCUAGUUGACCAAGGCCUUUCGGAUAAAGUGAUCUCGACCCUGUUAUGUUCUAGGAAUUCAUCUACUACCUCUACCAACCAUAAGAUAUGGGAAGCUUUUGCACUGUGGAGUAAUUCCAUGGUUCAAGAUUUAGGUUCCCCUUCCGUGUCUCAGGUUUUGGGUUUCCUGCAACAGGCCUGGAGAGGGCCUUCAACUUAACACCUUUAAAGUACACUGCUCCAAUCUUUUGGCUCUUUCUGGAAUUCGUUGGGCUUUAAAUCCCAUGGUGAUUCGCUUCUUCAAAGCUGUCAUUAGGAUUAGACCUCCUAUCAAAAAAUUCUCAGCUCCUUGGAAUUUACCUCUAGUUCUGCAGGCCUUAAUGGAACACCUCUUAGAACCUAUUAAUGAGGUCCCGAUGCAGGUUCUUUCUCUGAAGACCCUGUUGUUGCUGGUUUUAGUCUCAGCUAGGAGAAUGUCUAACAUUAAAGUAUUGUCAUCUGAGGAACCGUUCACUACCUUCUUCGAUGAUAGAGUGGUACUGCGGCCAAGACCAGAGUUCCUUCCGAAGGUUGUUACAUCCUUUCAUCUGAAUCAAGAUAUUAUCCUGCCGGGGUAUUUUCAAAAUCCUUCUUCACCUGAGGAAGAAAAAUGUCAUACACUAGACAUAAGGAGGUGUAUUUCCACAUAUAUUGAGCAUUCAGCUACUUGGAGAAAGUCUUCUCAAUUAUUUGUGAUUCCUUAGGGUUUUCGUAAAGGUGAAGCUGCUUCUGUCGCAACUCUUCAUUCUUGGACGGUCCAGGCUAUUUCUAAAGUGUACAGGACGAAACAGGUGCCGGUUCCCAAGGUCAUCAAGGCACAUUCCACAAGAUCCAUUGCUACUUCAUGGGCUGCAGAGUCCGGGGUCCCUGCAGAGAGCAUCUGCAAGGCUGCCAAUUGGUCAUCUUUGAAAACCUUUGUACAUCACUACAGAGUUGAUGUCUCAUCUCAGUCUGGUUCGGAGUUCGGCCUAUCGGAUUUGAACUCUUAUAAGCCUAUAAGUUGAUAUUAAAAAUUUUUUGUAGCAUGAAUUACCCUCCCUGAGUGAUUAUUGCUUUGGGAAUCUCAUAUGUUAAAUGCUGCCAUGAUUAGCCAGGAAUAGAGAAAAUGUAUUGAUACUUACCGUAAUUUUCUUUUACUGGCUAUUAUUCAUGGCAGCAUUUGGUUUCCCACCCUCUCUUGGUAAAUUUGUCUUGUUACUGGACUGAGGUGUGGAUGCUACUGGGGUCCCUAUUAUACUAGGGGAAGGUAUACUUAAUUGUUUAAUUGAUUGUGUUUCCUGUCCUGAGGGUUAGAGGGAGGAGCUAUACCCAUAUGUUAAAUGCUGCCAUGAAUAAUAGCCAGGAAAAUAAAAUUACGGUAAGUAUCAAUACAUUUUCUCUAAUAUUUGCACUAUAUUUUGGUUUUCUGCUCUCUUUUAUAUGAUGCCACAGAGAGGAUUACAGCCACCUACAAAUCCUAGAGUGGGGAUUAUACCACUUAAUGCUGUUAAAUAGGAGUCAUUUGGGGGCUCCAUUACAUGUGAGUGCAUUUCCAUUUACUUGCCUACUCAGCUAACCUAAGCCUGACAUACUACACUACAUAGGUGUUUCAUUUCACAAGCAUCUGAGGACAUUCCAAGGUGCUACUCCCACUACUCUUUGUACAACUGCUUUUUAUAAACCUCUGCGAUGCAAGAUAAAUUAUUUGGCAGUUGGCCAACGUUAAAAGUUAAAGGUUUAAAAUCAAUAUAUAAAAUAAAUAAAUGUAUAAAAACUCCACAGGGUUUAAUAAGACCCCCAUAUUAGUAUAAAGGAGGUUAAAAACCUCUGUAUGCCCCAACAUGACAUGCGGCUGGUGGGGGAAAAUGUAUAAACUAUUUAAAACUAGCGACAGGGCAGCCAGUGGUUUAAAAUAAAUAAUGGGGUGGAAAGAUUAUUAUCCACCCCCUACCACCACACAUGGUCAUCAGUUGUGGACUAUUAUAACAUAUAACAUAUAACAUAUAAUUUAUAAUUAGUGUCCCACCCACAGCUAAUGACCUGUUGGUGCCCUAAUUAUAGUAUUCAUAUGAGGAGUUCCCCACCAGCCCCCACACAUAGGUGGCAAGUGGGGGCUCUAAUAAUUAUAAAAUGAGAGUAUAUAUACCAUUGUCCACUCCCCAAAUAAUGGCAUUGCCAUACCCUACUUCCAACCCCAAUCCCUAGCCACCAUCAGAGUGCUCUGACUGGCAUAUCUUGUGAAGUGAAUUCUGCCAGUGGGCAAAUAGUUUAGCUUUUUUUUUUUUUUUUUUUAGACAAGGCAUUUGGGCUCAGAUGUAAAGCAUUGGGGUCCGAAUUUCAGCCAACUGGCAGAUUUCAGUCCUGCUCUGGACCAAAAACUGGAUAUUGUUAAAUAGUGUGCACAAUAUCUGGAUUUUGCAGUUUGAAUUCAGACUUUAAUGAAUAACCCUGUUAGUCUGUUUUAGAUGGGUUUAUUUAAAAAAAAAAAAAAGUUAGGAUAAUCAAAAGUCAGGAAGAGAUGCAGGAGGCGAGGUCUGGUGUGUAAGAGGAGAAUGACGAAGAUCUAAAUGUUCUUUGCAAAUAAAUGGGAAUGAAAACAUAAAAUGAGAUGUGUUUGUCUAGGGGCUGGUGUAGAGGGAAUAAGAACUGAGUCUGGUACUACAAAUACAAUGUUACCAGAAGAUAGGGAUGUGGAACUGCACUCAAUCCCCUCAGUAAUAUGAAUCUGGGUCCAACAGAAUGGUUUCACUACCAGGAAACUAAUUAUUUGAUAGAAAAAUGUAGAAAGGUCCCCUUCAGAAUUCAAGAAAAAAACGAAAUUUAUUAAACCCACAGCCCAGUCACAACAUCGAUUGUGGCCAGCCUAAGGCACACCUGUUCAAUAAUCAUGCUGUCUAAUCAGCAUCUUGAUAUGCCACAUCUGUGAGGUGGAUGGAUUAUCUCGACAAAGGAAAAGUGCUUACUAACACAGAUUUAGACAGAUUUGUGAACAAUAUUUGAGAGAAAUAGGCCUUUUGUGUACAUAGAAAAAGACUUAGAUCUUUGAGUUCAGCUCAUGAAAAAUGGGGGCAAAAACAAAAGUGUUGCAUUUAUAAUUUGGUUCAGUGUACAUUGGAUUUGAGAGCUGGAAAUGUUGCACUAUAGGAACUUCAUAAAAGUGCUGAUUUCUCUCAAAAUUGGCAUGUUGAUAAGAGGUGCUAUAGGGAUUUGAAUUAUUCCUUUAACCAAACAAUAUGCAAAUACUUAAUUUGAAAUUGUAGAUAAUACCUGUUCUCUUACAUUUAUCACCAGUUUCUUUUACGUCAACAUUAAUAUAAACUCACUCUUUUGCUUAUUAUCUUGAAAUAUGCCACUAAGUCUCGAUACUUAGAAUCCAUUAGAAGUUUGUUUUCUUGAGGUCAUUGUAAAUCUAACACAAUGUACAAAACUUUCCAAACAUUAUAUCCCCAUUUCAUCAUAUUUCACAUUCUUAUACAACAAGGAACAGGUUAAAGAAAAAAAUUUUAAAAUGAAAAAGUUAUAUGUAUGCAUUUAUUCAAUAUUACGCUGGAUGGGUCUGUUCCUUUUAACGCUUGUCCAACGUGUAUUUGGUAAAACACAAUCUCUGCAAAGAAUUAAAUAUUUGAGUGGGAAGGCAAACAGGAGAACAGAUGGUGGAGCAGAGGGGAAGUUAGAAGUGUUUUGAGGGGGUGGGCUAGAUGUCCCGGAGGAGGGAAACUCCAGUACAAUACAAAAUCCAACUGUGCAGCUUAUUUUUCUUUUCUAAACAAGAUAAAAAUCCUGCAGGGUUAUAGCAAAAGACGAGAAUGGCCAUAAUGUUCAGCCUAAUCAUUUAAUUAACCAAAAGGUUUUCUUUCUUUCUUUUUUUUAUAAGAAAGAUGAUACAAGAUAAUUUGUAUGCAUAUGUUUACAAAGUAACAUUGCUUACAAUAUUGUAUAUAUAAUCAUUGCAAUAGUAGGUUUACUAUGUAUAGUACCAAUGUACUAAUACAUGUGCCAAUAAAUUAUCUGAGUGAACAAAUUAAUUGAAUGAAAAAUAAGAUAAAGUAAAUACAUUUUAAUAAAUGUUAAAGAAAUGUAGGUAAGAGUUUAUGUUAUGUAGGUUGGCGGAAUCAUGUUAAACAAGUUUACUAAAGGAAUCUAAUAUUUAUGUAUUUGUUGUAUGUAUAUUCACUAUUUAUUAUGUUAAAGUAAGUCUCUUAUUUUUUAACUUGGAUGAGAUUAUGAUAUGUGUUAUUUGAUGUAUUGAUCAUAUUUGUUUUUGUUGCAUUAUAUGACAUAAGGGGAUGUAAGUGUAGAUAAUGUGGAAGUGGAUGUUGCGUAGUAUGUUGUUAAUUAGUAUAAUUUACCUGGUCAAUCAGGGUAUUUAUCAUUAUAAUAAAAUGUAAUAACAUGUUACAUAAGUAAUAAAAAAUGGAUAUAGUAAAUAAAAGUAUUGAUAGAAUAAGAAGUAUAUCAAGUGUUAUCUGAAUGCUUCUUAAAAUAAUUCCUUUUCCUACCUCAAAAAACUUUAUCUAAAACAUGCUUUCUGAAAUACCAUAAAAUAAGGAGAGUUAUAACAUCCACAUGACUGAAUUGUUAAGAAAAGGUUAAAUAAUUCCUGUAUAGGUGGCAUGUUGGCUGACUUAAAGGGACACUCCAGGCACCCAUACCACUUCUGCCCAUUAGAGUGGUCUGGGUGCCAACUCCCACUACCCUUAACCCUGCAAGUGUAACUAUUGCAGUUUUUUAUAAACUGCAAUAAUUACCUUGCAGGGUUAACUAAACCUCUAGUGGCUGUCAUGCACAUUAGGUCACCACGGCCGGUGGGCGUGAUUAGUCUUGCCCACCGGCCGACAUAAUGACUGGGAGGAGCGGCGGCAACCCGAAACCACCGCCGAGGGACAUCGGCAGGGGUCUCAGGUAAUUGGGAGGAGGGCGGCAGAGGGGACCUGCAGUGCCAGGAAAACGGAUUGUUUCCCUGGCACUGGAGAGUCCCUUUAACAGAUUUGACAUUUGAAAGCAUUUUUCCAAACUUGGGUGUCUGUGUAUUAAGACAUAAUCCCACCAUAUUUUUUCGGUGGAACCUGAUGUUUUUUUUCAAUCUUUGCAUAAGUAUAGUCUAUUGCAACUUUUACAGAAUUCUUAUAAACAUAAAAAUACUACAAUGCUAAUUGUGAAAGAUAUACAGGUAGAUAGAUAUAUAGAUGGAUAGAUAGAUACCAUCUAGUUUUACAAAUAAAAAACCUAAACCUAAAAUAUAUGUGAACUAAUAUAUUAUUUUUAAACCUUUGGAAGAAUUUUUUUUUUUUAAAAGUCAGAGAAAUUAUAUAAUAUUGCAAAUCUUGGUUUAUCAAUAAUGUAUGUGACAAAUUGAAAAUUUUGUAUCAUAUAAAUUUAUCAUAUUUCAGUAAAGCCUCUUGUAGUCCUAACUGGGGUUGUGUCAAUUGAAUAAUUAAUUAUAAUGAUUAAUGGACAUAGAGCACAAAGACAUAUUUAAAUAACUUAGUUCUGUACAGCUUAUGUGUCAGGGAUUUUUAACAUAUGUCCUGCAUACACUACUAUAAGAUUUGAAAAAGAUAACAACUUUAAUAUAUUUUGGUUUUAUGUAAACUUAUAUUUCAUUGUGACUUUUGCCUGUUCAUUUUUAUUUUCUCUCUAAGUUGUAAUCUCUGACUGGUUUUUAGUAUACUCUUAAAUUUAUAUAAAGUAAAAUUACUUUAUAUAAAAAUGUUAAGAAUAUAAUUACUCUUCAUUUUAAAUAGCUGUUUUUAAACUCUAUAAUUGUAGCCAGUAAAUAUCCCAAAACAAAUUUUAUAAUUGCAAUUACUAACUGUUCAAAAUAUAUUUACAUUUCUAAUUUUACUAAACUAUUUUGUUUGCAUUUGUGCUUAUUAAAAAAUAGUAUUUUUUUAAAAAAAACAACAACUUCUAAUUGCGUUCUACUAGCUAUUUUUAUUUAACAUAUGUUUAAGCAAAAGACACAGUAUUUUUAAAGGCAUUUUUUUCAUUAUCUUUUGAUCUAAUACCACAUCUCUAAACAACUUAAAAUAUGUAUAGCUGGUAAACUACUUGAUUGAAAUAAAAGUUAAUAUGAAUCAGAAUAAAAAACAAGUUUUCUGAAAUUGUAUUGAAAGCAGAAUUGAUGCUAUCAAUUAUUUUGCUAAAAAAAUAUUUAAAAAAUGUAAUGCACUAUCAUUAAUAUUGUGUAAAUCAUAAGAUCCAUCAUAUUUGUAUGUGUGUGUGUGAGUGUGUGUGUGUGUGCACGCAUGCAUGUCUCUCUCUCUCUCUCUCUCUCUCGCUUUCUUUCUCUCUCUCUCUCUCUAUAUAUAUAUAUACAAAUGUACAAUAUUAAUAAAUACUAAAUGCUAAAUAUAAAGCAAACAAGUCAAUUUGGUUAACUCUGAAUUUAGUUUACUAAGAAACUACUUUGGGCCAAUUCUUAGGCCAAAAGGUGCUGGAACAUAAAUCUUCAAUAUACCUGCAUGUAUAUUUUGUUACAUAAAUGAUCAAUUUAAUUAUAAAAAUGCAAUGAAAAUAAGAGAGUGUAUGUGUAUUUAUUUAUUAAUUUAAACCAUAGUAGCAUAACUACAUUAAUGGCAAGUAGAGAAAUUCAAUAUGCUAUUCAUUUGGCUUAAGUUAGAACAUGUAUACAAAUCCCUAAUCCAGCUAGCAAGAAAAGGUCACAAGGACACAAAGGGUCAUCUCCUUUUAACAUACUGCUGCUCUCUCCUAAAAUCUAAUUUCUCCAUCAACACUUCUUAAACAGGAGCCCUUGUACUAUUUGCACAUCCAUCAUACAGCCAGUUAUAGUGUCCUUGUGUUUUUCUCUCCUUUUCCUUCCUGCUUUAUUUAUGGUUUCUUAGCUCAUCCUGUGCUACUUUAUCAUAACUGAAAGAAACUAAUCCUUACCACCUACAAUGUUAACAGGGAUAAACAAACCACCCAACGCAAGUGGAACAUAUGGUUCCAGUUCUGUAAAUCACAUACACAUACAGACAUAUGCAUUGCAGGUUUCUGUAGUUAUGCAUUUCUUUUAAGAACACCUGCAUUAUUGCACUACAAAAGUACGGUUAUACUCAUGACUUGUUAAACGUUUUUUUGUGUUUAUUUUCCCAGUCAUAAAUUCAAGGAGAAAAUAUAAUCUAUAUGCAACUUGGCACAUCUGUUCUGAGUUGAUAUCCAACUGCUUCCCAGGCAAUUUUAAAAUGUUGGUUAAGUAAUCUUGCAAAAUUCUUCAGCUCUCAUUAUGUACUAGAUUUUAUUUUCUAUUAAGACGGACGUAAACUCUCCACUUUGUUUAUAUUUUAUUGUAUUAGAUUUGCAGUCAGUGGGAACUAAAUUACACCUAGUUUCGAAAAUUGUUACUUAGUGGGGGGAAAAUUUUAAUUAACAUUGCAUUUAUUAUGAUAUGUAUUCAUAUAUUUAUUUUUGUUUAUGUGUCUAAGAUUAUUUGUGUCAAAUUCUUCAACAAUUUUAAUAUAUAUAUUUUUAAUAAUAUAUUCAACAUUUGGUGUCGGGGCAAAAGCCGUAAUGAGAGCAUAUUAGAAGUAGAUAUGUAAGAUCCCUAUAUGAGACCUAUAAUAAUAUGAAAAAGUUAGUCGUGGUGUGCCAGAACCGACGAUGCGGUGGGCCUGUAAUAAAAGAGGGCCCACCCUAGAUAAAUAUAUGAGAAAGGGUGGUGGGAGGGGCAAAUUGCCAGACUGAAAACGAUAACGGGGAGCGGUCUGGCGUCCCUAAGGCCCAGCCUUACAUAUAUCUUGGCAACUCAGGCAUUUGAUAUCAAACUAGUUAAUGUCUAUUGGAAGAAACUGUUCUCGAUAAAGCCCACCUCCUUCAAAUUUUAAAAUAUAUAUAUAUAUAGAUAUAUAUAUAUACAUAUAUAUAUCUAUAUAUAUAUAGGCAUUCAGUCAUGGCGAGUUAGCAAAAUGGUAAGGGUCUUUAUUAUUAUUAUUUAUAAAGCGAGACAUACAAAUAACUCACAAGUUUGACAUGCAGGAACAAGAGGUACUAAGGCACAUGCUCAAACAGGCUUACCAUCUAAAUAUAUGAUGAAUUCUAACAAUGUUAGCAUAAUUUUUGCAAUUAAUGUUUUGCAAUGAAGUAAUGAAAUUUUAACGUGUUUGUAAAGAUUGUGGGGUAUGGGUAAAGACAUUUUCAAGGUAGGUCGAUAUCAAGCUGGGAGGUUAGCAGACUAGUUAAUACACUGAAAGGAUAAGAAAAAAUUCACACUAAUUAAUAAUUAAAUUAAGGUGAAUUGGCAUUACUAGUGAGCACAUUUCCCUAGAUGUUUGAGGACAUCUUUCCCAUAAUCUUGGGUCAACAUUUAGUGUAAGAGAAAUAUAAAAGAAACAUACAUAUAAAGGGGUGUGUCAAGAGAAAAAAACAAUUUAGCUCCAUUUUUAGAUGGGUGCUAAAAUAGAAAUCACUGAAUUUUGUCGAAGGGGUUAAUAUUAACGCUGCAAAACACAUUUUUUUUACAUUUUUAUUCCAGAAUUAAACAUUUUAAUUAUAUCUGAUGUUAAAACACAUCUUAAUUUAUAUCUCAUCUGUCUGCAUCCCAUAUUAAGCAAAUCAGCAUGAGCUUUGUAGUUUCCUGAUACACCACUUUCAGUUUGUCUUUCAACCCCCUACUGCCUGCUGAUCUGCUCUACACACUCACUUUUUGGCAUCUUGUUCAAAGCUAGUUUUCAACAAAUAUAAUGAUUGUUGUUUCAUUAUAAUGUUUAUUUUUUUCCCUAGAACUAGCAGGGAAGCUAUCAUGGCCAGCAAGCAGCUUUGUAAAUUGUAAAUGUAUGCUGCAUACAUUUACAAUUUACCUUCCAAUAAAAGCUUCAAGCCUUGAUAAAUAUCUCAUAAUUCCUACCAUUUCAAUGAUUUCACUGAUGGUCACUCAGGGCUAUCAACAUUGGAUGGAAGACCCUAUUACAAACAACACAUAACUGUUAAUAUCUAACCAUACAACUUGUGUGCACUUCAUCCAACAAGUGUAACAACAACAUAAUAUUUCAAUCUUCAGCAAUUUAUUUGAUAUUCUUUGAAAGUUUGGAUUAUUUAGUAUCAUUUUAACUACUAAUUCCAUCAUUCACUGUCACUUGUUUUGCUCUAUAAUAGACAGUGAAAGGUACAAAUCUAAACCUGUGAGUAUCAUCUGUAAUAUUUAUCCAGCCUUCUUGAUUAUGACAUUAUGUAUGAUAUUAUGUUGCAACACAUUAAAAUCUGUUGAUAAUUUUCAGCAUUUUCCUUUUUUAAUUCUUUAUUUUUGUGUGCAAUUCUUAACAAGCAGCUUGCUUAGCCACGAUAGCCACAGCAAGAACAAUGGAUACACAUGUAUGUAGCAUACCAACAAAAGCACAAUUUUUAUACAUUUAACAAGAGGUGUCAGGUGUACUAUUGUACAGUGUUGUGUGGUAUCAGUCUGUCUAGGUGCAAUAGGCGAGUUGUAUUGGAGUUUAAAUUCCUAGACUUAAACCUGAUAGUGAGAGUGUUUAAACAUAAGUACUUCAUGGGAGUGGAGUAAACAGGUGGGGGCGAAGUACUCGAGGAGUACUUUGGUUAGUUCACCUGAUCGGCUCUCUCCCGGGUGCUUGGUUUUAGCGAAGGCAAGGUUGUAUCGUGCUUACAUCUAGCUAAGAGGGCAUUUGCAUAGUGGGCGAGGAUUGGGCCCAUGAGCACAGUAUGUAUAUUACGUUAACCUAUGCAUGUGGGUUUAUGGCCCCUGACCAAGGAAGUCGCGGGGGGUGGGGUAUUUUUGCCACUUACUGUGGUCUCUGUUUCCGCUGUCUAGUCGGCGUGUUUGUGUUAAGCCUGGACAUUAUGGAGCCCAGGUAGGUAAGCGUAUGGUGCGUGUGAAGUUAGACAAAUAAGGUUUGUUGAGGUGCGGUAGUAAAAGUCCCAUCUCUGCUUUUCAUUCCGGGUUGGCCGUCUCCUGCUGGCUUGGUGUUCUAGGGAUGAAUGGUGUUAUGGAGGCCGGGUCCCACCUCUGCACUCCUGAGGCGGCUGGUGUGUCUUGGGGUGAAAGUCCCAGGGUCCCCAGGAAGGAUGCCGCCUCUGACAUGGAUGGCGAAGUAUGUACUGUCCCGUCUCGAGUCACCGCUAGUGAGCAGUUCCACCCCCAGUGGUAGCUCAGUCCCGCGGUUCGCAACAGUGUCAUGACUGGAGUGUACGAUUUGCAGUGCAAUAGUGUGGACCUUGUCAAAUCUUGGAAGAAGGUCAGGGUCGAGUUUUCGAAGGUGAACGGUGUUUUGCCUUUCAGCGCUGACAAUAUUUGCAUUUUGUCAGGUAGGGAGAUGCAGCGACGGAUGACGUCUCUCCCCGUGUUAAUCCGGUGAUGUGGAUGGUUUGGGAGGCAGUAUACGCUUUCUAUUGCCAUGUUCUUGGCCACUGUGUGUGACAGGAUUGUAGCUAGCAUUCUCCUGAUAUAAUGGGAUAAUUCCUCCACCGUGAUCGUUGCGUGAAUGCCCCUGAUUUUGAUGUGGGUACGCCUCUGGCAGUCUUCCAUAUUGGAAAGCUUGAGUGUCGUAGAUUGUUGCUAUGUUUGUAGCGUUUUUAUUGAGUUCGCCAUCAUGUUGAGCUUGGACUGUACCUCCGUUAGGGCUGUUUCAUUAGUUCUGACCCUCUCCGACACUGCCCUUACUUCUGUUUUGAGAAUGACCGAGUCGGAUUUCGGCAAGCAUUAGUUUUAAGUCCUUCUUGGUGGUCGGUGCAGUGUCGUCGACUGAUUCUGGAGACUCGCCCGCGGGUGUUGGUGAGUAUUGCAGACUCUCGCGCUCAUGUUGUUGUAGCGUCGGAUUCUGCACCGUGUCUGGGUGUCCAUUGGUGGUGGUGGGCUUAGGUUGCACCGGCCGCUGCCCUCCGCUGGGGUGUACGAUUUUUGGGAGCGCCUGCCCAUGCUCGGAAUGUUGGUCAGCGAGGCAGAUGGAGCUAGGCUGUGGGGUGUUGCAGCGCUGGUUGUUGCGAUGCAUCCUAGGAAACUUCCGAGGUCAUGCAGCGUGCGGUAGGCCCCAGUUUUGUAUUUCCAUCAUGCCGUCUUCGGUCGUUGAAAGAAAGGCAUUGAUUGGUGCUCCCUGCCCUUUUGGCACCAGUUGUGCUCGUGUGGUAUUUGGAUUGGGUUCGGUACUGCUGAUAUCCGCAGGAUUGUGUUUUGUUUUAGGGAGCUUAGAGAAAUGGCGUCUGGUCAGGUUGCUUGGUAAGUCCCGCCCCCAAUUUUCAGCAUUAUAAUGGCUGUCAAUAAGCUGUUAAAGGGACACUAUAUUCACCAGAACCACUAAUAGCUUAAUGUAGUGGUUCUUGUAUCUAUAGCUUGUCCCUGCAUGCUUUUCACCUCUAGUGGCAGUCACUCAUAUGGCCAGUUGAGGUGCUUCCUAUUUCAGUGCUAUUCUGCAUGGAGAUGCUGAACUCUCCCCAUAGAGAUGCAUUGACUCAAUGUAUCUUUAUGAGGAAAUGCUGAUUGGCUCAACUGACCUGUAAGCAUUGGAUUGGCUAAGAUCACCAAGAUUGAUGAUCUCAACCAUAGAGCAAGGCCAGGUGCAGGGAGACUGAUACAGCGAUGGAGAAAAAGUAAGUUAACUACUUUUUCCCUGCACUCUGAGGGGGACCAGAUGUCUAAAUAGCCCUUCUGCACUGUAGGAAUACAUGUUUGUAUUACAUAGUUACAUAUCUGAAAAGAGACUUGCAUCCAUCAAGUUCAGCCUUCCUCACAUUUGUUUUUUGCUGUUGAUCCAAAAGAAGGCAAAAAACCCAGUUUGAAGCACAAUUUUGCAUCAAGCUAGGAAAAAAAAUCCUUCUUGACCCCAGAAUGGCAGUCAGAUUUAUCCUUGGAUCAAGCAAUUGAAUAUUCUGUUUUUGCAAGUAUGCAUCUAGUAGCUGUUUGAACAUCUGUAUGGACUCUGAUAAAACCACUUCUUCAGGCAGAGAAUGCCACAUCCUUAUUGUUCUUACAGUAAAAAAACCUUUCCUUUGUUUCAGACGAAAUCUUCUUUCUUCCAGUCUAAACGCAUGACCCUGUGUCCUAUGUAAAGUACGGUUUGUGAAUAGUGUAACGGAUCACCUGGCACCCCGACUGGGUACCUCCGUUAAAGGAUGCUCCUAGCGCUUCCUGAGGACUCCAAGCACUCUGGCAGACACCACAAUCACUGAACCGGAGAAACAAAUAAAUUCUCCCAAGCAUAUGAAUGCUGUAGACAGUUGAAUAGGAACCAUACGAAUAGGUUUACUCUCCUAGCAGUCAAACUGGAACAGCAUACAAUAAAUCCUUCCCCCAAUAAUGAGACGACACUUCACUUUGAGGGUUAAAACAGGAACUGAGUGCUGGCACACCCAGCCUGGUUUUUAUUACAAUCCACAAAACAUAGUACUGCCCACAGGGUUUUGCAGAACCACCAAUAAACACAUUACAACACAUACAAUGCAAGUACAGCAGCCAAUCAGACACAAUGGGACAAUAGAAACACACCCAGCAUAUUCCUCCCCUCUGCUUAGGAGAUAAUUGAGUCAAUUACUGUAUCUACUCAAUUAUCUCCAAGCUGAAAAGUUACUUUUUGUACAUUUUUAUAACUUUGUGAGUUAACAUCGUACAUACAUAAAACUUACAUUUUCAUAAUCAAUCCAUUCAGGGGAACAACAUAUUAAAAAAUGGCACGAAUCAGACCAGGGGUUCAAAAGUUAAGGGAAAGUCCUUUGUGACUAAAUGAAGCAUGGCUUUCUGGCCCAAACCAGUUUCAGAGUCUUCUAUCCUGGAGAGUAAUUCAAUUAUCUCCCAGGACAGACACAAGACUCCAUUAAGCACAUGGUUGCAAAAAGACACAAAACACUUUAAAAUACAUAAAGUCACUUUUUACACAUAAGACACAGACAUUUCACAUAUCCCCAGAUAGCUGGGAUCUGAGCGCACAAAACUACCAAAUAGCGCUCAGAUCCUAUUCACACAGUUCAAUUGCCAUGGAGCCGAAGUCUUUAACUACACGAAUGGGCUCCAUGGCAUAGCUAUCUGGGUUAACACAUUCACAUAAAGUCUGGUCCAUAGUCCAAAGGCAAGAGGCGGGCAAGCAGCCCCCUCCAAGGACACGUGGCGAGGCCGGUUUCGCCACAUUUCUCCCCUUUACCAUCCAGACUAACAGGGUAUCUGACCUCCUGCCGGUCAGUGCCCUGGUUAGUCCAGCAACCCACCCACGAAGCACAAACAGCAAUACAGCCCACCCACAAUAACUGGUUACUACACCUGGAUAAAAUAGCAACUUGUCCAUGUCCAGGUGCCUCACCACGGCUGUGCGGGGGGCUGGUAGACUGCCUUGAUGGGUUGCUGAGUGGGCAGAGACCAGCGGUACUCUGCCUGGGUGCCAGCGCUACCACUGAAGUAGCCUGGUUGGAGCCUGGUUGUGGGAGGGGGAGACCGACUGUCUCCCCUCUGGAUACACUGCUCUGUGGCUGGGGGACAGGACCGACUGUCCCUACCCCUGGUGCUGCAAGUGCAGAGACUACGGUCCCAUCUGCAUAGUUGUGGGGCUUAACAUCUCCCCUUGGUGGGUUAGGCUGCCGCUGGAGAGAGGGUGUAACAAGCUCCUCUCUCUGAAUUGUAGACUGCCGCUGGGGAGAGGGGGUAACCUGCUCCUCUCCCUGACACACUCUUUGCUGGUGGAGAGGGGGACCAACUGUCUCUCCUUUCAAUAUUUUGUCCUGCUGCUGUGGAGGAAGGACUGCACCUUCCGUUCCCUGGGAAAAAGACUGCCGCUGGGGAGGAAGGACCGCACCUUCAGCUCCCUGGGACUCACACUGCCGCUGGGGAGGAAGGACAGCACCUUUGGCUCCCUGGAACUCACACUGUUGCUGGGGAGGAAGGACAGCACCUUCGGCUACCUGGAACUCACACUGCCGCUGGGGAGGAAGGACAGCACCUUCAGCUCCCUGUGAUACAUACUGCCGCUGGAGAUCUGGGCCGACCGCCCAGCAUCCCUGUAGGGCCGGUAGAGAGACCGCCGUCCAAUCUCCACCUGCCAUCUGUGGGUCUUCCCAGGACCAGUCUGUGAGGUCCCUCAACAUUUGCGAGUAAGGACCACCUGCUUCCGCACCUGGCAACUCCGGCUGCUGCUGGGGAUCUGGGCCGGUCCCAUCUCCACCUGCCUGUUGUGGUUCCUCACAGGACCAGUCUAUGAGGACCCCUACUUCGGGUUCCUGCGGCCGCCUCAGGGGGAGACGGCUAGCCUCCUCGGAUGCAGCCUCUACUCGGCUGCUGUAACACUCCUUCCGCUGAGCAUACUCUCUCUCUUUCGCCAGCCGGAAUUCUCGGGCCAGCCUUGUGUUUCGCUCGGCCGUGACCUGGUUCCAGAUCACCCGGCGUACCUCCAUGGGUAAAUCAUCCCCAUACUGGGCCACUCGCUGCCUCACCUCGGCCAUCCAAUCAUCGCCAGAGCCUUCCAUACUUGUCUGCUCCAAGUCGCUGGAUACCUCUGCUCCCAGGGGCGCUGCACGUGUGCUAGCGUUGCCCUCAAUUUGUAACUCCACGAACGGUGUCUCUGAGCUGCUUUACCUCGCCCUAGGACGCCAUCCCACCGCUGCCACCAAUGUAACGGAUCGCCUGGCACCCCGACUGGGUACCUCCGUUGAAGGAUGCUCCUAGCGCUUCCUGAGGACUCCAAGCACUGCAGCAGACACCACAAUCACUGAACCGGAGAAACAAAUAAAUUCUCCCAAGCAUAUGAAUGCUGUAGACAGUUGAAUAGGAACCAUACGAAUAGGUUUACUCUCCUAGCAGUCAAACUGGAACAGCAUACAAUAAAUCCUUCCCCCAAUAAUGAGACGACACUUCACUUUGAGGGUUAAAACAGGAACUCCAGUGCUGGCACACCCAGCCUGGUUUUUAUUACAAUCCACAAAACAUAGUACUGCCCACAGGGUUUUGCAGAACCACCAAUAAACACAUUACAACACAUACAAUGCAAGUACAGCAGCCAAUCAGACACAAUGGGACAAUAGAAACACACCCAGCAUAUUCCUCCCCUCUGCUUAGGAGAUAAUUGAGUCAAUUACUGUAUCUACUCAAUUAUCUCCAAGCUGAAAAGUUACUUUUGUACAUUUUUAUAACUUUGUGAGUUAACAUCGUACAUACAUAAAACUUACAUUUUCAUAAUCAAUCCAUUCAGGGGAACAACAUAUUAAAAAAUGGCACGAAUCAGACCAGGGGUUCAAAAGUUAAGGGAAAGUCCUUUGUGACUAAAUAAAGCAUGGCUUUCCGGCCCAAACCAGUUUCAGAGUCUUCUAUCCUGGAGAGUAAUUCAAUUAUCUCCCAGGACAGACACAAGACUCCAUUAAGCACAUGGUUGCAAAAAGACACAAAACACUUUAAAAUACAUAAAGUCACUUUUUACACAUAAGACACAGACAUUUCACAUAUCCCCAGAUAGCUGGGAUCUGAGCGCACAAAACUACCAAAUAGCGCUCAGAUCCUAUUCACACAGUUCAAUUGCCAUGGAGCCGAAGUCUUUAACUACAUGAAUGGGCUCCAUGGCAUAGCUAUCUGGGUUAACACAUUCACAUAAAGUCUGGUCCAUAGUCCAAAGGCAAGAGGCGGGCAAGCAGCCCCCUCCAAGGACACGUGGCGAGGCCGGUUUCGCCACAAAUAGAUUUCCACACAAUGGUUUGUAUUGGCCCCGAAUAUAUUUGUAUAAUAUUAUCAUAUCCCCUCUCAGGCGACUUUUUUCUAAACUAAAUAGGUUUACAUUUGUUAACCUUUCUUCAUAGCUGAUAUGUUCCAUUCCUUUUAUUAAUUUUGUAGCCUGUCUCUCCACUAUUUAUUGUGCCAUAAUAUCCUUCUUUAGAACAGGUGCCCAAAAUUGCACAGCAUAUUCAAUAUGUGGUAUUACCAGUGAUUUAUAAAGAGGCAAAAUGAUAUUCUCGUCCCGAGUGAAUGCCCUUUUUCAUGCAGGACAAUACCUUACUGGCCUUCGCCACUGCUGAAUGAAAUUGCAUAUUGUUGCAUAGUUUGUUGUCUAUAACAAUUCCCAAGUCCUUUUCGUGUGUUGUUAUCCCUAAUUCGCUUCCAUUAAGGGUAUACGUUGCUUGUGUAUUCUUUACGCCAAAGUGCGUAACUUUGCAUUUUUCAACAUUAAAUUUCAUCUGCCAUUUGAGUGCCCUGUCCCCCAGUCUAUCUAAAUCCCUCUGCAGCAAAGUAAUAUCUUGCUCACAUUGUAUUAUUUUACAGAGUUUUGUGUCAUCUGCAAACACUGAAACAUGACUUUCAAUGCUGUCUUCAAGAUCAUUUAUAAACAAUAAAUAGAAGGGGUCCCAGAACAGACCCCUGAGGGACACCACUUGCCACCUCUGUCAAGCUUGAACAUUUACCAUUAGUGACAACUCUUUGUACUCUGUUUUUAAGCCAAUGUUCUAUCCAAGAACACGCAUUUUCAUCUAGACCGAUUUCCUUGAGUUUGAACACUAAUCUAUUGUGUGGAACUGUAUCAAAUGCCUUGGCAAAAUCCAAAUAGAUCACAUCCACUGCAACACCCUGAGCUAUACUUCUACUUACUUCUUUUUAACACUAUGGUGGUACUUUAACUAUGGCAGAGUGAUUCCAUUGUUUAGUCUGUUUUUUUUUUUUUUUUUUUUUUUUCCAAAAGGUAGUUGCCAACAUUGGACACUUAGCAAAUUAAAAAAACUAAAACAACUUUGAAAGCCACUGAAAACACUUUUUAGCGAUUAUUUUUAAGUUGUAUGUAUCUGAGAAGAAUGUACACCAAACACACCUCACCUGAAUUGUGAUGAUGUGUGUAAGCAACAUUAACAAUUCCUUGCUAAUCAGGCCCGUUAAAAUACAAAUAGGCACUAUAGCAACUUUAUAACAAAGAAAGAAAAAUACAGAUGAACAUAGUACCUGAAAUGUCCCUUAGUUAUCUACAUACACUCCAAUAUCCUUAUUGAAACUGCUGUACUUUGGCACCCCAAAAUGUACUUUUUGUUUAAAUACAUUUGUCCGAAAAUGUUUUGGUUUUGUUCGAACAGAAUUUAAUUGAUUUGUUCGUUCGUUUUCAGAUGAAAGUUGGCGAUUAUUUUCGUUGAUGGAUUUCAUUUGGAUGAAUAAUUUUCUAUCUGUGCCGCGGCUGUAUGUUGCAGCCGUUUAGUAGAUAACUCCCUACAUUGGUAACAUUGUGGGAUUUUCAUAUUUAAGCAUACCUGUAGCGGAGCUCCCUGUACCCCAGCUGGUUUCCUCCACCAAGGACCUCUUCCUAGCUGGAACAGGGAAAACCUCAGCGUUUCCCCAGUCGCUGUGGCUGGACUGGGGUCUUCCUGAAGCCUCUCUGUCCUGGAACAGGAUAGGGAACUAGCUCUAUUCCCUCCAAGGGACUGGACGACACACAUCUUGUAUUCAGCACAAACCCCUCCAAGGAAUCUCUAGGUCUGGGAGUUAAUUAUAUAAAGUAUUAAUCUGAGGCGCUUUCCCUUUAAGAAAUAAAUAUGGUAGAUUCUAUCUCUUUAAUUAAUAUAUACCUUGUGCUACUAUCCUUCACUUGCCCCCCCAAAGUACACAAAGCUUCCAUUCAAAUCUGGGAGCUAAUUGCAUUAAAGCUAAUUAUCUCCAAGGAACAGAGAGACAAACACAAAAACAUAAAGUGUGCAGCACUAGAUAUAGUGCUGUACACAAGUAAUGUGUACCCCAAAACAUCAUAAAAGCAUACAAUAACCCCACAAAUAAGACAUCCCCAAAUAGGCACCAGCUGUCUCCACUCCCUGUAACUCAUUCUGCCACUGGGGAGUGAGACCGACCUUCUCCACUCCCUACACUCUACACUGCAGCUGGGGAGUGAGACCGACCAUCUCCCCUCCCUGGAACCCACACUGCACUUGGGGAGUCUCUACUCCUUGUUACUCACACUGCCACUGGGGCAACGGCAUCCCCCACCGUGCCAUUUCGCUUGCCAGCUCUGGUGUGCAGUGCAGGUGCCUGGCCACAAAAGUUAGUUCCUCUCCCGAAGAUGUGUUUCCCCCAAGUCUUGGAAGCCAUCCCACUUCUGCCACCAUUUGUAGCAGAGCUCCCUGUACCCUGGCUGGGUACCUCUGCCAAGGAUCGCUUCCAAGCUGGAACAGGAGAAAACCUCAGCGCUUCCCCAGUCGCUAUGGCUGGACUGGAGUCCUUCUGGAGCCUCCACAUCCUGGAACAGAAUAGGGGACUAGCUCUAUUCCCUUCCAGGGACUGGAUGACUACAGUCCUGGGAGCUGUAGUCCUUACAAGGACUUUCCCAGCUGAAUCCUCCACGAGCUGGAACAAGAUGCUAAACAGUGAUUAGCCUUUUCCCCUCCUAGUAAUUAGACGACACAUAGUUCUGGGAGUACAACUGAUUUUAAUGAGCCAAACUUGGCCUUUUAUGCACAAACCCCAGCAGGGUGUCUGCAUUGUAUUCAGCACAAGCCCCUGCCAGAAAUGUAUGGGCGUGGGAGUUAAUUGCAUUACAGGCCAGUAAGCUAAUUAUCUCCCAGGCACAGAGAGGAAAACACUAAAACAUAAACAUAAAAAUACCCCAAAACAUCAUAAAAACAUUCAAUAACCCACAAAUACAUCCCCAAAAAGCCCUGAUCUGAGUGCCCAAUCAACUUUCAGGAGCUCCUAUGUCUGCAAUAUGGGGUGCUUUGCCUAGCUCUCAGGUAGCUUUUGUUUCCCUUUGUCUCAGACACCUAUCAUUCAAAAAGUGCUCUUCAGGCAGGUUGCAGUAGUUCCAAACCCUAGACCAAGUUGUCUGGGAACUACAUGGUCACCUAAUGCCGAAAACAGUUCCAUAACAUUCACAGCUACAGUUGCAAGAAAAAGUAUGUGAACCCUUUGGAAUGAAAUGGAUUUAUGCACAAAUUGGUCAUAAAAUGUGAUCUGAUCAUCAUCUAAGUCACAACAAUAGACAAUCACAGUCUGCUUAAACUAAUAACACACAAAGAAUGACAUGUUGCCAUGUUUUUAUUGAACACACCAUGUAAACAUUCACAGUGCAGGUGGAAAAAGUAUGUGAACCCCUAGACUAAUGACAUCUCCAAGAGCUAAUUGGAGUGAGAUGUCAGCCAACUGGAGUCCAAUCAAUGAGAUGAGAUUGGAGGUGUUGGUUACAGCUGCCCUGCCCUAUAAAAAACACACACCAGGUCUGGGUUUGCUUUUCACAAGAAGCAUUGCCUGAUGUGAAUGAUGCCUCACACAAAAGAGUAAGUCCAGCUGAGUUGACUGGGAAGCCACAAAGUCCUCAUGCCGAAAUUAGUUCCAUAGCGCUCACGGCUAAGUACCAUUUGUGGGUUUGGUUCAUGUGAAUGGCCAUCAGGGAGCUGUUUGCCAAACCAGAAGCACCCAAAGAAAGCUGUUAAUGGUGGCUGGACAGUGUAACUCCCAAAUGGUGUCUCUGUCAUGGCACAGCCUGAGCCCUGCAGACAGCAAAGUGUGGCUGCCCCUUUAAGAGACCUGGCUGGGUUUGAACACAGCUCCAGCAUCCCAGUUAGGUUUCCUACCAUGAUACCCGCCAAGGGGCUUCAGUUUUUGUUUGCAUUCUUCUGCUUUCUGACACCUUGCCUGGAUUAAGCAGUGCUGAUCUAUCUGCAGCCCUUUUCCAGUUAGCGUCAGCUGCACCUAAUUAGCAGGCUGUAAAAGCCAGCCCUGCCUGAGACCUAGUAUCUGGUAAUUUUUGCCUGUAUGGUGUUUACUGCCGAAUCUUUGCUAUGUUACUGACUUCGUUACUCCGCUACCAGCCCUGAUUUCUGCUUCUCGUCUGGCCCUGCCUUUGGAUUUCUCCUUAAUCUGUACUGUGCUUCUGGUUUUUCUCAUACGUUUAUCUCUGGGAAUAUAUGCCUCUUUCAUAUGGACCUCUACCAUCACAAUUACAGAUCCUUAAACUUUAUUACAACUCACUAACACUAUCCACAUCAUUUUUUCACACAUUAAUUUAUCUAACCAAAUGGUUUGGAAUUCAACAUUUGGUCUCCUUAUUCUCCAAAUUGCUUUGUUUUUGUAAAUUAGGAAUUCUGCUAGGGACACUCCAGAACCCUAAAUAACUGCUUGCCAAAGUGUGUCUUGUUGUUGUUGUGUUUUUAUUUUUUAUUUUUAGAUUUUACAAAAAGUGCAGAUUUCAAAGAAAAUUGCACUUUUAUAAUCUAACCUUGCUACACCCCCUGGUUGUCAAUCAAAGUAAAGGUCUGUUAAUUGCUCAAAUCACGUGCCUUGCAAAGACUUAUCAUGGAGAUGCAUUGAGAAGUCUGUAAUUUGACAGCCACAGAAAGUCUGGGCUAAUCUGGAGGGCCAGGACUGCAGACAAGAGAUAUGCAGCUGUUGCAAACUUUUUUUUACACCUAUACCCCCAAUGGAAAAAAUGCAUAAUUAAAUGUAUUCAUUAGGGAUAUAUCUGCUAAACAAAAAAGGUUAGGAGCUCUCUUCAACCCUCUCCCUUUCUUUGACAUCUCUAAACUUCUCUGUUACUACUUACCCUCAUAUGAGCUUAUUUAUAGCCCUACCUUCCUGCCACUAUCUUUCCUCAUGCAGAUGAUAACCAACCAUAUCUCUAGUUACAUUACACAUGCACUUAUUGCUCCGAGAUAGAGCUAGCUGCCUAGCCUGACCCUAAACUUACCUAUCAGUUGAAGCUAUGGAAUAUGAUGCCUAUGGCAUCUCAGGAAUUCUUCAUAGCCAGAAUGCCACUGCUAUGGUAUCCUUAUGACACAACAUUUAACCCCUUAAGGACAGAGCUUCAAAAGCUUGUCUUCCACUUAAUGACAACAGCAUUUUUUCAUUUUUUGCUGUUUGCGUUCAACUGCAAUUUGCAUUUUACUAAUUUGUUGCACCAACACAUAUUAUACAUCGUUUUUUAAAGGACAGAAAGGGCUUUAAUUUGAUGUAACACACACACAUAUAUAUAUAUAUAUGUGUAUAUGUAUAUGUGUAUAUAUAUAUAUAUAUAUAUAUAUAUAUAUAUAUAUAUAUAUAUAUAUAUAUAUAUAUAUAUACACUUAUUUAUUAUAAAAUAAAUACAGAAAAAUGUAAAGAAUGAAAAAUAUAUAUAUAUAUUUUUUUUUUACAGUUUUAGCAAUAAUAUUGUGUGCAUAAUUAGUGCAGGUUAAGAAAAGUACUUAAAAAUAAAUUAAUUUAGUUGUUCUGAUUUACAGAAUAUAUAAUGUGUCUGGGAUUUUAAGUUUUUUUUUUUGGUAGUUACAGGUCACAAAGCACAAGGAGUAAAAUAGACUUUUAAUGUGGAGCGAUCUUAGAAUUUGGUAUAUUUGUCUUGUAAGCUUAAUAGCCAUAAAAGAAAACAAAAUUGCCACACAAAAGUAUAUAUUUAUAUAAAGUAGACAUCACAGGCUAUUGUCCUAAGGUUGUUUUGACACUUUCUGAGUAGCCAUUUCACCGCCAACCUCUGCUAAAUAUUGGAGUAAAAUUUUGUUUUUUUUGGUUUUUGGCACACAAACUUAUAAUAAAGAAAUUCUCAUGUAUUAUUUGUAAAGUUGGUGUGUGCUAUUCCUGUACAAAGUUUUUUUAUUUUGUGUUCAGUUACAUCUGCUGAGUAAAAUGACACCCCCAUUGUAUGUCUUUGGCACUAUUUCGUGAAGUUACAGUGCCAUACAGGAUACCUGUCCUUUUCAGUAUUCACAGUAGAAUUUUGAGAGAUGGAUUUAAUGAGCCUUAGCUUCCAUUUGGGGUAUUAUAAGUGUUUGACUGUUCAAAAAAACCCCACAAAGGCCUACCAUUUGUAAAAGUAGACACUCCAGGGUAUCUCAUAAGGUGCAUAUUGUGCCUUAACAUGCCCCCAUUCGUUCACCAAUAUAUGCCAAAGUAUGUGGUAAAAAAUAAUUUUGUGCAUUUUUUACAUACGGAUUGCAUUUUUGCUGGGCGUUUUGUAUAUUUCAUAUGUGCCACUAAGUUCAAACCCCCCAAAUUAUGCUCAGCUAAGACUUCUGAGUAAAAGGACACCCCCAUUGUAUGUCUUUAGCACUAUUUUGUGAAGCUACAGUGCCAUAUAGGAGACCAAGCCAUAUCCGUUUUUACCGAACUUUGAAUUUUGACGCUGGGCCUAUGUGCAAUUUCCAAGCAUCUUCGCAGGUUUUAAAUUCAAACUACCCCACAAAGGCCUACCAUUUCUUAAAGUAGACACCCCAGGGUAUUUCAAAAGGUAUAUUUUGAACCUUAGCGUGGGAUCAUUUUUCCGCCAGCUUGUACCAAGUGUAGUGGUAAUAAGUGUUUUUUCUGCCUUUUUGACACACAAAGUGAGUUUGCACAGUAUAUUUUGCAAACCUUAUGUGUGCUAUGACUGUAUAAUACUUCAUAUGUUGCUCAGCUAUGUCAGCUGAGUACAGCAAUACCCCCGUAUGUACCUUUGCCAGGUAUAUGUGGAUGUUGAAGGGGCGCAUUUGAGACGCAGCCAUUCAGUUUUUUUCUAACUUUGAAGUUUUUCGCUGUGUCCAUGUUCCAAUUUGGAGUAGUUUCGACGGUUGGUUAUUGAAACUUCCCCACAAACACAUACUAUUUAUUAAAGAAUACACUCUGGGGUAAUUCAAAAGGCAUAUUUUGAACCUUGGCGUGGGAUAAUUUUUUCUCUAGUUUGUUCCAGGUGUAGUGGUAAUGAGCAUUUUUAGAAUGUAUUUUUUUUACUUUUUUUUUUACUUUUAAAAACUAGUUUUUAAACUUUUGUUUUGCUUAUUAAUUUUUUUAAACUUUCCUAAACUUUCUUAAAACUUUUUUACAGAUUUAACAUUUUUCUAAGCUUUUUUUUUUACCGUUAACCCCUAACUAACAGUAAAUUCCCCAUUUUCCCAUAACUCCCACCCACCCCAGCUAGCAAAAUAUAUAGUUAUAAAAUAUUUAAAUUAAUUCAAUAAAUUGAACCCCUGAGGGUUAAAAAAAUAAAUAAAAGUUAAUGCUCAGGGGUUAAAAAAAAAUUAGAUCACAGUAUAAUACUGUGAUCUGUAUUUGAUCACUGUAGGCAGUGAUCGACUGGCAGGGAAGGGGUUAAUUUUUAUUUGGACUGGGUAAAGAGGGGUGGUUUUUUUUGUUUGUUUUUUUACUUAAACGUUAUUAAAACUUUUUUUUAAGCUUAAUUUUUUACUUUUAAAGUUUAUUUUAAAACUUUUUUUAACGUUAACCCCUAAUUAGCCUAACGCCAAACCCCCCAAUUCCCCACUAACUUCCACCCACCCCAGCUAACUAAAUAUAUUAUUUUAAAAUAUUUUAAUUAAUUAAAUAAAUUUAACCACUGAGGGUUAAGAAAAAAAAGAAUUAACCCUCAGGGAUUAAAAAAAUCAGAUCAUAGUAAAAUGUAAUCCCUGCCAAUUGAUCACUGUAGUCAGUGAUCAAUUGGCAGGGAAUGGGUUAAUUUUUUAUUACAAUGGGUAAAGGGGGGGGGGGUGGGACUUUAAAUAAACUUUUUUUAUUUUUUUUCCUACAGGGGGCAGGAUGAGCACUGUUCCGGCUCCCUGCACUUCACACAGAACCAGGAAGUGCAGGGAGGCGGAAGGUAAGUAUACAGAGCACAUGUGCUCGCUCUGACUUGCGGUCAGAGCGAGCACAUGUGCUGGCCAGCUUGACUGGGUGCUCCCGGUCUGCCUCUAAUACAGAGGCAGACCGGAGCACCAUUAACCCCGCGAUAGCGGCGAUCCGGGGUUAAUUUUACCGCGUGACGGACGAGGUCCGUCACUCGUCAUGAAGGGUCUCCCCUCUGUGACGGACCUCAUCCGUCACUUGGCGUUAAGGGGUUAAGAGAAACUUGACUUGAUUGUUAUUAGUAAAUUAAAGGGAAACUAUAGUGCCAGGAAACAAACUCGUUUUCCUGGCACUAUAGCUUCCCCCAUUGUGUUGGCUUGGGUCUCCUUCAAUCCUCCUGCUGACGUCAGUCGGCGGGGGAGACAUAAGGCGCUUCAGAAUUUCCCCAUAGGAAAGCAUUAUUCAAUUAUUCAAUGCUUUCCUAUGGGGAUUCCAGUGACACUAGCAGGUAAUUAUUGCAGUUUAUAAACAAGCUGCAAUAAUUACAUGCUCAGGGUUAAGGGUGAUGGGACACUGCACCCAGACCACUUCAAUGAGUUGAAGUGGUCUUGGUGCCUAUAGUGUCCCUUUAAUAGUUUACAGCCAAUAUACUGUUGAUGCACACUUUGCAGCCUUUUAUAAAAAAAAAACCACACUGAGCAUCAUGACGGUGACAAGACCAAUCUCGCCACUGUGCAUUGGAGGAGCCUGGUUGCCCGCCUGCUGCCUUUAGACUAUGGCCCCAUGUUGAAACGCUUGAUUUUCCCCAGCAAAGACACGAAAGCCGGGUCAUUCGGUACUUGCCCUAUUUGAACAAUGAUACCCCAGAUAGCUAUGCCAUGGAGCCCAUUCGUAUAACGAAAGACUAUGUGGAAGACUUUGGCUCCAUGGCAAUUGUACUGUAUGUAUGUGAUCUGAGGGCCAUUCAGUAAUAAUGUGCGCUCAGAUCAUAUCUGGGGAUAUGUUGAAUGUACCUGUUUUAUGCAAUAGCUACACUGUUAUAUAUAUAUAUAUAUAUAUGUGUUUGUAUGUAUGUGUAUGUAUUGUCUUUUUGCUACCAUGUGGCUAAUGGCGUUUUGCCUCUUUCCUUGGAGAUAAUUGGAUUACUUCCCAAUUAUCUCCAGGAUAGAAAACUCUGUGAAACCGGUUUUGGGCAGAAAAGCCAUGCUUUUUUUGGUCACAAAGUACUUUGAUCUAACUUUUGACCCACUGGACCAAUUUGGAUGAUUUUGACAUAUGUUUGUAUUUGGAGUAUGCUGAUUCUGAAAAUGUAAAAUGUAAUGUAUGUGAAUGUGAUGCAUACUUUUAAAGUUGUGAAUAUUGUGUACAACUGUGUAUUUUCUUACCUGUGAAACCCAUUGUGUUAACCCAUUGUGUAAGGUAAUUGUAUCAUACGUAUGUGUUUAUUGGUUGUUUUACAAAACCCUGUGGGGGUGUGUGUGUGUGUGUGUGUGUGUGUAAAAGAACAAUAAACCCACAGCUCUGGCAGUUCUACUUCACCCUCAAUUUGGAGUGCCGUCAAUUGGGGGAAUCUGCUACAAGGGAUUGCUAUGCUAGUCAUACUCCCUUGCUAUAUCACUACUAAGCUCUUGUAAGAGCUUGUUCCUGCCUUGCUCUCUGGAGGAGUCUACGGUGGUUAUGGUGCCUGCUGGAGUGCUUGGAGCCCUCAGGAAGCGCUAGGAGCAUCCUUCAACGGAGGUACCCAGUUGGGGUGCCAGGUGAUCCAUUACAAUGACCAUUUUAAAUUAUUGCAGUGGAUAUGGUGCAAGGGGUCUUUGAAUUCAGGCCCCUGGUUUCAGUAAAACCAUUUUUAAGCUCCUCCUGAAAAAUUAGUUUUUUUUUUUUUCUCUUUUGAGAUACAUUUUGAUAUGAGAGAAACAUUUAAAUACAUAAAGGGAAUCAACACCGUAAAGGAGGAGACCAUAUUUAAAAGAAGAAAAACUACCACAACACGAGGACAGUCUUAAAUUAGAGGGGCGAGGGUUUAAAAAUAAUAUCAGGAAGUAUUACUUUACUGAGAGGGUAGUGGAUGCAUGGAAUAGCCUUCCAGCUGAAGUGGUAGAGGUUAACAGAGUAAAGGAGUUUAAGCAUGUGUGGGAUAGGCGUAAGGCUAUCCUAACUCUAAGAUAAGGCUAGGGACUAAUGAAAGUAGUUAGAAAAUUGGGCAGGCUACAUGGGCCGAAUGGUUCUUAUCUGCCGUCACAUUCUAUGUUUCUAUGAUAGAAAAGAAAUUUCACACAAUUCUCCUCCAAAUAUGAAGGCCCCAAAACGGCACUGCUAUUUGUCAGUAAGCUAAAAUAAAAGCAGCAUAUGCACAUACAGUUUCUGUUCACCAUAGCUACUGCAUUUUAAAGGCAAGAGUGUCCCUUAAAGAUUUUAAAGCUUAGAUUUGAAAGAUUUUAUGCUAAAUACAAAAUAGAUUGUUUUAUGGUAAGUUGCUAUCAAUAUUGCAAAUUAACUCAUGCUGUUUUAAAAUUUAAUUUAUUUUAAACCGAUGAAUUGGUACAGUUUUUGUCAACAUUCAUACAAUAGGAACAACCAUUAUAAUAUUUUAUAUACAAUGAACAACAUCAGAAAUAUAAAGACUGUGAACUGGAAAUAGCAAUAAGUAAUCCAAGGUUUUUUUUUUUUUUUUAAGGCUCCUUUCUGUUCCUUUACUUUCAGGCGUCAAAGGAUUCAAUGAUUCAAUAAUCUUGAAAAGAGAUGUAAAAUUUGAUUGGAGCAGAACUAUGACAUCAAAUUAUUUUUUGAUUAAAAGAACCUUGACUGGCAGAGCACAAAACAUGUGAAAUGAUCCUUGUCCCUGAGACAAAAAUGUAUACAAAGGGAACUGAUAAUGUUUGUCCAAAAUAGAUAAAAUAGUUCAGUUGAACAUUUCUCCAAUUAAACGAAAAACUUGUAAAACCCAUGCAACAUAGAAUGUGACAGCAGAUAAGAAGUCUGCCCAAUUUUCGAAAUACUUUUAAUUAGUCCCAGGCCUUUUCUUAAGUCUAGGAUAGCCUUAUGCCUAUCCCAAGUUUUGCUAAUUAAACUGAAACGUUUUCUCUUUAUGAUGAGCUAAUAAAAGUUAGGUUUAAUUCCCUAAUAAGGCAUUAGAGUGCUGUCUGUUUUGCCAAUUUUUAUAUACACAGACAAAUACAUUAAGUGCAUGUUUCUACAUACUUAAAAAUAUAUAUUCGUGUGCAUGUAUUAAACAUAUCUUUUACUAAAGCUGUUCAUGCUUCUAAAAAUUAUAUUGUUAUUUCUCAGUUUUCUUCAUCAUGGCAUUUUUUGAUGCUGAAGCAUCCAUCUUCAUUUUCCUUUUGUAGUGAAAAUAUUUUAAAUCAAUAAGAGUGAUUCAAAUUUGCAGGUGCAGACUUAUAAAAGUGUAUGUCUCUUGUGUUUCCAAAUAAAUGUCUUGUCUUCACUGAACCAUUGAUGGAAUUCACAGUAUGCUCAGAAGUAGACAAUGGAUUAACACAGUGACACACACACACACACAUAUGCUGGUGUUUUGUUUGAAGAACAGUGGGGGUUACAUUAUGUGAAACAAAUUAGGCAUUGGAGCAGGAUAGGGAAAUGAGGGAGGAGGACAGAAAGCAUGUGGUAGUAUCCCAACAGUUCAUAUUUUGAAUACCCAAAACUGCUGGUUGAUUUAUGCAUUUUCUUCAUGCGAUGACUAUACUAUCCCUUUGGGAUAAAGGAAACUUACAGAUGGUCUAGAAUUAAAUGUUAUGGGUUCAAAAUAACAUACCAAUGCUUAAUGUGCUUUAUACCUUCAUCAAAUUCGAUAUUCCUAUGCAUUGUUUUAUUGUUAGAAAAUGACCUGUCAUAUUAGAAGCAAAUAAGAUGGCAUUCCUCACUUUAAAUAUACAACGGUAUAAAAUGUAACUUUUUUUUUUUUUUUUUUUUUUAUAAAUAGUAAAAUAAUGGCAGGCAUUUCCUUAUUAAUUAAAGGACCACUAUAGUGCCAGGAAAACAUACUUGUUUUCCUGGCACUAUAGUGCCCUGAGGGUGCCCCCACCCUCAGGGACCCCCUCCCGCCCGGCUCUGGAAGGGGGAAAGGUGUUUAAACUUACCUUUUUCCAGCGCUGGGCGGGGAGCUAUCCUCCUCCAUUCCUCCUCCUGGGCUAAAUGCGCACGCGCGGCAAGAGCUGCGCGCGCAUUCAGCCCGUCGCAUAGGAAAGCAUUUACAAUGCUUUCCUAUGGAUGCUUGCGUGCUCUCACUGUGAGAAUCACACAAGCGCCUCUAGUGGCUGUCAAUGAGACAGCCACUAGAGGAUUAGGGGGGAAGGCUUAACCCAUUGAUAAACAUAGCAGUUUCUCUGAAACUGCUAUGUUUAUAAAAAAAAAUGGGUUAACCCUAGAAGGACCUGGCACCCAGACCACUUCAUUAAGCUGAAGUGGUCUGGGUGCCUAGAGUGGUCCUUUAAUGUAAAAUUAAUUUAAACAAAAAACAAGUUUCUUUGCUUUACAGCUCCAAACAACCAUAUAAUUAUAGUGACUUUUAGAGAAUGACAUAUCUUAAUGCCUUACUGGGUUCCACAAUAAAAUGUUUUUUAAAUGAAAUAAUAUCCUCUUUAUGUAACCAGUCAAGAAUAAUUCCUUUUAGAAGCCUAUUUAGCACAUACAAACCACCUAGCAUAACCCUAACUUUAGCAUGCAACCAGCAUAUAUGUCUGAAAUAUCUUUUUAACAUUAAUAUUCAUGUUAUAAUCAAUUAUUUAUAAAAAGAGAAAAAAUCAGCGCACUACUGCCACACAAAUAAAUAAAGAAGGCAGCACCUCUCAGAGGGGAGUCCCCUAUAAUCCCCUAAAUAUAAAAGGUAAAAAUAAAUUUAAAAAAAGAUAAGAGUGCGCCUAAAAUGUAUAAUAAAACAUAUACACAGUAUAAAAUAAAAUAAUAAAAGUAAAUAUAAAAUGGUAAUGAUAAAUAUAAAAUGGUAAUAAAAUAUAAAAUGGUCCAAAAUACUUAUCAAGAGUCUGUAAUGGUGAGAUCUUUUGAGGAAACAGGAAAUCCUGAGACGUCAAAUGGAGUGGAAUCUUCACAGUGAUGUACUCGAAUCCAAUGAAGAAUAUAUAAAAGGGAAACAGAAACAGGAACUCCAAUGGUACAGUAUAUCAGCGAGAAUAAAAUUCUAAAAUAAUAAUAAAAUAGCCGUACUCACACUCUUCAGAGCUAGAUCCUAGCUCUAAUAUUAAGCGCGUGAAGUGGAACAAUCCCCACUCAAGGAUAUGUAAAGUGGUGUUUGAUUGGAGAGGUUCUGGCCCAAUUUCCGUGUUCGAGUAAAUAUUAUUCAACCCAGAAUGAGAGAAUAAAAAUAUAGUGCUCUCUGUAUACAGUAAAGCAAAAAGAUGUAAAGUAGAUUACUUACAUUCUAUAGAGCAGGUCUAUACUGCUCGGUAUAAACGCCUGGGUGGUAUAAUCCCCACCUAUGGAUUCUUUGGGUUCCUUAUGGGUGUAGAUCAGGUGCACAAAUAAAAAUAAAAUUAUAAAUAGAAAAUAUAAAAAGAAUAUAAAAAGAAAUGGCAAUAAAGUGUUCUAUGCCAAAUUAAAUUCUUUAUUAUAAAGUAAUUAAAAUAAUAUCUAGAUGCGUUUCGCCUCAAAAGGCUUCAUCAAGUAGAUAAUAGUAAAAAGCACUCCAUUUGACGUCUCAGGAUUUCCUGUUUCCUCAAAAGAUCUCACCAUUACAGACUCUUGAUAAGUGUUUUGGACUACUGUUUUAUUACCAUUUUAUAUUUAUCAUUACCAUUUUAUAUUUACUUUUAUUAUUUUAUUUUAUACUGUGUAUAUGUUUUAUUAUACAUUUUAGGCGCACUCUUAUCCUUUUUUUUAUUUUUUUUAUUUUUUUUAAUUUAAUUAUUUAUAAAAAGCCUGGGAUCUCCCAUGGAAUCUCUGGCACUGGAAGAAGACCAAUAACAGGUCAAAACGCAUCUGGUUUGAGACAUUCAUGUUUGGAGUUGGUGUUGCCAGCGGUAAGCUUAAUUUUACUAAAACUUAUUUUUUAUAUACUCAUGAAACUGCUAUUAUUUGGCACACCAUCCUGCUUCAACUAUAUUGAUAUUUUAUUUUGUUUUUUCUAUUGAGUUUUACCCUGUUAUAGCUUUGAAGUUAAAUAAAAUAUCCUUGAUUUCUACCUUUUGAUCUCUGUGUGCUGCUAAGAGGGAAACUUCUCCAAGUUUACAGGCACCCUGAGGUUUUUUAGACAGAGCCUGGUUGUGGCAAACCUAGCCACUCGGACUAUAACUGGACACUAUGCCUUUAAGGGUUGCCUAUAGGUCUGAAGAGAUAUGCGUUUUAACCUGUAUGUAUCUGCUUCAUGUAUUCCCUGCAUUGCCUGUACCUAUCUGUUCCGCCGAAUGCAAAUGGCGGUUUGUAUGGGGAUUCUCGUUCGUUUCACGAACGGCACUUUGGAGGGCCGUUCGUGAAACGAAUGCGAUACCCCCUAAUAGCCCACACACUUAGAGGCGUGUGGCGCUAGUUAACCGAUUGCAACAUUGUUGCAAUCGGUUAUUAGAGGCUCUCCUGGGUGGCCGUCGUUCGACUACCGACCAUGCGGCGGUCGGCCAUCUUGGAUCCUUUGUUCCCUCAGCGGGGUUAUGUCGUCGAGCGCCUGGUACUAAAAACGGCUACUCGACGGCAUGAGCCCCGCUGAGCCUCCAGGACGUUCGGGAGUUUCGGGGCGUUCGGGAUUUUGUUCCCUAAUAGCAAUCGGUUCUUUUUGUAUGUUUUAUAUGAAUUGUGUUGUUCGUGCGGCGUUCGGUUAUUUUAGCAGGGAUCUGAGCGGUAAUCUCACGAAUGAUACCCUCAGACCCCAGCUAUCUACCGAACGUCCAUUCGUGUAAAUCCACUAUAUAUUCACCAAGUUAUUGAUUUUUAUGUGAAUUAUCGGUUCUGCUGCACGAGGGGGUAAUCCACUUAACGGUGCAUUCUGGGAGGAUUAUCCCUCUCGUGCAGCGGUGCCUGAUGGGAGAAAAAGGCUGUAAUAUCAGUCCCCCAUGUAGUCCCCUCCUGUACAACCCCUGUAAUGUCAGUAAGGAAACCCCUUGCAUGGGGAACUGCAUAAAUACUGUGACCUGUGAUUAAAACCUCAGUUGACUCCCAGCCUAUGUGUCGUCUAGUUCUUGGGAAGGAAGGGUUACUGCAGUGCUGUUUGGAUUACUAUAUGCUGAUUCCCUGGAUUAUCCUUUGUUGUUCCUGUUACCCAGCGGAGAUAUCGUGGAUUAUACUGCCUCUCCGCUACACUGGUACUGCUCUGUGUCAUGUUAGUGCAAUUUCCCUUGCACUAUUUUGGAAUAAAGUUUUAUGCUAUGGGACUCUUAUGUAUUUCUUUUAGAUACUUUUUUUUUUUUUUCUUCUUGUGGAUCUUCAUUGAAUAUACUUUUGGAAUUUCAAGUAUUUUUCUACACUUUUUUGCACUGUGGUGAGUUUCAUAUGUUGUUUUUUAUCUUGUUACUAUUAUAAUAUGUAGUUUGAGUGAACUUUUAACUGGCGACACAUGCAGUGCACUUUUAUUCAGCUUCAAGUGACUUUACACUUUCUGUUUAUUUUUAUGGUAUAACGUUUUAUAUGGACAAAUAAAAAAAAUAGCUAAGAAGAUUUUAUACAAUUAAAUAAUACAAUCAUGCUAGUAUGUUAAUGCACACACAAUACAAAUCCUGAUCUCUAAAUGUGAGGAUUGGUAUUUCAUGAUGAGCUUGGAGAAUCUGAAUAGAAUAAUAUUGAUGAACCAUAAAAAAAAAAACAGUCAAUAUCUGGAGUUACCACCAUUUGCCUCACGCAGUGCAACACAUCUCCUUCGCAUAGAGUUGAUCAAGUUGUUGAAUGUGGAAUGUUCUCUUCAAUGGCUGUGCGAAGUUGCUGGAUAUUGGCAGGACCUCGAACAUGCUGUUGUAUAUGACGAUCCAGUGCAUCCCAAACAUGCUCAAUGGGUGACAUAUGCUAGCCAUGCAAGAACUGGGAUGUUUUUAGCUUCCAGGAAUUGUGUACAGAUCCUUGCAACAUGGGGUCAUGCAUUAUCAUGCUGCAACAUGAGGUGAUGGGCGUGGAUGAAUGGCACAACAAUGGGUCUCAGGAUCUUGUCACAGUAUCUCUGUGCAUUCAAAAUGCCAUCAAUAAAAUGCACCUGUGUUCGUUGUGCAUAACAUACGCCUGCCCAUACCAUAACCCCAUAGCCACCAUGGGCCACUCGAUCCACAACAUUGACAUCAGUAAAUCGCUCACCCACACGAUGCCAUACACGCUGUCUGUUAUCUGCCCUGUACUGUGAAAACCGGGAUUCAUCCAUGAAGAGAAUACCUCUCCAAAGUGCCAGAUGCCAUUGAAUAAGAACAUUUGCCCACUCAAGUCGGCUACGAGAAUGAACUGCAGUCAGGUUGAGACCCCGAUGAGAACGAUGAGCAUGUAGAUGAGCUUCCCUGAGACGGUUUCUGACAGUUUGUGCAGACAUUCUUUGGUUAUGCAAACAGAUUGUUGCAGUAGCUGUCUGGAAGGCUGGUCUCAAACGGUCUUGCAGGUGGAGGUCCUGGGCUGGUGUGCUUACACAUGGUCUGCGGUUUUGUGGCCGGUUGGCUGUACUGCAAAAUUCUCUGAAACGCCUAUGGAGACGGCUUAUGGUACAAAAAUGAACAUUCAAUUCACGGGCAACAGCUCUGGUGGACAUUCCUGCAGUCAGCAUGCCAAUUGCACGCACAUUCAGCCAGUCUCAUAGGAAAGCAUUAACAAUGCUUUCCUAUGGAUGCUUGCGUCUUCUCAUUGUGAUUUUCACAGUGAGAAGCAUGCAAGUGAGGCUGGAUUAGCCUAUUUAUAAACAUAGCAGUUUCUCUGAAACUGCUAUGUUUAUUAAAAAAAGGGUUAACCCUAGCUGGACCUGGCACCCAAACCACUUCAUAAAGCUGAAGUGGUCUGGGUGCCUAUAGUGGUCCUUUAAUAGUUUACAGCCAAUAUACUGUUGAUGCACACUUUGAUCUGGGUGAGAAACAUAUUCAAAAAUCACCCAGAUCGGACCAGGGGUUCAGGAAAUUCCUGGAGGUAGUAAAAAGACCGACCGUGCUGGGGUUAACAGCCGAAAUGGGUUCCAUACAUUUUGGCCCUGCGGUCGGUCACAGAAAAAGGGAACAAAAUGCCCGACGGCUUGGGUUAUGGAGACUGGGGAGGAUUCGGAUAAACCCCCUUGUUCGUGGGGUUCUUUCUGUUCAGUAGUUUCUACACGAAGUGAUGGCAGUGUGGAGGUCUCAGUGGUGUUUGCUUAACUGAGUGUCCGAUUUGGGUUCCAGACACUCGACGGCAAAACACCGCUGUUCGGGAGUUUAGGAUGGCCGCCGCCACGUGUUCGUCUCCCAAAUGGCGGCCACCCAGAGGACAAAGCACACACUGCACUGAUUGCCAAUUACCCGUUUGCAACAUUGUUGCGAACGGUAAUUGGAGGCACACUUAUUCCUGGGGUGGUCUGAUUGUUCGGUAGUUUCACUCGUAUAAUAACUGGAGUGAUUUUACCGAACAAUCAGUCAAUGCUGCAUACACUUUACAAACAUAUGGCAAAAAUUAACUGAAAACAUACAAAUACACAUAAUUCUGAGGACAGCCCAACGCCAUCUGCUACACUGUACAAAACCUGAUUUUGUGUUCAGCUACAUUUGCUGAUACCCCCAUUGUACAGUGCCAUAUAGGAGACCUGUCCAUUACAGUAUUUACAGUAGAAUUUUGAGAGACGGAUUUGAUAGGCCUAUGUUUUAAUUUGGGGUAUUAUAGCAGUUUGACUGUUCAAAAAACCUGGACAAAGGCCUACCAUUUGUAAAAGUAGACACUACUGGGUAUCUCAUAUGGUGCAUAUUUUGAGCCCAUUUUUUCACCAACAUAUGUCAAAGUUUGUAGUAAAAAAAAUAUCUUUGUCAUUUUUACAUAUGUAUUACAUUUCUGCUAGGCAUUUUGUAUAUUUUAUAUGUGCCACUAUGAUCAAAGUCCCAAAAUUAUGCUCAGCUAAGUCUCUUGAGUAAAACAAUACCCCCAAUGAAUGUCUUUGGCACUAUAUCGUGAAGCUACAGUGCCAUAUGGGAGACCUGUCCAUUUCAGUAUUUACAGUAGAAUUUUGAGAGAUGUAUUUGAUGGGCCCAUGUUUCAAUUUGGGGCAUUGCAGCAGUUUGACUGUUAAAAAAACACACAAAGGCCUACCAUUUCUUAAAGUAGACACACCAGGGUAUUUCAAAAGGCAUAUUUUAAACCUUAGCGCAGGAUAAUUUGUUUGCUAGUUUGUAACAAGUCUAGUAGCAAUUAUAAUUUUUCUGCCUUUUUGACACACAUUUGGAGAUGUUACUGGAUAUUUUGCAAUCCUUUAUGUGUGCUGCGGCAGUAUAACACCUAAUAUGUUGCUCAGCGUACCUUUUUCAGGCAUAUGUGGAUGUUGAAGGGGCACAAUUGAGACACACCAAUCUCAUAUUUUACAAAAGCGGAUGCUGGGCCUAAGUCUAAUUUUAACCACUCAUGAUUGCAAAUUAACUCUCAAAGGCCACAUCUUUAAGCAGCUCAUCAAUUUAAAUUAUGUACAAGUGCAUACUAUUUGCAGUGAAAGGGGGAAUAUUUGAUGUAAACUUAUCAGAGGGUAGUACCCAGUCAUCUGCGUCACGGACAACACUGUCAUGCAUUCCAGAACCAAAACACACAGACAGACCUCAAAGAGAGAGAGAGAGAAACUUGUAAUACUGAUCCUUAGAAUGGCCGGGCUAUACAAGCAGAGAAUAGUCAAGUUACAAGCCGAGGUCAAAGGAUUAAAGAGAAGCAGAACAACGAUAGGACAAGUCGAAGUCAAGGAUCAGAGAAGACAGGAUAAACUCAGUGCUCCAUCAGCUGAUCGUCUGCAAUAAGCAAGCCUGAUUUCCAAACCCCAAUACUGCUGUAAGAAACUCAGUGCUCCAUCAGCUGAUCGUCUGCAAUAAGCAAGGUAGCCUUCUGACCACAGUAAGACUCUAUUCUGCACAGCAUUAUUUAUAUUGAAUUUAAACACUCUGUACAUUUAUUUUAUUUAUCCUAUGUGCUUUGCAUAUUUUCUUGUCUUUAUAUCGUGCCUGUUAUGCUAAAGUGUAGGUUUGCUAGUCCUGUAUUUAAUUGUUUUAUUCACCUAUAUGCAUUCCUCUAUUUUCCCUCUGAUUUCUGAAUGACCUCUGCACCCUCCUUUCUUUUAUUGAAAUGUGUGUUUUUAUUUGAAUAACCAGAUACAUAUCCCCCUCCCUCAGCUUUAUUGCAAGCCUAUCUGACCCACACAUAUCUUUAUUCAACAGCCUGAUUUCUAAAUCCCAAUACUGCUGUAAGAAAUGCAGUGCUCCAUCAGCUGAGCGUCUGCAAUAGGCAAGCCUGAUUUCCAAACCCCAAUACUGCUGUAAGAAACUUUCUCUACACACACUAAGAAAACCAGAUACCCCACAAACCUCAUCACAAUACCCUGCCCUUUACCAUCACUUAACAACAUUCAGUGUGCACUCUGGAACGCCCGCUCCAUCUGCAGUAAUUUAAAAUCAACAGCCAAACAUGACUUUCAUCUCAAACUCACUCACACUAUUUGCACUUACAUAGACCUGGCUGUCCCCCUCUGAUAGCGCUACUCCUGCCUAUUUAUGUUUUUGGUGGGCUACAAUUCUCUCACACUCCCAAUUUUUCCCCUCAAUGUACCUUUCACCCAAUCAUAACUCCACCUGCCCUAUCCUUUUCUUCUUUUGAAGUUCACACUGUCCGCCUGUUUAAACCCACUCCUUUAAGAAUUGCUAUCAUCUACCACCCCCCCUGGGUAUCCUAGACUAUUCAUUGAGCACUUUUCUUCCUGGAUUCCCCAUUUCCUCUCAUCUAGCACUCCUUCCCUUAUACUAGAGGAUUUCAAUAUCCCAAUCAACAACCCCAAUUGCCCUGAUGCCUCUCGUCUGCUCUCUGUAACCUCCUCCUUUGGUCUUACGCAUUGGUCCAAUUUAGUAACCCAUACAGCGGGAAACACUCUCGAUCUCACCUUCACCAAUCUCUGUACCGCCUCUAAUCUUUCCAAUAUUCCUUUUCCUCUAUCUGACCACCAUCGGCAAACCUAAGACCCAAUUGACACCACCAUCUGAACAUCAAUCUCACAGAAACCUCCAAUGUCUUGACCUAGAGCAUUUUUCCACAAAUCUCCACACUCUCCUUUUACCUAUCUCAAACCUAUCUGUCCUAGCGCUGCAACCUCCUUCUAGAAUUCCACCCUCUCCUCUCAGAUAAACAUCAUGGCACCUCCUACAUUUAAACACAGCAGGCACCCCCAACAACAACCUUGGCACACCAAGCUGACUCCAUAUCUCCAACAAUGCUCCAGAACUGCUGAACGCUGUUGGAGAAAAUCUCACUGUGCGUCUGACUUUCUCCACUAUAAAUAUAUGCUGGGCUCAUACAUCUUGGCUCUUUCCUCUGCAAAAGUAAAUUACUUCAAUACCCUUAUAACCACAUUCUCUCACAAACCCAAACACCUAGUUUCACACAACUCUCUUCUUUGCCCUAUUGUUCCUCCUCCACCUACUUACUUGACCAUCUCAGACUUUGCAACUCACUUCACUGACAAGAUCUCUACAAUCAGAGAAGAGAUCUCUCAUCUUUCUUCUUCCCCUUACAAUACUUCCCCUAACCUCACUCCCUCUGCUGUUCUAUGUUCAUUUGCACCCACUACAGUGGAAGAGGUUUCUGCUCUACUCCAGCCAGCCUGCCCCACCACCUGCUCCCUAGAUCCAAUUCCCUCACAUCUCAUCUGUACUCUGUCUUCUUCUCUUUCUCCACCUCUUACUAAAAUUCUCAAUCUCUCUCUCUCCUCUGGUAUAUUUCCAUUGCCCUUCAAACAUCCAACUAUUCAUGCAACUUGCUAUUCUAAAGAAGCCCAACCUUGACCCUAACUCCCCUCCAACUACCGUCCUAUCUCGCUACACCCUUUUGCAUCCAAGAUCCUUGAAAGAGUUGUGUAUGCAAGAUUGACAGACUUCCUUGAGUCUAACUCUCUGCUAGACCCGCUUCAGUCUGGUUUCCGCGCUAAGCACUCUGUGGAAAAGGCACUGACCAAAGUAUCCAACGAUCUACUCGCUGCAAAAUCACGUGGUCACUACUCUAUCCUAAUUCUCCUUGACAUGUCUGCGGCUUUUGACACUGUUGAUCAUCAACAGCUUCUUCUCAUGCUCCGCAAUAUCAGUCUACAAGAUCUUGCUCUCUCCUGGUGCUCCUCCUACCUCUCCCAGCACUCUUUCAGUGAUUUCUUCUCUGGCUCGGCUUAUUCUCCCCAACUCCUCUCUGUUGGUGUCCCCCAAGGUUCAGUCCAUGGUCCCCUACUGUUCUCUAUCUAUACUGCCUCCCUUGGUAAACUCAUUAGCUCCUUUGGCUUCCAAUAUAAUUUCUAUGCGGAUGACAUGCAAAACUACCUGUCCUCCCCGUCCCUCUUGACUAGUGUCUCUGACUGCCUCUCUGCUAUUUCUAACUGGAUGGCUGCCCACUUCCUUAAACUCAACCAAAACUGAAAUUCUAGUCUUUCCUCCCUCAAGUGUUGCUACUCCUGUGUCUGUCUCCCACCAAAUCAACGGUGCUACCAUCAGCUCCACCACGCAGGCUCGCUGCCUAGGUGUUCCCUUUGACUCUGACCUCUCCUUCACACUUCAUCUCAAAAACAUUAUGCGCACCAGAUGCGACUAAGGUGCUGGUCCAUUCCAUUGUCCUUUUUCACCUUGACUACUGUAAUCCGCUUCUCAGUGGUCUUACAUGCUCCCAACUUGCGCGGUUACAGCUCAUAAUUAAUGCGGCAGCGAGGCUCAUCUUCCUGUCCGUCCGCACCUCCCACGCCUGACCCUUCUGUCAGUCCCUACAUUGGCUCCUGUAAGAUAUAGGGCUCAAUUAAAAAUUCUGGUUCUUGCUUUUAAAUCUCUACAUAAUGCUGCUCCCACCUAUCUAUCCUCACUAAUACAGAAGUAUGUCCCGUCUAGGCCCUUACGCUCUGCUGAAGACUUACGUCUGUCUUCUGUCCGUACUCCCACCUCUGAUGCUCGCCUUCAAGACUUCUCCAGGGCUGCACCGUUCCUGUGGAACUAACUUCCCUCCUCCGUUAGAUGCUCACCCAGUCUCCACUCCUUCAAAAAAUCAUUAAAAACCCACUUCUUAUAAAAGCGUAUCAAUUAAACUGUUAAUAGCUCCCAACUGAUUCCUCUCUUGCAACUGUCAAUAGUCUAAUACUAUCCUUACCUUUUGUGUCACUUUACCCCACCCCCUCUAGCAUGUAAGCUCAUUGAGCAGGACUCUCAACCCCUCUGUUCCUGUGUGUCCAACUUGUCUGGUUGCAACUACAUGUCUGUUCGUCCACCCACUGUAAAGCGCUGCGGAAUUUGUUGGCGCUAUAUAAAUAAUAACAGAGAAACUGCUAUGUUUACAUUUGGGUUAAUCCAGCCUCUAGUGGCUGUCUCAUUGACAGCCGCUAGAGGCGCUUUCGCGCUUCUCACUGUGAUUUUCACAGUGAGAAGACGCCAGCGUCCAUAGGAAUGCAUUGAAAAUGCUUUGCUUUCCUAUGGAUGGACUCAUGCGAAUUCGGAGGAAGAGGGAGGAGAGUCCCCAGCGCAGAGGAAGCCCGGUGCUGGAGAAAGGUAAGUGUUUAACCCUCUUCCUCCCCCUAGAGCCUGGCGGGAGGGGGGCCAUGAGGGUGGGGUGGGGGGGGACCUAUUAACAUUAUAGUGCCAGGAAAACAUAUUUGUUUUCCUGGCACUAUAGUGGUCCUUUAACACUAAACCCCACAACUUCCCACUAACUACCAGCCUCCACCCCUCCCCCAAAUUAACUAAAUCACCAAAAUAAAAAUAAUAAAAUAGUCCGUCAGCAGUCAGAAUUUUAGAAGCCUCCUUGGCCUGAACUUCCUCCGCAUCUUUAACACUAUCGGCUGUUCUCUCUUUUUAUCUUUUAUAUUAUACCUGAAGACUUUGUUCCUGUAUCCAAGGACGACAGAGAGGACAUUUUAGGUUGGACUUUUCUUUCAAUAUUUAUUACCAUUAUUGGAAAUGGACAUUGUCUAUUUAAUGUGGCACAGCCCUUUUUUUAUAUUUUGUUUUUAUCUUGUAUUAUAGGGUUUUGGGGGGAUUCCCUUUUUGGGGUUGCUGCCUAAUAGGUUGUUUGGCGCUGUCUCUCUCUUUUAUUUAUUUACAGUAGAAUAGAUGGCAGCCGCUCUAGGGUCCUUCAAACCCAACAAAAUUCCAAGCCCUGAUGGCUACACAGCACUUUAUUACAAGGAAUUUAGUCCCCUCGUCCUGACACAUUUUUGCGCUGUGUUCAAUGCUCCUUUAAGAGGGGAAAAGCUCCCGACAGACAUGAUCAGUGUCAGGGUACCUUGUGUUUGGCACAGGCUGUGCCACAAGCUGACAACAUCCAGCAGGGGAUUGGUGACAUUCCCAGUAGCUCUCCUCUUGUUUCUAGUGGUUCUCGCGCCAGCCACGAUAGCUCCGCCCCAUGCAUGCUGACGUCAUGACACUAAUUUGAACAUUUUGGGCGCUUGGCUACAUAUCAAGGAACACAGUACUUAAGGGGAGUUCAGGGAGAGUCUCAUUGCCCUGUUUGUGGUUCCAAUAGCGAGUUUACUUCGUAUUGCUUUCUUGGAUUUUGACUUUUGGCUUAGAUUGACUAUUCUCCUUUCUGUAUUCCUUUGACCUUGGCUCCUGUAUUCUCGUUGUUCCUGAUUUCUGGCAUCCCUGAUCUUGGCUCGUUUAUUUUUUUUUAUAUAUAUUUAAUUUUUAUUGAAAAAGUUUUUCUUUCUUUCAUUCCCUUUCUUUUUUCUUUUAUAAUAUUUCCUUUUCUCUUUUUUUUUUUUUACAAACAAAAAGAGAUUUACAAACAUUGUUACAACAAUAAACAAUCAGACAUUGGACAAUAAACAUCAAAAAAAGAAAUAGCAAAAAAAAAUAUGUAUAAAAACAUUACAAUUCAGUCACCUUCAAUGCAGAAAGAGAUUUACAAUAAAUCCAGAAAGGCUUUAUCCACCUUUUGUUCUGUCUCUUUUCUUACUCCUUCCCCUUCUCUUUCUUCACCUCUUCCCUCCUUCCUUCCUUUACCUUCUCCCCUUAUAUAUUAUAUUAACAAAAAAAAAAAAAGCUGCCCUUUGCCGAGAGUUAGUCGCAUAUUGCUCCUAGGAACCUAAAACCAUAAUCUUUGACAAAUAUUUUUUCUACCAAUCAGGCUCCGUAAACCUAUGGCUAAUUUAGAAAUUUAUGCACAGGAUCCACUACCCUAUCUACAAUUCCAAGACGUAUAAACCUUAGUAUAUAUUAAGUCACAUUACUUCUUCCUAAUUUUGCAAUCCAUUUCUGCCAUUGUUCAAUUCGUGGAUUGUAAUAAUUAUCUUGUCUCAAUAUCGCUAUUUCCAUUUUACAAUUAUUCAAGACCUGAUGUUUUAUCAUCUCCCAUGAUGGGGAAUCUGAGGUUUUCCAAAAUCUUGCGAGAGUGGCUUUAGUUUCUACAAGAAUGUGGAUAAUUAUUUCUUUUUUAUCCUUCGGAAUUGUGGGCCAUCCCAUAUGUAAUAUCAUAGAACUACAAGUAAAAUCAAGAUCCACUUCUAUUUCUUCCCUACAGAAUUUCGCUACCUUUUGCCAUAAUUGAGCUAUAAUCGGACAUGACCACCAUAUAUGCACAUAGUCUGCUAUAAGGGAAGCACAACGCCAGCAAUGAUAUUGGUUACCUGGAUAUAUUUUUGCUAAUUUAGCUGGUACAUAAUGCCAUCUGUUGAUAACCUUAUAGUGACUUUCCGAUAGAUUUAAGCAAUGUGAAGCUUUCAUUACUGCAUUAUUAGCCUUAAGCCAUUCACUUCUCAUAAUGCUAAUUUGUAUAUCUUUUUCCCAAGCUUUUAUAGCUGGAAAUUCAGGGAUUGGCUUAUACUUACUACAGAUAUUGGAGCAUUUAGAGACUAAAUUUUUACUAUAUGUGAUAUUUAAUAAAUUUAUGAACAUUUGUAAUUCCUCAGAGAUCUCCACUAUUCUGUGUCUCAUUAAGAAGUAUUUUAUCCUUAAGUACGUAAAACUUUCUCUGUAGGAAAGAGAAAAGGCCUGUUUGAUCUCUUCAAAAGGUCUAAUCUGUUGUUGUUGAAAUAACUGAUUUAUUCUAUUAAUGCCUCUAUUUAACCAUGGCUCAAGAUUAAGAUCCUUAAUAUUAAUAGACAAAACCUGCAUGGGUAGGUCAAUAAUAAUUUUAUCUGUAAUUUUAAGUCUUUUUUUUUCCAGAUUCUCCAUUGGACCAAUAAAAUAGAAUUAGGCCCAUAUCAUCUCUCUCCCCUUUGUGUAUAUUCCAAAAUAGAGCCAUUAGAUCUGGAAUUUCUGCUCUUUUAGCUUCAAUCUUUGCCCAUGAUUCUCCCCUAGAGCUCUCUUUCAUAGAUGAAAUAAUAUGUGCCAAUGAGCAAGAUUCAUAAAUAUCUGUAAUAUUAGGUACUCCCAUCCCUCCUAGUUUAGGUUUUAGGUUCAAGAUUUUUUUACUAACCCUAGGUUUUUUUCCCCAUCCAUAUAUAUUUAUCUAAGGCUGAUUGGAUCAUCAGGAGCCAUGGUUUAGGCAUUUUCAUUGGUAGCAUACAGAAUACAUAGCUCCAUUUAGGGAUCAAAUAGGCCUUUACAACAUUAAUUCUACCUGUCCAUGAUAUCUCUGCUGUUCUCAUAUAUUUCAAUUGUUUAUUAAUUUGCAUCAUUAAAGGCAUAACAUUAUAUUCUAGAAUCUUAGCGGGGUUACUAGAAAUCCUUAUACCCAAAUAAACAAAAAAAGUUUUUACCCAUUCAAAAGUGUAUUUCGCUUUAAUAUAUAAUUUUUCUUCCUUUUUUUAUAUUUUUUGCGAGAAUACUUGUCUUAUCUACAUUUAGCUUGAAAUUGGAAUACUGGCCAAAUUCAUGAAUCAGCCUUAUCAGUUCAUCUAUUGAUGUUAUAGGGUCUGUUAUAGUGAUUAAAACAUUGUCAGCAUAAAGUAGCGUUUUAUAUUCCUCUUGACCUAUUUUAAUUCCCAUAAUUUUGUCAUUAUUUCUAAUGUCACAAAUCAGGGGUUCUAUGUAUAGUAGGUAUAGCAAUGGGGACAGGGGACACCCCUGUCUUGUCCCAUUUCUUAUAUUAAACCACUCAGAGAUUAUCCCCCUCCCAAUUGUUCUAGCCAUUGGGGAGCUAUAUAAGGCCAUAAUUGCGCUCAGAAUCCAGCCUUCAAAGCCAAAAGCUUUUAGGGCCUCCCUGAGGAAGUCCCAUCUGACCCUGUCAAAGGUCUUUUCGGCAUCCAAUGACAGGGCCAGCAAUGGAGUACCUGAUUAAUGAGCGUAGUCCAGAAUAUCAAUCAUUGUUCUUAUACUAUUAUUUGAUUGUCUGUCCUUCAAAAAACCAACCUGAUCCCCAUGAAUAAUAGACGGGAGGACUCCUUGUAAUCUAUUCGCCAAGAUACUUGCAUAAAUUUUUAUAUCAGAAUUUAAUAGAGAUAUAGGACGAUAAUUCGCUACAAAUUCCUUAGGUUUAUCUGGCUUUUGUAUGGGAAUUAUGUUGGCGUAUAAUAGUUCGUUAGGUAUAUCUUUUUCUCUGACUAUAUUAUUAAAGAGAUCUUUAAGGUGUAUUACUAAGACGUCCUGGAAUUGCUGAUAAAAUAUAUUUGGGUAACCAUCCGGCCCCGGUGUUUUAUUUUUUUUUUAAGGACUUGAUUGCACUUAUUAUUUCAGUUUCUGAGAAGGGUUGAUUAAUAGAAUUCAAUUGUUCUCCUGAUAAUUUUUUUACAUUUUUGUUUUUAAAAUAUAUUUCUGGAUUAUAAGAAUAACUAGGUAAAUUAUACAAUUUUUGAUAGAAGGAAUUAAAUGCUUUGCCAAUAUUUUCAGGUGUUAAUUGGGUCCCUUCCUCUGUAAUAAUUUUAUUUAUUAACUUAUUCAAUUUCUCACCUUUAACUUUGUUUGUGAGUAUUUUGUUUGCUCUAUUUCCUUUAUAAUACCAUUUUAUUCUUAAAUAUUCCAUCUUUUUUGAAGUUUGUAGAAAUAGGAUUUUAUUAAUUUUAUUUUUUAUUAUUGCUAUUUUCUCACUUAUCUCUAUAUUUGGAUUACUUUUAUUGAAAUUUGUUAAUUUAUAAAGAGAUACAUAUAAUUCUGUUAAAGAAGCUUCUUUAUGUUUUUUCUUAAUUGAACCUAAUUUAAUAAGGUGUCCCCUCAACACCGCCUUAUAUGUACACCAGACUAUAGUGUCUGGUGUGCCUUUAUUUUUAUUGUCGUCAAAAAAACGGUUUGUUAGAUCUUUUAUUGUAUUAAUGUCCUGUUGCUCCCUUAGGAGUGAUUCAUUAAGUCUCCAAUUAUUCCUAGUUUUAAUAUCUGGUGAAAUAGAAAGAUCAAGUAUUAAUGGAUUGUGAUCUGACCAGGUUACUUCAUGAAUCAAAACCUUUUUUACCCUAUGUGGGACCUCAGGGGAACCUAAAAAUAAAUCUAAUCUAGAAUAAGUACAAUGUGCUUUAGAAAAACAAGUAAAAUCUUUUUCUAGUGGAUGAUUAAUCCUCCAUAAAUCUAGUAAUCCAUACUCAUUUAUCAAAGACGAGAAUUGAAUUGAUGAUUUCUUUCCUCUUUUAUCUUGAAUGACCCCUAAUAGUGAAUUCCUGUCUAACGUUCCAUCCAAGAUACAAUUGAAAUCUCCUCCCAGAAUAAUCUUGCCUUUUCUAAUUUUUUCUAGUUUACGCAAAAUCAUUUGUAUAAACUGCACAGAGUUAGUGUUAGGAGCAUAUAUAUUUACAAUAGUAAAUUCUUCUUCUUGUGUUUUACAUAUGACUAAAAUAAACCUCCCAUUUUUAUCUAUGUCUUGAUAAGUAACUUGGAUAUCUAAAUCCUCUGUUACUAAAAAAGCUACUCCACAUUUCUUUUUAUCCUCUAAUGAGGAACAGAGUUGAAUUUUGAAGUUUUUUGGGAUAAAACGUAUUAUAUCUUGUCUUAGCCAAUGAGUUUCUUGUAAUAAUAUAACUUUUGCACCUUCCUUUUUAAUAUAUUGAAAGACAGUAGCUCUUUUAAUUGGGUUAUUUAGUCCCUGUGCAUUUACUGUCAUAAACUUAACCAUAGACUAUCCAUCUUUAACUCGCGACUAUAACCCUCAGCAAAUAAGCAUAGACAUAAAAAAAAAGAAAAACACAUACCACAUUUACAUUCAUAUAGCCUCAAGUAGUUUAAACAUGGGGCAUUCCAUAUCCACGCUAUUAAAACAUAAAUCCAUCUCCACUCCCAAUUAGUGGAAGACAGAAAAUGCAUCCCAAAACCCUGGGUUUGCAUCCAAAACUCCACACUCAAAUAUGGAGUUAAGUCGGGGGGGCGUGAGGGAAACCCUCCUCUAGAGUGUCACAGAAAGACUAUAUAAUCCUUGUAACAGAGAAAGAGAGGAGAAAAAAGAAAAAAAAAAUAACAAACACAUACAUAUAUACAUUUUCCUAUUUCCCUCUAACCAAAAGCUUUUGCAAUGUGAUUAUUUCAAUUUCUUAUAUACCAAAUUUAUAUUAAUACGUUCAAUCUGUAUAUUCUCUAAGUUUUACAUAUUAAUACCGUGUCCAAAAAAAAAAAAAAAAAUACGUAUAUACAAUUUCCUAUUUCCCACUAGCCAAAACCUUUUGUAAUGAGAUUAUUUCAAUUUCUUAUAUACCAAAUUUAUAUUAAUGCAUUCAAUCUUUAUAUUCUCUCAGUUUUACAUAUUAAUAGCGUGUCAAAAAAACAAAACAAAAAAAAUAAAUAAAAAAUAAAUAAUAACACUAAUUCGAACAUUUUGGGCGCUUGGCUACAUAUCAAGGAACACAGUACUUAAGGGGAGUUCAGGGAGAGUCUCAUUGCCCUGUUUGUGGUUCCAAUAGCGAGUUUACUUCGUAUUGCUUUCUUGGAUUUUGACUUUUGGCUUAGAUUGACUAUUCUCCUUUCUGUAUUCCUUUGACCUUGGCUUGUUCCUGAUUUCUGGCAUCCCUGAUCUUGGCUCGUUUAUUACUCUCUGUCCUUGUGACGUUAGUCCAGCCAUUCUAAGGUCCAGUGUAUGUUACUAUUCCUUUACACUCUGCGUGUAGGAUCCCUUAAUAUUACUGACACAUAGCAAAUGUAUGUUUGCUAUCAAAACCCAACAAAGACCAUACAGAACCCAAACUCUACAGACCCAUAUCAUUACUGAAUGUAGACCUAAACAUCAUGACUAAAAUCAUGUCUAACAGGCUUAAUCCCUGCCUAGGCACGCUGAUCCAUCCAGACCAGGUGGGAGUUAUCCCCCAUAGGCAGGCCUCGACAACACCCGCAGAAACAUAGGCCUUAUUUGGCUGCCACAACAUUGGCAGAUGCCAACAGAUGUCAUAUCACUAGAUGCCGAAAAAGGCGUUCGACCGUCUGCUAUCUUUAUCGAACCCUAGAACACUUAGAGUUCCUAAAAUAAUUUCUCACCUUCCUUCCAGCAGCUUUCCACUCCCGCAUGUAACUCUACUACUACCCAACUCUACUACUACCCAACUAGGUAAGUGAUUCUAAUCUCUCUCACAAUCUAUUCUUACCCUAACCCUUGGGGUAAGGGUUAAAAUAAAGUGUGAAAAAGCACAAUUUUGUGAUAUUCCCCUAAUGUGAAAUUUCACAAAAUAUGAACAAGUCCCUAAUCCUAACCCUAAUUUGAACCCUAACAUUAACCCUAAAUGUCCCAUGUCCUAAGCUUAGUGAAUGCACUUACUAUAAUGAAAGUGUAAAACUAGUUUUGCUUACCUUCCAGGACCUUGCUGUGGAGGAGUAGCAGGAGUGCUAGCACGCAUGUGCAGCACAGGAUCCAGAUGAUUACCCACACCGGAAGUGACGAGGGUAGAGGAUUUUCACGGGUAGGAAAAUUUGAUAGAACACCGGCUUCCAGCUCACUGCAAGUUGCGCACAAACUCCUAUGUAGUCCAUAAGAAAUGUUUAAUCUCACUGCCUUCCAGUAUAUAUCUGUCCUUGCCUCUUAUGUGAAAAUGUGUAUUUGUGACAGUAUGUAUGUGCAAUGUGUGUGACUGCAUAUGUAAUCUGUGAAUUUCAGCUUGUGUGUAAUGUGUCUGUGUGACAGUGAUGGAACAGUUGUAUGUACCUGGAUGGGUCGGAAUAGAUUGGGGUCUUGGACUUCGUGUGUGAUAUUGCAGGAGGGAAUGUGACGACAGGGAGGUAUAUGUAUGUGGGUGCAGUGGUGGAACUACCGCGGUCACAGGGUUCGCAGCUGCAACCGGGCCCGGCUGUCAUGCGGUCCCCUGGGAAUGGGUUAUCUGCCGGCUACGUAAUACAGCCCCGGUCCAUGCAGUGUAACAGCAGGGGCCGCACAUUCAGGAGCCCAUCGGGUGGCCCAUGCUGUUAGGGCCACAGAUAUAAAUUAAUUUCCAGGGGUCCAGGUCAGUGCUGCGGCGCUUUAAUAGGGCGACUGGGCCCCCUUUGAUGAUGUCAGAGCUGGGAGGAACUGACUGCCCCGGUCACUUCCUCCCAGCAAUCACUGUGCUGCAAGGGAGGAAGAAGGAGAGGAGGGAGUCAGAGUGACAACCCUCCUGCACCUAAAAGGUAGGAAACAGGAGGGUGACUAAAUCAUUUUGCAUGUGUGUGUUAGUGUAUGUGUGUCUGUAUGUGUCUCUGUAUGUAUGUGUGUGUUUUAGUGUAUGUGUGUCUAUUGGUAUGUCUCUGUAUGCGUGUGUGUUUGUAUGUGUGUGUUUUUGUAUGUGUCUCUGUAUGUGUGUGUGUCCAUGUGUACAUGUAUGUGUGUGUGUGUGUGUGUGUGUGUGUCUGUAUGUAUGUGUGCAUGUCUCUGUAUAUGUGUGUUUUUCAAUGUGUGUCUGCAUGUGUGUAAGAGAGAGUAUGGGAGGGGGUAGAUGUAUGGGGGCCCAUGGCAAUCUUCGCACCAUGGCCCUGUGGUUUCUAGUUACGACUCUGUGUUGGUGAGUAUUACUAGCAAGAGGAGGGUAUGUGGCAGAGUGGGACAGUGUGGUGGAUACUAUGACAGCAUGUGCCAUUGCACACAGAGUAUUGAAGGAGGUGACUGCAGAUGAGGUAGUGAGUAUAUUGCCUUAUAUGUCAGGGGUGGGUGUUAUAUGUCAGGGGUGGGAACAAUGGGAUUGGGUCUUAUAUGGAAGAGAGGGUAUUAUGUCAAGGCUGGGGUGUAUGGCAGGUGGUGUUUUUUGAUAGGGUGGGGUUUAAGGCAGGGUGGGUAUUAUGAUAAUGUGGUGGGUUAUAUGGCAGGGAGGGUAUUAUAGCAGAGUGGGUAUUAUAUGACAUGUUGAGGGGUAUAUGCUAGGGUGCGAAUUAUGACCAGGUGGUGGAUUUAUGGCAGGGAGAGUAUUAGGACAAAGUGGGGGUGUAUAUUCAAGGGAGAGUAUUAUAAAAAGAUGGGUUGUAUAUUCCAAGGGGGGUAUUAUCACAAGGCGGGAGUGUAUAUGGCAGGGAGGGUAUUAUAGCAUAUACCCCUAUGACAUGUUGAGGGGUAUAUGAGAAGGUGGGAAUUAUGACAAGGUGGUGGAUAUUAUGACAAAGUGGGGUGUAUAUGCCAGGAAGAGUAUUAUGACAAGGUGGUGGGGGUGGGGGCGUGAAUGGCGGGGAGGGUAUUUUAGCAAAGUGGGUAUUAUCUGACAUGUUGAGGGGUAUAUGCCAGGGUUUAAAUUCUGACCAAGUGGUGGAUUUAUGCCAGGGAGUGUAUUAUAAAAAGGUGGGUGUUUAUAUAGCAGGGAGGGUAUUAUGACAAGGUGCAGAUUAGGGAUAUAUGCCAGGGUAGAAAUUAUGACCAGGUGUUGGAUUUAUGGCAGGGAGAAUAUUAUGACAAGUUGGUUGUGUAUGUGGCAGAGAGGGUAUUAUGACAAGGUGGGGCUAUAUAUGGCAGGGAGGGUAUUAUGACAUGGUGGGGGUAUAUAUGGCAAGGGGGUUAAUAUGACAAGGUAGGGAUUAGAGUAGGGAGGGUGGGUGGGAAUAUUAUGAUUAGGUGGGGAUUGAGUAUAUAUGGCAGAGAGGGUGGGUGUAUAAUGGCAGGAAGGGUGGGGAUAUAUGGCAGCAAAGGGUAUUAUGACAAAGUGAGGAUUGGGAGUAUAUGGCAGGGAGGGUAUUAUGAGAGUAUAAUGGAAGGGAGGGUGAGGGAUAUAUGGCAGGGAGGAGGGGGGUAUAAUGGCAGGGAGGGUUGGAGAUUUAUGGGAGAGAGAUGUCACAGGGUGGAUUUACAAAUACCAUAUAAUAGCAUUAACUCACCAUUUAGGGGGUGCAGGGGCAGCAAGGGGCUGGCUCUCACCAUAUGGUGGCUGCUCUUUCAGCCUCCAAACAUCUGCAUCCUUGGGUCAGGCAGUGCAGCAGGUGCAGACAGGGGAUCUAGAGAGGUUAACUCGGAUCCCCUGCAUGUUCAGAGUGGCUGCGGAGGAGCAACCUGGCUCUGUGCCCCCUGCUGGUAUACUCCAAAAUAAACUCUUUGGUGUGAGUGUGAGUUAGAGCACAGGCUGGGUAUCCCCUACUUGUGUUCUGACCCACUAACUGAGCACCGGUCUGCCAGAGCCAUGAGGGAGAGGAUAUUAUGUAUAAAGCGGCAGGAGGUACAGAGCGUGGUACCUCCCUUCUAAGUGGCACCCGGGGCAGACCACUGCCCUUAGUACUGCCUACACAGACAGGGUGACCAGACAUCCCAGUUUUACCGGGAUCGUCCUGGUUUUGCCUGCUUGUCCCAGCAUCCUGAGAAUCUUUUUAGGGAUGCAUGAAUGUCCUUGUUUUGUAGAGCCUUUCCCCAUAUUGAGGCUGACAGUGGAGAUCCUUUCAUUUCCCCUGCCAGCUUCAUGCAGAGCGGGCCAUGCUAUUUCCCUUCUCAAGCUGGUGGGGAGAUCACGGAUCUCCCUCACUGGCCCCAAGGCAGUGUGCUGCUGCAGAGGGAAGAAAGGGUGCUGGGCCUGGGAGGCAACACGCUCCUUCCACAAACAGGCCGGUUGGAGCUUUCCCGCACGUUACCAUGGCACUGCGACACUGCAAUAUACUCGUGGGACAAGGGGCGCAGUCAGCCUGCAGCCAGAGGAGCUGCAGGCUGAACUGUGCAUGACCCCACUGGACCACUAGGGAUUAAAAACUCUCCCCCUUCCUCCCUGGCCAAAGGUAAGAAGAAGGAAGGCGGGUGGGGGUGUAAUAUAAAUUAGUUAUAUCAGUUAAAAUUACAAAAAGCAUUUUAAGAUAUAUAAAUAUGCUUAAUUAUCCCCCUACACACACACAUACUGAACCCCUACACACACACUAUACCCCAUCCACACACAACACCCCAUCACACACAGAACCCCUUACACAAAAACAGCACCCCUCCACAUACAACACCCCUUCCUUGCACACAGAACCCCUCCACACACUGAAUACCUACACACAUUACACCCUCCACAGACACACACACAAUAAACCCCUACAAACACUACACUCUCCACACACACACGCAGCACCCCUUCCUCAAACACACAUGCAGCACCCCACACACACCCACAGCACCCCCCCACACACACAAACACACCUCACUGCAGUCUGUGUGUGUGGGGGUGCUGUGGGUGUGUGUGGGGUGCUGCAUGUGUGAUUCAGGAGGGGGUGCUGCGUGUGUGUGUGGAGAGUGUAGUGUUUGUAGGGGUUUAUUGUGUGUGUGUGUGUGUGUGUGUCUGUGGAGGGUGUAAUGUGUGUAUGUAUUCAGUGUGUCGGGGGGUUCUGUGUGCGAGGAAGGGGUGUUGUGUGUGUGUGUGUGUGUGUGUGUGUGGAGGGGACCUCCAAGGGAAAUAAAUAUAAAAGAAACAAAUUCAAACCAAUGUGGCUUAGUAGAGAAGUAAAACAAGAGAUUACAACUAAGAAAAGGGCAUUUAAAGCAUUUAAAUCGGACAAAUCAGAUGCAUCUUAUAAAAGAUAUAAGGAAGCAAAUAAUGCAUGCAAAAAGGCAAUUAGACUUGCUAAACUUCAAAAUGAAAUAAUGAUAGCUAAAGAGAGCAAAACCAACCCCAAAGCAUUUUUUAAGUACAUAAAUUCUAAAAAAAAAAAAAAUGAAAGUGUAGCUACACUAAAAACUGAAACGAGGGUGUUAGUUAAUGAAGACCAGGAAAAGGCAGGAAUUUUAAAUAACUAUUUCUCCUCCGUAUCUAUUAAGGAAGAACCCAUGGCAAUAGAUGUGCAAAUGAUUGCAACUAAAAACUUGCAGAAUAAUUGUAAUUGGUUAAAUCAAGACAAGGUGCUGCAGCAACUAAAGAAAGUUAAUAUAAACAAAGCUCCAGGGCCUGACGGUAUCCAUCCACGUGUAACUAAGGAACUAAGUGUAGAAAUAAGUGAACCUCUGUAUUUAAUCUUUUCAAGAUUCUUUUUUUUCAGGAAGUGUUCCGGAGGAUUGGAGGAAGGCAGAUGUGGUUCCUAUAUUCAAAAAGGGUUCAAAAUCCUUGCCUGGAAAUUAUAGACCUGUGAGCUUAACUUCUGUGGCUGGUAAAAUAUUUGAAAGUUUAUUAAGGGAUAAUAUUCAAGAAUUCCUUGAGAAGAACAUGGUUAUCAGCAAAAUCAGCACGGUUUUAUGAAGCACAGGUCAUGUCAAACUAACUUGAUUGCGUUCUACGAAGAAGUAAGUAGAAGUAUAGGUCAGGGUGUUGCCGUGGAUGUGAUCUAUUUGGAUUUUCCCAAGGCAUUUGAUACAGUUUCAUACAAUAGAUUAGUGUUCAAACUCAAGGAAAUCGGUCUAGAUGAAAAUGCUUGUUCUUGGGUAGAACAUUGGCUUAAAAACAGAGUACAAAGAGUUGUCAUUAAUGGUACAUUUUCAAGCUGGACAGAGGUGGCAAGUGGUGUCCCUUAGGGGUCUGUUCUGGGACCCCUUCUAUUUAACAUGUUUAUAAAUGAUCUUGAAGACAGCAUUGAAAGUCAUGUUUCAGUGUUUGCAGAUGACACAAAACUUUGUAAAACAAUACAAUGUGAGCAAGAUAUUACUUUGCUGCAGAGGGAUUUAGAUAGAUUGGGGGACUGGGCACUCAAAUGGCAGAUGAAAUUUAAUGUUGAAAAUUGCAAAGUUAUGCACUUCGGCGUAAAGAAUACACAUGCAACGUAUACCCUUAAUGGAAGCGAAUUAGGGAUAAUAACACACGAAAAGGACUUGGGAAUUGUUAUAGACAACAAACUAUGCAACAAUGUGCAAUGUCAAUCAGCAGUGGCCAAGGCCAGUAAGGUCCUGCAUGAAAAAGGGCAUUCAUUCUCGGGACAAGAAUAUCAUUUUGUCUCUUUAUAAAUCAUUGGUAAGACCCCAUAUUGAAUAUGCUGUGCAAUUUUGGGCACCUGUUCUAAAGAAGGAUAUUAUGGCACUAGAAAAAGUGCAGAGGCGGGCUACAAAAUUAAUAAAAGGAAUGGAACAUAUCGGCUAUGAAGAAAGGUUAACAAAUUUAAACCUAUUUAGUUUAGAAAAACGUCGCCUGAGAGGGGAUAUGAUAACAUUAUACAAAUAUAUUCGAGGCCAAUACAAACCAUUGUGUGGAAAUCUAUUCACAAACCGGACUUUACAUAGGACACGAGGCCAUGAGUUUAGACUGGAAGAAAGAAGAUUUCGUCUAAGGCAAAGGAAAGGUUUUUUUACUGUAAGAACAAUCAGGAUGUGGAAUUCUCUGCCUGAGGAAGUGGUUUUAUCAGAGUCCAUACAGAUGUUCAAACGGCUACUAGAUGCAUACUUGCAAGAACAGAAUAUUCAAGGAUAUAAUCUUUCAAUGUAGGGUAAUAACUGCUUGAUCCAAGGAUAAAUCUGACUGCCAUUCUGGGGUCAAGAAGGAAUUUUUUUCCUAGCUUGUUGCAAAAUUGUGUUUCAAACUGUUUUUUUUUUUUGCCUUCUUUUGGAUCAACAGCAAAAAACUAAUGUGAGGUAGGCUGAACUUGAUGGACGCAAGUCUCUUUUCAGCUAUGUAACUAUGUAACUAUGUAACUGUGUGUAUUCAACAGUCUGUGCGUGUUCAUAAUUCUGUAUUCAGCAUUAUGUAUGUAGUCAGCAGCCUGUGUGUGUUUAUUAAGCAGUUUGUCUGUGUGUAUUUAGCAGCGUAUGUGUGUGUAUUCAGUGGUCUGUGUGUGUAUUCAGCAGUCUGUCUGUGUGUUUAGCAGUCUGUAUGUAUUCAGUAGUCUGUGUGUAUUCAAAUCUUAAUACAUACAAGGCGGAGUUUCUUGCUUAAUCUAUAAACAGAUCUUGGAUGUGUUUCAUCCUACAAUGAAAAUACAGAAAAGCAAACAAUAGUGCAAUAUUGUCUGAGCAUAUACAUAUAUGAUAAGGAGUGGGUGAAAUAGCACUCACAAGCUUUGUGGGAUAUCAAGGUUCCCACUUCCUUCUUUAUGUGUGGUUGUGAUUUCUGGUGAUAAAUUCUCUUUCCAGAUGAAGGUGCAGUUUUAAAGUGCUUUAUUUACUAUAAAGUGCACACAAAACAAUAAAAUGAUAAUUUUAAAAUCAAAACCUUACAGAGUCCUUUUGUGGAUAUCUGUAAGUCCUGUGCAAAACGCGUUUCGCCUCUUAAAGAGGUUUCCUCAGUUGCUGCUGAUCUUUCCUGUGUGAAAAUCUUCUUUUACAUGCUCCAUUAUUGGCGUUUUUUGCGAUGGCGUCUAUGCGCGAUUUACUUCCGGUUUCCGGGUUUGCGUUACACCCGUUGAACGCAUUCACUUCUGGUUUCUGUCUUCAUUGGAAUGUCUGUUUGUGUUUCAUUGUGGUCUUUUUCUUCCAAUUCCCAUUUGUUGCAGUAUAUAUUUGAGUCCAUUAAUGCAAGUCCAUACAGAAAUCAGAGCAAUAAGAAAACUUAAAUGGAAUAUACUUAUGUCAGUGCAAUAUUUUGCAGGUUUAGUUAUCUAUAUGUAUACACUAAAAUUCAAUAAAAGUUCCACAUAAUAAAUAAUAUUCUACUGUUAAUUAAAAAAAGAGUAUUAAGACUUAGUGUCUGGAAGAGAGAUGUGCUUCACAAUAAUUCUGUGGUAUUUCAAAGUUUUAAGUUUUAAGUUCAUUUGGAAUAAGAAGGAAGUAUGUGGUUCCUUGUUGUAAUGUUUUUCAUGGGUCAUUAUUAUAUAUGUACAUACAAAUUUAUGUUUUAUUAGAGAUCAUACAAAUAAAUAUAAUGGUCCAAAAAUGCAUUAAUAAUAAAUCAUAGGUAGGGGAUGGUUGGAUAAAAAAUAUAUAAAUAUUUUUAAAAUGGGUGGUUAUAAAAUACAUUAUAUUUAAUCCUUUUAAAAUUCUCUGUAUGGGAUCUUUUCAAAAAAGGGGUUUGAAAAUGUAUCUAUUUAAAAAUGACAAACUUCAAAAUCGGAAUGGAGACCGUGUGGGAUUAGAGUUUUAAAAUUAUAAAUAAACUUCAUUUCUUCCUUACCCAAUUUUCUGAUUGUAGUUUCCUCCCCUCCAAUGCCUUUUUUUUUCUAAAUUCUUUUUUUUGAGAGUUAGUUUUGUUGGGGUAAGGGUACAGAAAAAAACAAAGGGAUAAGGUAAGUGGUACAGAUUACGUUGAGUGUACAGUUUCAGUUUAUAAUAAUCAGAUAUUCAGAGCAGGUAUAUAGUUUUUGUGACAGACCCAUCUGUAUGAACUAGAAAGUUACUACCUCGGGAAGUGAGUUAUGCGGCAGUGGAGAAGGAGUGUUUAGCCCUGGUCUGGGCACUGAAGAAGUUGAGCCCUUAUUUGUACGGGCAGGAGUUUUCCCUUAUAACAGACCACAACCCCCUUGUCUGGCUUAACCGGGUCUCAGGAGACAAUGGCAGACUGCUGAGGUGGAGUUUGGCACUGCAGCCUUACAACUUCACCAUCAGCUACCGACCCGGUAAGCAGAAUGGGAAUGCGGAUGGGUUAUCCCGGCAAACAGACGUCCCUACUUCUUCCUAGUCCGGUCAUCCCCAAGUUGACCCGCCAAAGGGGGGAGCCGUGUGACAGACCCAUCCGUAUGAACUAGAAUUGCUGUGUUCGUCUGUUUUGCUGCUUGUAUGAAUUUCCCCAUUCGUAUGCCUUGUUUAAGGGAAUGUAAUUUUUUUGUCGAACGGAACUACCGAACGGACGGCCACACAGAAGAGAAGUGUGCUGCUGGUUAACCUAUUGAUCCCAAUUAGAACGUUGUGGUUAACCACAGACACUUCUCAAUUAAAACCGAAUACAGGGUGGUCGUCAUUCAUAUGUCGACCACGAGGCGGCAGCCAUUUUAACUAUGCGAAAGCCCAGCGGUGUUCAACGAUUAUUUUAUGGAACUAAAAACGGACACGUUUUCAACCGAACACCACUGAAGCCGUCGACCUCCCCUUCUCAAUCAACAAAAGUAUGCGAAUACCGGCCGUUCAAGAGGUUUAAAGGCACGAAUGGACUUACCCCAGAUAGCCUUCCCAUGGAGUCAAUCGCAUACCGAAGAACUGUAAUAGACUUUGACUCCAUGGCGAUUGAACUAUGCUUAUGGGCAGGGCCGGUGCUAGGAUUUUUGACUACACAGGCGAAGAUGCAUUUUGACGCCCCCCCCCCAAAAAAAUAAACAAUGCAUCUUCACCUCUGUGUCUCGUAGCCCCCUUUUGAAUUUCUUAGUGUUGCAUAUCCACUCUCUUGAAUGUCUUACCCAUUUGGCCCCUUUGUGCCUUACACCCCCCUUUAGUGUCUCCUACAACCCCUCUUAUGUAUUUCUUACUUCCCCGCCAGCCCCUAUCUAUCUCUCUUUUUCUCCCACAUAGACAUAGAUACAUGCACAAAUACACAAACAUACAGACACACAACCAUACAAGCACACAGACAUAGUUUUUCAGACACACAGUCAUAAAAGGCACACAAACAAACACAGUCAUACAAUCUACACAUACAGGUACAUUGUCGUACAAACACAGACAUACAUUCAUACAGACACAGGCAUUCACAGAAAUACAGACACAGACAUAAAGAAACAUAGAGAUAGGCAUACAAAGACAUACAUACACAGACAAACAAAGAAACCUGCACACUGAUACCGUGUAAAUGCUCCGGCCAUCAACAGUGGUGGAUGCUCCGUGUCAGGCGGACAUCGCUGGAUCCACCAGUAAAGUCUUCAAAAGGAAUAAACGCAGGCAACACUCCAGUAGUAAGGAUGGUAUAUUUAUUGGUAGGUGAACCACCCCAUAGGAAGUGUGAUGUUUCAGCUCAUGCAAUAAGGCUCUGCUGAGCCGAAACGACGCACUUUCUUUGGGGUGGUUCACCUAUCAAUAAAUAUACCAUCCUUACUAUUGGAGUGCUGCCUGCGUUUAUUCCUUUUGAAUACAUUCACACAGUCAUACUGUAUGUCUCUAUAUGACGGUCUGUGUAUGUACACAGGAUGGCUAAAAGAUAGAUCCCCAUCUGUCGUGCAACUUCAACAAUGCUUUGCAAGCUGGGGCUCUACCGAUUCCCCAUGCUUGCAGGAUUGUAUUUAGCAUGGAGCAGUAUUUGUGUGUUUGACUGUAAGCAUGUGUUUGUAUGGAGUAUGUUUGUAUGAUUGUAGCGGUGUGUUUGUAUGUAGUGUUUGCAUUUGAAUGGAAGCAUGCAUUUAUGUGUAGAGUUGGUUUUUGAACGCAGGUGUGUGUUUAUAUAUAAUUUUGGUGUCUGAUACAGAGGUGUGUUUGUAUGUAGUGUUGACAUUUGAAUGCAGGGGUGUGUUUGUAUGUAGUGUUGACGUUUGCAUGCAGGUGUUUAUUUGUGUGUAGUGUUGGUGUUUGAAUGCUGAGAUAUAUGCACAUAUACACAUACACUGCCACACACGCACACACUGUGAUACACAUACACAAAGAUACACACACAGACACACAAGCAGAUAUACAUAUACACAAACUGAUACACAUUCAGAUAGACAGACACACAGAUACACACAAACACUGACAGACAUACAGAUAAACACACACUGACAUACAGACAAACAUACACAAUGAUAGAGAAGAAGACACACAGACAGACACACACACCAACAGACAUUUAGAUACACACAGACACACGGACAGAGACAUAUACAUACAUACACACACACUGACAGACAUGGAUACACACACACACUGACAGACAUAGAUACACACACACACACUGACAGACAUAGAUACACACACACACACACACACACUGACAGACAUAGAUAUACACACACACACUGACAGACAUAGAUACACGCACACUGACAGACAUAGAUACACACACACACACACACACACACACUGACAUACAUAGAUACACACACACUGACAGACAUAGAUACACACACACACACAAACUGACAGACAUAGAUACACACACUGACAGACAUAGAUACACACACACACACACACACACUGACAGACAUAGAUACACACACACAGACAUACUGACCAACAGGUUCAGGAGGGUGGCUUACCUGUGAUCCAAAGUGCUGCCUGAGGUAGUUGGGAGUUGGAGGAGCUGGUCCUGCCCAGCCCCCCUCCUCUCUGCCUUCUGCUGCUCUAGUCUUCUAGACUAGCUCUGCCCCUGCUUGUAUUGAAAAUGGCGAUUUGCCUCUGCUCUGGGAGAUAAUUGAAUUACUUCUCAAUUAUCUCCCGAGCAGAGGGGAGGAAACUGUGAUGCAUGCUGGGAAUAUUGUGGGGUUGUAUGUCGAAAAUGUCCCCAUGUCCAUCUGCUAUUCCAGUCUCCCAUUUGGUCCCCUAUGGGAGCGUCCACCAAGUGGUAGACCUGCAUAAAUACGGGCAGGUAGCCCACAGUAAACUCAGUUCGUGUUUUACCCCCAAAGUGGAGCUUGGUCUCGUUAUUGGGGGGAUUUUAUUACCGGCAACUAGAGACUGCUUAUUGGAAUUAUUUACCGCUUGGAAGAUAUUGGCGUUCGGCUAAUAUCGGCAAUUCGUGUAUUUGGAGCUCGAGAAGGGCAGGAGCCGUACAGGUACCGUUCGGGAGUUUGGAGUGUUCCCUGGCUGGAGGUUCGCAUGGUUAUACUGCAUACGCUACCAGACCACAUUAUUGCGAACGGGGAACAUUCACUAAACGGCGGUUUGUACAUUUACUACUGGAGGUACCGUAACAGUUUUCUUUCCUUGGUUACUGUGACGAGACCAAUCUCGCCACAUUGCAUUGGAGGAGCCUGGUUGCCCGCCUGCUGCCUUUGGAUUAUGGACCGGCAGUUAAACGGUUAAUUUUACUGUGCAGAAAGAUUUAUUCCUUCCUUUCUGCACAGCCAUUCGGUAGAUUCUAUCUACCGAACAAACAGACUUCUAUCAGCCUCCCCAGAGCCGUGGGAAGUCGGCCGGCGCCGUUAAUUGGCCACCCAGAAGCUGGCGUGUGCCCUCCAUUUACCUCCCUGAACGAGCAUGUCCCGGCAAUUGACCACCCAGUAGCUGCGGUUAACCGCAGCUUAAUUGACUGUUACUGGGUGGUCGCAGUUACACCUAGCCGCCACACGAUGGCGAUGUUCUGGAGCUCCCCGGGCAGCCAGAGCUUUUCUGCCCGGCUUUCCUACGCCAAAUCUGGACACUGUGUCAGCUAAGCACCGCUGAGCCUCCAGCCCCUGGUUCUGAUUCGUACCAAUUUAACGAAUGUAUGUAGAUUCGGUAUUUUGUGUUGGGGGAAUGUUUUAACCCAGAUAGCUAUGCCAUGGAGCCUGUUCGUGGAAUUAAAGACUUUGGCUCCAUGGCAAUUAAACUGUAUUUGUGUGGUCUGAGUGACAUUCACCUAAUAAUGUGCACUCAGACCUGAGCUAUCUGGGGAUAUGUUACAUGUCUGUGUUUUAUGUAGUAAAUGUUACUUUAUGUAUUUUAAAGUAUAAUACUGGUUUUGUGUCCCCACAUGUGUAAUGGAGUUUUGCCUUUGUCUUGGGAGAUAAUUGAGUUACUUCUCAAUUGUCUCCCAGGGCAGAGUGGAGGAAGCCAGGAUGCAUUGUGGGAAUAUACUGUGACUGUGUGUCCUAUUUGUCUGCUUGUCUGUCCCUUGUCACAGUCUCCCAUUUGGUCCCCUAGGGGAGUGUCCACCAGGUUGGAGACCUGCAUAAAAGCCGGGCAGGUAGCCCAUAUUAAAUAGACCACUGCUUGACCCUCAACACGGAGCCUUGUCUCGUCUUUGGGGGGAUUUACUGUAUACUGUUAGAGACUGAUUGCCAGGAGUGUAAGCCGCUUGGGUGCUUUUCCUGUUCGUCUGCUAGCAGCUAUUCGUGAGGUUCCAGUUCAAGUGUUUUGAGCAUUCCCUUGUAUGCAGUUCGAGUGUUUGGAGCAUUCCCUUGUAUGCAGUUCGGGUGUUUGGUGCAUUCACUUGUAUUCAAUUUGUGAGUUUUGAUGAUUCUACAGUAGCUGUGCCUGUCUCUGAAAGGGGAUUAUCGUCUAAGCGUUUUUUUUCCCUUUUGUGCAAAACGGUCCGUUACAGUUACCUUGUAUAUUGUCCCUUCAAUCCCUUUUGACUUCUUUAAUUGUGCAAAAGAAAAGGUUCUCAGGGUUUUGGUUGUGUGUCUGUUUGAAAUGUAGGGAUACGCUGUGAGUCUCUAAGCCAUUUUUUAUAUUUCUGAUAUGUUCGGCGAUUCUAACCUUGAGAGGACGGAUGGUCCUGCCGACAUAUAACAUAUCACAUGGGCAUUUUAGAACUUAUAUGAUACCUUUUGAAUGGCAAGUAAGAUGAUCCUUGAUAGUGUGUGGUUUCUUUAUUAUAUUUCUUAUAUCUACUAUAUGUUUUUUCUUGCUUUUGUUGUUUUACAUGGGAGGCAUGUGCCAGAGCCAUAAAACACUUAAAUUUUGUAUGAAAUGGUUAAUAUGGGGGGGUGGGGGGGAGUUAUUUGGCUUUUUACUAAGAUAUUUUUAAAAAAAAUGUUGACCCUCUCUAUAUGAUCUUAGGUGUUGAAGGUAAAAUUUUAUUCAAGAUUGGAUCAUCUUUUAAUAAGUACCAGUGCUUUUUAAUGGCUUUUUGUAUGCGCCUGUUUUGUCCAUUAUAGUUGCAAAUAAAUGGUAUUUAAUUUUUGCUUUUAUCAGUUGGUUCUAUUUUUGGCUUGUAUUUUAUGAGAUUCUUCUUUGGCAUCUCUUUUAUUUCUUUCAGUUCUUUAUCUAGGGUUGUUCUGUCAUAUCCCUUUUCAAAAAAUUGCUCUUUUAAAUAAUUUGCCUGUUCUAUAUAGUCAGAAUCCAGUUUGCAGUUUCGUCGGAUCCUUAGAAAUUGGCUUCUGGGAUCAUUAUUGAGCCAUGGUCCAUAGUGACAGCUUGUUUUUUCAAUAUAGCUGUUUGCGUAGACGGAUUUAAAAUAAUUUUAUUAAAUAUCAUUGAAUCUUGUAUACUAAUGCUUAAAUCCAAGAAAUUGAUCUUGGUCUCACUAUUUUGGCUGAUUAAGUUUAUUCCCCAAUCAUUUGUAUUUAAAUAUUUGAUAAAAUCAUGAAGUGUUUCUACUGUGCCGGUCCAUAUAAAAAAAAAAAAUAUCAUCUAUGAAUCGACAGUAGGACACAAAGUUCGCCACCCAUUCAUGGCCUUGUUGUACGAAUAUUUCUUCCCAAAAUGCCAUGAACAGGUUGGCAUAACUCGGGAGAACUUGGUGCCCAUUGUCGUGCUGCAGAUUUGUAAAUUAAAAUGUUUCUACGAACUCAAAAAAAUCAUUGGUUAAAAUAAGUGAUAUUCCCUACCGGAAAAAAUCAAUUUGUUCUGUUUUAAAAUCGGAGCUUUCUAAAAAAUGUUUUAUUGCUGCCAAGCCCUUAUCAUGUGGGAUAAUACUAUAAAGGGAAGUAACGUUGUUUGUGACCAUAAUGUACCCAUUUUAUAUGUCCUAAAAUUUGAAGGACCUGCAUGGUGUCUUUGAGAUAGGUGGGAUUUUUUGUGACUAUUGGUUGUAGUAGGGUGUGUAUAUAUAUAUAUAUAUAUAUAUAUAUAUAGUUAAUACAAUGCUAAACAAAAAUCUGCACACCAGUCAAGCCAUAAGACUUGCUUUUCCCACAGAAAUCCCAAAUCAGCAGUGAUGUUACAACCGCAAAGGAUUCUGGGUGGGCAUAUGCAAAUUAGUUUAACAAAGAAUCACAUUUUUGCCUCAUUCCAUUUUAAACAUGGAUUCCUUUUAAUUUGUGUUUGCAGUAUACAACUGCUUGGAACACAAUUUAGGAUAAGAUGCAAAACCAGUGAACCACUCAUGGACAGCUGUUUUGUUGUUAAUGCAACUCUUCAGCAUGAGGUUGGUUACUGGUUUGCUAGUUGAGGCUUGGUAGUGCUUGGGAAGCAAAAUCUAAUUAGUUUAUGGUGGGGAAAAAUUGUGAUUGAAAACCCCUUCCACCUGAAUUAUGUGGAUAGUUAAUACAAUGCUAAACAAAAAUCUGCACACCAGUCAAGCCAUAAGACUUGCUUUUCCCACAGAAAUCCCAAAUCAGCAGUGAUGUUACAACCGCAAAGGAUUCUGGGUGGGCAUAUGCAAAUUAGUUUAACAAAGAAUCCCAUUUUUGCCUCAUUCCAUUUUAAACAUGGAUUCCUUUUAAUUUGUGUUUGCAGUAUACAACUGCUUGGAACACAAUUUAGGAUAAGAUGCAAAACCAGUGAACCACUCAUGGACAGCUGUUUCGUUGUUAAUGCAACUCUUCAGCAUGAGGUUGGUUACUGGUUUGCUAGUUGAGGCUUGGUAGUGCUUGGGAAGCAAAAUCUAAUUAGGUUAUGGUGGGGAAAAAUUGCAUAUAUAUAUAUGCGGAAAUUCUUGUGGAAAUUGAAUUGAUUCCCGGUGGAUUUGCUGUGUUUUUGUAAACUUUUGGUAAAUGGUAAAACAUAGGUAUUUUUGGGUUCUCUACAAACAAGUAUGCCACUUCUUUAUCAUUUAGGAUCUCCAAUGUCUUUCCUUUUUCUACAUGUUCAUUAAAAACUGAAAUAAUGGUUUUUCAUGGGGUUCUUAGUCAGCUUUUGGUAGGUGGAGGAUUCUGAGAGUAUUCGUUCUCCUUUUAUGUAUUGUUCUUUACUAAAAAUAACUAUCCCCUCCCCCCCUUUGUCUGCUGGUUAAUGUUAAAAUUUUGGUCACUCUUUAUAUGGUUAAGGGCUUUCCUCUCUCUUAACGUUAGAUUGUGUUGAUAUUUAUUAAUUCUUUUAAUCUUUUCAACCUCUUUUAUGACCAUAGUCUCGAAUGUUUUUAUUUCACUCGAGACUAAAUGUCUAGGGUAGAACUGUGAUUUUUCUUUUAAAUUAGUAUGUUGAAAUUCAUCCUCUUCUUUCUCUGGUUUAUGUUUUUUACUGUAAAAUAAUUUUUAGGGAUAAUUUUCUUAUGAAGUGGUUCAUAUACACAAAGAAAUCGAAAGAAUCAAAGUCGUCAGUGGGAGCAAACUUUAAGCCCUUCGUGAGGAUUUUAAUCUGUUCAUUAUUGAGGGGUUUAUUAGUUAAGUUAAAAAUUCCCGCUAUAACGAGGUUUUCCUUCUCUUUUCCCUGUGUUUCUUUCCUAUUUCUUUUAUGUCUUCUUCGUCCAAUGAUCUUUGUUUCUUCCCUGGUGUUUCCCUGGAGUAAGUGUUGUUCGUCCACUUUCUUCAGUUUUGAAUAAGAUCCUUCCGAAAAAAAGAAGAGGGUGGGGGUAUUUUAUGUGGUUUCUGAUCUCUUUGGGGAAGGGUGCUGUUUGAUUUUAUGUUUCUCUUUUUCUGUUUUUCUCUUUUUGGCAUUUUCCUUCACAACAUCGCUAUAUUUCCUAGGUGUGCGGUGUUCCAUACAGGAUAUUUGCUUAGGUUCAUGAGAUAAUGGAUGAUGUGUUGUAUUGGUGGGUUGGGUUGGGUAAGAUUUCGAGUAGGUUUUCUCUUUCUUUGUUUCCCUUUCUUUAAACCUCUCUGAGUUGGGCCUAUAGGAUACUUUUCUAUUUCUUUCCCAUUUUGUUUCGAAUCUCUCUAGUUUAUAUAUUUUUAUUGGGGAGUGUUGGUUACAUAGUUACAUAGCUGAAAAGAGACUUGCGUCCAUCAAGUUCAGCCUUCCUUACAUUUGUUUUUUGCUGUGAUCCAAAAGAAGGCAAAAAAAACCAAACAGUUUGAAGCACAGUUUUGCAACAAGCUAGGAAAAUCCUUGGAUCAAGCAGUUAUUACCCUACAUUGAAAGAUUAUAUCCUUGAAUAUUCUGUUUUUGCAAGUAUGCAUCAUUGGUAAUUAGUUCUCUGUUGAUGCUGUUUUCUUUUAAAAUGAGAGUUUCAAUAUUUAUUUAAAUUUUUUAUUGGUUUUUCUUAUAUUUCCUGUCUGGUAAUCUGUGGUAUUCAGCAGUCUAUGUUUGUGUAUUCAGCAGUCUUUGUGUGUACUCAGCAGUCUGUGUGUAUGUAUAUAAUUUGUUGGAGGUACCAAUAAAUAUAAGCUUUCCCCGGGGGCCUAUAAUGCUGUUAUGAUGGCCCUGGUCUAGGGUAUGUUUGAGCUCUGAUCAUGCUCCUACAAAAUGUAAAUGAAAAUACACUCAUUUGAUCAUUUUGAGUACCAGGUAGGGGGUGAGCUGUAUCAGUCACUUCUGGCCAUGAAUUGGUAAAAAAAACUUCUCGAGUGUAUUUAUCAGUUGUUUUAUUUUAUUUUAUUGUUUUAGCGAUUUUUGUAUUGCUAGUCGGUGUCCUGUUUUUUUUAUUUUCAAAAUCUGGGCACCCUGUACACAGAGGCAUAGAGAGUCAACAGAAGGCAAAAUCAAAGCAAUUGAACUUUCACAGAGGUGAAUGGUGAAACUAGUUCUAAUAUUGAAGGAAGUAAUCAUAUGGCAAUAGAUAACAAGUUACCAGUGCUGUGUGUAUCUCUACUUGUACACCCUUGUUAUAAGGUAGAUGGAAAACUAUUAUAACCCAAAAGGAGAGUAUAAAUAGGGACAGCUAGCCAAUACCUUGGCUGUUCUAAGAAAAACAGCGUACUACCAGCACAGGACAGGGAAUGAAUACCUGCAAAAGAGCAUAAUAUCUUAGUUGCUGUGCACAGCCAACAACUUACCAAUACCAAAGAACCAACCCACUUACAGAACAGCUAUCCAACUGACACUAAUAAUAUAUUAUAUAUUAUCUACAAAAUCAAAUGUGCAUAGUGCGAGGUGAAAGUGAGAAAAAGGAAAGAAAAGCAAGUGAGCCCGAUGGCUGCACCUUCAUUGGGGGCCAAAACAAUCAGGGCCAAAAAUCAUGAUCAAUGGAAAAAAAGAUGAUUACUGGUUAAAGUGGCUCUGUCAUCAGAACUUUCUUCUAUUGUUUACUGCACUAGUCGUCUCUCAGAAUGUGUUAAUUUCUGAUCUAUUUGUUUUUCUGAUCUAUUAAGGCAAGCUACACUUCCUUUGUCAAGCUAACAAAGGGAGAAGCUUGCCUUAAGCUCCACACCAUGCCAGGAUUGUCAAGUGCAGGAAAAUACAUAAAACAAAAAUGUUCCCUACUUGUCUUAUAGAUCACUAAUUAAAAACAGAUCACAUUUUGAAAUUGGAUGAAAAAGAGAAAACAAUAGGAGAAAGGUAAGUUUGAGUUGGCAGAGCCACUUUAAGGGACAGCCACUAAAUGUUGAUUUUAUUCACAGACCAAGUAAGGAGUGACUAAUAGAAGGAAAAAAUAGUUUGACAUAAUAUGUACUUUAUAAAACCAUGAUAAUUCCUAUGACAAGGUUUAUGAUGGAUUGUUAUUAUUAAGUGUUCUUGCAUGGCAAGACCACUUACUAUUAUCUCACAUAUAUAUUAUUAAUAGAGUUGAGCGGACACCUGGAUGUUCAGGUUCGCCGAGUUCGGAUGAACUUCGUAAAAAAGUUCGAGUUCGGGCUCGAACUUAACCCUAACUUGACCCUGAACCCGAACCCCAUUGAAGUCAAUGGGGACCCAAACUUUUGGGCCCUAAAAUGCCUCUAAAAAAGUCCUGGAAAGGGCUAGAGGGCUGCAAAAGGAAGUAAAAUGGGGGUAAGAGUAGAACAAGUGCCCUGCAAACAAAUGUGGAUAGGGAAAUCACGUAAAAUAACAUAAAAUGCAUAAAAAUAAAAAAUACAGAUGAGCCAUAAAAUAGCACUAGAUGGAAUCUUUGAUUUUAGCUUUGGAAGAACAUAAAUCAAAAUCUAAAGCAUGGCUGUCAGGAGGAUCACCAGAAUUAUCCAUUUGAGAGAGGGUUGGAGUGCAGGGUAUUCUUUUUCAUUGUUCAAACUGAGCUCAACUCCUGGUGCAUGGGGAAAAGGCCUUCACAAGGCCUUCACAAGCCUCUGCUAUUGUGUACAUAGUUUAUACUAAGUGACCCAUACGUUAAGGAGGCGGUGUAGGUGGAAGUGGCGGAGGAGGAGGAGGUAGCCAACACUGUUUUUUCUUUGUUUUUUUUGUUUUUUUUAAUUGGGGUAGCCCCCAAAAUAUUGCGACAUAUAAAAAAAGAAAACAAAGAAUAAGUGCACUUGAGUAUAACAAGGGCUGGGUAAGGCCGGUAUAAAUGUCUAUUCUGCACAAGGUACAGACAAGUCUGGUGGGAUCUAUGCCUGGUUCAUUUUAAUAAACGUGAGCUUGUCCAUAUUGGCUGUGGACAGGCGACUGCUCUUGUCUCUGAUAAUGCACCCUGCCGUGCUAAACACACGUUCAGACAAUACACUGGCUGCAGGGCAGGCCAGCAUCUCCAAGGCAUAUAGGGCAAGCUCGUUGUUGUGGCGUGCUGACAAAGCUUUUCCACAUUUUGGCCAUGCUAACCCUGCCUUCUGAGGUGCUGGCGGUGCCCCAGCUGCGUUAGCGACCUCUUCCUCCUCAUCUGCCUUCGCCUUGUGCUUCCACUGAGCCCCUGGUGUCAGUUGGGAAUGCCCUCAGCAGCACGUCUACCAGCGUGCACUUGUAGUCGCGCAUCUUCUGCUCACGCUCCAGUGAGGGAAUUAAGGACGGCACUUUGUCCUUGUAACGGGGAUCCAGCAGGGUGGUCACCCAGUAAUCAGCACAAGUUAGAAUGUGGGCAACUCGGCAGUCAUUGCGCAGGCACUGCAGCAUGUAGUAGCUCAUGUGUGCCAGGCUGCCCAGAGGCAAGGACAAGCUGUCCUCUGUGGGAGGUGUAUCAUCUGUGUCCUCUGUAUCCCCCCAGCCACGCUCCAGUGAUGCCCACGAGCUGCCUUGGGUGCCACCUUGCUGUGAACACGGUUCCUCCACCUCAUCCUCAUCAUCCUCCUCCUCAUUCUCCAGAACUGUACCCUGGCUGGACAAUUGUGUACCUGGCCUAUGCUGGUGCAGGAACCCUCCAAGCCACUUGUGAAUGACUGGCCUGACAACCGUGGAAAUUACCCCUUUUCCUCCUCCUCUUCCUCCUGUGCCACAUCCUCUUCCAUCAUCGCUCAAAGUGUUUUUUUUAAGGAGACAUAGAAGCGGAAUAGUAAGGCUGAGAACAACCUCAUCGCCACCAGCACUGGCCAUGUUGGUGGAGUACUCGAAACAGUGCAAAAUGGAACACAGGUCUCACAUGGAGGCCCACUCAUUGGUGGUGAAGUGGUGCUAUUCCGCAGAGCAACUGACCCGUGUGUGCUGCAUCUGAAACUACACUAUCUCUCCAGCAUGUGCAAGGUGGAGUUCCACCUUGUGGGCACGUCGCAUAUGAGGUGGUGAGCGGGAAGGAUGAAGUUACGCUGCAGCGCAGGCAGGCGAGCAGCAGCAGGGUGAGAACGAAAGCGCGCACAGACGGCCCACACUUUCUGCAGCAGCUCUGAUAUAUCAGGGUAGUUUUUCAGGAAUUUCUGCACCACCAAAUUCCGCACAUGCGCCAGGCAAGUGAUGUGUGGCAAACCGGCCAGGCCCAGAGCUGCUACGAGAUUUCACCCAUUAUCGCACACCACCAGGCCAGGCUUGAUGCUCAGUGGCAACAACCACUCAUCGGUCUGUUGUUCCAUGCCUGUCCACAGCUCUUGCGCGGUGUGGGGUUUUUCCCCCAAACAUAUAAGUUUUAAAACAGCCUGCUGUCGUUUCCCCCUGGCUGUUCAGAAGUUGGUGGUGAAGGUGUUACACUGCCUGGAUGAGGUGGUGGGAGAGGAGGAGGAAGCGGAGUAGGAGGAGGAGGCAACAGGAGGCAAAGAGAAAUGCCCUGCAAUCCUCGGUGGAGGAAGGACAUGCGCCAAACUGCUAUCCGCCUCAGGCCCAGCUGCCACUACAUUUGCCCAGUGUGCAGUUAGGGAGAUAUAGAGUCCCUGUAGUAUAAAAGGUAUGGGAAAAACAGUAAUAAGUGGUGCUGCUAUCACUUAAGUGUGUAUCACUCAACCACACAAAAUCAGGUGCAUAAAAAAUAGUAAAAUAGUGAGAGCACACUGUACAUGCAAUAAAUUAUAUUACCAGUACUUCACAAGGUAAAUAGCUGAAACAUAAAAAAGGAGAGAGAAAAGCACAUAGGGUAAUAUUGUAUACACUUUGUAUAUUAACCGUAUAUAAUUGGUUGCACUCACGUAGUUCUGAGUCACUUUAAAAGCUGACUCAGACUAAGGGCUUAAAUCGGAGAAGAAAUCCUUAAUACUGGACCACUUGUGUUGAAAUAUAUGUUGAGAUAAAGUUAUCUCUGGCAAUCUCUAGAUGUGUAGUAGAAAUUACUCCAGGAUACCCAAUCUCGAUCAAUCUUUUAAGACUUUUAUUCCAUAUUUAAAAAAAACAAUUAAAAUCAAUCACAAGUAUACUACAGUCCAUAAAAUUACCACGACGCGUUUCGGCAAAAGCCUUUUUCAAGUGGUAUUACAUGUUCAUCUCCGAGUUGCCCUUUUAUAUCGUAUAGCGUUGGCGCUCUUUCCCGCGCUCACCGGCCAUCUUCAUUUCCGUUUUCGUCAUUUACCAUCGACGGACGUGUCCCGCACGUCUUGAUGUCAUCUCCCCGUCCUAUACCGGAAGUACUCUCGCGGCCAUCUUUACUACUCCAAUUAUUUAUGUUUGCCAGUUCUCUCUGGCACAAUCACAACAUUUAAAACGUCCUUUAUACAGAGUCCUUCAUCCUAACAGGUUAUCACUCUUACUACAGGAACAAAAUAAGAAACCUUAAUAUAUAUUUAACAGGAGGAAAUAGCAAUUCUCAAUACAUAAUAUAUCUUAAAACCUAUAUGCAUAAAACAAUAAAAUCUGUAAUAGAUACACUCAUUAAAAAUGUUUAAAUUCAAAAAAUAUAUAUAUAACUCUUUUAGAUAGAACACAAUUAUAAAAGAGGGGAGAGAAAAAAAGAGUUUAUAUUAAAAAACUUUAAAAUAACUUUAAAAUAAUCUCUAUUAAUUAUAAGUAUGUAUUAACUUCAAAAUCUAUAUUUAAACCAUAUGGAGAUAAAGUCUCCAUAUUAAAAAUCCAUUUCAUUUCAGUUUUGUUAAGGAGGUUUUCCAUAUUGCCUCCCCUCCAAUGGAUUUUAACAGUUUCUAUCCCCAUGAACUCAAAUCCUUGUGUAUUCCCUCCAUGGAUUUCUAAAAAAUGUUUUGAUACAUUAUGCAAAGUAUAUUUCCUAUUAAUAUUAUAAAUAUGCUCUCUAAUACGUAUCUUAAGUUGUCUUGAAGUCCUUCCAAUAUAUUGAUAUCCACAAGGGCAAGUAAUCAUAUAGAUAAUAUUCUUAGUAUUACAAGUUAUAAAAGAUUUUAUAUCAUAUAUUUUUUUGUUAUAAAAAGAGUGAAAUUGUUUGACAUUUUUAUUUUUGUGAUUUCUUGUCAUACAACCUUUACAAGUCCCACAAUAAUAAAAGCCAUUUUCUCUUUUAAACAUAGUUAAAGAUUGUGAACUCUUAUCUUUUUCUAAAAAACUUAAAACCUGUUUAAAACUUUUUGCUCCCCUAAAAAUGACUCUAGGUUUGGCUCCUAAAUACUUUUGAAUUUCCUGGUCUUGUUCUAAAAUAGGCCAAUUUUUCUUAAUUAUUUUUUGUAGUUGUUUACUAUUUGAGCUAUAAUUAAAAAUAAUAGGUAUAGUUGUAUCGUCUUCUUUUAUUUCUUUUUCUUUGUAUUUUAGAAUAUUUUCUCUAGUUUGCUGUCCUACUUCUUCUUUUAUUACUUCUAAAGUAUUUUGGUUAUAACCUUUUUCUACUAGUUGGUUUAUUAAAAUCUGUGUCUGUUCCUCAUAUUGUUGAAUAUCUGUGCAAUUACGUUUUAUUCUUAAAAAUUGUCCUUUAGGUAUAUUAAUUAACCAAGGUUUAAAAUGACAACUUUUUAAAUUAAUAAAGCUAUUUACAUCGACUAGUUUAAAAAAAGUUUUACUCUUAAUUUGAUUAUCUUCUAUAUAAAUACUAAGAUCCAAAAAAUUAACAUUUUGAGUACUCAUUUCAUAUACUAGGUUAAUGUUCCAACUGUUUUGAUUAAGAUCAUUUAAAAAACUAGACAAAGAAUCUUGGGUACCUCUCCAUAUCAUAAAAAUGUCAUCAAUAUAACGUCUAUAGAGGACCAGACUUGCCCCUACUUCUGGCUUAGAAAAAACUUCCAGUUCCUCCCAAAAUGCCAUGAAAAGGUUCGCAUAGCUUGGGGCAAAUCUGGUCCCCAUAGCUGUUCCCUUGGUCUGUAAAUAAAAAUCAUUCUCAAACCAAAAGAAAUUGUUAAAAAUAAUCAUUUGUAUACCCUCUAUAAUAAAAUCUAUCUGUCGAGGGUCCAAGUCAUUCUCUUUAUUUAAAAAAUGUCUCGCUGCUUCACAUCCUUUCUCAUGAUCUAUAAUAGUAUAUAAGCUGCUGACAUCGCAGGUAACCAAAAAUAAUCCUUCUUCCCAUUUAAAAUUAUUUAAAAUUUGUAAAAGUGACAUAGUGUCUUUUAAAUACGAAGGACAUUUUUUAACAGGAUUUUGAAGAAAUUGAUCUAGAAACUGGGAUAAAGGAGAUAAAAGGGAACCAAUUCCUGAGACUAUUGGUCUACCUGGGGGAUUAUGUAUGUCUUUGUGUACUUUGGGUAAGACAUAUAAUACAGGGAUCUUAGGAAAUUUUACAUCAAGAAAAUCAUAUUCCUUUUUGUUUAAUAUCUCCAUUUCCAAUCCUUGUACUAAAUAUUUAUUUAAUUUCUUUUUUAUAUCUUCCAUUGGAUUUUUAGGUAGUAGUGAGUAAGUUUCUUGAUCUUUUAAUUGAUCAAAAAUUACUUUCAAAUAUUUUUCUCUUUGCCAUAUCACUACAUCCCCCCCCCCCUUAUCUGCUGGUUUAAUGACAAUAGAGGAAUCUUUUUUUAAAUCCUGUAAUGCUUUUCUUUCAGAUAUAGUUAGGUUCUUUUGUUGUUCAUUUAUAGGUUUUAUUUUUCUAAGUUCUUUUGUACAAACUUUUUCAAAGAUUUUGAUGGCAUCUGAUUUAAGGUAACUUGGGAAGAAGGUAGACUUAUUUUUAAGAUUAGUAUGUUUAAAUUUUUCUUCUCUAUUUACAACUUCUUCCGAUACCUUACUAGGAAAUUUCUGGUUAAAAAACUUUUUUAAACAUAACUUACGUGUAAAUUUAUUAAUAUCUAGAAAAGUCUCAAAUUUAUCUAUUUCACAACUGGGAGCAAAUUUAAAACCUUUAUUUAAAACAUUUUUAUGUGACUCAUUUAAAACUUUAUUAGAGAGAUUAAAGAUUCUUAUGUCCGUUGAAAUCUUUUUGCUAUUUCCUCCCUUCUCCUUUUGUCUUCCUUUUUGUUUUCUAUUUCCUCUUCUUGUCUCCCUCUUUUGAUAGGAGUCUGAGUCCUUCCUCUUAUUCUGCUCAUUGACUGUCCUAAAAAAAGAUCUUCUUCAUUUAAGUGCUGUAAAUGACUAAAUCUAUUUGAAGUAGGUAAUUCUUGAAUUUUAGGAGGAGAGGAAUAUCUGUAAUUUCUAUUAUAAGUUGUUCUAUUAUAAUUAUUUCUAUCUUGAUUAUUCCCUUUAAAGGAAUUUUUUCUCUCCUUUAUUUUCACUUGAGUCCAUUCUUCCCUUUUAUCGUACCCCCUUUUUUGUGGUAGUUGAUUAUAUACAGUAGAUCUUUCUCCAUAAGUUCUAAAAUUAUUUGGAGAUGAUCUAAUUUCUUGUCUUCUAAAAUUCCCUUUGCUAUAAUCCUUUUUCACAUAUUUAGAAUUAUCAUUUUUCUUCUGUGGUUUUAUUUGACCAUUUAGAUAAUCUUCCUGAUCUCUUUUCAGUUUCUUUUUCUUAGUCUCAAUUACUUUUUUCUCAAUAUUUUUUAUUUUUUCGAUUAUUUUAUCCAUCAUAUUUCUAAAUUCCUCCGUUUCUACGAAGGGUUCUAACUCCUUUUGUAUAUCAUUUAUCUCUUCAUUCAUCUGAUAUAGACUAAGGGUACGUUGUUCAAUAAUAAAACCCAUCAUAUGUCUAGCGAAUGAUUCCAAAGCUCCAUCCCAAGCUUUAUUGAAUCUUUCGCUUUCAUUUUCAGAGGUAGGAGAUUUAUGAAAUCUUAGGCCUCUAGGGGCUAUUUGUAAUUCUACAUAUUUUUCCAGUGUAAAAAUCUCCCAUUUAUAUUUCAUUUCUUUAAUCAAUAAUCGUUCCAGAUUAGAACAUAUUGUUCCUAAAUUUUCAUUAAUCUUAAUUGAUCUAUUCUCUAAUUGAUCAUUCAUUAAGUCAAAUCUUUGAUUCAUGUCUCCCUGCCAACUUUUACGUAAGUUAGAGAUUGACAUAAUAAUGCUUUACAGUAAAUCCCAAAUGAGUGAUACAAAACACAAUGUAGUAUAAAAGGUAUGGGAAAAACAGUAAUAAGUGGUGCUGCUAUCACUUAAGUGUGUAUCACUCAACCACACAAAAUCAGGUGCAUAAAAAAUAGUAAAAUAGUGAGAGCACACUGUACAUGCAAUAAAUUAUAUUACCAGUACUUCACAAGGUAAAUAGAUAUAGAGUCCCUGCCCGUGCUUACUGGUCCACGUAUCUGUGGUUAUGUUGACCUUGCCACAGAUGGCGUUGCGCAGUACACACCUGAUUUUGUCCGCCAAUUGGUUGUGCAGGGAAGGGAUGGCUCACCUGGAAAAGUAGUGGCGGCUGGGAACCACGUACUGUGGGACAGCCACUGCCAUCAGGUUUUUAAAACUGUCCAUCUCCACCAGACAGAAUGACAGCAUUUCAAAGGCCAGGAAUUUUGAAAUACUGGCAUUCAGGGACAGGGAACACGGGUGGCUAGGGGGGUACUUCCUCUUUCUCUCCAGUGUUUGGGAGAUGGACAGCUGAACGCAUUGAAGGGACAGUGUGGAGAUGCUUGGGGACAGUGGUGGAUGUGAUGGCAUUGCUGCCAUAUCCUCUGUUUGCGGGUCAGGUGCCACUCUGACUCCAGAGGUGGAGGAAGAGGCCAAGACAGCAUCAGAAGUGGAAGCAGGAGGAGCCUGAGACCGUUCUUGGUUUUUGAGGUGCUUACUCCACUGCAUGCUUUGCAUGUAGAUGCCUGGUCAUGCAGGUUGUGCUCAGGUUAAGCACGUUUAUGCCUUGCUUCAGGGUCUGAUUGCACAGUGUGCAAACCACUUGUGUCUUGUCGUCAACACAUUGUCUGAAGAACUGCCACGCCAGGAAACUCCUUGGAGCUGGCUUUGGUGUGCUCGGUCCCUGGGUGCGGUGGGCAGUAGCAGGCGUACCGUCUAGGGGAUGGCCACUCCGCUUUUGCACCCUGCUCCCUCUUAUGCUAUGCUGGUGCUUCUGUGCAACCACCGCCUCUUCCUCCAAACUGCACACGUCACUCGCAUGACCUUCAUUCCAUGUGGGGUCUAGGACCUCAUCAUCCUCCACAUCAUCUUCCACCCACUCCUCAACCCUGCCCUCCUUGCCGGUCUGUACGCUGCAGAAAGCCACAGUAGUUGGCACCUGUGUUUCGUCAUCAUCAGAGACUUGCUGCGGUGGUCCUUGCAUGUCCACAUCCUUACACAUAAGUGGUUGUGCAUCAGUGAACUCUAUCUCUUCCACUUCUGGGGCAGGGCUAGGUGGACGGCCCAUGGAAACCCAGCCAGCAGAGUCAACAAAAAGCAAAAGAAACUGUUGCAUGACUUGUGGGUCAGACUGCUUGGCUGACUUGCAAGGGGGUGAGGUGAAAGACAGAUGGCCAUGCGCUGCAGGUGCCAAUUCUGACCUUUCAGCAGGGGACCGGGUGGGAGACAAUGUGAAGGAACUGGAGGCACUGUCAGCCAUCCAAUCUACUAUUGCCUGUACUUGUUCUGGCCUCACCAUUCGUAGAGCGGCAUUCGGGCCUACCAAAUAAUGCUGAAGGUUCUUUUGCGUACUCGCACCUGAGGUAGGUGUUUCACUUGUGCGUGUAGCUUGCACAGAUCAACCACGUCCUGUCCUUGCAACAGGAGCUCCACCAACACCAGCAGCACCAUGACCAGGGCCAUGUCCAUUAUUUGACACUCUCCUCAUUCUUUGCGUUCACCCACCAAACUAACAGAUGGUUUAUGUCAGGCGAAAAUGUAACCGCCAAUAGUCAUCAAUUUUUUAGUUUCUUGAACUGCAAGAAAUGCACCGCAGGCUGCAAAUGUACUAUUUAGCACCCAAAAAAUUAGAAUUGUUGAAAGUGCGCUGUAAGCACAGUAUUUGAUGGUUCUAUUUGACUCUCAGAUAUGACGUGUACGCCCCAAAUUUACUUUUUAGCACCUAAAGAAUUUGAAUGUUUAAAAAUGUGCUAUAACCACAGCAUUUGACGGCUCUAUUUGACUCUCAGAUAUGAAGUGCAGGCCACAAAUUUACUAUUUAGCACCUAAAGAAUUUGAAUUUUUAAAACUGCUAUCUCACAUCAGUAUUUGACGGUUCUAUUUGACUCUCAGAUAUGAAGUGCACCGCAAGCCGCAAAUGUACUAUUUAGCAGCCAAAAAAUUAGAAUUUUUAAAAAUGCAAUGUAAGCGCAGUAUUUGACAGUUCUAUUUGACUCUCACAUAUGAAGUGCACACCCCAAAUUUACUUUUUAACACCUAAAGAAUUCUAAAUUUUAAAACUGCAAUGUAAGCACAGUAUUUGACGGUUCUAUUUGACUCUCAGAUAUGAAGUGCAGGCACCAAAUGUACUAUUAAGCACCCAAACAAUUUGAAUUUUUAAAAAUGCGCCGUAAGCACAGUAUUUGACGGUUCUAUUUGACUCUCAGAUAUGAAGCGCACCGCAGACUGCAAGUGUAGUAUUUAGAACCAAAAAGUUAGAUUUUUUUUUAAAACCACCAAUGUAACAGUAGUAUUUAAGGGUUUUAUUGGACUGCAAGAAAUGCAGUACGCAAAUGUACUAUUUAGCACCAAAAAAAAAAUUGCAGUAUUUAAAAAUGCCUAGAAAUUGCCCACUGAGCUACCAGAACAGGAUUAAAGUAAUGUGCCUGGCACACAUGCAGUUGCAAGUGCACUGCACUCUCUGUGGCACUGCGCUCAGGGCAGUGUUCAAAAAUGUCAUAUUGCAGAACCCAGAAAAAUAAUCACUGUAGUUUGAAUAAUUGCUGUAGUUUGCAGAUUUUUUCCUAAUCUGUCCCUAACAGCUGCAGCAUCCUCUCCCUACACUAAUAACAGCUCAUGUGCGUGAGGCGCUACGCAACUCCAGCUUAUAUAUAGAGGCUGGGUCACAUGCUGCACUGGCCAGUCACAGCCAUGCUAUUAGUAGGCAUGACUGUGAUGGCUUCUAAGGGCACACGAGUCAAACGCUUGUUGAUUGGCUGCCCUGCAGCCUUUCAAAAUGCGUCAUUAAAUCACCGAACACCGAACUCCAACCCAAACAUACACUGAUAUGUCUGUGUUCGGGUCUGGGGUUCAAAAAACUUAAUGUUCGGUACGAACCCGAAAUUUACAGUCCGGGUUUGCUCAACUCUAAUUAUUAAGUGUUCUUGCAUGGGAAGACCACUUACUAUUAUCUCACAUAUAUAUUAUUAUUAUAGCCAAAUUUACCACCCUAACUCCUCCCACAGUUUUUACACUACAUAGACAGUAAUAUACCGAAACGUGCGGAUUGUUCCUGAUCGGUGUGCUAAUUACUUUGUGCAAUGUUUUGCCGAAUGGUUCACGAAAUAUCGUCGUUUUUGUGGCAAAAUUGGUCCCAUAGGAAUGAAUGACGGAAUGUUCAAAUCUAGAGUGGUAGCUGGCAAAAGCUGAAAAAUCAAGACAUGAUUUCUAAACUGUCACCACUCAUUUUUAAGCCCACCUACACAAAUCUUAUAUCAAAACGUUCAGCUAUCCCUGCUGCCACUAAAAAUGUCAACAGCUAAACCAAAGUCCUGAUAAUUUUCACAAUAUGACCAUUUGUUGCAACUCACGCCGUCCAUUGGCAUUCAUUGAAACUCCACUCUAGCCACCUCAAAUUUGAAGGGAAAUUUCUAAACUGCGACUGUGCCUUCAUUUUUAAUAUUUCAGAGACAUACUAUGCAUCAAUAUGUAGGUCUGGGUCUUGUGAUUCUCACAAUAUAAAGCUCUUCACUGUAGGAUUUAUAGUUUUUAAAACUACGACCAUUUGAAGAUGGCAACCGCCAGUGAAGUGAGCAAUUUGGAGCAGUUUUUUUUGGUUUUUUUAAAUUCUUUAUUUGUUCACUGACAGAUAUUUGCAAUAUGACAUAGUCUUUCUGUAUUUGGCUUACGCAGAAGCCGUACAUUCCAUUGUGCAUUAUUAUGCCGUAGAGGGCUUACACAGAAGCCAACUGUGCAGGUAUGAAUAUUCGUUAUCUGUCAGGUUUUUAUAUUUAAUUUUCGAGGGGUAGGGUACAGAAUGAGAAACAGGGGGUAAACAUUUAUAAUUUAGUUGUUACAGUGUAGGCUUGUGCAUCUGAUUACAUCUUUCGUUCUUAAGUUCUAUUUUAUUUAUUCUUGUUUCUAUUGUUUCUUUGUUUAUCCAGCGUGGUUAUUCUGUGGUCUAAUGGUUGGCGUGGGGUACAGGAAAAAAAAGAGGGGAAGGUGGUAGGCUGCCCUAUUGCAGCGUCUUUUCUUGUUUUUUCAGGCUGUGGGUUGUCUUGGUCGGUUUUGUGUCUGGUUUAUAGUGUGCUUUGUAGUCCUGAUUGGGUAUGGGUAGGGUGGUCGGGUUUUGGGGUUAUGUCUUUUCUCUUCAAGGUAGCUGGAUAGGAAGGGGGCCAAGGUGUGUGAAUACUCCUUUUGUAUGUCCUUUUGUCUCCCCGGAGUCUUUGCUGUGUGUUUAGAUCAUUACUUUACUAGUGUGAUAGUUGGGGUGUUAUAAGAUUAUGCUUUAUGUUGUUCUGCAUCCUGUGGUGUGGUUCUUGUUGUUCCGUUCGGGUUAAUCAGCGGGUGUCUGUUCCCAGAGUGUUCUGUAUGUUCCUUUCUAAUGUAUAUAUUGAACUGUUAUGGAUAUUAGGAUCUAGUACUUUACAGGGUGUGGAGGGGGUUACCCGUGGGGUUAAAUGUCGUUGUCAUGAGGUCUCCGUUUUUUUUGAGCGUGCUUUAGGUCUGCUGCCUGUAUAUAUUUAAUCUGGAUUCAUCUUUUUGGUGGGCUGAGGGUGGGGCCGUGUUAUAACAAUUUUUGUUUCAUAUUUUACAGUAAGUAAAGUCUCUCUCAGAUGGUCUCUGACCUGUGAUGUAGUUUUUCAUCUGGACCUCAGGUUUGUUGUGAUUUUUGAUUUUGGAUGGAAGCCCAUACCUAUAUAUAUUGGUGUGGGGUGGUUUGGUUAGUCGGCUCUUUUUUACUGUUCGGGGUAUAGGUUGUGGCCGUGCGCAGUCUAUUCUGGGGCCUAUGUUCUCAUAGGAUAUGGGGUUUAGUGGCCAUGCUGCGGAUCGAUUUUUAAUUUGGGGUUUUGUUCGGGGGGGGUUGGCUCGCCUGUGGAUGUGUGGCAUUUUAGGGUAACUUUUGACAUUUAACAUUUAACAGUUCUAACAUUUUUCAAAUAAACAGAAAUUAAAUAACAUGGUAUUGGGUUAUCAUAGUGAAACCUCGUAUACACUACUGGUCUUUUAGUGUCCGUAUUCCCAGUACAUGGGGAGGAAACCGAAACUCUGUUUUUUGUGGAGAGUUCCAUGUGUCUCCUAUGCUGCUGUUCAAGUGUCCGUUUGUGUGAGCUCUUGUGAGGCGGGUGGAGGUUUUCUCUUGGGCUGCGUGCGUUGUGUGUUUGCCCGGGACUCUCUUCUUCGGUUGGUGUCUUCUGCUGUGGCUAUGUUCGCGUCCGCCGGUAGGUGCCAUACUUGUACCCCCAAGUGUGCCGCAAAAUCUUGCAUGUCUUCGAUGUGAUGGAGGGUAUAGAUUUGGACUCCUUUUCUGGUGGUCAUUUUGAAGGGGUGUCCCCAUGUGUAGCGCCAACCGGGGUCAGGGACCAGGUCUUGGUAGAAAUGCAGUUGUUGCCCUUGGUAUGUGGGCGGGUGAUCUCUUGCCACUUUCAUAAGUUGUUCCUUUAUUGGGAAGUGUAAGAUUUUGACAAUGAUGUCUCAUGGUGUGUUUGUGUUGAAUGCUGGAGGUCUCAGUGCCCUGUGGGCUCGUUCGAUAUAUAUUUCUCUUUCUGGGGUCUCCGGUAGCAAGGACUGGAAAACCGUCUUGAUGGUAGGUAGUAUGGCGUCUGGCAGAACAGAUUCCAGAUGCGUAUGUUUUGUCUUCGGGACCUGUUAUUUAGGUCCUCCAGGCUGUCUUAUAGGAACAGGAUUCUCUAUUUUAGCACUACCACUUCACUGUUGUGGUUCGUUAUUUGGGUUUGUGUUUCUUUUAGUAAUAGCACCGUGUUGUUAUUUCGUGAGGCCAGUGUUUCGAUAUCUUCCUUGAGGCCAGAGAUCUGUUUUUCUAGGGCUGCCACGGUGUAGACUUUGAUGCCUGCCGACAUUUCUUUGAGCAUCUGUCGGAGGUCUUCCUUAGUGAGUGGGGUUGUCUGCCAGGUCUCAUGUUCGCUCUCCUCCGAUUCUGAGCCUGAUUCCCCCUGGCUUUGGGCCCAAGAUGUCCGCCCGUCAUCUUUGGUGCGGAACAUAGUGGCUACUGAUGGCGUUGAAUCCUUUUUUUUCUUCAUACACCCAUCUGGUUAGCUGAGUUUUUGUAAGUUUCUGGGUGUUUUUGCAGGUGGUUUGCACCAUUUUGGAGGCUGAUGGAUGCGGAUUGUAUACCCGGGGUGGGAGAGCUGAGAGAACACACGUCUUACUCCAUUGAAGGUUAGGCUCCGCCCCCGGAGCAGUUUGUUUUUAACUGCUCUUCUCUGCCCUUGCUGUAGAGUGAGUUGCCAUAGGAACCCAGGUGUGUGAGCAGCCAGCAGAAUGUUCCGGAACACAGAGGCUGCUAGAUAAGACACAUUCUUUAAACUGCUGUUAUUCCUACAGUUUUGAUAACACAAAAGUGAGCACUAUCAAAUUUAAUAAAUAUAUUUCCAUGUUAGUCAAUUCAUUAUACCUGUAACAGAAAAACAGUAACAUACAAUGUUACAACAAUGCAGCUAAUCGGUGUUUCAUAAAGUUACUCUGCCCAGUCCAACCUUUCCACAGUUACUCAAGCCACCAAAUUACUCCGCCCACUCCAGUUGUAGACUACUGGUGGAAUCAAGAACACUUCACACAAUUUCCCAAGAAAUUGUAGCUUUUCUAGUUAAUAAUAAUAUUAAUAACAAUAAUAAUAAUAAUAUUGGUAUUUAUAUAGCGCCAACUAAUUCCGCUUUACAACAUUAUGAAAGAGGGGGGUGGUAAUUUACAAUAAAUGAGACAAUUACACAGUGACACAGGAACAAUAGGUAGAUAAGGGUCCUGCUCAAACAAGCUUCCAGUCUAGAGGAGGUAGGUUACAAAAACACAAUAGAGCAGCAAGGGUCACAACCACCAAACAAGGUGGAAAGAUAGCAGAACUGGAGGUGAAAGUGGAGUGUGGCUCUUUGGGAGAUCAAGAGACAGAUAUGGGUAAGUAUAGAUAAGUAACUCUGGGAGUCCAUAAGCAUUUCUUAACAAAUGUGUUUUGUGGGACUUCUUUAACAAUUAAAGACUAGGGAAGAGGCUGAUGGGGGUAGACAGGCUGUUUCAAAGGAAAGGAGCCGCCUGCAAAAAGUUCUGCAAGUGCGAUUAAACAUUAAGGGUGUGAGCAGGGGACAGGAGGUCACUGGCAGAGCGGAGAGAAGCACAUCUAUGAAUCAGUAAAGAAAUGUAACAGGGGCUAGAGUUGGUUAGAGUUUCAUAGGUAAGGGUUAAUAUUUUGAAUUGACACCUAUAAAAUACAGGAAGCCAGUGUAAGGAUCGACAAAGGGGAAAGAUAUGGGAGGAGCGACAGAUGAGAAAGAUCAGCCUGGCAGCAGCAUUAAUUACAGGUUGUAGCAGGGCAGUUCAGCUUCUCGAGAGACCAACUAGAAGAGUAUUAUAGUAAUCUAUGUGAGAUAUUACCAGAGCAUGCACAAGCAUUUUGGCAGCAUCUUGUGUGAGAAAGGGGCAGAUGUGGGCGAUGUUUUUAAGGUGAAAUCGACAGGUUUUAGCAACAUACUGGAUAUGAAUCACAAAUGUGAGGCCAGGAUCAAAGUUAACACCAAGACCACAAGCUUGCAAGGACAAACUGAUGCAACUACCAUCAGCUUGCAGGGAAUGCAAAGAAGGAGGAUCAGCAUUAUGAGGAGGAAAAAUAAGAAGCUCAGUUUUAGAGAGAUUGAGUUUCAGAAAGCGUGAGGACAUCCAAUCAGAGAUUGAAGAAAGGAAAGCAUUGACACGUUGUAGGACCGUGGUGGAGAGAUCAGGGGAGGAGAGAUAUAUCUGGGUGUCAUCGGCAUACAGAUGGUACCAGAAUCCAAAAGGAGUUAAUGAGUUAUUACCCAAAGUCAUGUUUCAUUUCUUCUGUUUUAUUUCUCUACAAUUACAAUCUUCCACCACUAGUGGCCUCCCUAGCCACUAGUCUUACUCUCACCUGCAUAGCAUGAUAAUUUAGACUGCUAUAAGAGGCCAAACCCUGCUAACCAAAUAUCCUUUACAUUGAUUGAAGUCUAUGUUCUGAUCCUGACUCAUACUGAGAAAACCUGCACUAUUCUGAAUACCAUUAAACCAACCUGAUUUAUACUACAAUUUGCUUUAUUUACAACCUGCUUGCUAUCAAUACACAUGGGGAAAAACCUGAUCUUCAAUACAAACCUAUUUUAGUAACAUUUCGGGUUCGAUUUCGGUGUUCGGCGAUUCAAUGGCGCGUUUUGAAAAGCUGCAGUGCAGCCAAUCAACAAGCGUUUAACUUGUGUGCCCUUAGAAGCCAUCACAGCCAUGCCUACUAAUGGCAUGGCUGUGAUUGGCCAGUGCAGCAUGUGACCCAGCCUCUAUAUAAGCUGGAGUCACAUGAGCUCUUAUUAGUGUAGGGAGAGGAUGCUGCAGCUGUGAGGGACAGAUUAGGAAAGAAUUUUGGUGUUGAAUCUGCAAACUACAGCGAUUAUUUUUGUGGGUGCUAUACUACAUUUUGUACCCUGCUCUGAGACCAGUGCCACAGAGAAAUAAGCAGUCUCUUUGUUAGGUGGGCACUUGCAACUGCAUGUGUGCCAGGCACAUUACUUUAAUCCUGUUCUGGUAGCUCAGUGGGCAACAUCUAGGCAUUUUUAAAUACUGCUGUGACAUUGCAGUUUGACAAAUUCACAUUGUUUUGGUGCUAAAAAUUAAAUUUGGGGUGUGCACUUCAUAUUUGAGAGUCAAAUAGAAACGUCAAAUACUGUGGUUACAUCCCACUUUGAAAAAUUCAUGUUUCUUUGGUGCUAAAUAGAACAUUUUGCGGCUUGCGGUGCAUUUCUUGCAGUCCAAUAAAACCCUUAAAUACUACUCUUACAUUGUUGGUUUAAAAAAAAUCAGUUUUUUGAGACAGUGAAGUAACUGUAUUAAUUAUGCCUAUCACACUGUUGUGUGACCUCUAGAAUUUUUUUUCUCUUUAGGACACCAGCACUGCCUUACUGUCAAUGAACUUAAUUGUUCACUAUUGGCGGUUAUAUUGUCGCCUGACAUAAACCAUCUGUUAGUUUGGUGGGUGAACGCAAAGAAUGAGGAGUGCAUCAAAUAAGUGAUGUGUCCCUGGUCGGGGUGCUGCUGGUGUUUUUGGAGCUCCUGUUGCAGGGAGAGGACAUGGUCGAUCUGUGCCAGCUAAACGCACAAGUGAAACACCUUCCUCAGGUGCGAGUAGGCGACAGAAUCUUCAGCAUUAUUUGGUAGGCCUGAAUGCCACUCUACAAAUGGUGAGGCCAGAACAAGCACAGGCGAUAGUAGAUUGGGUGACUGACAGUGCCUCCAGUUCCUUCACAUUGUCUCCCACCCGGUUCCCUGCUGAAAGGUCAGAGUUGGCACCUGCAGCCCAUGGCCAUCUGUCUGAGCCACAAGUCAUGCAGCAGUCUCUUAUGCUUCUUGAUGACUCUGCUGGUGGGGUUCCAUGGGCCAUCCACCUAGCCCCGCCCCAGAAGUGGAAGAGAUUGAGUGCACUGAUGCACAACCACUUAUGUUUCAGGAUGUAGACAAACGAGGACCACCGCAGCACGUCUCUGAUGAUGACGAAACACAGGUGCCAACUGCUGUGGCUUUCUGCAGUGUGCAGACCGGCAAGGAGGGCAGGAUUGAGGUGUGGGUGGAAGAUGAUGUGGAGGAUGAUGAGGUCCUAGACCCCACAUGGAAUCAAGGUCAUGCGAGUGACGUGUGCAGUUUGGAGGAAGAGGCGGUAGUCGCACAGAGGCACCAGCACAGCAUAAGAGGGAGCAGGGUGCAAAAGCAGAGUGGCCGUCCCCUAGACGGUUCGCCUGCUACUGCCCACCACACCCAGGGACCGAGCACACCAAAGCCAGCUCCAAGGAGUUCCCUGGCAUGGAAGUUCUUCAGACAAUGUGUGGUUUGCAAGCUGUGCAAUCAAAGGCAUAAACGUUCUACACCUGAGCACAACCUGCAUGACCAGGCAUCUACAUGCAAAGCAUGAGCUGCAGUGGAGUAAACACCUCAAAAACCAAGGUCACAGGCUCCUCCUGCUUCCUCUUCUGCUGCUGUCUCGGCCUCUUCCUUCACGUCUGGAGUGACAGUGGCACCUGCCACCCCGCAAACAGAGGAUGUGGCAGCAACGCUACCAUGUCUGCCACUGUCCCCAAGCAUCUCCACACUGUCCCUUGAAUGCGUUCAGCUGUCCAUCUCCCAAACACUCGAGAGAAAGAGGCAGUACCCCUACCCACCUGCGAUCCCUGGCCAUGAAUGCCAGCAUUUCAAAAUUCCUGGCCUUUGAAAUGCUGUCAUUCCGUCUGGAGGAGACGGACAGUUUUAAAAACCUGAUGGCGGUGGCUGUCCCACAGUACGUGGUUCCCAGCUGCCACUACUUUUCCAGGUGAGCCAUCCCUUCCCUGCACAACCAAUUGGCGGACAAAAUCAGGUGUGCACUGCGCAACGCCAUCUGUGGCAAGGUCCACAUAACCACUGAUACGUGGACCAGUAAGCACGGGCAGGGAUGCUAUAUCUCCCUAACUGUACACUGGGCAAAUGUAGUGGCGGCUGGGCCUGAGGCGUAUAGCAGUUUGGCGCAUGUCCUUCCACCACCGAGAAUUGCAGGGCAUUUCUCUUUGCCUCCUCCUAAUACUCCGCUUCCUCAUCCGUUCAGCUUAACACCUUCACCACCAACUUCAACACAGCCAGGGGGAAACGACAGCAGGCUGCUUUAAAAUUCAUAUGUUUGGGGGAAAAAUCCCACACCGUGCAGGAGCUGUGGACGGGCAUGGAACAACAGACCGAUGAGUGGUUGUUGUCACUGAGCCUCAAGCCCGGCCUGGUGGGGUGCGAUAAUGGGCGAAAUCUCGUAGCAGCUCUGGGCCUAGCCAGUUUACCGCACAUCCCUUGCCUGGCACAUGUGCUGAAUUUGGUGGUGCAGAAAUUACUGAAAAACUACCCAGAUAUAUCAGAGCUGCUGCAGAAAGUGUGGGCCGUAUGUGCGUGCUUUCGGCGUUCUCACCCUGCUGCUGCUCGCCUGUCUGCGCUGCAGCGUAACUUUGGCCUUCCCGCUCAACACCUCAUAUGCGAUGUGCCCACAAGGUGGAACUCCACCUUGCACAUGCUGGAGAGAGCAGCAGCAGGCGAUAGUGGAGUUACAUAUAGUUACAUAGUUACAUAGCUUAAAAGAAACUUGCGUCCAUUAAGUUCAGCUUUCCUGACAUAUGUUUUUGCUGUUGAUCCAAAAGAAGGCAAAAAACCCAGUCUGAAGCGCUUACAAUUUUGCAACAAACUAGGAAAAAAUUCCUUCUUGACCCCAAAAUAGCAGUCAGAUGUCUCCUUGGAUCAAGCAGCUAUUACCCCACUAAUUACAAAUUAUAUCCCUGUAUGUUAUGUUUUUGCAAGUAUUUAUCCAAUUGCAGUUUAAACAUCUGUAUAGACUCUGACAAAACUACCUCUUCAGGCAAAGAAUUCAAUAUUCUUAUUGCUCAUACUGUAAAAAAAAAACUUUUUCUUUGCCUAAGAUGAGAUCUCCUUUCUUCAAGCCUAAAUGUGUGACCUCAUGUCCUAUGUAUAGCCCUGUUUAUGAAAAGAUUUCCAGAUAAUGGUUUGUACUGGCCCCAAAUAUAUUUGUAUAAUGUUAUCAUAUCCCCUCUCAGGUGCCAUUUUUCCAAACUAAAGAGAUUUACAUUUUUUAACCUUUCUUCAUAACUAAAAUGCUCCAUUCCUUUUAACAAUUUUGUAGCUCGUCUCUGCACUUUUUCUAGUGCCAUGAUAUCUUUAUUUAGAACAGGUGCCCAAAAUUGCACAGCAUACUCAAGGUGUGGUCUUACCAGCAAUUUAUAAAGAGGUAAAAUUAUAUUUUCACCUCGAGAAUUUAUGCCCCUAUUUAUACAUGACAAAACCUUACUGGCCUUAGCAACGGCAGAUUGACUUUGCAUAUUGCUGCCUAAUUUGUUGUCUAUAACAAGUCUCAAAUCCUUCUCGUGUGUGGUUAUCCCUAGUUCACUACUAUUUAGGGCAGGGGUUCUCAACCUUGUCCUCAAGGACCCCCUACCAGUCCAGGGUUUAGAGAUUACCUGGGUGUGUCUAAGGUGUUUAGAAAAAGAAAAAAAAAACACCUUAGAGUCUAAGGUGUUUUUUCCCCCCUUUUUCUAAACACCUUAGACACACCCAGGUAAUCCUCAAAUCCUGGACUGGUAGGGGGUCCCGAGGACUGGGUUGAGAACCCCUGAUUUAGGGUGUAAAUUGCUUGUGCAUUCUUAACCCCGAAGUGCAUAACUUUGCAUUUCUCUACGUUAAAUUUCAUCUGCCAUUUCAGUGCCCAGUCCCCCAAUCUAUCCAAAGCCCUCUGCAGCAAGUCAAUAUCCUGCUCACAUUUUAUUAGUUUACAAAGUUUUGUGUCAUCUUCAAACACUGAUACAUGGCUUUCAAUGCCCAUUUCAAGAUCAUUUAUAAAUGUUAAAUAGAAGCGGUCCCAAGACAGAACCCUGAGGGACACCACUUACCAAAUUUACCAUUAAUGACAACUCAUUGUACUCUAUCCUUAAGCCAAUGUUCUACCCAAGAACAAGAAUAUUCAUCUAGACCUAUUUCUUUUAGUUUGAAGACUUUUGUCUAUUUUGUUUGAAGUAGUUUGAAGACUAUUGUGAGGAACCGUAUCAAAUGCCUUGGUAAAAUCCAAGUAGAUCGCAUCCACUACAACACCCUGAUCUAUACUUCUACUUACUUCUUUGUAGAAUGCAAUUAGGUUAGUUUGACAUGACCUAUGUUUCAUAAAACCAUGCUGAUUAUUGCUUAUAACACAGUUCUUUCCAAUGAAUUCCUGAAUAUUAUCCCUUAAUAGCCGUUCAAAUAAUUUCCCAGUCACAGAAGUUAAGCUCACAGGUCUAUAAUUUCCAGGCAAGGAUUUUAAACCCUUUUUAAAUAUAGGAACAACAUCUGCCUUCCUCCAAUCCUCCGGUACAACACCUGAAACAAAAGAAUCUUGAAAAAUUAAAUACAGAGGUUCACUUAUUUCCCCACUUAGCUCCUUAUGUACUCGUGGGUGAAUACCGUCAGGCCCCGGAGCUUUAUUUACAUAAAAAAUUUUUAAUAGCUGUAGCACCUUGUCUCGAGUUAUCCAAUCACAAGUUAUCUGCAAGUUUGUUGCAGCAAUCAUUUGCUUAUCUCUUGGCAUAGCUAUUUUAGAAGGUAUCAAUAUUAUUUUAAAAAAUAACUAUUUUUGGUUUUUAAACUCUUUAUCUCUAAAAAAGAGGAACAGCUAUGGGAACUAGGUUUGCUCCCAGCUAUGCAAAUCUAUUUAUGGCUGACUGGGAAUCUGAAGCUGUUUUUAGUGAUCAUGCCUGGAGAGCAAACCUGGUUUCAUUUUUUUAGAUAUAUUGAUGACCUCUUUUUUAUUUGGGAAGGUUCUGAAGACGAUCUUAACUCUUUUAUCACUAAUCUUAAUACAAAUAAUAGAGGAAUAAACCUCACUCACGAAUAUAGUAUUUUUAUAAAAAAUGGUAAAUUACACACUAAAACGUUUUUUAAAAAGUGUGUGUGAACACUGCCAUAGAUAAGAGAAGCUGCCACUACCAACCUUGGUUAGACAGCGCUCCGAAGAGCCAAAUACUACGACUCUGGAGAAAUUGCUCCGAAAUAAGUGAUUUUAACAUACAAGCUAAUAUAUUGAAAGAUAAAUUCGUUGAGAAAAACUACUCAGAAAUGGAACUCGCAAAUACCAUUAGGGAUAUUCAAGAUAAAGACAGAAAUGAACUUCUAAAAUAUAAACCUAAAAUUAAAGACAAAUCUAUGCCUCUACCUAUUAUUUUUAAUUUUAAUAAUAAAAGCAACGAUGUAAAAAUGAAUAUAAAAAAACACUGGCACAUUUUUCAAGACGAAACUCUUAAUAAAAUCAUACCAGAACAUCCAAAUAUAAUAUUUAGAGGAGCCAAAAAUUUUAAAUCAAUACUAACUAAAAAUUUUACCAAAGAAGAGAAAAACACACCCUCUCUAUCUUUUUUUCCACAAAUUAAAGGUUUCUGCAAAUGUAAAAUGUGUAUAGUUUGUAGAACUACUGACCCUGCUGUUCCCCAGAAAGUUACUCAAUUUAUGUCAAAACGGUUCUACUAAAAAUGUUAUAUAUCUGCUUGAAUGCCCCUGUGGCUUCCAAUAUGUUGGAAUGACUACAAGGUGCUUAAAAACGCGCUUAAGCGAGCAUUACAGAAACAGAUAUCUGAAUCAUUCAGUAUCCAAACAUUUCAUUAUACACAAUAGAGAUCCAAGAUUGUUGAAAUGUAUUGGAAUAAAGAAAUGCACGAUUCCUUGGAGGGGUGGAAAUAUUAAAAAUAUUUUAGGUAAUAUAGAAAUGGAAUGGGUGUACAGACUUCAAACUCUUACACCACAUGGUCUUAAUGCAGACUUUAAUCUGUUUCAUUUUUUAUAAAUUCUCUUUAUUCCAAUAUUUAUUUCUGAUGUUCUCAGCUUUGUGUUUGUAUACAUCUUUUAUAUAUAUUUUUAUGUAUUUUUAUAAUAUCUUUAUGUUAUUUGGUGAUAUUUUAUAUAUUUUUAAUAUAUUCUUAGACCUUUUAUUCCCUUAUGCUUUAUGUUCACAAUCCGUAUUGUGUAUUAUGUCAUCUAACACCCUAGCCGGCCGCAGCUUUGUGCGUGCCGACAGGGCUCCUUUUCGUUGCCAUGACGACGGCUGCAGCCUUGUGCUAGCCAUCGUCCUUGCUUCCUAUUUUGUUUCCAUGACGACGGCCACAGCUUUGCGUGUGCCGCCGUCACCAACCCCGCCCCUUCUAGUUACGUCAGCCGCAAGGAUUAUGCAUGCUGACGUUCCUCUCCUAUCCCUCAUGUAGACGCCGGCGUCUACGCAGUGCGUGCCGGGGUCUAACUACAUUUCCCACUAUGCACCGCGGCAGUUUGUCGAUCACAUGACCAGGCAUUAAAGGCUUUCAAUACAGAAUAAUAUGCCUCGUUUUUUAAGUUUAUUUAUAUUAUGAAAUUUAUAAUGCUCAGCAGAAUGCAUGUAUAAAUAAAUUUACCAGUUGUUUUAUUGUUUUAAUUAUUUUACUUUUAUCUCCAUUCUGAUUGGCUGCUCACAUUUUGGCACCAAUUUUAAAUGAUUAUAGCUGUUAUAUAAACCCUCCUAUGCCAGGUAUCAGGUUCUUACUCCAUAUUGAUCACGCCGUGAUGGCGAAACGCGUUUAUGGAUAUUAUUUUGUGUAUUUUUUAUAUAUUAAAGUAUAUUUGGUUACUUUUUAUUUGUGCCAUUUUUCUUUAUACACAAUUAUUUAUUUUUUUUACCUGGCAUCUUCUCAACAUCCUGGACUCCAAGUAAUCCUAGGUGGGGAUCAUACCACCAGCGCUAACGUUUAGGAGCAGUUGGUCUGCUCCUGUCUUGUGAGUACCCAUUUUAUUUAUUUUACCAUCAAUAUUUUACUCAGUGUACACUAUUGGCUGUUUCUUCUUAUCUGAGUGUUAAAUAUACCACUGACGGAGGAAGCUCACCUUAUAUCCCAUAAGCGGGGAUUAAAUCGCUGUACGCUCUUCAUACUAGAGCGAGUUUAAGCUCUGAUAAAUGUGAGUUUUAUUUCAGCCUUUUAUUAUUUUUAUCCUUUUAUUCUGAAGCAUACUGCACUAUUUGGUUCUCCACUUUUUUAUCUUCUAUAUACGAGCGGACCCAUACAGAGGAGAACAAAAAGCACAAUUGUUUUGGAUCAAGCACGGAUAGAUUCUACGACCUCAAAAAGAACAUUUUACAUAAGACUUUUUAUAUUCUUCUCAUUUUCUCGGACUAUUUGUUAUUUUUCAUAUCGAGUUUUCCUUGGCGCAGCCCUUAUUUCUUAUUCUUUCUCCUUUUCAGUGUUAUUUCUAAGAGUUUUUGAGGGAUUCCCUUAUAGGGUUGCUGCCCACAUAUUAGUCAGCGCUUACUCUCUGUCUUGUUGUUACCCAGCUAUGUGCCUGUUCUCCAAUUGUCUCAUCUCCUCCCACUCCACUACCUGCACCCACUAAACUCUGCUCAGUGAGCAGCAGACUCCUCUCAAGAUUAUCAAUCUCCCUCAGUGUUGCAAUUUGCCUCUCCAGAUCUCCAAUUCAAGCUUCCAGAAAAGCCACUCACUCACACCCACCACAGAGGUAUGGACCCUGGACAGAUUUAUCCAAGCAUGCACGCACGGGUCAGUCGCUCGCACCAGACUUGCCCUCCAAUAGAUCCUUGAUAAAGGAGUUAAAGUGUACUCAUUCGAAUUACAGGGCCUUGAAAGAGUCCUGUAUUGUUAUUUAUCAUCACUACCUCCCCGCGUCGGGCGUGGGUAAUUUGCGCGCCUGUUGCCUUCCUUGGAUGUGGUAGCCGUUUCUCAUGCUCCCUCUCCGGAAUCAAACCCUGAUUCCCCGUUACCCGUGGUCACCAUGGUAGGCGCAAAAAGUACCAUCAAAAGUUGAUAGGGCAGACAUCCGAAUGCGUCGUCGCCGUCACGGGGAUGUGCGAUCAGCCUGAAGUUAUCUAGAGUCACCAAAGUACCUGCGCAACGACUGCCGAGUUGCCCACAUUCUAACUUGUGCUGAUUACUGGAUGGCCAUCCUGCUUAAUUACAUCACUAGAGCAUGAUGGGAAGAUGCGUGACUACAAGCGCACGCUGGAAGACGCGCUGCUGAGGGCAUUCCCAACUGACAACGGGGGAUCAGUGGAAGCACAAGGCGAAGGCAGAGGAGGAGGAAGAGGUCGCCAAUGCAGCUGGGGCACCGCCAGAACCUCAGAAGGCAGGGUUACUUGGCCAAAAUGUGGAAAAGCUUUCUCACACACCACAACAACCACCACCAUCAUCUGAUAUGGAACGUCUUAGCAAGAGGCAGCAUUUCAGCAACAUGGUGGAAUAGUACGUGUGCACACGCCUACACAUACUGACUGAUGGGUCUGCCCCAUUCAACUUCUGGGUCUGCAAAUUGGGCACAUGGCCUGAGCUUGCCCAUUAUGCCCUGGAGGUGCUGGCCUGCCCUGCAGCCAGUGUAUUGUCUGAACGUGUGUUUACCAUGGCAGAGGGCGUUAUCACAGACAGGCGCAGCCACCUGGCCACAGCCAACGUGGACAAGCUCACGUUUUAAUAAAAUGAACCAGGCAUGGAUCCCACCAGACUUGUUUGUACCUUGUGCAGAAUAGACAUUUAUACCAGCCUCACCCAGCUAUUGUUAUACUCAAAUGCACUUAUUCUUUGUUUUCUUUUUUUAUAUAUGUCCCAAUAUUUUGGGGGCUACCCCAAUUAAAAAAAUAAAUAAAUAAAAAACAGUGUUGGCUACCUCCUCCUCCUCCUCCUCCUCCUCCUCCACCGCCGCUUUCACCUACACCGCCACGGUCACCGCCUCCUCAACCUAUGGGUCACUUAGUAUAAACUAUGUACACAAUAACAGGAGCUUGUGAAGGCAUUUUCUCCAUGCAUCAGGAGUUGAGCUCAGUUUGAACAAUGAAAGAGAAUACCCUGCACUCCAACCCUCUCUCAAAUUGAUAAUUCUGGUAAUCCUCCUGACAGCCAUGCUUUAGAUUUUGAUUUGUGUUCUUCCAAAGCUAAAAUCAAAGAUUCCAUCUAGUGCUAUUUUAUGGCUCAUCUGUAUUUUUAAUUUUUAGGUAUUUUAUGUUAUUUUAAGUGAUUUCCCUAUCCACACUUGCCCUACUCUUACCCCCAUUCAACUUCCUUUUGCAACCCUCUAGUCCUUUCUAUGACUAUUUCAGAGGCAUUUUAGAGGCAUUUUUGUGCCCAAAAGUUCGGGUCUUUUUUUCAAAGUUCAGCCGAACCUGCCAGACCCGAACAUCCAGGUGUCCGCUCAACUCUACUUUUUAAACAUAUUAACAGGUCACGUUACAUUUUAACAUAGGACUCACAAGCUUCACAAGUCUUGCAUCCAUUGAACAGUUUCUGCAAGAUGUCAGAAUAGCCUCCCAGAUCUGCUGUUUGGAUGUAAACUGCCUCCUACCCUCAUAGAUCUUUUGCUUGAGGAUGCUCCAAAGGUUCUCAAUAGGAUUGAGGUCAGCAACCAUUGAUGCAAAGGUAUUCUUUGCAGCAUGAGAUGGUGCAUUGUCAUGCAUGAAGAUGAUUUCGGUAAGCGUAGUUCUUCCUUCUGUACCAGGGAAAAAAGUGGUCAGUCAGAAACUCCACAUACUUUGCAGAGGUCAUCUUUACACCUUUGAGGACCUCAUAAUUAAUCUAAUUAUCACAGGUGUCCGGGAUUGUUUUCAGUGAUCAAAAGAGCCCUGAGACACAAUGCCAUCCAUGAGUUAAACUGAAAAACAAACUAUUUAAUCUUUGUGACACUUAAAAAGAAUUUGCAUAAUAAUUUGGAACAGGGUGUAUAUUAACUAAGUAUGUAUAGAUAUAGAUAUAUAUAUAUAUAUAUAUAUAUAUAUAUACACACACAUACAUACACACACAUAUUUUAAUAUUAAUUUAUAUAUAAUUAUACAUAUAUAUUAAUAUCAAAAUAUAGGUGUUACAAACUGCCGUUUGUAACUCAGAUUUUAUGUGACAAAUUGCCCUGUGUCCUUGGCUUAUGGAGAAGCCUUAUUGCCAGCCUCCUCCCUCAUGACUAUGGCCCCUAUCAUCAGCCCAUGCUAAACCUAAACCCCAUGGUGAUUUGACGGUGUUUGUGGGUUCUGAGCGCUGUUUGGAUAUAUUGAGCGCUCAGAUCCAUUUCAUCUGGGGAUAGGUUGAAUGUGGUGGUUCUGUUCAGUAUGAUAGGCGUUAUGUAUUUUUGUGUAUUUUUGCUGUUGUUGUGAAUAGAGAUAUUUUCUGUACCUGGAGAUAGUUGGCUUACCACACCCAGUUAAGCCAAUUAUCUCCAGGAUAGAGGACUCUGUAGAACUGGUUUGGGCUGGAAAAGCCAUGCUUGCAGUCAUUCAAAAAGGACGUCCAUCUGGGGCGGAGCCUGACUUCCGAGCGGGAAAGAUGCAUAGCACACCAGCUAGUGAUCAAAACGAUUUAUUUGGGAACAAAUCCCCCAAAAUUGGACCUAAUAACGUCAGAGAAGGCAGGAUGCAUGCAGAGGGAACCCGGGGGUACCCAACGACCCCAAAAACAAAAUAUACAUCUGUAACGGCUACCCAGUUAAUAAGAGGGUAUCAGCCGUUGGAGACGUCCUUUUUCCUGGCAAGUCGCUGUGUAGUAGUGGAGUCGCUUAUUCCCAUUCACUAGAUCUAAGUAAAGAGUCAAGCAGAGCUCUUAAAAGAGCCAGGUGAUUAUGCUGCAUAUCCCCUUCCAAGAACGAGACAAGGCUACAUUUUGAAGGGUCAAGAAGAACUGAAUUUUAAUGGCAGAUACUCUCCUUUUAUGUGAUGCUGCCCAUGCAAGGGAGCCACCCACACAAUUAGCACAGUAACCAAUAAAACAUAAGGUACAACCCACACAUCUCCUCCCCUCAGAUAAGCCUGUAACACAAUUAACAAAGAUAAAUUUUUCCCCGAGUUUUGGAUGUACCCCAAAUAUAUGGGGUACAUUAAUAAAUGUCCCCAAAUAGCCCUACCUGGGGGAUUUAAAAAUCAGGAAAACAAGAGAGAGGUUGGCGCACACAAUGGAUAGUUAUUCAACAAUCUGUAAUAAAUAUAACAGAACCUUCAUAGGGCAACAUAUAUGCGGAAAUAUUCAAAUAUAUGUAUAACAGGAAAAACUCACAAUUUAGAGUGUCAUAUAAGUCGGCUCUCUACUAUAAUAGCAGAUAACGAUAAAAAAACAAUAAAAAACACAUGUGAAUCAUUACAAACACCCUUCCCAACUUGUCCAUAUACUUUUCAUGAUGUCCAGUGGGGGCCGACCUUUUCAUGAUGAUUUAUUAAUAGUGGAUGCAUACUUUUAAAGUUAUAAGAAUUGUGUAAAAACUUUAUAUUUUCUGCCUGUGCUAAUUAAGUUAGUCUAUUGUCUUGAGAUAAUUGUAUCACAGGCAGAGGGGAGGAUUUCUGCUGGGAGUGGUUUACUUUAUUGUAUGUGUUGUAAUGUUUUUAUUGGUUGUUCUGAAAAACCCUGUGGGCGGUCCUGUAUGUGUAAGACCUCCAUAAAAGAAGGCCCUUUGGUGCCAAAUAAAACAGUUCUUCUUCACCUUCAAUCUUGAGUCCUGUCUCUUACUGGGGAAAUUGCUAUAUCACUACAAGAGAUUGCUAUGCUCUGCAUGCUCCCUUGGAUAAUCACUUCUAAGCUCUUUUAAGAGCUUGAUCCUGUUUCCCUCUCUUGGAAGAGAGGUUCACCCACUGGAGCCUGGAGCCUUGUACCAGGUCCAGGGUUGGUAGGAGACAGCGAGACCCCAACCAAGCUACUGCGGUUUGUGGGGUCUGUGGUGGUUGUGGUGUCUGGUGGAGUGCUUGGAGCCCUCUGGAAGUGCUAGGAGCAUCCAGUAACGGAGGUACCCAGUCGGGGUGCCGGGCGGUCCGCUACAUUGGUGGCAGCGGCGGGAUGAUCCUAUCUUCCCAGAGGAGGUGCUACAUCUAUGGAGUAUGAGAAACUGAAAUGGCCAACAUUGAAGUAUCUGCUGGAGAGCCGUGGGCGUUCAGCUAGCAACAGACCGAGAUGGGAAUUAAUAGCUGAACUGGUCGAAAUGUACCAAAACAACAUCAUGGCUAACGCUAAGUCACCAAACGGAGAAGAGGACAAGAUCCAGAGAAUUGUGCAAAGGAGGCUGACACUCUACGGGCCAAAUCCACAGGUAGAACUGGUAACCCAGCUUCUCCACGCAGCGAUGGAGGAGGCGAAGGAAAAAAGAGCCUACCACCUACAGGUACUGACCGUACAGAGACCAGAGAGCCCAACAGUACUACCGAUAGGAACCCUCAGUGAGCGGAAAAAGCUACCAUUUGCUGCAUUUAAAGCAUACCAAGAGACUGAUGGAGAGAGAGAUGGAUAUUUGACUGAUUUUGAAAGGCAAUGCGCGCUCCAUCAGGUGCCGCCCGAGGAAUGGGUUACAAUUUUGUCAGGCAAACUGUCAGGAAAAGCCAACGAAGCUUUUCGUGCCAUUCCAACCGAGGAUGUUACAAACUAUGCUACAGUAAAGGAAGCGCUACUGUUCUGGUAUGCUGUAACCCCCGAAGCAUACCGGCGACGGUUUAGGGAAUCUAAAUGGAAAGGAGGAGAUUGUAUGGAUGGAUGGAGGAGUCCUGUGGGACUGUAUGUUACACAGGACCGCAUCUCAUUGGGUACAGGGUUGCCAAGCCACCACUGGAGAAGAAGUUUUGCAACUGUUCCUACUCGAACAUUUUAUAGGAGCACUUCAAUCGGGCCUGAAGGAAUGGAUCCAGGAUUGGUGACCACUCACCCUACAGGACGCAGCGCACCUAGCAGAUGAGUAUACUGAUACCCGACAGCCAGAACCUACCACUGUACGUCCACGUCCUGAGCUGACCAUGACAAAACCACCCCCUAGGACAGAGUUCCGUGCUCCGGUCCCUCCAGGCCCAGCCCGCUACUCCGGGCCCCCCAGGUUCCAGUCGAAUCAAUCCUGAGUACGGUGCCAUGGAUGCCAAUAGCUGGGGCACAUCAGGAGCAACUGCCCUAUGGAACCCCCCAGGACCACCUGGGGACGACCCUACAACCGACCGCAACCUACACCAGCUGCUCACUGUUUGGAAACUGCAGCCAAGACUGAGGGGUCCUACACGAGGCCAACCCCAUCCAAGCCGCCACUCAGGAUAACAGGCAACAGCACUGCCAAGAGGUACUGGUCAAUAGACAACCUGCUCAGGGUCUGCAAGACUCUGGGGCCACAAUAACUCUUAUACAAAAACACUUUGUUCGCAACAGCGACCACGCCGGAAAGACUGUUGCUGUCCGAGUUGCUGGAGGAGCUGUUUACCGUCUCCCCACUGCCGGGUUCAUCUCAAUUGGGGAACUGCAUCCGGUACUGUACAAGUGGGAAUAAUUGACAACCUCCCAGCUGAAGUCCUGCUGGGAAACGACCUUGGGCCUCUCACCUCAGCCUAUGCUCCUACCGCAGCCGCUCAUCCAGUCACCACCCGUGCCCAAGCCUGCAACGCAGAGAACAACCCAGGUAAGACAUACUGACCCAGGUAAGACAUACUGACCCCUUGACUCUCACUUAACUAACGACCACCACUGAAAUUUAACCCCGUUUUUACUUCGACACUUCGACAGAGGUCGAAGUGCGUUCGACUAUUCGAACGCCGCCUUUGGGUGGGACUUUGUUAUUUUUCAAGGCAGAAAUAGACCGACCGCAGUCGGUCCAAAGAGACUUUUCAAUAUUUCUGGAACCACUGAACGAAUUUGUAUGAAUUUUGAAUAUGUUUGUCCCCAAAUUGUGUUGUUCAUAAAAAUAUAAGUUUUCCUGUAGGAUGAAAAAUCAUAAAGUUAUCAAAAUGCAUAAAAAAGUAUAAGUUUUAGCUUGGAGAUAAUUGAGUAGAUACCGUAAGGAACUCAAUUAUCUCCCAAGCAGAGGGGAGGGAAUCUGUGGGUUGUAACCAUUGUAUGAUUGGUUAAUGUCUGAUUGUCUGUGGGUGUCUCCCUUGCAUGGGAGCACCUCAUAAAAGGAGAGUACCUGCCAUUAAACCUCAGUUCUACUUCACCCUCAAUCUAGAGUUCUGUCUCUUAUUGGGGGUAACCGCUAUACAGCUAUUCACACUAGUUCUUGUAAGAGCUUCUUCACUUUGAUCAUGACUGGAUAUUGUGAAUCCUCCUCACUGAUUGGGAAAAGGACACCCUCCAGCUAUUGAAACCCCUCUGCUACACUGGGUAACCGCCACAAUACGUACAAUGAUAUUGAUUAAAUAUAUAUAUAUACACAAAUAUUAGUGUUUUAAAACAGUAAAACGUAUGACAACAAUAUCGUCCUUGUAAGUGCCAUUUGUGUGUGAAAAAUUCAGAAAAUGUCACUUUCACUGACAAUAUCGUUGUUGUAAUAUAUUUUACUGUUUUACUGUUAAAUACAGUGCUAGCAAAUUAAAUUCCCUGGAUAUUUGUGUUCAGCAAAGUCUCCCAAGUAUAACAGUACCUCUCAUGUAGAAGUUUUAUGGUGUUUUCAAAAGUUACAGAAUCAAAUAUAAGGCUUGCGUUUCAGUUUUUUCACAUUGAAAUUCGCUAGGUUGGUUAUGUUGCCUUUGAGACUGUAUGGUAGCAAAGGAAUUAAAAUUACCCCCAUGAUGGCAUACCAUUUGCAAUAGCAGACAACCCAAGGUAUUGCAAAUGGAAUAUGUUCAGUCUUUAGUAGCCACUUAGUCACAAACACUGGCCAAAAUGGGCAUUCAAAUUAGUUUUUUGCAUUUUUUCACACACAAACAAAUAUUAACACUAACUUUGGCCAGUGUUUGUGACUAAAAAGACUGGACGUACCCCAUUUGCAAUACCUUGGGUUGGCUACUUUUGCAAAUGGUAUGCCAUCAUGGGGGUAAUUUUUAUUCCUGGGCUACCAUACGGUCUCAAAGGCAACGUAACCAACCUAGCGAAUUUCAAUGUGAAAAAAAAUGAAAAAUCUAACAUGCUAUAUUUGACCCUGUACCUUCCCAAAACACCAUAAACCCUGUACAUAGGGGGUACUGUUUUACAUGUGAGACAUUGCUGAAUACAAAUAUGUGUAUUUUAUUGCAGUAAAAGCAAACAGUAUUAUGACAUUCACAGUUAGAAUGUCACGUAGAACUAAAUGUUUUUUAACAUAACAAACAGACAUAUAGCGCAAAUUCAAGUUUUUGUUUACGUUUUGUUUUGAUCACAACGUGUACAUUUGGCUCAGUCCUUAAAGGGGUUAAUAAUGGUACACAUAUUACCAAUUCUCCAAGGGAAUGCAAACUUUUGAGCAAAACUGUAUAACUAACAUGUAUAUUAACAGGUUGUUAAUCCAAUGAGUAUGGAGUCAAUAAGAAUUUAUUUGCAUUUUCCCAUAAUUAGAUGUUUUGCCUUCUUUUGGAGCCACAGCAUGAAAGUAUGUGAUACAGAGGUUCAACUCGAUUGACAUAAUAUUUUUUUUUUAAAUCUAGUUUUUAUUGUAACUAUAUAACAUAUGCUUGUAAUAUUUUCUAAAUUCUAUAGAGAGAUAAAAACAUAUAUAAAUCAGUAUGUCAAAUAAAUACUUACUGUUGAGUAUCUAAUUAGAACCACUCACUUUUUUGAGAGCUGUGAGCAGGCUCUACAGAAUACAUUUUUUUUUUUUUUUUUUUGUAGUAACAUAUCUGGAUCAUACAUAUAAGUACCAACAUUGUACGUUACAUUUUGUUGUGCAGGCAAAAGUGGUAGGAAAUCUAACGACACAAUGCAUGUUAUUACAGUAUUCCUGCCUGGCUUCAUAUAAUCUGGGAACUUGCACAUUAUGCUGUGGACUCUGGAGGGUCAUCUGGUUAAAUCGCUUUAAAUGGGAGGGAGUGAGAGUCCCAGGAGAGAAGUGUAAACCUUGUGGUGACAGGCCCUAUGGGAUGAUUUAAUUAUGUUAAAAUAAAAGGAAUUGGAAAUAGAACCGUUUUCAGUAAACCAUAUGAUAUAAGGAUAAGUGGCCUUUAGGCUAAUUCUGGCACUAGCAUUAAGUGUGAUGGGUGUACUUCUCUGCUAACUUAUGGUUUCAAGUGUCCGGUUUCAAGUGUCUGGUAAUGAUGAGUGGCCUUGACAUCGCACUCCGCUCUCCGGGGUGAAGCGGCUGGAUGUUGGCAACGUCCCAUGUUGAGGGGGUGAGUUCCGUGGAUGUGGUUGUUUAAUGUCCCUGUGCUUUUUCUAUUGCUGGCAUAUUCAGACCCUUUUCGCUUCUGAGGCUUGUGUGAGGUAUAGUCUCUUCAUGCCAUAUUGCACCGAUAGCUUUCGUCCCCAGUGGUAUCUGACGCCAUUGUCUCGCAGUGACUUUGUGGCCAUUUGCAUGGAUUGUCUCCAGAUCAUUGUGGGUUUGGAGAUAUCAUUGAAGAAAGAGAGGUUUGCGCCUUCAAAGUGAAAGAUAGGUGACUCUUGGCUGCUCGAUUGUAGGAGCUGUUUGCUUUGGAGUAACUGGAAACUCAGGAGCAGGUCUCGUGGCACUUCGGCCGGAGUUUUGGGAGGCUUGGGGAUCCUGUAGUAGUGAUCAAGUUGUAUGGCUUUUGCCCUGGAUGGUGAGAGCAUUGCGCUGAAGAGCCUUCUGAGGUAGUGUGGGACCUCUGUGUCUGUGAUGUCUUCGGGAGCUCUGCUGAGCUUUAGGGUGCGCUGUCGCUUAGAGUCCUCCAGCACAGCUAUUUUUUCUUCCAUGUUUAGAGUGAGCUGUUUCAGUCUGUCUAUAUCAGCAGACAUAGUGCCCUGUAAAUAUCUGGUGGUGCACCCCUCGUCCUCCAGGGACUGCAAUCUGGUUGUCUUGGCGGACUAGCGCAACGUAGGCCGAGAAGUAGGCCUUCAUUUCAGCCAGCAUGUUCUUGAUGUAUGCCUUGCUGGCCGGCAUGUGCUCCGAGUGCUGUGUAGUGCUGGCUCCCCUGUUUACUGAGGCUGUCUCUGUGUGUGCCACGUUCGGCGGGGUCUGUGGGGUCCUCUGGUAUACUCUCCUCCGAGACGGAUUCCGAGUCCCCCUUCACAGACACCAUUUUGGUGGACCGCGGCAGCGGUGUGCCACGGAGCAGGGCACCAAUAUUUUUAGUGGAGGCUGCUGCUUCGCUUUUGCGAGUUUAGUUUUAGUUUAGUUUUUUUUCCCUAUCUCAUCAGGUUCAGUUUGGGCAGGUUUGUGGGUGCUGUGGAUUUGGUUCUGCUUAGCUUUUAGUGGGUCUCCCUUCCUACAGAAUACAUUUUAUGGGUGCCCCAAAAAGAAAAAGGUUUUGGUGUAAAAUAUCCAACACAUUAUUAUUAAAAUAUGUAGUAGCAUACAGCAGGGCUGUCUUAAACACAGAGCAUAUGGGACAGCUGCUUCGGUCCCAGUUACUCCUGGAGGGCCCCAAAGCCAUGCUGCCCAAGAUUGAAUUGAGCAGUCAACCAGCGGUCCUCACACUAAGGAGGCCCACCGAGUGGUCCAUGCAGUAAGGGCCACCAGGUGGGCAUGUGUCAGCAUUACGUGGGCCCCUUUCUGUUCAGCAGUCUGGGAGGAAGAGACAGCCGCUAGUUACUUCAGUAUGUCUGUGUGUGUCAAUAUGUCUGUGCGUGAAUCAGUAUGUAUGUAUAUUGGUGUGUGUGUGUGUGUAAGUAUGUCAGUGUGUAUGCCUGUCUGUGUUAGUAUGCCUGUCAGUGUGUGUGCUCAUCUGUGUCAGUAUGUCAGUCAAUGUGUGUGUGUCAGUAUGUCUUUGAGUGUCUGUAUGUCUGUCUUUGUGUCAGUAUAUCUUUCAGUGCGUCAGGAUGUGUGUCAAUGUGUGUCAGUGUGUCUGUCAGCACAUGUGUCAGUGUGUGUAUCAGUAUGCCUGUUUGUUGGUGAGUUUCAGUAUGUCUGUUAGUGGGUCUGUCAGUGUGUCUGUGUGCGUCAGUAUAUGUGUCAGUAUAUGUGGCUGAGUAUCUGUAUGUUGUCAGUUUGUGUAUCUGUGUGUGUUUGUCUCAGUGAGUGUAUUUGUGUAUCCUCUUGUAUGUCAGUGUGUAUCUGUGUGUCUGUGUAUUUAUAUGUUUAUCUAUAUCUGCAUGUGUGCCAGUGUGUAUCUGCAUGUGUUUCAGAGUGUGUGGAUCCACGUGUGUGUUUGUGUGGCAGUGUAUGUGUAUAUGUGCAUACAUCUCAGCAUUUAAACACUAACAAGACACACAAAUACACCCCUGCAUUCAAACUUCAACACUACAUUUAAGAACACUCCUUUAUUGAAAACUGAACGCUACAUACAAAAAUACCUCUGUGUUAAACGCCAAAAUAUAUUCAAACACACCCCUGCAUUAAAAAAAAUCAAUACUACUCAGAAAUGCAUGCUUAUAUUCAAACACCAACACCACAUUCAAACAUACUCCUACAUUCACACAAACAUACUCCAUACAAAAAUAUGCUUACAUUUAAACACUGCUCAGCUCUAAAUACAGCCCUGUAUGCAUGGUAAAAUGUAGAGCCCCAGCUGUCAAAGCAGUGUUUGAGACAGAUGGGGAAUCUACAUUUUGGCCACCCUUGUGAUAAAUUCUUGCACCAGGGCUCUCUAUUUAGUACAGCCACUGCUUAGAGAGCCCUGGUGUACAUGCCAUUGAGUGGGGGGAGGUGCGGGUGGCAGGGUUCAGGGGACACAAGCUAAUGCUUGCCCAGGGUCCAUUCAAUAUUAAAGAUAGUCCUUGCAUUCAGUAGCAAAGAAGGUCAGUCUACCAUAUAAUUAAUGACUGGUAUUUAUAACAUUUAAGAUGCUGAAUGUUUGGGUAUUCUAAGUAGGCAGUCUCUCCUUUUGUUACUAGAAGGGAAAGUAAAAAAAAAAAUGGAUUACUAAGAUUAAGAAUGUAUGAAUUCACAUCCAAGAGUUACAGAAUAUGCAUGAAGGGCUAUAGUAAAAACAAUAAAAGGCUGCGCACAUGAAUAAAGUCCAAUAAAAGAGAGAAAGUCCAACUAGUAUAUUCUUACAGGUGUCUUUGGUUGAUGGGGUCUUCUAUUUAUGUGGUGGCUUCACUCGUUAUGAAAAAUAAAAAGAGGGAGAAGGGACAUCCAAUGGUGUAGUAUGUAAAAUUUAGGUAUAGACGUAAAAAUAAUAGUAUAAAACUCACAUUUACCAGAGCUAAUGUCCAGCUCUGGAGUAAAGCGCGUACAGCGGUUUAAUCCCCGCUUGUGGGAUGUAAGCAGGUUCUUCUCCGUGAAUAGUAUCCAAUUCUCGGGAUAAAACAAACAGCCAAUAGUGCUCACUGUAUGGCAAAUAAUAAUAAAAUAAUAAAAGAAAUGUACUUACAAAAUAAGAGCAGACCCACUGCUCUUUGAUGAUAGCUUGGGUGGAUUGAUCCCCACCUACGGAUUUCUUUGGGUACAGGAAACUUCCAGGAAUUUUUAGGUUUGUUUUAAAACCAGUAAAAAUAAUAAAAUUAACAGUAAAAAGGCCAGGGUAAAAAAGAAAGAUAUGUGUCUAUAAAAAAGAUAAUUGGCACAAGCAAAUGAUCAAAAAUACUUUAAUAUAUAUAAAAAACACAAUAUUCAAAUAUCCAUAACGCGUUUCGUCACAAAAGGACUUUUUCAAAUGGAAUAACAUGUUUUACCUGGCACAUGAAUGUUAUAUAAGAGCAUAAUUGAUUGAAUUUUGGCGCCAAAACUUGGUUCAUCCAAUCAGAAUUAAAAACGUAUGUACGACUUUAAAAUACAAAAUAAACUUAUUCUACACAUAGUUUAUAAAGGUACAACUUAUUUAAAAUAUAUUUGGUUUAAAAACAAGGGUAGGAAAGUAUAGUUUUGGGUAUUUAAAAAAAAAAUCACAUGACCGGCGGCACUUCCGCUUUUCGGACGUUCCGCCGCAAGGGCACAUGGGAAAUGUAGUUGCGAUCGGCGGCCAAUACAAAAGUCUAAUAGACUGAAUUAUUUGAAUUAUACAACAUGUGGAGAGAUACUUAAUAUAAUUGCCACCACGCUUGUGGGUGCUAUUCCAAAAGGGUACUCCCUUAAAUACCAAUAAAGCACAUAUUCAAAAAAAGAAAGGAAUGCACACCAACUAACACAAUAAUAUAUAUCUAAAUAUAUUUAUUAUAAUACAAAUCCAAAUCUUACAUAUAAAAUGUAACAGUGACCAAAAAAGGCAAAAAAGUUUAAACAGUAUAUUUACCAAAUUCGACAAGCCUAUAAGGGCAGAAACACGAGUCACAAACAAUCCCCCAACGUUUCGGCUCCAGUAUAGAAUAGCUCCUGAGGAGCCGAAACGUUGGGGGAUUGUUUGUGACUCGUGUUUCUGCCCUUAUAGGCUUGUCGAAUUUGGUAAAUAUACUGUUUAAACUUUUUUGCCUUUUUUGGUCACUGUUACAUUUUAUAUGUAAGAUUUGGAUUUGUGUUAUAAUAAAUAUAUUUAGAUAUAUAUUAUUGUGUUAGUUGGUGUGCAUUCCUUUCUUUUUUUGAAUUAUUUGAAUUACCAGAUUGAUAUAGUGUGGCAGCAGGGGAUAAAAUACCAAAACGAAGGGGCUAAGUGUUUAAAAAAAGGCAGUUUGAGAGAGGUCACGUGGUUUUCGGCAUUAGUGGCCGAAAUGCCUCAUGGGAAAUGUAGUUUGAAUUGCAGCAUGUAGGUUAAUGGUAGGGAACAUCAAAUAUGGAUAGUGAGAUAGGGCAAAAACAUGGCAAAUGUAAUGCUUUUUACAUUAGUUAAAAAAGGUGGCAAAUGUAAUACUUUAUACAUUAGUUAAAAAAAGGAGCUGAAUAAUAUUAAAAACAUAAAUUAAAACAGAUUAACCUUAUAUUGGAAAGAGAGAGAGCAAUCCUAAUUGGAGGUGCAGAUUUGUUAAAAGGUAAUAGUAAAAAAAAUUUUUAUAAAUAAAUUAAGAUUACAGACUUCAAAUGACAUAAAAGUUCUAAAAAAUAAAAUAAAAUUGUGUAAAUCUGCAUUUAAAGGUACAGGCAUUGGGUGACAUAAAAGUUCAUAAAAAAUUAUAAAAAAUUGUAUAAAUCAAAAUCUGCAUUAAGGCCAUGGGGUAUAAGGGUCUGAAGUUUAUACACCCAUUCCAUCUCUAUUUUUCCAAGUAACUUUUUUAUAUCACCUCCUCGCCAAGAGGUAGAACAUUUUUUUUAUACCAAUACAUUUUAAUAAACAAGAAUCUUUAUUGUGCUUAAUAAAAUGUUUGGAUACUGUAUGAUUUAGGUAUCCAUUUCUAAUAUUUCUGCAAUGUUCGCUCAGUCUUAUCUUUAGGCACCUUGUGGUCAUCCCCACAUAUUGGAGGUCACACGGGCACUCAAGCAGAUAAAUAACAUUUUUGGUAUGGCAGCUUAUAAAAUCAUAAAUAUCAUACACUCUUUUGGUUUGAUUUGACAUAAAUUUUGUAGUUUUUGAUGGAAUAACAUGAUCCACAGUUUUACAUACGAUGCAUUGUUUGCAUCUAAAAAAACCUUUUGUCUGAGGAAAGAAUGAUACAUUUUUUAAAGGAGAUUUUUUUGUAAAAUUACUAGUUAAAAUAGAUUUAAAAUUAGGUGCUCCUCUAAAAACAAUGUUUGGAUGAGUAGGUAUAAUGGAAUUAAGUAUCUCAACAUGUUUGAGUAUGUGCCAAUGUUUUCUUAUAAUUUUUUUGACAUCGUUGCUUUUGUUAUUAAAAUUAAAAAUAACUGGAAGUGAUACAGUUUCAUUAUUUUCUUUAUUUUUAUAUAUAAAAAGUUAUUUUCGUUCUUUUUGUUUGACUGUAUUAAUUGUGGUAUUCAGAUCUGGUUCUGAGUAAUUUUUUUCAAUAAAUUUAUUUUUUUUAAACUCUGCUUGUUCAUUAAAAUCUGUGAGUUAUGAGCAAUUUCUGCGAAGGCGUAAAAACUGACUUUUUGGGGCACUUUCUAGCCACGGCUUAUAGUGACAACUAGAUCUGUCUAUGGCCGUGUUUACACAUACUUUUUUUAAAAAAGUUUUUGUUUGGAGUUGUCCAUUGUUGAUAAAAAUAUUCAAGUCUAAAAAGUUAAUAGAUUGUUUACUGAAUUCGUAUGUGAGGAUAAUGCCCCUAUUAUUAGUAUUUAAAUAAUUGAUAAAAUCAAUAAGAUGUUUUUCAGGUCCAUUCCAAAUAAAAAAAAGGUCAUCUAUAUAUCUGAAAUAGGAGACCAGGUUUGCCCGCCAGGUAUGAUUGCCCCAUAUGGCUUCAUUUUCCCAAUCAGCCAUAAACAGGUUAGCGUAACUGGGGGCAAACCUAGUCCCCAUAGCAGUGCCUCUUCUUUGUAAAUAAAGAGUCUAAAAACCAGAAAUAAUUGUUAUUUAAAAUAAUGUUAAUACCUUCUAUUAUAAAAUCUAUUUGAGUGUCGGGAAUCCUAGCUUCUUGAAUUAAAAUUUAUUUUAUAGCGUUACAACCAAUAUCAUGGGGGAUAAUGGUGUAAAGGGACUGGACAUCACAUGUGACUAAUAUAAAAUUAUUUUUCCAGGUAAAAUCAUUUACAAAUUUUAAAAGUGACAUGGAGUCUUUUAAGUAUGAUUUCAUAAGUUUGACCGAAGGUUGGAGAAGGGUAUCUAUAUAUUGGGAAAGGUUACUUAAAAGUGAGCCUAUCCCUGAAACAAUGGGUCUUCCUGGGGGGGGGUGUUCAUUUUUAUGAAUUUUAGGAAGAAAAUAAAUAACUGGGGUAAUUGGAUGUUUUUUGUUUAAAAAAUUAUAUUCAUGUUUGUUUAGAAUUUUUUGAUCUAGACCCUUAUUUAAAAACUUAGAUAAAAUGGUUUGGAUAUUUUUGAUCGGAUCGGUUAGAAGUUGUUCGUAUACAUUACCAUCUUUUAAUUGUCUAUGGGCUUUAUCUACAUACAUUUUACUAGAUUGAAUGACUACUCCUCCCCCCUUAUCAGCUGGUUUGAUGACAAUGUCUCGAUCUUUUUGUAAUUCUUUGAUUGCCUGUCUCUCACUAUUCGUGAGAUUAUUGGGGUCAUAUUUUUUGUAUUUGAUUUUCUCUAAGUCUUUAAGAACAAGUUUCUCAAAUAAAAUCAAAGGAGCUGAUUUAAAAUGGGAUGGAUAAAAUUUAGAUUUUUCUCUCAAGUGUGUAUUCAGAAAAGGACUAUUUCCUGUUUCUGAGGGAAGAGGAAAAAUAGGAGGGGCAGAUUCUUCGUCAUUUUUACUUAUAAAAAAUCUUUUCAAUGUAGCCUUCCUAACAAAUUUAUUUACAUCAAUAAAAGCUUGAAAUGAAUUAAAAGAGGAAGUGGGGGCAAAUUUGAGACCCUUACUUAAAACAGAUAAUUGUGCAGCCGAUAAAACUUUUUGAGAGAGGUUAAAAAUACCAUUGCAAGAAUUAGUGGAAGGUAUUAUUGUCUUUCCAAUCUUUCUCUUUUGUUUCCUUCUUCCACUUCAUCUUCCUCUAAAUUUAAAGUUCUUUUUUGAGAGCGUGAUGGGUAUGGUGUCUGGGCUAGUGCGGGUUGGUGAGUGCGUAUUUCUAAAAAAUGAUCCUCAUUAUCAAAGUCAGAGUCGACUGAUAAUAGUUGGUAUCUGUUAGUAUGAUUUGGAAUUGUGGGUGAUUUUGAGUAAUUUGAAUACUCAUUAUGAUUGUUAGUGUACCUGGAUCUUUGUGAUUUUGGUGAGAAAUUAAAACCAGAGGAAUUUUGAUAUCUGGGUGAUUGGGGUAUAGAAUUGUAGUUAUCGUGAGGAAAUUUCCUUUGUUUGUACGAGGGUAGUUGGUAUGUAUUCCUCUUAUUUUGGUAUGGUGAUUUGGGAGGGACGUGGUUUUUGGUGAGAAGACAUAUAUUGGGUUCUUGUUGUGGAUGGGGAUUGGUGAUGGGGUCUUCGUGUAGCAUAAUUGCGGUAUUUGGAAGGUGGUUGAUAUGAUACAUUGUUGUGGGGGUGGGAGUUAUUAUACAUAUAGUUUUGAUGGUUAGUUCUGGAGGGGUAAUUUUCGGAAGUGUACUUCUUUUUAAGAUGGUAAGUUCUUACUUGUUUACUAGAAUAAUCAGUCUUAUCUCUAAUGUAUUUUUUAAUUUUCAAAUGUUUUUGGUCGACUUCAACUUUUUCAAUUUUAUUCUGGAUUAGUACAGAAUUUUGUUUAUAAACCUUAGUUUCGGUGAAUGGUAAAAGUUUCUCUCUAAGAUCAUUUAUUUCUAUGUCUAGAAUAAACAAUUUUUUACUCUUUUUUAUUAUUAAUGUUUCCAUUAGGCCAAAAGUACAUAAUUCCAGUUUGUUAUUCCACUCUUCCAUAAACUCGAGAUCAUCUUGAUCAGAAGUGGGCAGUUUUAGGAGUCUUAAUCCACGGGGAGUAAUUUGUUCAUCUAUGUAUUUUUUAAAAGUGGCAAUUUCCCAUCUAAGCUUAAUCUCUGUGGUUAAGGCUCUUUCUAAUUUCAUAAAUAAAUCUUGUUGAUUGGAAUAGUGGGGAGUUAUUUGUAUAGAGUUGAUAGCUUCUGUGUUAAAUACAUUGUUGACAUCAAUUGUAUAUUUAUUCCUAAAUUCAAAAAUAGACAUAUUGUGAGAGUUAAAUAGCAGCUAUCCCAAAAGGGAAUUCGAAGAGAUAAUAGUAAAUAGGAGGAAUGAGACAGCGCUAAAAUAACUUAUGGCAGCAACCUUUAAAAAGGGAAUCCCUCAAACACUUCUAAAACAGGAUAAAGUAAAAACAAUAAAAGGCUGCGCACAUGAAUAAAGUCCAAUAAAAGGAAGAAAAGAGAGAAAGUCCAACUAGUAUAUUCUUACAGGUGUCUUUGGUUGAUGGGGUCUUCUAUUUAUGUGGUGGCUUCACUCGUUAUGAAAAAUAAAAAGAGGGAGAAGGGACAUCCAAUGGUGUAGUAUGUAAAAUUCAGGUAUAGACGUAAAAAUGAUAGUAUAAAACUCACAUUUACCAGAGCUAAUGUCCAGCUCUGGAGUAAAGCGCGUACAGCGGUUUAAUCCCCGCUUGUGGGAUGUAAGCAGGUUCUUCUCCGUGAAUGGUAUCCAAUUCUCGGGAUAAAAAAAAACACUCCUUUAUUGAAAACUGAACGCUACAUACAAAAAUACCUCUGUGUUAAACGCCAAAAUAUAUUCAAACACACCCCUGCAUUAAAAAAAUCAAUACUACUCAGAAAUGCAUGCUUAUAUUCAAACACCAACACCACAUACAAACAUACUCCUACAUUCACACAAACAUACUCCAUACAAAAAUAUGCUUACAUUUAAACACUGCUCAGCUCUAAAUACAGCCCUGUAUGCAUGGUAAAAUGUAGAGCCCCAGCUGUCAAAGCAGUGUUUGAGACAGAUGGGGAAUCUACAUUUUGGCCACCCUUGUGAUAAAUUCUUGCACCAGGGCUCUCUAUUUAGUACAGCCACUGCUUAGAGAGCCCUGGUGUACAUGCCAUUGAGUGGGGGGAGGUGCGGGUGGCAGGGUUCAGGGGACACAAGCUAAUGCUUGCCCAGGGUCCAUUCAAUAUUAAAGAUAGUCCUUGCAUUCAGUAGCAAAGAAGGUCAGUCUACCAUAUAAUUAAUGACUGGUAUUUAUAACAUUUAAGAUGCUGAAUGUUUGGGUAUUCUAAGUAGGCAGUCUCUCCUUUUCUUACUAGAAGGAAAGUAAAAAAAAAUGGAUUACUAAGAUUAAGAAUGUAUGAAUUCACAUCCAAGAGUUACAGAAUAUGCAUGAAGGGCUAUAUAUAACUGUAACGGACCGUUUUGCACAUAAGGGGUAAAAACCGUUUAGGCGAUCGUCCCCCUUUCCAGAGAUGCAGGCACAGCUACUGCAGAACACCAAUCCGCUGAACAGGGAACCAUAUGAAUGCUAUAAACAGCCGAAUAGGAAAAACCAUACGAAUAGAUUUACACUCCUAGCAGUCAAACUGGAACAGCAUACAAUAAAUCCCCCCAAGAACGAGAGGGUCAAGCAGUGAACAGCCAGAGCUGUGGGUUUAUUGUGCUUACGUACACAUUCUUACACAUUAGUACCACCCACAGGGUUUUGGAACACAACCAAUAAACACAUACAAUACACUCAGACACUCCCACACAAAUUCCUCCCCUCUGCAUGUGAUUCAAUUACCUUACACAAUGGGUAAUGUAAUUUAGCACAAGCAGAGAAAUACAUUUUUUUCACAUUAUUCAUAACUUGAAAAGUAUGCAUCACAUUCACAUCAGAAUCAGCAUACUCCAAAUACAAACAUACGUCAAAAUCAUACAAAUUGGUCCAGUGGUUCAAAAGAUAGAUCGUAAUCCUUUGUGACCACAGGAAGCAUGGCUUUUCUGCCCAAAACCAGUUCCACAGAGUCUUCUAUCCUGGAGAUAAUUAGAAGUAAUCCAAUUAUCUCCAAAGACAGAGGCAAAACUCCAUUGAACACAUGGCAGAAAAAAGACAGUAAAAUACAAUAAAAUACACAAGGUUACAUUUAUGACAUAAAAUACAGACAUGCAACAUAUGCCCAGAUAGCUUAGGUCUGAGCGCACAUUAUUACUGAAUGGUGCUCAGAGCACACACAUACAGUUCAAUUGCCAUGGAGCCAAAGUCUUUCCCAUAGUCUUUCAUUAUACGAAUGGGCUCCAUGGCAUAGCUAUCUGGGGUAUCACUGCUCAAACAGGGCAAGCACCAAAUGACCCAGCUUUCUUGUCUUUGCAGGGGAAAAUCAAGCCUUUUAACAUGGGGCCAUAAUCCAAAGGCAACAGGCGAGCAACCAGGCUUCUCCAAUGCAAUGUGGCGAGAUUGCUCUCGUCACAAUAACAUAUGUGAAGAAAUCCCUCUUUGUAUUAGUUAUUUCUCCCCUUUUCAUUCGGUAUACGUAACUACCGAACAGAGACCACCCUCCUGGCUCCUUAACUUCAAAAGCAUGCCUCAAUUAAACCCUCUACCUGUGCGGCCGCUGUUCGUAUUGCCGAAUGCCACAUGGCUGAGAAAACGGUGGCCAUCUUGUUUGUGUGAACAAAGGCAGUGGGACUUGGUCGUCGAGUGUCUGGAACUAAAAUCGUACACUCGACUUCCCGAACACCAGUCCCAACAUACGAAUGCUGGAUCUUCGUUUUCCAAACAGCUAGAAGAGCACUGUUCGGUACUUUUGAUCAUUCGUAUGAGGGGAGCAAUCGCUACUAGGAGCUAGGGGGAACCGUUUGUGGGAUUAUUCAUUUAUUUCCACUUCACGAAAUAGACCGGCAAAUCCACCCAAACUCGUGGAACUGUUUUGGGCAGCAGCCUCGUGGUUAGCAGGUCGUCUAAGACUUACAUAGAAUUAGAAAACCCCUGAACUGAUCUGGGUGAUUUUUGGAUAUGUUGGUCACCCAGAUUAAGGGUAUCAAGGGAUAUUACUUUUAAUGGGAUACCUCUUGUUUUUAGGGGUGUUCUGAAAGUUGGAGAAAAAUGUAUUUUUUUGCCUGGAGAUAAUGAAGUUAUUAUUUUAUCUGCCUUAAUUAUCUCUAGGUCCAGGGGAGGGAAUUGUAUGUUUGUACUGGAACUUGCACGGGGACUUGCAUAAAAGCCAGUGUGGUAUAAUAAAGCUCAGUUCUGUUGUACCCUUCUUCUAGACUCCGGCUGAUGUUUGGGUAUUCGUAUGAUUUACUAAGGGAAUAUUCUUGUAAAGCUCUUUAUUCGUAUUGGAAUCAUUUAUUUGAUCUGCCGAACGGAGAGUUAUAAUCACUGAUGCUCUGGCCAUUCAGAAGGAAACCACCGAAUGGGUAUUGGAUAUACCAGGUUUCCUUACAAAUGGUGGUAAGCGGAGGGAUUCGAAUCCCGAAUGGACAUCCCGAACCAAGAAAAGGGAAUGAAUGGCUCUGGCCAUUCAGAAGGAAACUACCGAAUGGGUAUCAGAUAUACCAGGUUUCCUUACAACAUACACAUACACAGCUACAAUCUCUCUCUUUCUCAUAUAUAUAUAUAUAUAUAUAUAUAUAUAUAUAUUUGUGUACGGCACAUUUAGAGGACCCACCUAGGUGAUAUGAAAAUAGAGGGUGCGGUGGGAGGGGAACUUCCAAGAUCGUUGACGACAGGUGAGCAGGGGAUCACUGGGUUUAAAUAGGGGUCAUAGUCCCUCCCACAAUUACAGGCCAAUCCUUCCAUUUGUGUACAGCACAUUUAGAGGAUGUAUGGUAUAAUAUGAAGAACAUUUAGUAAGAGCAAAGUCAGUUGAGGUGUGCCGAAACUGAUGUGAGGUUAGACCUGUAAAAGAGGGCAAAAAUAUAAGAAAUUAUUCUUAUUGGUAUUUUUAAUGAUAUGUGUUGGUACGUGAUUACUGGAGGUUGCUGUAGCUACUCCAAUACGGAAUGAAUGGCCACAGAAUGAAUGCGGGUUCUGUCCUAGUCGGAGUAAUAACGUAUGAAUGUAAAGCAUGAAUUGUUUGGUGGUUAGUGGUUUCCCUUGAAUGGCUAAUAGUGGGGAUUCAGGGUUGGUAGAAAGUUGAGUUUCCACUAGUUUAUACAGAAUGUGGAUUGGACACCAUUUGGUAGAGGUAGGAUAAUAUUUAAUCUCUACUGGUGGACCAGUUUGGCUCAAUUUGGCAUGAGCGAUUGAUAGAAUAUAUUAGUCCUGUGUUUUAGUAAGGUGUUUUUGCUGAAGGCAUGACUUAAAGUCGGAUGCCUUCUCCACAGAAAAUUCUUUAGGUCUCAAGAAACCGUAGAAGGCUAUGUAGGCUGCGGAUUUGAUUAUCAGGUUUGUGACCUUCUCAAAAGGGGACUUGUUUAGUAAAUGGGAGAUAGUCUCUUAAUGGGAUUAUGUACUGUUAGUCUCUGAAUACCUUAAAGGACACUUUUAACUGGGUAGGAAUGGAGUUUUGUUGGGAUAACUAGUUAACAUGUAGUGUUGUAUGCCUGUUAAGUAAAGUUUAAUUGUAUAAGCUAAUUUAAGAAAUAUGUGGCAAAAAGUUGUAAAUGUGACCAUGGUUUCUAUGGAAAAAACAUUUAUUACAUAAUAAUCAUGUACAAAUUUUUUAAACAAAUCGUAUGCUCUGGAAUAGGCUUUUUUUGUAUUAAGUGAUAAACCAGCCUGUGUGAGUGACCUACUAUGGUGUAACAGGGUAUUUAACGCAUUAUUAGGUCUGUGAAGCUUGGAUGUUCCCUGGGUUGCGAGUCUGCUGACGAAUGGAC